UUCCAUUGCCAACUGAACCAGCUCCGCUCUCACUGUGUCCAGAGAGUAGUAAGGUCAAAUCUUGAUGAUGUCUGUCUCGAGAAAGAGCUUCCUGAUGAAGUUUCAGGUGAAAUCAAAUCACUCCGUGUCAAAUCUGACGAGGAGUGUGAAGCUAAUAUAGCAGAAGUGGAUCCUAUGCAUGCAAAAAGAGUCAGAAGAAUCCACAAGGCACUGGACUCUGAUGACAUUGAACUGUUGAAGCUUCUUCUGGAUGAAUCUAAUGUCACUUUAGAUGAUGCUUACGCUCUGCACUAUGCUGCUGCCUACUGCAACCCUAAGGUUUUUAAGGAAGUGCUCAAUAUGGGCUUGGCUGAUCUCAAUCUUAAGAAUGCAAGAGGUCAUACGGUGCUUCAUGUGGCUGCAAGGCGUAAGGAACCAGCAGUGCUGGUGACUCUGCUGAGCAAGGGAGCAUGCGCAUCAGAAACUACAUCAGAUGGGCAAACAGCUGUAGCAAUCUGUCGGAGAAUGACAAGGCGAAAGGAUUAUAUUGAAGCUACAAAGCAGGGGCAAGAAACUAACAAAGACCGGUUAUGCAUUGAUGUCCUUGAGAGAGAAAUGAGAAGGAACUCCAUGUCUGGGAACUUGGCACUGUCAUCAGAGGUGAUGGCUGACGAUUUCCAAAUGAAGCUGAACUAUCUGGAAAAUAGAGGUGAUAUUUCUUUACUGGUAUUAGUUCAUCACCUUCUCAGAGUUUGUGCAUAGCACACUUGUUUCUACCGCUUGUUUGCCCCUUCAUCUUAGCAUCUCAAACAUUGCUGUAAAUGGGAUAAACACACAGUCUACGCUUGUGCUAUCAUCAAAGACUUUUUGAUAAACUGUUAUUCUUGUUAUUUGGAAGUGAAUAUUUUCAGCAACUAGAACUACGAAGCAUCUGGAUUGAUCCAUUUUAUCAUUCUCAAUACCUAUAAAGGAAUGUUAUAGAAAACUGUUUCCAAAGCAAACUGCGUGUGUUUUGAAUUUGUCUUUGGAAGCCACUAAUUGCUUGGAGAACACUGUUAGCCAGUCGUGAUUCCAUCCACUUUCUUGGAUGGAUAAUUGUGCAUCCAUAUGAUCUAGGCAUGUUGGUUUGGACUGAACUAGUUUUUAAUAAAUAAUUGCCUUAAGGAUUUAGUCUGUAUGUUACAGCCCAGUCUUUGUUGUCAAUAGUUCUUUUUUACCCCCUCCCCAGGAAAGAAUUGAGAUACAAAAUAAUUUAUUCCUGUCAUGGAUGAGUGCCAUAACAGCUUCUUAAUGCUUUGCAGUGGCUUUUGCGCGGUUGUUGUUUCCUUCUGAAGCUAGAGUAGCUAUGCAUAUAGCAGAUGCAGAUGCCACCAAUUUUUAUACUGGCCUUUCAGCAUCAAAGUCAAAAGGAUCAAGUGGGAACUUAAAGGAGGUUGAUUUGAAUGAAACACCCUCUAUGCAAGCCAAGAGACUCCAAUUAAGACUGCAAGCUUUGCUUAAAACAGGUAUUUAUAUACCUUCUUAGUUUUUGUAUGUUUAUAAUUACUGAUUUUUAUAUCAAAAGAGAGAGGUUAAUUUUUAGUACAUUGAUAUCUCAACAAAAUGGUAGAUCCUUUAUACCACUAAAGACAUUUUCUUAGUGCACUUACUGAGCUUUCUAUGAUUGCAGUUGAGACGGGCCGACGCUACUUCCCUCAUUGCUCAGACGUGGUUGAUAAGUUUUUGGACUGUGAUUGGUCUGAUGCUUCCCUCCUAGAAAAUGGUACUCCUGAAGAGCAGAGACUCAAAAGGGCACGUUUCAUGGAACUUAAAGAAGACGUGCAGAAGGCAUUUUACAAGGAUAUGGCUGAGAAAAAUCGUUCAGGUUUGUCGUCAUCCUCGUCGUCGUCAUCUUCUCCCAAGGAAGGAGUAAAGUGUAAGGGUAGGAAAAGGUGAUGCUUAGCUACUUGUCUUUGUUAUUCAUAUCUAGGAAAACUAGGAGAGUUUUACUGUGUUUGAUUGUUACUUGUAGAGAGAUACUCUUAGAGCCUAUGUUAUGGCUAUGUUGUAUAAUAGCAGAGGAACUUCAAGCUUGCAUUGUUGUAUUUUCCCACGUAUUUGGCAUGUAAUAUACUAAGUGACAAAGAAUUUUCUAAUUUUAGAGGAGAAAAAUGUGUCAGGUAAUUAUUUGUUAAUUUUAUCUGUUUAUUUCAGUUUAUAAUAUAGUUUUUUUUUUUUUUUAAAGAAAAAAAUCUCCAUAUCUUCAUCUGCAAACUCAAGUCAUGUGUAACUUCUUUCACGGAGAAAAGGGGUAAAAAAAGGGGCAUUCCUACCUACAUUUUACGGUACUGACCCUCAUACAGAAAUUGGUUAAGAUGACAUUAAUGUUAUUCGAAAUAGAUGGUAUGCAGAAUUUUCAUCGAAAUUGAAAUUAGAAAUGGAUGGAUGCAAAUGAUAUAUAUGCAUAUGCAGAACUUUUUAACAGAUUUUUUAUACAAAAAUUUGUAGCUUAUUACUCUCCAGAAGAAAAAUAAAUCUUUAACUGUAGAUAUCAAAAUUUAAAUUUAUAAUAUGAUAAAUGUGACUUAAGGUGCACAGCACCCAUAUAAUAAUAAUUAAGAAAAGGAAAGAAAAUUUUGUAAAUUACCAAUUUUUUAGAAUUAAUUAUUUUUAUACCCAAAUUCUCAUGCUCGAAGGUCUCUGGAAUUGGCUAUUGUAAUUUUAUCAUCCUCAUUAUUCAUUGGCCAUUUUUGGACCACGACAUAAUAAAAAAAUCGCAUUGAUUAAUAUUAAUAAAUUUCUUUUGAUUAUUUUGUAGUGUGAUGAUCCGGUGAAUGCUAGUGCCUAUCAUAGCACUUGAAUAUGUGGUAAAGUUUUGCGAUUCUUUGUAAAAUAGAAUUUAAAUUGUGUAUUAACUAGACAACUUUAUAUAGACCAUUGCCCACUAAAUCAUUACUUUAUUUUGUAUAUAUUUAUGAUAAUUGUUGAAGAAAAAUGUAAAGUGAGAUUAAUGAACAUUCAUGAAUGUGGGAAAUUAACACAACUAGAAUUUAUGAUGAAAUAAUUUUACGUCAAAUGAGUGUAAGUGAAUGGAUGUUAAAAAACUUGUAAUAUAUAUUUUCCGAAUUGUUAUAUAUGCAAGUUUGUCACUAACAGUAAAUUGAAUUAUUAAUAUUUUAAUAAUUCAAAAUCUCAUUCAACCAUCGGUUUUUAUAGUAUUUUUCAGAGUACAAAAUUAUAAACCGCCUCACCCUUAAUAAUAUAAUGUUAAACCUUUUCAAAAAUUUAUUCUAUUAUAGUUGUCUUAAUCACUUAUACUUAUUCUAAAUUGAAGUUAAAAAUAGUACUUCAUAUAUGAUACAUUACUAAAAGAAAUUUUUUUUAUCAAGUUAUGAGCUAGUGAAAGGAUGCAAUAAAUUACGUCUAAAAUUGUAAAAUUAAUCAAUCACUAAGUAAAUAUAAUGUUACAUGUGUAUGUAUAUAUAUUACAUAAAGUCUGAUUCUCAUGAGCUUAAAAGAUGGGCAUGGGAUGAUAUAUCAUACUCAAAAAUCUAUUUUUGCUAAUGAUUAUACUAACAUUUAAAGGUCUCUCUAAGCUACAUUGUAAUUUAUAUAGUUACUUAAUUUUACUAAUUACUAUUAAGCUCACGCUUCUUCCUUCAUAGAAAAUCAUCUUUUUGGCUUUUUCUAUUUUUAUGCUUUUUUUAAUUUCUUUUUCAAGACUUCUUUUUCUUAUUGCUUUACCAAGUGGGCAAUUAAAAAAAUCUUUUUUUUUUGGUUGUGUAGCUUUUGGUAGAAACAUAUGAUUCCCCUCUGUUUCCUCCCCUUGGCUUCCUGCGUAUUCGAAUCCAAUACUUUGUAAUAUUGGAAACGUUAAAAUUGAUAUUACUUCUUGAUAUAUAUUCGAAACGAAAUGUCAUCAUCUUUGAGCUUGAUCAACCUCAGCAGCAAUCUUGAGAAGCUAUUGCUUGAUGCUGAGUAUGACUGUACCGAUGCCGAGAUUGUUGUUGAGGGAAAAUCAGUGGCUUUUCACCGCUGCAUAUUAUCUGCACGCAGCCAGUUUUUUCUUGAGCUUUUUAGAAAGGGUAAUAAUAAUGAUGGUUCUGCUGUGAGUGAGGGGAAACCAAAGUAUCUCAUGACUGAAUUGGUGCCUUAUGGUAAAGUUGGAUAUGAAGCUUUCAAUGAUAUCUUGUAUUAUUUCUACACUGGGAAGCUUAAGCCACAUCCUCCCGAAGUGUCCACGUGUGCUGAUAAUGCUUGUGCUCAUGAUGCCUGCCCUCCUGCUAUUAAUUAUGCUAUUGAGUUGACGUAUGCUUCUGCUGCUUUUCAGAUAAAAGAACUCGUUCUGCUUUUUCAGGUAAUUGUGCUUCCCCCUUGUUAAACUUAGAAAGUUAUUUGUAUUGGUAUAGGUUUUACAUCUAUUGAAUUAGAAUCAUUUUCAAUCAUGACUAGCAAAGAAUUGAAGGAAGUAAAUGUUAAGCGGCAUCAAUGUUUACCAAUAUAAGACAUUGCAGUACCAGAUCCAAAACUAGCUUGUUAAAAGUAUUGAUGUUUUGAGCCCACAACUUAUCUUUAUCCUACAAGAUUUUGUUGCGUUUGUUAAUUCGGUAUUAGUUUGUGUUGUUUUAGUCAAAAGAGAAUAAAAGACGAUUAUGGCAACAAACUCCCCGAGUACAUGCUUGCUGACACCCAAUGAAUGAAAUAGCAAACUAAAAAGGUGUAGAAUACAUGGGUCUGAAUUUGAUAAGUGCAACUAUCCGAUCACAAAAAGCUCAACUAGUUGUUAUUUGGUUUCCAACAAUGAUACUACCUUUCUAGUAAAUGAUAUGUUAUUCUACAUCUAUAUAUGGAACUAUGGAAGCUUCAUUUUUCCUUGAUUCACUUUUCUCGCUUCUAUUGAACUGCCCAGAUAUAAUAUUUUCUACUGGAGACUAGCAUUGGAUUGUGAAUUAUGGAAAAAGUUAUGACUUGACAUGCAAUUUUAUUUUGGUGGGUGUCAGUUAAUGCUCUGGCUUAAUAGUUCUAUUAUUUAGGUAGUUUUAUCAAUAUUUUCUCAAUCAUCUGAUAGUUAGUUCUCUCAUGCCUUCAAGCUCAACAGUGAAUGCAACAUAUGCCUUUUUCUCCUCCAAGCUAUAACGUAUCAAUUCAUUAAUGCUGAAGAAUUAUAUCUUUUACUGGGGAGAUUAUGUCUCUGAACGUUGGUCCGUCGGCAUUUAAGUACAAUAAGCAUGGCACUAUUUUUCUCCUUGUUAAGUUUUUCUUUCCCACAUUAUCACCCUUGAAGCAACAUAUUGAAGGAAAGCAACAUUCUUAUAUAUGCCUUAUGAUGUUCUGAAUGUAUUCUAACUCAAAACUCUUUCUAUCCAUGCAGCGUCGCCUUCUGAACUUUGUCGGGAAGGCCCUUGUGGAAGAUGUAAUUCCAAUUCUUGUGGCUGCCUUCCAUUGCCAACCGAACCAGCUCCGCUCUCCCUGCAUCCAGAGAGUGGUAAGGUCAAAUCUUGACAAUGUCUGUCUCGAGAAAGAGCUUCCUGAUGAAGUUUCAAGUGAAAUCAAAUCACUCCGUGUCAAAUCUAACCAGGAGUGUGAAGCGAAUAUAGCAGAAGUGGAUCCUAUGCAUGCAACAAGAGUCAGAGGAAUCCACAAGGCACUGGACUCUUAUGACUUUGAACUGUUGAAGCUUCUUCUGGAUGAAUCUAAUGUCACUUUGGAUGAUGCUCACGCUCUGCACUAUGCUGCUGCCUACUGCAACCCUAAGGUUUUUAAGGAAGUGCUCAAUAUGGGCUUGGCUGACCUCAGUCUUAAGGAUGCAAGAGGACAUACGGUGCUUCAUGUGGCUGCAAGGCGUAAGGAGCCAGCAGUGCUGGUGACUCUGCUGAGCAAGGGAGCAUGCGCAUCAGAAACUACAUCAGAUGGGCAAACAGCUGUGGCAAUCUGUCGGAGAAUGACAAGGAGAAAGGAUUAUAUUGAAGCUACAAAGCAGGGGCAGGAAACUAACAAAGACCGGUUAUGCAUUGAUGUCCUUGAGAGAGAGAUGAGAAGGAACUCCAUGUCUGGGAACUUGGCACUGUCAUCAGAGGUGAUGGCUGAUGAUUUCCAAAUGAAGCUGAACUAUCUGGAAAAUAGAGGUGAUAUUUCUUUACUGGUAUUAGUUCAUCACCUUCUCAGAGUUUGUGCAUCGCACACUUGUUUCUACUGUUUGUUUGUCCCUUCAUCUUAGCAUCUCAAACAUUGCUGUAAAUGGGAUAACUACACAGUCUACACUUGUGCUAGCAUCAAAGACUUUUUGAUGAACUGUUAUUUUUGUUAUUUGGAAGUGAAUAUUUUCAGCAACUAGAACUCCGAAGCAUCUGGAAUGAUCCAUUUUAUCAUUCUCGGUACCUAUAGAAGAAUGUAAUAGAAAACAGUUUCCAGAACAAAUCGCAUUUGUUUUUGGAAGCCAGUAAUUGCUUGGGGCAAACUGUUAGCCAGCCAUAAUUCCAUCCACUUUCUUGGAUAGGCAAUUGUGCAUCCAUAUGUUCUGGGCAUGGGGGUUUCGACUGAACUAGUUUGAAUAAAUAAUUGCACAAGGAUUUAGUCUCAGUGUUACAGCCCAGUCUUCGUUGUCAAUACUUCACCCCCCCCCCCCCCCCCCAAAAAAAAAAAAAAAAGAAUUGAGAUACAACAUAAUUUAUUCCUAUCAUGUAUGAGUGCCAUAAAAGCUUCUUAAUGUUUUGCAGUGUCUUUUGCGCGGUGGCUGUUUCCUUCUGAAGCUAGAAUAGCUAUGGACAUAGCAGAUGCAGAUGCCACCAAUUUUUGUACUGGCCUUUCAGCAUCAAAAUCAAAAGGAUCAAAUGGGAACUUGAAGGAGGUUGAUUUGAAUGAAACACCCUCUAUGCUAGCCAAGAGACUGCAAGCUCUGCUUAAAACAGGUAUUUAUAUACCUUAUUAGUUUUUGUACCUUUGUAAUUAGUGAUUUUUGUAUCCAAAGAGAGAGGUUAAUUUUUAGUACAUUGAUAUCUCAACAAAAUGAUAUUUUCUUAGAGCAUUUACUGAACUUCCUAUGAUUGCAGUCGAGACGGGUCGACGCUACUUCCCUCACUGCUCCAAAGUCAUUGAGGAGUUUAUGAAUUGUGAUUGGUCUGAUGCUUCUCUUCUGGAAUUUGGUACUCCGGAAGCACGGAAACUUAAAAGGGCUUGCUUCCAUGUGCGGAAGGCAUUUUGCAAGGACAUGGCUUCUGACAAUCGUUCAGGGCCGUCAUCAUCCUCAUCGGCAUCCUCAUCGGCAUUUUACAAGUAUAUGGCUGAGAACAAUCGUUCAGGUACGCCGACAUCCUCAGUAUCGAGCAAUUAAGCGACAUCCUCAGUAUCGACCAAUUAAGCAUCACCUUUUCCUGAAAGUGAUACUUUGACACCUGGGAAACUAGAAGAGCUGAGUGAGCUCGACUGGUACUUGAGAGAUGGUCACAGCCUAUGUUAUGGCUAUGUAUUGUCUAGUAGCAGAGAAAUAUUAAUGAAUGAUGGAUGAUUUUCUUGUGACUCUUUGGUGACAAUCAUGUAACGAUUUGAGUAAUGCUAAGAUUAUCACAAUUUUUUUUCCUCGAUUGAUUUGGCAUUCAUCAAUUAAAUUGUAAAAUUAUUAUAUUGUCUCAAGUCCAAUGAGACACACAAAUUUAUAACAUUGAUGGAAUGGAUGCAUUAUCUAUAAACUCAUUUCAUAGAAUAUUUUUAUAUAAAAUUAUAUAAUUUAUAGGCUAUCCUUAAAAAGUUAGGAAAAAAAAGAGUGUAUUACAAUUAGGAUGAGGCCUGCUUGUGUAGUCACAUCAGUUGCUGAACAAACUUUGCCUUCUAAUUUUGAGAUAUUACUAUCCCAAAUUUUAUAUUAUCAUAAAUGAGAUUAAGAUAAUCUUUAAAAAAAACUGGAGAUUAUUUUUUCCUUAAAAAAAUCAAGAAAAAUUUAGAAAGCAGUGAGAGAUGGAGAAAUAGAGUGAUUAUAUUAGUAAAUAUAAUGUGUUUAGUGCAGCAAUACAAACUAAUAAAUAAUAAUUUAUGAGAUUAGUUUAUAGAAUCUUACAUAUAAAAUUAUAUCCUUUAAAUAAAAAUCUUCACACUUCUUUUGACUUUUUGACUUCUCAUUUAGAUGCCUUUUUUAGGAUCACUCCAUUUUAAUAGGAAGUAUUAGCGUAUUUUCACUUUUCUCCCCCGCCGUUUGUAUACCGUUUCUUAUUGUUAAUGGACGAAGCUACAAGUCUUCUCUUUUAUCAAAUCGAUCCAGCACAAGUACAAGUCUGCUGCACCUAACCAAAACACACACAUACUCCAUCUCUAAAUGCUUUGAAGAUAUACAAAUCAGCGGUAAUCCUGCAACUUUAGCUCGGAGAAUCGCAUAAGAAAAGAACAGGUGAUGAAUCAAGAGGGUACUGGAGUCUAGUGAGUGUCGCCUGAGGUCGGCGUUAGAGGCUGUUACUCAAUCGCGUACAAGGUUAGUCUUCGAAAAAACACUUUGCAUGUUAGAAAUCAGUGAUUGGGCAUUAUUUUGUUAUUUAAAAAUGAAAAUGGGUUUAUUAGUUUGUCGAAGAAUCUGCUCUGUUGCCGGUGUUGUUUGUUGAUCAAAAUGAAAAUGGGUUUGUUGAUGUGUUGAAGAAGUUGCUCUGCUGCUGGCCCUUUUUUUAUUAAUUAAAAUGAAAAUGGGCUUGUUAAUUUAUUGAAGCAGCUGCUGGCAUUGUUAUUGUGACUUUAUUUAUCCAAUUGACGAACUUAUGAGCUAAUAGUAAUUUUUUAUCAAGCUUGUGUUCUAAAUAGUGGAGUUGAUAUUCUUAAAAUGAGUUUAUGAUUAUGAGAAUAUGAAAAUUGAACGGCAUCGUAGAGGUCUGGAUUAAUCACCAUCAUAUAUGUUUCUAAAUAAAGGAAUAAGCAGCGAUCGAUUUGAAAGUUAAGACUUUAGGGAUAUGUAUGUGCAACUGAAUGAAUCAUCAAUUGCUAUCUUGUAAGUGAAUACUAGCAUAUUACUUAAUGGCAAGUGAAGCUAUUUUAUGUGUAUUGCUGCCCAUCAAAAUGUUUAUGUUUGUAGUUAUCUCCUUUUAGGAAAUUGAAUGCUUCUGUGAGUUCUCUGGUAAGGACUAUACAACCAGCUCUAGCAGAUUCCUUCAUGUGCAUUAAUUAGCUUAAUGGUUUAUUGACCUAUAUCCAAUGUCUAUUCUCCAUUUUUUCUUUUCUGUAGCCAUCUAGCUUUAUGAGUGUGUGAAGUGAAAUUUUGUUUUAUGUUUCAGGACUUGGGAUUAGAGUGUAUAACAUUCAAUAUCUUUUUAUCAAAGAACUGAUAUAUGUUAAUGUAGUGCAAUCUGGUCUUUAUUAGCUUCUUGAUUUGUGAGGAUGUUUGACAACCAUCUUUGACUACGAUUGCCAACAUAUAAGCUGCUACAUAUUGUGUCUCAGGAAUCACAGCAAAUUAUUAUCAUAAUAUGGUGAUUUUGAAUCCAAACUUGGUAGUGUCAAGAAAAUAGACCCAUGUUUAUUUAUCUUCAUGUUUUGUGUGCGCCUGCAAUAGACUAUUAUUUUUUUUUUUUUUGAAUGGAAAGUACCUUCAUUUCAAUUCAAAGAAGAAAAUAAGUACAACAAGUGGGGAGGGUAUGAACCCAUCCAAACAAUAGUUUCGAGCAUCUCUAGAGCUAGCUUAGCUAAAGAGUGGGCUAUAGCAUUACAAGAUCUAUGAGCAUAUUGGACACAAACUGAGCUAAAGCUCUUCAAAAUUCUCUGCACGUCUGAAAUGGUCCAAAAGAUCUCGGAUCUGCAGCCCCGAUUGUUGUUAACUAACUUAACAAUCUCUUGAGCAUCUGAUUCCACAAUCAAAGACUCUAUACAAGCAUUCCUUGCAACAUGAAGCCCCCAUUCGAUUGCUUCUGCCUCUGCUAAACACACAUCACCAUAGAACUUGGAAACUUUGACUGCAGCUGCAAUCACAUUCCCAUCUUCAUCUCGGAUAACAGACCCUAGACCUGCAAUUUGCUUCUCCGAAUUGGUGGCAGCAUCUACAUUAACCUUAAAGAAUCCUUUUUGGGGAGGAUUCCAGGCCUUUAGCAUCGGAGAUCUUUGGUUGCCUAUAUGAGUGGCUGCUGGAAGCUGGGUUCUUCGGUAAGCUUCCAGCACAGCUUCAGCCUUAGAGACUGUCACUUGGGGGCUUUCUUUUACUCUUUUAAAAAUCCAUUUGUUUCGAGCAUUCCACAUCAUCCAUAAGGUCGAAACCAGCAGCUCAAUAUCAUCAUUACUCCUUCUCAGCUUCAGGCUAAUCAACAAGCUUAAAAUGUCUUGAUCAACACACUCCUUCAAAUCAUCCUCAAAUCUGGUAAUUUUCCAGAUUUUCUGCACCACCUUACAGCCCACUAGAGCAUGAAAAACUGUUUCCAGCUUGUUGUUACAAAUUUGACACACAGGCUCCGGAAUCACCUUCCUUUUCCAUAGAUUUUCGGCCGAAGGAAGAAGAUUUUUUGCAGCCCUCCAAGCAAAAAUCCUGAUUUUCUCUGGUAUGAUGAGCUGCCAUAUUGUAUUCCAUUGGUUCUGCUCAGCCGCUGAACUUGUCGGCCUGGCUGGAAAUUUCAGAUUUAAAGCAAUCUGAUAGCCACUCUUAACCGAGUACUGGCCUUUUCUAUCGUAGUGCCACAUUACUUCAUCCUUCAUUGGUCUCCUUGGCAAUGGAAUUUUAACAAUUGCUUCCGCAUCUAUUUUGGCAAAGUGCCUGUGAAUCAGCUCUUCAUUCCACCCAUGCUCUGCAUUUAUUAACUCAGCCACUAAAGCAUCAUCUGGUAAGCUUGGCUUGGAAAUCGGUUUGAAGGUCAAGGGCCUGGGCAGCCAAUUCUCUUUAUGCAGCAGGAUGCUUUGGCCAUUUCCAAUCCUCCAUCUAUACCCCUUGGAUAUGACUUGCCGGCCAUAUAAAAUGCUUCUCCAAAUAAAAGAGGGAUUCGAGCCAAGUCUUGCCUUCAUGAAAUCUUUGUGCUGGAAAUAUCUCGCCUGCAGAGUUCUUGCCACGAGGGAGUCUGGAAAUUGCAGGAUCCGCCAGCCUUGUUUGGCUACUAGCGCUUGGUUGAAACUUGAAAACUCUCUGAACCCCAUUCCUCCUCUGCACUUAGCCAUACUUAGCUUGCUCCAUCUCGACCAGUGGAUGGCCUUCUUAUCGGUUCCUGAUCCCCACCAGAAUUUUGCUAUUAUUCGCUGAAUGUCCUCACAAAUGCUCAUGGGAAUCUUGAAGACGCUCAUUGCAUAUGCGGGAAUAGCUUGAGCAGCCGCCUUGAUCAAAACCUCUUUGCCACCUACUGAGAAAAAUUUGUGCUGCCAAUUGGAGACUUUAUUAUGGAUCUUCAGCUUGAUAUCAGCCAAAAAACUACUUCUCUUUCUCCCAAUCAUAGAAGGCAAGCCUAAAUAUUUUUCGUGUCUUGAAACAAUGUUGAGCUGGAAGAUGUCUUUGAUUGUUGCCGCUUGCCCAGCCUGAAUAUUGCCGCUGAGAAACAUUGAAGAUUUAUCGAGAUUGAAAAGCUGGCCUGAGGCUGCAGAAUAGCAGUCGAAAAUUCUUUUCAGAUGUUGGCAAUCGGUAACUGAGGCUCUCGAGAAUACUAGGCUGUCGUCCGCAAAUAAGAGAUGAGAGAUUUUAAGCUCCUUCCCAAAUGACAGCCCAUGAAUAAGCCUCUAGUGCUCUGCUUGUUGGAGAAGAGAGGAGAAGGCUUCAGCCCCAAUGAUGAAUAAAUACGGAGAUAAGGGACACCCUUGUCUGAGGCCUCGCUGAGGCCGAAUCACCCUGCUUACAACACCAUUUAUAAUCACUGAGGAUGUAACUGAGCUUAUACACCUCAUGAUUAGGCUGAUCCAAUUCUGCGAGAACCCGAGGGACUUCAUUGUUUGUUCAAGAAACUCCCAUUCCAGGCUAUCAUAAGCUUUGCUCACAUCAAGCUUCAAUGCCACCAAGCCAUUUUUUCUUCCUUUACAAUGUCUUAUCUUAUGGAGGCACUCAUAUCCUACAAUAAUAUUAUCGGUGAUUAGCCGAUUAGGAAUAAAAGCACUUUGCAUUGGCGAGAUAAUUUUGGGCAGAACAUGUUUAAGCCUAUUAGCUAUUGCCUUAGCAAUAAUUCUAUAAAUAACAUUGCAUAGACUAAUGGGCCUAAAAUCGGUAACUUUUCUGGGCUUUCCUUUUUUUGGAAUUAAAGCGAUAUAAGUGUGAUUGAGUGGAGCUACAUCACCUUGCUUGUUAAGGAUGUGGAGGCAUGUUGAGAGGACUCCUUGCUUGACCGUUUGCCAGUGCUUUUGGUAGAACACUGCUGGCAAGCCAUCCGGACCCGGUGCCUUUGUUGGGCACAUUUGUGUCGAUGCUUCCACAACUUCUUCGGGCGUGAAUGGCAUUUCUAGAAAAUCAUUCAUCUCCCUAGAAACUCUUCGAGAUAUUCUUGACAGCGCAGCUGCUAUUUGAGCUUGAUUAGGCUUGGAUGUAGUAAACAAAUUUGUGAAGUAUUUGCUGAACUCAUGCUCCACUUCUUCGGCAUUAUCAAUCCAACUUCCAGCUACAUUUUCGAUCCCCCAGAUUCGGUUCUUCUUCUUCCUUGAGGAUGCCUUAUGAUGGAAAAAUUUCGUGUUCUUGUCCCCUCCCUUGAGCCAAUCUGCCCUUGAGCGAUGUUUCCAGAAAAUUUCCUCGUCGGCUAACAAGUUUUGGAUUUGUCUUUCCACCUCUUUAAUCUUAUUCCCAUCGACAUACUGAACCCGAUUAAGCUUGAGGCUUCGGAGCUCGUUGGUAUAGCUUCGGAGCAAUAGACUAUUAUAAGUUACUUUUAGUUUUAUCAAUUUUUUUUUUCCUUAAAUGUCAGUUAUUUCAGCGGUUUCUUUUAACUGAGUUAAUAGUGUUGUUAGGUUAAACUAAAUUUGGCUUCAUAAGCUUCAUAGUAGAGUGUAGAAUUAGGUACAAUUUUGGAUUAGACAAGUCAAAGGUCUUAUCAAGUAAUUGUUCUGCUGACUGAUUUGGUAAUUGCAACAUUGCUAAAUUGUUCAAUUUGCCCUUUUCUUUUGUUGAAUUUAUUGUAUGUCAUAUUGCUUCAUUUAAUUAUUUUCUCAGAUCUUGUAGGUGAAAAUUUCAGCUUCAAAGACCAAAGCUAAUCAUCCAGCAAUUCAGUGAAGAAACCAAGACACAGUGGCUCAUAAAUUGUUGUUGGUGAUCCCAGCCAUUCGGGUGCUCGCCAGUCCUAGAUGAGAAACCUUUCAACGCGGCGCAUAAAAAUUGUUGUUGAUCUGCUUUAUAUAUUUUGACCUUUGUGAUUCGUGAAUGUACAUGGUUUGAUUCCAGUGUUUACAACUUUGAAAUUCAAUUAAAAGUUGAGCUGUCAUUGAUUGAUGACAAGAUUGUGUUGUAUAACUUGAGAAGCAAAUGAAACAAACUGGAAAUGUGUUUUUAUUUUUUGAAUCUAUCUAUCUAUUUAUUUUUUGUUUGGAAACGUUAGAAUUUAUAGCUGGCAAAGUAAUAGAGUUGUAUACUUGUAUUUAAUUUAUUAUUAUUAUUAUUAUUUUAAUGACUCGGUAAUGUCAUUGUCCGUGCCUCCGUGGUGUUUUGUCAUUUCGAAAGUACUUAACCCUUCCACGCUAAGGCACAUUACCGCAGCCGAAACUUUGAGCUUUCAGUUCUUGAUUUUAGCGUGAGGGGUAUCUUUGUCUUUUCAGUAGUCAAUACACGGUCAACAAAACAGUCUACAAACAAUCGACCUGUGAACUUGGGUCAAAACUUUCAUCUUUAAAUCACAUAGGUAGAUCACGAUUCAAGCUUCAGUUAUAAGCAUUUCAUUGUGAUUGGUAUUAUUCUUUCUUGAUAAAUAUAUAUAGAUUCAGUUUGAAUAUGGUUCUUGAUGGUAUCAUGGAAAAUGCGAACGAAAAGUCAGCAUCUUUGAGUUUUGUCUCAUCAUAUCCGACUUGUUGGUCCACUAAUCAAUCAACAGGCACUUGUGAUCUUGAUAAUUUGAACUUAAGGGGGGCAAAGCAGCAAUCCUGAAGAGACAUGGCUUGAAGCUGAGAUUGUUGUUGAGGGCAAAUCAGUGGCGGUUAAUCGCAGCAUAUUGUCUGAGCGCAGUCAAUUUUUUGGUCGGCUUUUUAAUUUGAGAAAUGAUGGUUCUGUCAGUGAGGGGAAACCCAAGUAUCUUUUGACUGAUUUGGUGCCUCAUGGGAAGGUUGGAUAUGAAGCUUUCAAUGAUACCUUGCAUUUUCUUUACACUGAAAUGACAAAGGCAUAUCCUCCAGAAGUGUCCACGUGUGUUGAUGAUGCUUGUGCUCAUGAUGCCUGCCCUCCUGCUAUUAAUUAUGCUAUUGAGUUGAUGUAUGCUUACGCUGCUUUUCAGAUGACAGAGCUCGUUUCGUAUUAUGAGGUAGUUGCGCUUCCCCGCUAUUUGCAUUGUUUAAAGUUAUGCUCGUUGGUAUAGUUUUAACAUAUAUGGAAUUGAAAUCAAUUUCAGUUGUGACUUGCAAAGAGCCAAAGAAUCGAAUCUAGUAAAUCCAAAAUUAUUUUGAAAGAGACAAAAAUUAUAUGGCAAUCGAAUCUAGUAAAUCCAAAAUCAUUGUAGUAGAUCCAAAAUUAGCUUGUUAAAAGUGUAGAUAAUGUAGAGCCCGAAAGUUCGUCUUACCUUGCAAGAGUCUGUUGUUUUAUUUUGAAAGAGACAAAAAUGAUGAUGAUGGGCAGCCAACUCUAGGAAUCAAUGCUUGCCGACACUGACACCCAAGAAUGAUAAAAACUAACCAAAAAGGUAUAGAUUACAUGAGCCUGAAUUUGAUAAGUGCACCUAUCCUAUCACAAAAAGCUUUUGCGUUCAGUUUCUAACCAAGGAAAAUUGUCACUUCUGUCUGUAGGCUUCAUAGAUUUGUUCAAGCCUUCAAGGAUGUCUAGCUGUUACUUACUGUCCAACAACGGCGAUACAUUUCUAGUGAAUGAUAUGUUAUUCUACCUCUGUAUAUUCGAACUUUGACAAACUUCGCCUUUCCUUUAGUUGAUUCACUCGUCUCACUUUUAUUAAAUUGCCCGAUUAUGAAAUGGUCUAUUGGAGACUAGCAUUGGAAGGUUUCUGUUGGAAAAUUUUCAAAAUAAAUGUGUCUUAUGGUAAAGGCAUGUCCUAUUAAUUGUGCCUUAUAGAAAAGGUACCUUUCACUAAAGACAUGUCUAAUUAAAUGAUGUCUUGUUGUAAGGACAUGUCCAUUUAAUUGUGUCUUGUAGAAAAUGUAUCUUUUUACUAAAUGAUAUAACUUUUUAUGGUAACAUUUUACUUAGAGAUGCAUUAUUUCAUGGUGACAUUUCAUUUGAAAUGUUGAUGGUUCAAUUUAGACCAUUGAUUAAAAUCAAAUCUAGAUCCAAUGGCCAUGAAUGAAAGGCCAUGAAUGAAAGGGUAUCAUGAAAGAUGAUAACCCAAAUGAGGGGGAACAAGUAUAUCUAUAAAUAAAGGUCAUGUUUAAGCCAUUAAGACAUGAAAUAAAUGAUCCUACACCCCUCUUUUCUUAGCAUUCCUUUCUAAGUACGAAUUUCAACACAAAACACCCAUUUUCUUUUGUGCAUUCACAUUCCAAUAUAUUAUUUUCUGCAGGAACAAUAUAUUGUUUCUUGGCAGGCUUGCAACAUUCAAGAGUAUUCUGGUUUGCUUUUGUCGAUGCACAACGCAAGCAAACAAACAAGUGUUUCAUUGUAUUUUGGAGACGUAUUUGCUUAACCCAUGUGCAUCACUCAAUUGGUGGGGGCAAAUAACGUCUUAAGAAAAGCGACAUUUGUAACGUGCCUUGAAGCACACAAAAUUUCUGCAGUCUCUUCCUACAUACAGAGUUAGUUAUAAACACAUUAUUUUACAUAAUAAAGUUCCACCAUUAUUAUUGUAUUUCUCUACAUUUGCCAUUCCCUACAAAUCAACCUCCAACAGUUUCUUCGGGAAAAAAUUUUACUUGACCACCAAUUUUCAUUUUGGUGGGUGUCAGUUCAUGUUCUGGCUUGACUGUUCUGUUAUUUAGGUUGUUUUAUCCGUAUUUUCUCACUCACUCGACAGUUAGUUCUCUCAUGCUUUCAAGCUCAACAGUGAAUGCGAGAGAUUCUCUUUUCCCGUCCAGGUUAUGACCUAGCAAAUCAUUAAUGCUGUAGAAUAACAUCUUGUGUAGGUGAGCUUAUCUCUCUGUUCAUUGGUCCAUCGGCAUUUAGGUUCGAUAAGCAUGGCACUGAUUUUCCCCCUCAUUAUUAUUUUCCUGCACAGAUUAUCCCCUUUAAGCAUUUGAAUUUUGAAUAUAUUAUUCUGAAUCAAAACUCUAUCUGUCCGUGUAGCAUUUUAUCUACGCUUUAUGAUGUUUGCCAAUAAUUACCCACUAUGGGGUAUUUGAAUUUUGAAUAUAUUAUUCUGAAUCAAAACUGUCUGUCGGUGUAGGAAUGGCUUCUGGAAGUGGUUGAGAAGGCUCCUGUGGAAGAUGUAAUCCCAAUUCUCGUGGCUGCCUUCUAUUGCCAACUGAACGAGCUCCGUUCUUUCUGCAUCCAAAGAAUUGCAAGGUCAAAUCUUGACAAUGUUUGUGUCGAGAAAGAGCUUCCUGAUGAAGUUUCAAGAGAAAUCAAAUCACUCCGUGUGACAUCUAACCAGGAAUCUGAAGCUAAUAUAGCAGAAGUGGAUCCUAUGCAUGCAAAAAUAGUCAGAGGAAUCCGCAAGGCACUGGACUCUGAUGAUGUUGAAAUGUUGAAGCUUCUUCUGGAUGUAUCUAAUGUCACUUUGGCUGAUGCUUAUGCUCUCCACUAUGCUGCUGCCUACUGCAGCCCUAAGGUUUUUAAGGAAGUGCUCAAUAUGGACUUGGCCAAUCUCAAUCUUAAUCUUAAGGAUGCAAGAGGUCGUACGGUGCUUCAUGUGGCUGCAAGGCGUAAUGAGCCAGAAGUGAUGGUGACUCUGCUGAGCAAGGGAGCAUGCGCAUCAGAAACUACAUCAGAUGGGCAAACAGCUGUAGCAAUCUGUCGGAGAAUGACAAGGCGAAAGGAUUAUCUUGAAGCUACAAAGCAGGGGCAGGGAACUAACAAAGACCGGUUAUGCAUUGAUGUCCUUGAGAGAGAGAUGAGAAGGAACUCCAUGUCUGAGAACUUGGCAAUGCCAACAGAGGUGAUGGAUGAUCAUUUCCAAGCGUGGCUGGACUGUCUAGAAAAUAGAGGUGAUAUUGCUUUACUGGUAUUAGUUCAUCACCUUCUCAGAGUUUGUGCAUAGCACACUUCUUUCUACUGUUUGUUUGUCCCUUCAUAUGGAAAAUAGAGGUGAUAUUCCUUUACUGGUAUUAGUAAAUCAUCUUCUCAAGAGUUUGUGAGUCCCUUCAUUUUAGCAUCUCAAACACACAUGGGCUCAUUGCUUGGGGCACACUGUUGGCCAGUCAUGUGAUUUGAUCUCCUUUUUUGGAAUAGAGAAUUAUGAAUCCAUCUGAUCUAGGCUUGGUGGUUUGCACCGAAGUGGUUUUUGAUAAAUAAUUGUACAGGACUUUGUCAUCAAAAUCUUUUUUUUUGUUUUCCAAAAGUAAUGAGGUACAAAAAUAUUUAUGCCUAUCCUGGAUGAGUGCCAUAACAGCUUCUUAAUAUUUUGCAGUGGCUUUUGUACGGUUGUUUCCUUCUGAAGCUAGAGUAGCUAUGGAAAUAGCUGGUGCAGAUACCGCCACUCGCCUUUCAGCAUUAGGUCAGAAAGGACUAAGGGGGAACUUAAAGGAGAUUGAUUCGAAUGAAACGCCCUCUAUGCAAGCCAAGAGACGCCAAUUGAGACUGCUAACUCUGUUUAAAACAUGUAUUUAUAUUUUAUUAACUUUUGCACCCUUCUAUUUACUGAUUAUCUUUAUAAUUAACUAAUACAUGUAUCCAGGUUUCUCCUUCCAAUUGGAAUUUCUUUAUAGUGCUCUCUUAGGUGUAAUCAGAUGUAUCAAAAGAGAAAGGGUAAUUGUUAGUACAUUGAUAUCUCAACAAAAUGGUAGAACCUUUCUUUAUACCACUAAGACAUUUGUCGCAGGUAUGCCUACAUAAUCAGUGUCCUUCAAAACUUUCAAGGAGUUAGCAAUGCCUAACCCCUGAAACACUAAAUGUCAUGGGAUCAACUCUUUACCUCUAGACCGAAGGUGUGACACCCAGACCCAAUUAGGGCUUAGAAAACAUAUCGAAUCUGAGUGAAACUAAAUGCCUGUAAAUCCAAAUCUCCAAAAUAUGAAAAAGUCAUCUAAUUUCUCUUUUCAUGUAUUUCACAAAAAUUUGAAAAAUUCAUUCUCAAUCAUAAACUAUGCACAGCUAAUUAUUCAGCAUCAGUAUAGAGCAAUACUUCCUCAUAAGCAAAUAAAUCUUACAAUCCUUCUUACAUGAUUUAAAAAAAAAUACUAAUAGAAGUCUUCUAGAUACAAACAUAAACAGAAUUCAACUGUUUAAAACUAUGCCAAAACACAAGCUUCAAUCAGUGAUACAUACGACUAAUUAUUAAAAACAUCUAGGCAGAAACCUUACGAAAGCUCAAUCCUUCCGAAGCAUUCUUCAAACUAAUAAUUGCAACCAUCUGUGAAAAAUAGUUGACAAGGAGUCAGCUGUGAAUUCAAUCAGUAGAAACAUUCGUAAUGAACAAAAAGAAUUCUUUGUGCAAUAUUUUCAGAAAAUUCAUUUAACCUUUCAAAUGAAACAGAGUAAUUUUUCUAACGCAGUCAGGAUUUAUAUAAAACACAAACGUUUCAGACAGAAGCUGUGUGGAAUGUAAAUUUUGCUUCUUUAAACAGAAAGUUAUAUAUUAGUUUGAUUUUAAAGGGAGGUUAUUGGGAAGUUAAAAUUGGCAGUUGUGGGAAAAGGGUAAUAGCAGUUAUAAAUCUGUUUUAAAGCAAAUUCAAAUCAAGUUUCAAAUUUUAGGAGUACUUAAUUCAAUAAAACAAGGAAUAAAUAAAGCUUUCAUUGAAACAAAACUAAGUAAAUUCAUUUAAAGCAAAACAGGAUGUGAGCAUUACAUAAGGGUUCUUGGCCAUACCAUGUUUACCUGCAGUCAGAUAUCUGGGUCCUUGUUAUUUGGAGACAAGACCUGAUUGUGCUAUGUUUUCCGCAGCUAGACACCUGUGGAUAAGAGAACCCUAAGCCUAUUGAGAAUAAAUUCUGUAAUCCAAGACUCUUCAGUUCUUUCAUUUGUGGCUAAUUAGUUAUAAAAUUUGUGAAUUACAUGCCCCAAUGCCCCUUGCAAAAUGUAGUUUAUAUCCUUAAGAUGCCCGUGGAUGAACUGAAAUAAUAAAAUAUAGAAGACAGACUUAAUGCCGAUAGCAUUUCUUAAGAAAAACUUGGGAUGUUUAUAAUUUUCUUAGAGCAUUUGCUGAACUUUCUGUGAUUGCAGUCGAGACGGGUCAAUGCUACUUCCCUCAUUGCUCAGAAGUGGCUGAGUUAAUGUUUCGCACCUUCUAUGAUUGCUCAGAAGUGGUCGAUGAGUUUUUGGAUUGUAAUUGGUCCGAUGCUUCCCUCCUAGAAAAGGGUACUCCUGAAGAGCAUAAACUCAGAAGGGCAUACUUCAUGAAACUUAAAGUAGACAUGCAGGAGGCACUCCGCAAGGACGUGGCUUAUCACCGUUGUUUGGGGCUGCCAUCAUCCUGGCCGGCAUUUAACCAGUACAUGGCUGGGAGCAAUCCGUCGGCAUUCUGCAAGUACGUGGCUGCGAGAAAUCAGUCGGAAUUCUUCAAGUACGUGGCUGCGAGCAAUCGUUCAGGAAUGUCGACAUCCUCGGCAGCGGAAAACUAAAGGAGUUGAGUGAGCUUAAAUGGUGUUUGUAGUUUCUUUUUUUUUUUCCUCAAGUGAUGUGGCAUGUAUCAAUUAGUUGGUAAAGUUAUUGUAUUGUCUCAAGUCCGGUGAGAUGCGCGAACGUGUAGCAUGGAUCACAAACUCAUUUCAUAGAAUAUUUUUGUGUAUAAUUAUAUAAUUUACAAUUGGUAUGAGGCAUGCAUGUGUGUGUCAUAUCAGUUGCUGAACAAACUUUGGCUUUUAGUUUUGUAGGCACUACCAUCUCAAAUUCUCUGUUAUCAUGAAUGUGUAUUUUUUUUCUUUUUUCUUUUUUCUUUUUUAACAAAUCAUAAAUGAGAUUAAGAUAAUCUUUUUUAAAAAAAAGGAAAAAAUGGAGAUUUCUUUUAUUUUUCCUUAAAAAACUGAAGAAAAAUUUAGAUGGUAGUGAGAGACGGAGAAUUAAAGCAAUUUUAUUCACAAAUGUAAUGUGUUUGGUGCAGCAAUACAAACUAAUAAAUUAUAAUUUAUCAGACUAGUUUACAGAAUCUUAUAUAUAAAAUUAUAUCCUCUGAAUAAAAAUCUUCUCACCUCUUUUUGACUUCUCAUUUAGAUGCCCUCUCUAGAAUUUCUCCAGCCAUAAACACAUUUUUACAAAACAAAACAGAAGAAAUUAUAUAUAAUUCUCACAAGGACUAUUUCAUUUGCACAUAGUACGAAAUUGGUCACUAAAGUUACUUGAGGAGAAAAUUUACAUGAAAUGGGUACAUCAUAUUAUCAGUAUUUUAGUUUAAAUUUGAACAUACUAGAAUGGUCUCUCAUAAAUUUUUCUCCAAUUUGAGAGAUGGUGGGGGAGUGGGGUUAAAGUGCAUCUACAUAGGAUUAAUUAUAAUUAAAUUUAUUUUUUAAAACUAUUUUAACUAGAAGCAGUAGUAAUUCUUUUUAUUAUUGUUAUUUAAAUUAUAUCAAAAUCUCGUGACUCGUGAUCAAAUUAAGUAGUUCAUUAAACUUUUUUAGGUGACGUAUGGUAUGGAGUUUUUAUAAAUCUAUAAAUAUAGUAAAAUAUUUAAUUUUGCUUGUCGUAAACUUUUAAUUUGCAUGGGUUAAAAAAGAAAAAAAGAAAUUGACUUAUUAAUUAAUUAAGAAUUAUAGAAAGAAUAAAGAGCAAAUUAUAGUUGCGUGAGAAAACUCUCGUGAAAAGGGCUCCAGAUUUCCUUUCCCUGGCUUCGUGCGUUUCCUUUUGCCCUUUUCGAGCACGAAUUCGAAUCCAGUACUUUAUAAUAAAGAUAUAACAUUAAAAAAUAAGAAAAAGAAUCCCAAUUUUUACUGGUAUAUAACGCAGAGCCAAAGCGAUAGCGAAACAUCAAAUUGUUUUUAUUUCAACCUUCGCGCAACUUCCGGUGACAUAAUUUUUCUCUGUUUCAGGUACAUACCCAACACUAAACUUUGCAUGUAUCAUUCUUGUACUUUUGUUAUUCUUUUCUUUUCUUUUCUCUUUCGCUGUAAUUUUUUAUGAAGCACUCUGUUUCAGUUCUGUUUCUGGUUUUGUUUCGGUUUAAUAUUAUUGGUUCGGUUCUGUUCUGCUCUGUUCUACGUCGUAUGUAUAUAUGUAUAUAUUUUUGGCCUCGAAUUGCUUUCAUCACCGGUUUUGUUAUUCAUUUAUCGUGAAUUUUAGAUGACUUGUUCGGCCAUGUUAUAUUCAGCUACCAUCUUCAUGGUGGGUUUGUAAGAUAGUCUCUGACUAACACAUGGCAUUGAUUAUGAAUGUGGUUUUGUGAGAUACAUCAUACAGACGUUAACUCGUGUUAAUUUGUACUUACAUCAUUCAAAAGAUUAGUGUUUUUCUCUCUUUUUUUUUUAAAAAAAAAAAAUUGAAAUGCCCCUUUUCGCAUUUUAUAGAUGAAAGGAAGAAACAUAAUAUCGCAGAACUAGAAUAAAGGAGCCUAUUCUGGUACCUAUUGCCCGAGGAACCUUCUGUAUAUUCGGUAGGAACUACCAUGGGAAGUCAAAUCUUACCAGAGCCAAGCGGAGUCGUUGUUGAAGGAAUGUAUAUUAGCAGAUCCAUUUGUCCCGUACACUUCAAUUGUUGGUAGCAUUUUUGCUUGCACGAUGGUAUGUUUGUCAUCGUUACUGCGUGGUGGUAUUUACUAGAAAAUAUUUUGAAUGCAUAGUUUUUAUUUAAUUAGUUAUAAAUUUUAUACCCUCUGUUUUCCAUAAGAAUGUGUUCCUUUUCAGGUCUAUGAUAUUGCCCAAUUGAUUAGUGUGCUGUUCACUUUAAAUCUGAUUCCAGUUUCUCCAACAUACAGCGGGUCGAGUGGAUUUUAAUCAUUUUUCUUAAAUCGACAACUUAUGCAGGGCCAUAUCAACUGUCCAUGACAUUUUUAUUACAACGAUGUCUUUGUACUUUGUGUUUUGGUCGGAUCUCAGAGUUUGUGCAUAGCACACUUGGUUCUACUGUUUGUUUGUCCCUUCAUAGACAUUUUGAUAAACUGUUAUUUUUGUUCUUUGGAAGUGAAUAUUUUCAGCAACUAGAACUCCGAAGCAUCUGGAGUGAUCCAUUUUGUCAUUCUCAAUACCUAUAAAAGAAUGUCAUAGAAAACAGUUUCCAAAGCAAGUUGCAUGUGUUUUGAAUUUGUCUUUGCAAGCCACUAAUUGCUUGGAGCGCACUGUUAGCCUGUCGUGAUCCCAUCCACUUUUUUGGAUAGACAAUUGUGCAUCCAUAUGAUCUGGACUAAACUAGUUUCUAAUAAAUAAUUGCCCAAGGAUUUAGUCUCAGUGUUACAGCCCAGUCUUUGUUGUCAAUACUCUUUCCCCUGUCGUGGAUGAGCGCCAUAACGGCUUUUUAAUGUUUUGCAGUGGCUUUUGCACGGUUGUUGUUUCCUUCUGAAGCUAGAGUAGCUACGGAUAGAGCGGAUGCAGAUGCCACCAAUUUUUAUACUGGCCUUUCAGCAUCAAAAUCAAAAGGAUCAAGUGGGAACAUAAAGGAGGUUGAUUUGAAUGAAACACCCUCUAUGCAAGCCAAGAGACUCCAAUUAAGACUGCAUGCUUUGCUUAAAACAGGUAUUUAUAUACCUUAUUAGUUUUUGUAUGUUUAUAAUUACUGAUUUUUGCAUCAAAAGAGAGAGGUUAAUUUUUAGUGCAUUUACUGAACUUUCUAUGAUUGCAGUGGAGACAGGUCGACGCUGCUUCCCUCGUUGCUCAGAAAUGGUUGAUAAAUUUUAGGAUUGUGAUUGGUCCGAUGCUUCCCUCCUAGAAAAAGGGUACUCCUGAAGAGCAGAGACUCAAAAGGGCACGCUUCAUGGAAUUUAAAGAAGGCGUGAAGAAGGCAUUUUACAAGGACAUGGCUGAGAAAAAAUGGCUCAGGUUUGUAGUCAUCCUCGUCAUCGUCAUCGUCAUCUUCUCCGAAGGAAGGAGUAAAGUGUAAGGGGUAGGAAAAGGUGAUGCUUAGCUGCUUGUCUUUGUUAUUCAUUUAUAGGCAACUAAAAGAGUUUUAGUGAGUUGGAUUGUUACUUGUAGAGAGAUACUCUUCGAGCCUAUGUUAUGGCUUAUGUUGUAUAAUAGCAGAGGAACUUCAAGCUUGCGUUGUUGUAUUUUCCCUGGUAUUUGGCAUGUAAUGCACUAAAUGACAAAGAAUUUUCUAAUUUUAGAGGGGAAAGUUAUGUCGGUUAAUUAUUUAUUUAUUUUGUCUGUUUAAUUCAGUUUACAUAGCUUUUUUUUUUUUUCUUUCCAAAAAAAUCUUCAUUUCUUCAUCUGCAAUUUAAGUCAUUUGUAACUUCUUUCAGGGAGGAGAGAGAGAAAAAAAGAAAAAGAAAAAGAAAAAGAAAAGAGUUUAUUUUACAGUACUGAUUUUGCUACAGAAAUUGGUUAAGGUGACAUUAAUGUUCUCAGUAACAGAUGGAUAUGCAGAAUUUUCGUCGAAAUUGAAAUUAGAAAUGGAUGGAUAUGAAUGACAUAUAUUCAGAAUUUUUUAGUAGAAUGUUUAAACAAAAAUUUUUAGCUCAUUACUCUCUAGAAGGAAAAUAAAUUUUUUAUUGUAAAUAUUAAAUAUUAAAUUUAUAAUAUAAUAAAUGUGUGACUUAAGGUGCACAAUACCUAUAUAAUAAUAAUAAUUAAGACAAGAAAAAUCAAAUUUUGUAAAUUACCAAAUUUCCCUUGGAAUUUGAUAUUACGUAGGUGUUGCAUCCACUGGGUUAGUACAACUGAAAGAAACUAACUAAAGUAAAUCAAAAUAUCAGAAAAAUAUGGCGAGCUUCUCAUUUUUUUUAAGUGAAAAAAAAGAAAACUGAAAUUAAUUAUUUUUAUACCCAAAUUCUCAUGCUCGAGGGCCGCUGGAAUUGGCCAUUGUAAUUUUGUCAUCCUCGUUAUUCACUGGCCAUCGCAGCCUUCCUCCCUUAAAAUGAGAGUCGUUUUUUGGACCACGACAUAAUAAAAAUAGUAUUGAUUAAUACUAAUAAAUUUCUUUUUGAUUAUUUUGCAGUGUGAUAGUCUAGUGCGUGCCAGUGCCCAUCAUAUCACUUGAACAUGUGGUAAAAUUCUGCGAGUCUUUGUAAAAUAAUUUUUAAAUUGUGUAUUAACGAAAUAGCUCAAUGAAGGCUAUCGCUCAUUAUUUUAUUUUGUAUAUAUUUAUGAUAAUUGUUGAAAAGAAAAUUGUAAAGUGAGAUUAAUGAACAUUUAUGAAUGUGGAAAUUAUCACAACCAGAAUUUAUGAUGAAAUAAUUUUCAGUCAAACGAGUGUAAGUUUGUAUAUAUAUAUAUAUUUUGAAUUGUCAUAUAUAUAUAUAAGUUUGUCACUAACAGUAAAUUAAAUUAUGAAUAUUUUAAUAAUUCAAAAUCUCAUUUAACCAUCAGUGUUUAUAGGGUGCGUUUGACACAUUGUAUUGUAUUAUAUUAUUUUAAUGCAUGUGUAUUGUAUUAUAUUGUAUUAUAUUUACACUGUAUUAUAAUAAUACUAUACAAUGUUUGGUACUACAUUGUAUUAAUUUUUAAUAAAUAUAUAAUAUUACACUGUAUUAUAUUAAUUUUUUAAUAAGUACUUUAAAUUAUAUAUUUAGAAAAUGACAUUUAUUAGUAGUUAAAAAAAUGCUAAAUAUAAAAUUCUUAAAUUUUAGAAAUUUAAUAUUAUCUUUUUGGUAUAAACGUUGAAAAAAAAAUCAUAAUUCCUCGUAAAGAUCGAAAUAAAUAAUUCAAUCAAAUAACCUUCAAAUAAUAUUAUAACAUAAAUAAAUAAUUAAAAUGUACAAGAUUAAGUUAAAAAUCAUUUUAAGAUAAUAAAAUAAAAAUUUAUGCAUAGUAUAAAAUAAUAUAGUUGCUGUAGUAUAAUAACCAACAAAAUAGACUGUACUAAAUAAUUCAAGUAAUAUAACAAUAUUUACAAGUACCGUUUUUGAAGGCCCCUUUUUUGUUUUAUUCUUAGAACUUCAUAGUUCUUUUGUUUUUUCUUUUUCUUUUUCUUUGCCCCUUUUUUGUUGUCUUCAUAGUUCUUUUGGCUUCAUAAGUUUCUUUUAACUGAGUUAAUAGUGUUGUUAGGUCAAACUAAGUUUGGCUUCAUAAGAUUCAUAGUAGAGUGUAGAACUGGGUAUAAUUUUGGGUUAGACAAGUCAAACGUCUUAUCAAGUAAUUGAUCUGCUUACUGAUUUGGUAAUUGCAACAUUGCUAAAUAGUUCAAUUUGUCCUUUUUAUUUUGUUGAAUUUAUUGUAUGUCAUAUUACUUGAUUUAAUUAUUUUCUCAGAUCUUCAAGGUGAAAAUUUCAGCUUCAAAGAACAAAGCUAAUCAUCCAGCAAUUCAAUGAAGAAACCAAGACACAGUGGCUCAUAAAUUGUAGUUGGUGAUUGAUCCAGCCAUUCGGGUGCUCGCCAGUCCUAGAUGAGAAAAUUUUCAACGCGGCGAAUAAAUUGCUGUUGAUCUGCUUUAUAUAUUUUGACGUUUGUGAUUUGUGAAUACAUGGUCUGAUUCCAGUGUUUACAACUUUGAAAUUCAAUUAAAAGUUGAGCUGUGAAAGAGUGUGUUGUAUAACUUGAGAAGCAAAUGAAACAAACAGGAAAUGUGUUUUUUAUUUUUUUAAUCUAUCUAUGUAACAAUUUAUAGCUGGCAAAGUAAUAGAGUUGUAUACUUGUAUUUAAUUAUUUAUUAUUAUUAUUUUGUAUCCAUGGUGUUUUGUCAUUUCGAAAGUACUUGACCCUUUCAAGCUAAGGCACACUCCAGCAGCCGAAACUUUGAGCUUUCAGUUCUUGAUUUUAGCGUGAGGGGUAUCUUUGUCUUUUCAGUAGUCAACACACGGUCAACAAAACAGUGUACAAACAAUCGACCUGUGAACUUGGGUCAAAGCUUUCAUCUUUAAAUCACAUAGGUAGAUCAUGAUUCAAGCUUCGGUUAUAAGCCUUUCAUUGUGAUUGAUAGUAUUCUUUCUUUGAUAUAUAUAUAUAUAUAGAUUCAGUUUGAAUAUGGUUCUUGAUGGUAUCAUGGAAAAUGCGAACGAAAAGUCAGCAUCUUUGAGUUUUGACUCAUCUUAUCAAACUUGUUGGUCCACUAAUCAAUCAACAGGCACUUGUGAUCUUGAUUAUUUCAACUUCAGGAUGCAAAGCAGCAAUCCCAAAGAGACAUGGCAUGACGCUGAGAUUGUUGUUGAGGGCAAAUCAGUGGCGGUUAAUCGCAGCAUAUUGUCUGAGCGCAGUCAAUAUUUUCGUCGGCUUUUUAAUUUGAGAAAUGAUGGUUCUGUCAGUGAGGAGAAACCCAAGUAUCUUAUGACUGAUUUGGUGCCUCAUGGGAAGGUUGGAUAUGAAGCUUUCAAUGAUAUCCUGCUUUAUAUUUACACUGGGAAGACAAAGGCAUCUCCUCCAGAAGCGUCCACGUGUGUUGAUGACGCUUGUACUCAUGGUGCUUGCCCUCCUGCUAUUAAUUAUGUUAUUGAGUUGAUGUAUGCUUCUGCUGCUUUUCAGAUGACACAUCUCGUUUCGGUUUAUGAGGUAGUUGCGCUUCCCCGCUAUUUGCAUUGCUUAAAUUUAUGCUUGUUGGUAUAGUUUUAACAUAUAUGGAAUUGAAAUCAAUUUCGGUUGUGAAGCAACUUCGGUGGUUCCCAAUAUUAGGCAUUGUAGUAGAUCCAAAAUUAGCUUGUUGAGAAGUGUAGAUACUGUAGAGCCCAAAACUUCGUCUUAUCUUGCAAGAGUCUGUUGUUUUAUUUUGAAAGAGACAAAAGUGAUGAUGAUGGGCAGCGAACUCUAGGAAUCAAUGCUUGCUGACACUGACCCCCAAGAAUCAAUGAGUCUGAAUUUGAUAAGUGCACCUAUCCUAUCACAAAAGCUUUUGCGUUGAGUUUCUAACCAAUUUUCAUUUGUGUAGGUGUCAGUUCAUGCUCUGGCUUGACUGUUCUGUUAUUUAGGUUGUUUUAUCCGUAUUUUCUUCACUCACUUGAUGGUUAGUUCUCUCAUGCUUUCAAGCUCUCAACAGUGAAUGCGGGAGAUUCUAUUUUUCCCGUCCAGUCUAUAACCUAGCAAAUCAUUAAUGCUGUAGAAUAACAUCUUGUGUAGCCGAGUUUAUGUCUCUGAACAUUGGUCCAUCGGCAUUUAGGAUCAAUAAGCAUGGCACUGAUUUUCCCCCUCAUUAUUAUUUUCCUCCACAGAUUAUCCCCUUUGAGUAUUUGAAUUUUGAAUAUAUUAUUCUGAAUCAAAACUCUAUCUGUCCGUGUAGCAUUUUUUAUAUGCUUUACGAUGUUUACCAAUAAUUACCCACUAUGGGGUAUUUGAAUUUUGAAUAUAUUAUUCUGAAUCAAAACUCUAUCUGUCCGUGCAGCAUUGGCUUCUGAACUUGGCUGAGGAUGCGCGUGUGGAAGAUGUAAUCCCAAUUCUCGUGGCUGCCUUCCAUUGCCAACAGAACAUGCUCUGUUCUUACUGCAUCCAGAGAAUUGCAGGAUCAAAUCUUGACAAUGUUUGUCUCGAGAAAGAGCUUCCUGAUGAAGUUUCAAGAGAAAUCAAAUCACUCCGUGUCAAAUCUAACCAGGAGUCUGAAGCUAAUAUAGCAGAAGUGGAUCCUAUGCAUGCAAAAAUAGUCAGAAGAAUCCAUAAGGCGCUGGACUCUGAUGACUUUGAACUGUUGAAGCUUCUUCUGGAUGUAUCUAAUGUCACUCUGGAUGAUGCUUAUGCUCUGCACUAUGCUGCUGCCUACUGCAACCCUAAGGUUUUUAAGGAAGUGCUCAAUAUGGACUUGGCUGGUCUCAAUCUUAAGAAUGCAAGAGGUCGUACGGUGCUUCAUGUGGCUGCAAGGCGUAAUGAGCCAGAAGUGAUGGUGACUCUGCUGAGCAAGGGAGCAUGCGCAUCAGAAACUACAUCAGAUGGGCAAACAGCUGUAGCAAUCUGUCGGAGAAUGACAAGGCGAAAGGAUUAUAUUGAAGCUUCAAAGCAGGGGCAGGAAACUAACAAAGACCGGUUAUGCAUUGACGUCCUUGAGAGAGAGAUGAGAAGGAACUCCAUGUCUGAGAACUUGGCAAUGUCAUCAGAGGUGAUGUAUGAUCAUUUCCAAGCGGAGCUGGACUAUCUAGAAAAUACAGGUGAUAUUUCUUUACUGGUAUUAGUUCAUCACCUUCUCAGAGUUUGUGCAUAGCACACUUCUUUCUACUGUUUGUUUGUCCCUUCAUAUGGAAAAUAGAGGUGAUAUUCCUUUACUGGUAUUAGUAAAUCAUCUUCUCAAGAGUUUGUGAGUCCCUUCAUUUUAGCAUCUCAAACACACAUGGGCUCAUUGCUUGGGGCACACUGUUGGGCAGUCAUGUGAUUUGAUCCCCUUUUUUGGAAUAGAGAAUUAUGAAUCCAUCUGAUCUAGGCUUGGUGGUUUGCACCGAAGUGGUUUUUGAUAAAUAAUUGUACAAGACUUUGUCAUCAAAAACUUUUUUUUUUUGUUUUCCAAAAGUAAUGAGGUACAAAAAUAUUUAUGCCUAUCCUGGAUGAGUGCCAUAACAGCUUCUUAAUAUUUUGCAGUGGCUUUUGUACGGUUGUUUCCUUCUGAAGCUAGAGUAGCUAUGGAAAUAGCUGGUGCAGAUACCGCCACUGGCCUUUCAGCAUUAGGUCAGAAAGGACUAAGUGGGAACUUAAAGGAGAUUGAUUUGAAUGAAACGCCCUCUAUGCAAGCCAAGAGACGCCAAUUGAGACUGCUUACUCUGCUUAAAACAGGUAUUUAUAUACUUUAUUAACUUUUGCACCUUUCUAUUUACUGAUUAUCUUUAUAAUUAACUAAUACAUGUAUCCAGGUUUCUCCUUCCAUUUCAUUAGAAGUAAAUUGGAAUCUCUUUAUAGUGCUCUGUUAGGUGUAAUCAGAUGUAUCAAAAGAGAAAGAGUAAUUGUUAGUACAUUGAUAUCUCAACAAAAUGGUGGAACCUUUCUUUAUACCACUAAAGACAUUUGUUGCAGGAUGCCUACAGAAUCAGUGUGCUUUAAAACUUUCAAGGAGUUCGCAAUGCCUAACCCUUGAAACACUAAAUCUCACGGGAUCAACUCUUUACCUCUAGACCGAAGGUGUGACACCCAGACCCAAUUAGUGCUUAGAACACAUAUCGAAUCUGAGUGAAACUAAAUGCCUGUAAAUCCAAAUCUCCAAAAUAUCAAAAAGUCAUCUACUUUCUCUUUUCAUGUAUUUCACAAAAUUUUGAAAAAUUCAUUCUCAAUCAUAAACUAUGCACAGCUAAAUAUUCAGCAUAUCAGUAUAGAGCAAUACUUCCUCAUAAGCAAAUAAAUCUUACAAUCCUUCUUACAUGAUUUUAAAAAAAUACUAAUAGAAGUCUUCUAGAUACAAACAUAAACAGAAUUCAACUGUUUAAAACUAUGCCAAAACACAAGCUUCAAUCAGUAAUACAUACGACUAAUUAUUAAAAACAUCUAGGCAGAAACCUUACGAAAGCUCAAUCCUUCCGAAGCAUUCUUCAAAUUAAUAAUUGCUACCAUCUGUGAAAAAUAAUUGACAAGGAGUCAGCUGUGAAUUCAAUCAAUAGAAAUAUUCGUAACGAACAAAAAUAAUUCUUUGCGCAAUAUUUUCAGAAAAUUCAUUUAACCUUUCAAAUGAAACAGAGUAAUUUUUGUAACGCAGUCAGGAUUUAUAUAAAACACAAACGUUUCAAACAGAAGCUGUGCGGAAUGUAAAUUUUGCUUCUUUAAACAGAAAGUUAUAUAUUAGUUUGAUUUUAAAGGGAGGUUAUUGGGAAGUUAAAAUUGGCAGUUGUGGGAAAAGGGUAAUAGCAGUUAUAAAAUCUGUUUUAAAGCAAAUUCAAAUCAAGUUUCAAAUUUUAGGAGUACUUAAUUCAAUAAAAUAAGGAAUAAAUAAAGCUUUCAUUGAAACAAAACUAAGUAAAUUCAUUUAAAGCAAAAAAGGAUGGGAGCAUUACUAUGGGUUCUUAUGUUUACCCGCAGUCAGGCAUCUGGGACCUUGUUAUUUGGAGACAAGACUUGAUUGUGCUAUGUUUUCCACAGCCAGAUAUAUUUUACUUCAUUAGUUCCUAGACAUCUGUGGAUAAGAGAACCCUAAGCAUAUUGAGAAUAAAUUCCGUAAUCCAAGACUCUUCAGUUCUUUCAUUUGUGGCUAAUUAGUUAUAAAAUUUGUGAAUUUCAUGCCCCAUGCUCCUUGCAAAAUGUAUUUUAUAUCCUUAAGAUGCCAGUGGAUGAACUGAAAUAAUAAAAAAUGGAAGACAGAUUUAAUGCCGACAACAUUUCUUAAGAAAAACUUGGGAUGUUUAUAAUUUUCUUAGAGCAUUUGCUGAACUUUCUGUGAUCGCAGUCGAGACGGGUCAACGCUACUUCCCUCAUUGCUCAGAAGUGGUUGAUCACUUUAUGGAUUGGCCCUAUGCUUCCACCCCAAAAAUGGACGACGAGAAACUUAAAGUAGACGUGCAGGAGGCAUUCUGCAAGGACGUGGCUUAUCACCGUCGUAGAGGGCUGCCAUCAUCCUGGCCGGCAUUUUACCAGUACAUGGCUGAGAGCAAUCAGUCGGCAUUUUACAAGUACGUGGCUGAGAGCAAUCGUUCAGGAAUGGCGACAUCCUCGGCAGCGAGCAAUUAAGCAUCACCUUUCCCUAAAAGAUAUAUUUGACACCUGGAAAACUAAAGGAGUUGAGUGAGCUCUGCUCGAUUGGUAUUUGUAGUUUCUUUUUUUUUUCCUCAAGUGAUCUGGCAUGUAUCAAUUAGUUUGUAAAGUUAAUUGUAUUGUCUCAAGUCCGGUGAGAUGCGCGAACGUAUAGCAUGGAUCACAAACUCAUUUCAUAGAAUAUUUUUUUGUAUAAUUAUAUAAUUUAUAGGCUUUGCUUAAAAAAAUUAAAAAAAAAAAAAAAGAAUUGUAUUACAAUUGGUAUGAGGCAUGCAUGUGUGUGUCAUAUCAGUUACUGAACAAACUUUGCCUUUUAGUUUUGUAGGCACUACUAUCUCAAAUUCUCUGUUAUCAUGAAUGUGUAUUUUUUUUCUUUUUUCUUUUUUAACAAAUCAUAAAUGAGAUUAAGAUAAUCUUUUUUUUUAAAAGAAAAAAAUGGAAAUUUCUUUUAUUUUUCCUUAAAAAACUGAAGAAAAAUUUAGAAGGUAGUGAGAGACGGAGAAUUAAAGAAAUUUUAUUCACAAAUGUAAUGUGUUUGGUGCAGCAAUACAAACUAAUAAAUUAUAAUUUAUGAGACUAGUUUGCAAAAUCUUAUAUAUAAAAUUAUAUCCUCUGAAUAAAAAUCUUCUCACCUCUUUUGACUUCUCAUUUAGAUGUCCUCUCUAGAAUCUCUCUGGCCAUAAACACAUUUUUACAAAACAAAACAGAAGAAAUUAUAUAUAAUUCUCACAAGGACUAUUUCAUUUGCACAUAGUACGCAAUUGGUCACUAAAGUUAUUUGAGGAGAAAAUUUACAUGAGAUGGGUACAUCCUAUUAUCAGUAUUGUAAUUUAAAUUUGAACAUACUCGAAUGGUCUCUCAUAAAUUUUUCUCCAAUUUGAGAGAUGGUGGGGAAGUGGGGUUAAAGUGCAUCUGCAUAGAAUUAAUUAUAAUUAUAUUUAUUUUUUUAAACUAUUUUAACUAGAAGUAGUAGUAAUUCUUUUUAUUAUUGUUAUUCCAAUUAUAUCAAAAUCUCGUGACUCGUGAUCAAAUUAAGUAGUUCAUUAAAUUUUUUUAGGUGACGUACGGUAUGGAGUUUUUAUAAAUUUAUAUAAAUAGUAAAAUAUUUAAUUUUGUUUGUCGUAAACUUUUAAUUUGCAUGGGUUAAAAACGAAAAAAAGAAAUUGACUUAUUAAUUAAUUAACAAUUAUAGAAAGAAUAAAAAGCAAAUUAGAGUUGCGUGAGAAAACUCUCGUGAAAAGGGUUCCAGAUUUCCUUUCCCUGGCUUCGUGCGUUUCCUGUUUGCCCUUUCGAGCACAAUUCGAAUCCAAUACUUAAUAAUAAAGAUAUAAUAUUAAAAAAUAAGAAAAAGAAUCCAAAUUUUUACUGGUAUAUAAGGCAGAGCCAAAGCGAUAGCGAAACAUCAAAUUGUUUUUAUUUCAACCUUCGCGCAACUUCCGGUGACAUAAUUUUUCUCUGUUUCAGGUACAUACCCAACACUAAACUUUGCAUGUAUCAUUCUUGUACUUUUGUUAUUCUUUUCUUUUCUUUUCUCUUUUGCUGUAAUUUUUUAUGAAGCACUCUGUUUCAGUUCUGUUUCUGGUUUUGUUUCGGUUUAAUAUUAUUGGUUCGGUUCUGUUCUGCUCUGUUCUACGUCGUAUGUAUAUAUGUAUAUAUUUUUGGCCUCGAAUUGCUUUCAUCACCGGUUUUGUUAUUCAUUUAUCGUGAAAUUUAGAUGACUUGUUCGGCCAUGUUAUAUUCAGCUACCAUCUUCAUGGUGGGUUUGUAAGAUAGUCUCUGACUAACACAUGGCAUUGAUUAUGAAUGAUGGUUUUGUGAGAUACAUCAUACAGACGUUAACUCGUGUUAAUUUGUACUUACAUCAUUCAAAAGAUUAGUGUUUUUCUCUCUUUUUGUUUUUAAAAAAAAAUUGAAAUGCCCCUUUUCACAUUUUAUAGAUGAAAGGAAGAAACAUAAUAUCGCAGAACUAGAAUAAAGGAGCCUAUUCUGGUAUCUAUUAUCCGAGGAACCUUCUGUAUAUUCGGUAGGAACUACCAUGGGAAGUCAAAUCUUACCAGAGCCAGGCGGAGUCGUUGCUGAAGGAAUAUAUAUUAGCAGAUCCAUUUGUCCCGUACACUUCAAAUGUUGGUAGCAUUUUUGCUUGCACGAUGGUAUGUUUGUCAUCGUUACUGCGUGGUGGUAUAUACUAGAAAAUAUUUUGAAUGCAUAGUUUUUAUUUAAUUAGUUAUAAAUUUUAUACCCUCUGUUUUCCAUAAGAAUGUGUUCCUUUUCAGGUCUAUGAUCUUGCCCAAUUGAUUAGUGUGCUGUUCACUUUAAAUCUGAUUCCAGUUUCUCCAACAUACAGCGGGUCGAGUGGAGUUUAAUCAUUUUUCUUAAAUCGACAACUUAUGCAGGGCCAUAUCAACUGUCCAUGACAUUUUUAUUACAACAAUGUCUUUGUACUUUGUGUUUUGGUCGGAUCUCAGAGUUUGUGCAUAGCACACUUGGUUCUACUGUUUGUUUGUCCCUUCAUAGACAUUUUGAUAAACUGUUAUUUUUGUUCUUUGGAAGUGAAUAUUUUCAGCAACUAGAACUCCGAAGCAUCUGGAGUGAUCCAUUUUGUCAUUCUCAAUACCUAUAAAAGAAUGUCAUAGAAAACAGUUUCCAAAGCAAGUUGCAUGUGUUUUGAAUUUGUCUUUGCAAGCCACUAAUUGCUUGGAGCACACUGUUAGCCUGUCGCGAUCCCAUCCACUUUUUUGGAUAGACAAUUGUGCAUCCAUAUGAUCUGGACUAAACUAGUUUCUAAUAAAUAAUUGCCCAAGGAUUUAGUCUCAGUGUUACAGCCCAGUCUUUGUUGUCAAUACUCUUUCCCCUGUCGUGGAUGAGCGCCAUAACAGCUUCUUAAUGUUUUGCAGUGGCUUUUGCACGGUUGUUGUUUCCUUCUGAAGCUAGAGUAGCUACGGAUAGAGCGGAUGCAGAUGCCACCAGUUUUUAUACUAGCCUUUCAGCACCAAAAUCAAAAGGAUCAAGUGGGAACUUAAAGGAGGUUGAUUUGAAUGAAACACCCUCUAUGCAAGCCAAGAGACUCCAAUUAGGAUUGCAAGCUCUGCUUAAAACAAGUAUUCAUAUACCUUAUUAGUUUUUGUACCUUUACAAUUUGUGAUUUUUGUAUCAAAAGAGAGAGAGGUUAAUUUUUAGUGCAUUUACUGAACUUUCUAUGAUUGCAGUGGAGACAGGUCGACGCUACUUCCCUCGUUGCUCAGAAAUGGUUGAUAAAUUUUAGGAUUGUGAUUGGUCCGAUGCUUCCCUCCUAGAAAAAGGGUACUCCUGAAGAGCAGAGACUCAAAAGGGCACGCUUCAUGGAACUUAAAGAAGGCGUAAAGAAGGCAUUUUACAAGGACAUGGCUGAGAAAAUAUGGCUCAGGUUUGUAGUCAUCCUCGUCGUCGUCAUCUUCUCCCAAGGAAGGAGUAAAGUGUAAGGGUAGGAAAAGGUGAUGCUUAGCUGCUUGUCUUUGUUAUUCAUUUAUAGGCAACUCAAAGAGUUUUAGUGAGUUGGAUUGUUACGUUGUAGAGAGAUACUCUUCGAGCCUAUGUUAUGGCUUAUGUUGUAUAAUAGCAGAGGAACUUCAAGCUUGCGUUGUUGUAUUUUCCCUGGUAUUUGGCAUGUAAUGCACUAAAUGACAAAGAAUUUUCUAAUUUUAGAGGGAAAAGUUAUGUCAGUUAAUUAUUUAUUUAUUUUGUCUGUUUAAUUCAGUUUAUAAUAUAGCUUUUUUUUUUUCUUUCCAAAAAAAUCUUCAUUUCUUCAUCUGCAAUUUAAGUCAUUUGUAACUUCUUUCAGGGAGGAGAGAGAGAAAAAAAGAAAAAGAAAAAGAAAAAGAAAAGAGUUUAUUUUACAGUACUGAUUUUCCUACAGAAAUUGGUUAAGGUGACAUUAAUGUUCUUUGAGGUAGACGGAUAUGCAGAUUUUUCGUCGAAAUUGAAAUUAGAAAUGGAUGGAUAUGCAGAAUUUUUUAAUAGAAUUUUUAUACAAAAAUUUGUAGCUCAUUACUCUCUAAAAGGAAAAAAUAAAUUUUUGAUGGUAAAUAUUAAAUUUUAAAUUUAUAAUAUAAUAACUUUGUGAGUUAAGGUGCACAAUACCCAUAUAUUAAUAAUUAAGAAAAGAAAAAAAUUAAAUUUUGUAAAUUACCAAUUUUUUCUUGAAAUUUGAUAUUCUAUAUUAACGUAGGUGUUGCAUGGACUGGGUUAGUACAAUUGAAAGAAACUAACUAAAGUAAAACAAAAUAUCAUUAAAAAUAUGGCAAGCUUCUCAUAUUUUUUAAGUGAAAAAGAGAAGAAAACUAAAAUUAAUUAUUGUUAUACCCAAAUUCUAGUGCUUGAAGGCCGCUGGAAUUGACCAUUGCAGUUUUGUCAUCCUCAUUAUUCACCGGCCAUCGUGGCCUUCCUCCAUUAAAAAAAUAAAUGACCAUUUUUUUGGACCACGACAUAUUAAAAAUAGUAUUGAUUAAUACUAAUAUAUCUCUUUUUUGAUUAUUUUGCAGUGCGAUAGUCCAGUGAGGGCAGUGCCCAUCGUAGCACUUGAACAUGUGGUAAAUUUCUGCCAGUCUUUGUAAAAUAAUUUUUAAAUUAUGUAUUAACCAGAUAGCUCAAUGAAGACUAUCGCUUACUAAAUCAUUACUUUAUUUUGUAUAUAUUUAUGGUAAUUGUUGAAAAGAAAAAUGUAAAGUGAGAUUAACGAACGUUUAUGAAUGUGGAAAUUAACACAACCAGGAUUUAUGAUGAAAUAAUUUUAUGUCAAAUGAGUAUAAAUUUGUAUAUAUAUAUAUAUAUUUUGAAUUGUCAUAUAUAUACAAGUUUGUCACUAAUAGUAAACUUAAUUAUGAAUAUUUUAAUAAUUCAAAAUUUUAUUUAACCAUCGGUGUUUAUAGUGUUUUUCAUAAUACAAAAUUGUAAACAGUCUCAUCCUGAAAAGUAUAAUGCCAAACCUUUUCAAAAAUUUAUUCUAUUAUAGUCGUCUUAGUCAGUUAUAUUUAUUUCCAAAUUGAAGAUAAAAAUAAUACUUCAUAUAUCAUACAUUACUUCAUACAUUACUUAAAGUUUUUUUUUUUCAAUCAAAUUAUGAGCAAGUGAAAGGAUGCAAUAAGUUACGACUAAAAUUGUAAAAUUUACCAAUGGCUAUAUACAAAGUCUGAUUCUCAUGAGCUUAAAAGAUGGGCUUUGAAUGAUGUAUGGUUCUCAAAACUAUACUUAUAUUAAUAUGAUUGCCCUGCUUCCUUCAUGACGGGUAAUUUUUAGUUUCUUUCCCUGAAAUUUGGCGUAUCUCCAUUUUAAUGGGAAGUAUUAGCGUAUCUCCCACUUUUCUCCCCUGCCGUUUGUAUACCGUUUCAUAUUGUUAAUGGACGAAGCUACAAGUCUUCUCUUUCAUCAAAUCGAUCCAUAACAAAUACGAGUCUGCUUCACCUAACCAAAACACACACAUACUCCAUCUCUAAAUGCUUUGAAGAUAAACAAAUCAACCGUAAUCCUGCAACUUUAGCUCAGAGAAUCGGAUAAGAAAAGAACAGGUGAUGAAUCAAGGGUAAUGGCGCCGAGUGAGUGUCGCCUGCGGUCGGCGUUAGAGGCGACUGUCACUCAAUCGCGUACAAGGUUAGUCUUUGAAAAAACUCUUUGCACGUUAGAAAUCAGUGAUUGGGCAUUAUUUUGUUGUUUAAAAAUGAAAAUGGGUUUAUUAGUUUGUCGAAGAAUCUGCUCUGUUGCCGGUGUUGUUUGUUGAUUAAAAUGAAAAUGGGUUUGUUGAUGUGUUGAAGAAGUUGCUCUACUGCUGGUGUUUUUUUAUUAAUUAAAAUGAAAAUGGGUUUGUUAAUUUAUUGAAGCAGCUGCUGGCAUUGUUAUUGUGACUUUAUUUAUCCAAUUGAUGAGCUUAUGAGCUAAUAGUAUUGUUUGAUCAAGCUUGUGUUCUUAAUAGUGGAGUUGAUAUUCUUAAAAAUGAAUUUAUGAUUAUGAGAAUAUGAAAAUUGAAUGGCAUCAUAGAGAUCUAGAUUAAUCACCAUCGUAUAUGUUUCUAAAUAAAGGAAUAAGCAGCAACUGAUUUGAAACUUAAGACUUUAGGGAUAUGUAUGUGCAACUGAAUGAAUCAUCAGUUGCUAUCUUGUAAGUCAAUACUAGCAUAUUACUUAAUGGCAAGUGAAACUAUUUUAUGUGUAUUGCUGCCUAUCAAAAUGUUUAUGUUUGAAGUUAUCUCCUUUUAGGAAAUUGAAUGCUUCUGUGAGUUCUCUGGUAAGGGCUAUACAACUAGUUCUAAUAGAUUCCUUCAUGUGCAUUAAUUAGCUUAGUAGUUUAUUGACCUAUAUCCAAUGUCUAUUCCCCUUUUCUGUAGCCGUCUAGUUUUAUGAGCAUGUGAAGUGAACUUUUGUUUUAUGUUUCAGGACUUGGGAUUAGAGUGUAUAACAUUCAAUAUCUUUUUAUCAAAGAACUGAUAUAUGUCAAUGUAGUGCGAUCUGGUCUUUAUUAGCUUCUUGAUUUGCCAGGAUGUUUGACAACCAUCUUUGACCAUGAUUGCCAACAUAUAAGCUGCUACAUAGUGUCUCAGGAAUCACAGCAAAUUAUUAUCAUAAUAUGGUGAUUUUGAAUCCAAAACUUGGUAGUGUCAAGAAAAUAGACCCCUGUUUAUUUAUCUUCAUGUUUUGUAUGCGGCUGCAAUAGACUAUUAUAAGUUACUUUUAGUUUUAUCAAGUUUUUUUUCCUUAAAUUUCAUCGAGUCUUGGAGUCUUUGUAAUAUAGAGUCUAAGUGAAGAAUACUUGGGUGAAAUCUUGUAUUCUCUCUUCCAGUAAUAUAAUCAUCCUUUGUGUUUUUAUCUUUUUAUUUUGGAAUCAGAGCAUACUUUAUUAUAGAAGGACUUAGACUCUAUAUUACAAAGACUCAGCGGUUUCUUUUAACUGAGUUAAUAGUGUUGUUAGGUUAAACUAAGUUUGGCUUCAUAAGAUUCAUAGUAGAGUGUAGAACUGGGUACAAUGUUGGGUUAGACAAGUCAAAAGUCUUAUCAAGUAAUUGUUCUGCUUACUGAUUUGGUAAUUGCAACAUUGCUAAAUAGUUCAAUUUGUCCUUUUAUUUUGUUGAAUUUAUUGUAUGUCAUAUUACUUCAUUUAAUUAUUUUCUCAGAUCUUGUAGGUGAAAAUUUCAGCUUCAAAGGCCAAGCUAAUCAUCCAGCAAUUCAGUGAAACCAAGACACAGUGGCUCAUAAAUUGUUGUUGGUGAUCCAGCCAUUCGGGUGCUUGCCAGUCCUAGACGAGAAAACUUUCAACGCGGCGCAUAAAUUGUUGUUGAUCUACUUUAUAUAUUUUGACCUUUGUGAUUUGUGAAUACAUGGUUUGAUUCCAGUGUUUACAACUUUGAUACUGUGUAUAACUUAAAAAGCAAAUGAAACAAGUAGGAAAUGUGUUUUUAUUUUUUUUAUUCGAUCUAUCUAUUUAUUUUUUGUUUGGAAAUGUAACAAUUUAUAGCUGGCAAAGUACUAGAGUUGUAUACUUGUAUUUAAUUCAUUAUUAUUAUUUUUUUAAUGACUCAGUAAUGUCAUUGUCCAUGGUGUUCUGUCAUUUCGAAAGUACUUGACCCUUCCACGCUAAGGCACAUUACAGUAGCCGAAAUUUUGAGCUUUCAGUUCUUGAUUUUAGCGUGAGGGGUAUCUUUGUCUUUUCAGUUGUCAACAAACAAUUGGGGGGGGGGGGGGGGGCGGUGGUGGAGAUACGCUGAUACUUUCUAUCAUACUGGAGAUACACCUAACCUCAGGGAAGGAAACUGAAAUUUCACCUUUACGACGGGUGGACUUGGGUCAAACUUUCAUAUUUUAAUCAAGUAGGUCGAUCACGAUUCAAGCUUCAGUCAUAAGCCUUUCGUUAUGAUUGAUAUUAUUCUUUCUUGAUAGUAUCAUGGAAAAUGCAAACGAAAAGUCAGCAUCUUUGAGUUUUGUCUCAUCAUAUCCGACUUGUUGGUCUACUAAUCAAUCGACAGGCCCUUUUGAUCUUGAUAAUUUGAACUUAAGGAGGCAAAGCAGCAAUCCUGAAGAGCCAUUGCUUGAUGCUGAGAUCGUUGUUGACGGCAAAUCAGUGGCAGUUAAUCGCAGCAUAUUGUCUGCACGCAGUCGUUUUUUUCAUUGGCUUUUUCAUUUGAGCAGUGAUGGUUCUGUGAGUGAGGGGAAACCCAAGUAUCUUAUGACUGAUUUGGUGCCUUAUAGGAAGGUUGGAUAUGAAGCUUUUAAUGAUAUCUUGCAUUAUCUUUACACUGGAAUGCGUAAGGCACCUCCUUCAGAAGUGUUCACGUGUGUUGAUGAUACUUCUGUCUGUAGGCUUCAUAGAUUUGUUCAAGCCUUCAAGGAUGUCUAGCUGUUACUUACCGCCCAACAAUGGUGCUACAUUUCUAGUGAAUGAUAUGUUAUUCUACAUCUGUAUAUUGCGACUUUGACAAACUUCGCCUUUCCUUUGUUGAUUCACUCGUCUCACUUUUUUUAAAUUGCCCGAUUAUGAAAUGGUCUAUUGGAGACUAGCAUUGGAAGGUUUCUUCUGGAAAAAAAAUUUUACUUGACCACCAAUUUUCAUUUAGGUGGGUGUCAGUUCAUUCUCUGGCUUGACUGUUCUGUUAUUUAGGUUGUUUUAUCCGUAUUUCCUCACUCACUUGAUACUGAGUUUUCUCAUGCUUUCAAGCUCAACAGUGAAUGCGAAUGCGAGAGAUUCUCUUUCUUCCCGUCCAGGCUACAACGUAGCAAAUUGUUAAUGCUGUAGAAUAACAUCUUGUGUAGGCGAGCUUAUGUCUCUGUGAACAUUGGUCCAUCGGCAUUUAGGUUCAAUAAGCAUGGCACUGAUUUUCCCCCUCAUUAUUAUUUUCCUGAACAGGUUAUCCCCUUUAAGUAUUUGAAUUUUGAAUAUAUUAUUCUGAAUCAAAACUCUAUCUGUCCGUGUAGCAUUUUAUAUAUGCUUUAUGAUGUUUACCAAUAUUUACCCACUAUGGGGUAUUUGAAUUUUGAAUAUAUUAUUCUGAAUCAAAACUCUAUCUGUCCAUGUAGGAUUUGUUUCUGAACAAGGCUGAGGAUGCUCUUGUGGAAGAUGUAAUCCCAAUUCUCGUGGCUGCCUUCCAUUGCCAAUUGAACAAGCUUCGUUUUUUCUGCAUCCAGAGAAUUGCAAGGUCAAAUCUUGACAAUGUUUGUCUUGAGAAAGAGCUUCCUGAUGAAGUUUCAAGAGAAAUCAAAUCACUCCGUGUCAAAUCUAACCAGGAGUCUGAAGCUACUAUAGCAGAAGUGGAUCCUAUGCAUGCAAAAAUAGUCAGAAGAAUCCACAAGGCGCUGGACUCUGAUGACGUUGAACUGUUGAAGCUUCUUCUGGAUGUAUCUAACGUCACUCUGGAUGAUGCUUACGCUCUGCACUAUGCUGCUGCCUACUGCAGCCCUAAGGUUUUUAAGGAAGUUCUCAAUAUGGGCUUGGCUGAUCUCAAUCUUAAGGAUGCAAGAGGACGUAUGGUGCUUCAUGUAGCUGCAAGGCAUAAGGAGCCAGCAGUGAUGGUGGCCCUGCUGAGCAAGGGAGCAUGCGCAUCAGAAACUACAUCAGAUGGGCAAACAGCUUUAGCAAUCUGUCGAAGAAUGACAAGGUGAAAGGAUUAUAUUGAAGCUACAAAGCAGGGACAGGAAACUAACAAAGACCGGUUAUGAAUUGAUGUCCUUGAGAGAGAGAUGAGAAGGAACUCCAUGUCUGGGAACUUGGCAAUGUCAGCAGAAGUGAUGGAUGAUGAUUUCCAAAGGAAGCUGGACUAUAUGGAAAAUAUAGGUGAUAUUUUUUUACUGGUAUUAGUUCAUCACCUUCUCAGAGUUUGUGCAUAGCACACUUCUUUCUACUGUUUUUUUGUCCCUUCAUCUGGAAAAUAAAGGUGAUAUUCCUUUGCUGGUAUUAGUAAAUCAUCUUCUCAGAGUUUGUGAGUCCCUUCAUCAUAGGAUCUCAAACACACAUGGGCUUCUCAGAGUUUGUGAGUCCCUUCAUCAUAGGAUCUCAAACACACAUGGGCUCAUUGCUUGGAGCACACUGUUGGCCAGUCGUGUGAUUUGAUCCCUUUUUUGGAAUAGACAACUCUGAAUCCAUCUGAUCUAAGCUUGGCGGUUUGCACUGAACUGGUUUUUGAUGAAUAAUUGCACAAGACUUUGUCAUCAAAACUUUCAUUUUUUGGUUUUUUUGCCCCAAAAGUAAUGAGGUACAAAAAAAUCUAUGCCUAUCCUGGAUGAGUGCCAUAACAGCUUCUUAAUAUUUCGCAGUGGCUUGUGUACGGUUGUUUCCUUCUGAAGCUAGAGUAGCUAUGGAAAUAGCAGGUGCAGAUACAACCACUGGCCUUUCAGCAUUUGGUCGGAAAGGACUUAGUGGGAACUUAAAGGAGGUUGAUUUGAAUGAAAUGCCCUCUAUGCAAGCCAAAAGAUGCCAAUUGAGACUGCUCACUCUGCUUAAAACAGGUAUUUAUAUACUUUAUUCACUUUUGCACCUUUCUAUUUACUGAUUAUCUUUAUAAUUAAAUAAUACAUGUAUCCAGGUUUCUCCUUCCAUUUCAUUAGAAGUAAAAUUGGAAUCUCUUUAUAGUGCUCUGUUAGGUGUAAUCAGAUGUAUCAAAAGAGAAAGGGUAAUUGUUAGUACAUUGAUAACUCAACAAAAUGGUAGAACCUUUCUUUAUACCACUAAAGACAUUUGUUGCAGGUGUGCCUACAUAAUCGGUGUCCUUUAAAACUUUCAAGGAGUUAGCAAUGCCUAACCCUUGAAACACUAAAUCUCACGGGAUCAACUCUUUACCUCUAGACCGAAGGUGUGACACCCAGACCCAAUUAGGGCUUAGAACACAUAUCGAAUCUGAGCGAAACUAAAUGCUUGUAAAUCCAAAUCUCCAAAAUAUCAAAAGGUCGUCUACUUUCUCUUUUCAUGAAUUUCACAAAAUUUUGAAAAAUUUAUUCUCAAUCAUAAACUAUGCGCAGCUAAUUAAUCAGUAUAUCAGUAUACAACAAUACUUCCUCGUAAGCAAAUAAAUCUUACAAUCCUUCUUACAUGAUUUUUUUUAAAAAAAUACUUCUAUAAGUCUUCUAAAUACAAACAUAAACUGAACUCAACUGCUAAAACUAUGCCAAAAUACAAGCUUCAAUCAGUAAUACACGUGAAUAUUUAUUAAAAACAUCUAGCUACAAACCUUAUGAAAGCUCAAUCCUUCCGAAGCAUUCUUAGAAUUAAUAAUUUCUACUAUCUGUGAAAAAUAAUUGACAGGGGUCAGCUGUUAACUCAAUCCGUAGAAACAUUCAUAACGAACAAAAAGAAUUCUUUGUGCAAUAUUUUCAGAAAAUUCAUUUAACCUUUCAAAUGAAACAGAGUAAUUUUUCAAACACAGUCAGGAUUUAUAUAAAACAUAAACGUUUCAGACAAGCUUUUUGGAACGUAAAUUUUGCUUCUUUGAACAGAAAGUUAUACAUUAGUUUGAUUUUAAAGGGAGGUUAUUGGCAAGUUAAAAUUGGCAGUUGUGGUAAAAGGGUAAUAGCAGUUAUAAAAUCUCUUUUAAAACAAAUUCAAAUCAGGUUUUAAAUUUUAGGAGUACUUAAUUCAAUAAAAUAUAGAAUAAAUAAAGCUUUCAAUGAAACAAAACUAAGUAAAUUCAUUUAAAGCAAAACAGGAUGCGAGCAUUACCUAAGGGUUCUUGACCAUACUAUGUUUACCCGCAGUCACAUAUCUGGGACCUUGUUAUUUGGAGACAAGACUUGAUUGUGCCAUGUUUUCCGCAGCCAGAUAUCUUUUACUUCAUUAUUUCCUAGACAUCUGUGGAUAACAGAACCCUAAGCCUAUUGAGAAUAAAUUCUGUAAUCCAAGACUCUUCAGUCCUUUCAUUUGUGGCUAAUUAGUUAUAAAAUUUGUGAAUUUCAUGCCCCACGCCCCUUGCAAAAUGUAUUUUAUAUCCUUAAGAUGCCGGUGGAUGAACUGAAAUAAUAAAAAAUGGAAAACAGACUUAAUGUUGAUAGCAUUUCUUAAGAAAAACUUGGGAUGUUUAUAAUUUUCUUAGAGCAUUUGCUGAACUUUCUGUGAUCGCAGUCGAGACGGGUCAACGCUACUUCCCUAAUUGCUCAGAAGUGGUUGAGAAGUUUAUGUUUUUCAACCCCGCUAAUUGCUCAGAAUUGGUUGAUGAGUUUUUGGAUUGUGAUUCGGCCGAUGCUUCCCUCCUAGAAAAGGGUACUCCUGAAGUGCAGAAACUCCAAAGGGCAUGCUUCAUGAAACUUAAAGUAGAGAUGCCGGAGGCAGUCUGCAAGGACGUGGCUUAUCACCGUCGCUCAGGGCUGCCAUCAUCCUGGUCGGCAUUUUACAAGUACAUGGCUGAGAGCAAUCGUUCAGGUAUGCCGGCAUCCUCGGCAUCGAGCAAUUAAGCAUCACCUUUCCCUAAAAGAUAUAUUUGACACCUGGGACACUAAAAGAGUUUAGUGAGCUCGAUUGGUACUUGUGGAGAUACCCAGAGCCUAUGUUACGGCUAUGUAUUGUCAAGUAGCAGAGAAAUUUUAAUGAAUGAUGGAUGAUUUUCUUGUGACUCUUUUGGUAACAAUCAUGUAACGAUUUCAGUAAUGUUAACAUUAUCGCAAUUUUCUUUUUCUUCAAGUAAUCUGGCAUUUAUCAAUUAGGUUGUAGAAUUUAUUAUAUUGUCUGGAGUCACACGAGGGAAAACUUUAGGUGCAACUGUGGUACCGUGCAACAGUAGCAUCCAGCCGUUAGAUGUCAGUGGACCCCAUCAAUCUAAGUGCAUCCAAUCGCUAGAUGCAACUGUGGCACGGUGCCACAGUUGCACCGUAGCCUGUGUCACACGAACGCAUAACAUUGAUGGAAUGGAUCACGUUAUCAUGAACGUAUAAUUAACAUCAGUUGCUGAACAAACUUUGCCUUUCAAUUUUGUAGACAUUACUAUCUCAAAUUUUCUAUUAUCAUAAAUGAGAUUUUAGGUAAUCUUUAAAAAAAAAAAACUAGAGAUUUCUUUUAUUUUUCCUUAAAAAAUGAAGAAAAAUUUAGAAAGUAGUGAGAGACGGAGAAUUAAAGCAAUUUUAUUCACAAAUGUAAUGUGCUUGGAGUAGCAAUACAAACUAACAAAUUAUAAUUUAUGAGAUUAGUUUACAAAAUCUUAUAUAUAAAAUUAUAUCCUCUAAAUAAAAAUAUUCUCACCUCUUUGGACUUAUCAUUUAUGAUGCGUUUGAGAUUGAGGUGCUGUAACUUUUAAACUACAGUUGCUGUGGAAAAAAUAUUAUAAUUAUGAAAUAAAAGUUAGUAAUAUUUAAUAAAUAUAAAUUUAAAUAGUAAUUUUGACAAAUUUAUUAAAGAUAUAAUAGAUUUUCUAUCAUACAAGUGAAAAAUCAUAUCAGCAUAGCUUCCAAGUUACAACAAUUAGUGUUUACCAAACAUUUUAGUACUGUAGUUUAAAGUUGCCCAACCUCAAUUCCAAACACACCCUUAGAUGCCCUUUCUACAAUCUCUCUAGCGAUAAACACAUUUUUAUAAAAUAAAACAAAAAAAAUUAUAUAUAAUUGUCAAGAGGAAUCUUACUAAAAUGGUCUCUCAUAAAUUUUUCUCUAAUUUGAGAGAUAGUGGGGAGUGGGGUUAAAGUGCAUCAACAUAGAAUUAAAAUUUUUUUUUUAAUUUUUUUAACUAUUUUAAUUAAAAGUAGCAGUUAUUCUUUUUAUUAUUGUUAUUCCAAUUAUCUAAAAAUCAAGUAACUGGGGAUCAAAUUAAGUAGUUCAUUAAAUUUUUUAAAUGACGUAUGAUAUGGUGUAUGGAGUUUUUAUACAUCUAUUUAAAUAGUAAAAUAUUUAAUUUUGCUUGUCGUAAAAUUUUAAUUUACGUGGGUUAAAAAAGAAAAAAAGAAAAAAAGAAAAAAGAAAUUGACUUAACAAUUAUUGAAAGACUAAAUAGAAAAUUGUAGUUGCGUGGGAAAACUCUGGGGAAAAGGGCUCCUGAUUUCCUUUCCCUGGCUUCGUGCGUCUCCUUUUGCCCUUUCGAGCACGAUUGCACGAAUUCGAAUCCAAUUCUUGAUAAUAAAGAUAUAAUAUUAUUAUAAUGCUAAUAAUUAACAUUAAAAUAUUAAAAAAUAAGGGAAAAAAAAUCCAAAUUUUUACUGGUAUAUAACUCAGAGCCAAAGCGAUGGCGAAACAUCAAAUUGUUUUUGUUUCAACCUUCGCGCAACUUCCGGUGACAUAAUCUCUGUCUGUUUCAGGUAAAUACCCAAAACUAAACUUUGCAUGUAUUAUUAUUGUAUUUUUGUUAUUCAUUCACAUAUUCUUCUUUUCUUUUCUUUUUUUCUUUUGCUGUAAGUUUUUAUGAGACACUCUGUUUCAGUUCUGUUUCUGGUUUUGUUUCAGUUUAACAUUAUUGGUUCCGUUCGGUUCUGUUCUGCUCUGUUCUCUGUUGUAUGUAUAUAUGUAUAUAUUUUUGGCCUCGAAUUGCUUUGAUCACCGGUUUUGUUAUUCAUUUAUCCUGAAUUUUAGAUACCCGUAAAGCUUGUUUGGCCAUGUGUUCACUUGAUUGUUACAUUCAGCUGUCAUUUUCAUGGUGGGUUUGUAAGAUAGUCUCUGACUAACAUAUGGCAUUGAUUAUGAAUGACGGUUUUUGUUAAAAGUCAUGGCUGGCACCGGCCAUCUAGAUGGCCGGUGCCAACCAUUCAACCAUUCAACACGGCCCGCCAUUAUUGGUGGUGCCGUGUUGACUUAUUCUAUAAAAAAAAAAAAAAUAAGCCAAAAUUUUGGCUAUAUAAAGAGGGCUUCCCACCCUCAUUUUUCAUCCAAUUCCAUUGAGAGAGAAGCAUUGCUUUCUUUGAGUGUUGAGAGUUUUAAGAGUUUAAUAAACUCUUGAGUGUUUAGUGUUUUGAGAGUUUGGGUGUAUUGGGAUUUUGGGAAGUGAGCUAAAAUACUACAAUACUUGUAACUCCUUUUCACUAGUAAAAUAUUUCCUUCUGUCUUCGCCCGUGGACGUAGGCUAAAAGCCGAACCACGUAAUUUUCUGGUAUUCUCUUUUAUGCUUUUUCUUUAUUUUUCUUCUAAUUUUACUUUAGCUGUGUGUCUGCUUCACCCACCAAUUUCCUAACAGUUUUUUGAGAUACAUCACACCGCCGUUAACUCUUUUUAAUGUGUACUUAUGUACUUACUUCAUUCAAAAGAUUAGUGUUUUUCUCUUUUUUUUUUUUAAAAUGAAAUGCCCCUUUUCGCAUUUUAUAGGUGAAAGGAAGAAACAUAAUAUCGCAGAACUAGAAUAAAGGAGCCUAUUCCGGUACCUAUUGUCCAAGGAAACUUCUGUAUAUUCUGUAGGAACUACCGAACUACCAUGGAAGUCAAAUCUUACCAGAGCCAGGCGGAGUCGUUGCUGAAGGAAUAUAUAUUAGCAGAUCCAUUUGUCCCUUACAGUUCAAUUGCUGGUAGCAUUUUUGCAUGCAAGACAGUAUGUUUUUCAUCGUUACUGCAUGGUGUUAUUUACUAGAAAAUAUUUUGAAUGCGUAGUUUUUAUGUAAUUAGUUAUAAAUUUUUAUAUACCUUUUUUUUUUAUAAGAAUGUGUUCCUUUUCAGGUCUAUGAUCUUGCCCAAUUGAUUAGUGCUGUCCACUUUAAAUGUUAUUCCAGUUUCUCCAGCAUACAGCGGGUUGAGUGGAGUAACAGGUGAUUGAAUAUUUUCAUUUAGUUCAAUUGUCAUUUCUUUUUCAAUCGGUAAAGUUUAAUCAUUUUUCUUAAAUCGACAACUUAUGCAGGGCCAUAUCAACCGUCCAUGCCAUUUUUGUUUCAGCUAUGUCUUUGUACUGUGUGUUUUGGUCGAAUAUAAGAGUUUGUACAUAGCACACUUGUUGUUUGUUUGUCCCUUCAUAGACAUUUCGAUAAACUGUUAUUUUUGUUUGUCGGAAUUGAAUAUUUUCCACAACUAGAACUCCGAAGUAUCUGGAAUGAUCCAUUUUAUCAUUCUCAAUACCUAUAAAAGAAGGACAUAGAAAACAGUUUCCAAAGCAAGUUGCCUAUGUUUUGAAUUUGUCUUUGGAAGCCACUAAUUGCUUGGAGCACACUGUUAGCCAGUCGUGGUUCCAUCCACUUAUUUGGAUAGACAAUUGUGCAUCCACAUGAUCUGGAAUAAACUAGUUUUUAAUAAAUAAUUGCCCAAGGAUUUAGUCUCAGUGUUACAGCCCAGUCUUUGUUGUCAAUACUCUUUCCCCUGUCGUGGAUGAGCGUCAUAACAGCUUCUUAAUGUGCAGUGGCUUUUGCACGGUUGUUUUUUUUCCUGCUGAAGCUAGAGUAGCUAUGGAUAUAGCAGAUGCAGAUGCCAUCAAUUUUUAUACUGGCCUUUCAGCAUCAAAAUCAAAAGGAUCAAGUGGGAACUUAAAGGAGGUUGAUUUCAAUGAAACACCCUCUAAGCAAGCCAAGAGACUCCAAUUAAGCCUGCAAGCUCUGCUUAAAACAGGUAUUUAUAUACCUUAUUAGUUUUUGUACCUUUACAAUUAGCGAUUUUUAUAUCAAACGAGAGAGGUUAAUCUUAGUACAUUGAUAUCUCAACAAAAUGUUAGAACCUUUGGAGCACUAGAGACAUUUUCUUAGAGCAUUUACUGAAGUUUCUAUGAUUGCAGUGGAGACAGGUCGACGCUACUUCCCUCAUUGCUUAGAAGUGGUUGAUAAGUUUUAGGAUUGUGAUUGGUCCGACGCUUCCCUCCUAGAAAAGGGUACUCCUGAAGAGCAGAAACUCAAAAGGGCACGCUACAUGGUUGAGAAAAAUCGCUCAGAUUUGUCGUCAUCCUCGUCGUCGUCAUCUUCUCCAAAGGAAGGAGUAAAGUGUAAGGGUAGGAAAAUGUGUUGCUUAGCUGCCUGUCUUUGUAUCCAUUUAUAGGCAACUAAAAGAGUUUUAGUGAGUUUGAUUGUUACUUGCAGAGAGAUACUCUUCGAGCCUAUGUUAUGGCUAUGUUGCAUAAUAGCAACAGAACUUCAAGCUUGCGUUGUUGUAUUUUCCCAGAUAUUUGGCAUGUAAUACACUAAAUGACAAAUAAUUUUCUAAUUUUAGAGGGGAAAGUUAUGUCAGUUAAUUAUUUAUUUAUUUUGUCUGUUUAAUUCAGUUUAUUUUUUCUCCAAAAAAAUCUUCAUAUCUCCAUCUGCAAUUUAAGUCAUUUGUAACUUCUUUCAGGGAGGAAGGAAAAGGGAAAAAAGAAGAAGCCUUUGUAAGUAUAUUUUACAGUACUGAUUUUCCUAUAGAAAUUGGUUAAGGUGACAUUAAUGUUCUUAGUAACAGAUGGAUAUGCAGAAUUUUCGUCGAAAUUGAAAUUAGAAAUGGAUGGAUAUGAAUGACAUAUAUUCAGAAUUUUUUAGUAGAAUGUUUAAACAAAAUUUUUUAGCUCAUUACUCUCUAAAAGGAAAAUAAAUUUUUUAUUGUAAAUAUUAAAUAUUAAAUUUAUAAUAUAAUAAAUGUGUGACUUAAGGUGCACAAUACCUAUAUAAUAAUAAUAAUUAAGACAAGAAAAAUCAAAUUUUGUAAAUUACCAAAUUUCCCUUGGAAUUUGAUAUUCUAUAUGAACGUAGGUGUUGCAUCCACUGGGUGAGUACAACUGAAAGAAACUAACUAAAGUAAAACAAAAUAUCAGAAAAAUAUGGCGAGCUUCUCAUAUUUUUUAAGUGAAAAAAAAAAAAGAAAACUGAAAUUAAUUAUUUUUAUACCCAAAUUCUCAUGCUCGAAGGCCGCUGGAAUUGGCCAUUGUAAUUUUGUCAUCCUCGUUAUUCACUGGCCAUCGCAGCCUUCCUCCCUUAAAAUGAGAGUCGUUUUUUGGACCACGACAUAAUAAAAAUAGUAUUGAUUAAUACUAAUAAAUUUCUUUUUGAUUAUUUUGCAGUGUGAUAGUCUAGUGCGUGCCAGUGCCCAGCAUAUCACUUGAACAUGUGGUAAAAUUCUGCGAGUCUUUGUAAAAUAAUUUUUAAAUUGUGUAUUAACCAAAUAGCUCAAUGAAGAGUAUCGCUCAUUAUUUUAUUUUGUAUAUAUUUAUGAUAAUUGUUGAAAAGAAAAAUGUAAAGUGAGAUUCAUGAACAUUUAUGAAUGUGGAAAUUAACACAACCAGAAUUUAUGAUGAAAUAAUUUUAAGUCAAACGAGUGUAAGUUUGUAUAUAUAUUUUUUUGAAUUGUCAUAUAUAUACAAGUUUGUCACUAACAGUAAAUUAAAUUAUGAAUAAUUUAAUAAUUCAAAAUCUCAUUUAACCAUCAGUGUUUAUAGGGUGCGUUUGGCACAUUGUAUUGUAUUAUAUUGUAUUAUAUUAUUUUAAUGCAUGUGUAUUAUAUUAUAUUGUAUUACAUUAACAUUGUGUUAUAAUAAUACUAUACAAUGUUUGGUACUACAUUGUAUUAAUUUUUAAUAAAUAUAUAAUAUUACACUGUAUUAUAUUAAUUUUUUAAUAAGUAUUUUAAAUUAUAUAUUUAGAAAAUAACAUUUAUUAGUCGUUAAAAAAUACUAAAUAUCAAAUUCUUAAAUUUUAGAAAUUUAAUAUUAUCUUUCUGGUAUAAACGUUGAAAAAAAAUCAUAAUUUUCGGAAAGAUCGAAAUAAAUAAUUCAAUCAAGUAACCUUCAAUUUUUUUGUUUUAUUCUUAGAACUUCAUAGUUCUUUUGUUUUUUCUUUUUCUUUUUCUUUGCCUCUAUUUUCUUUUUCUUUGCCCUUUUUUUUUUCUUCAUAGUUCUUUUGGCUUCAUAAGUUUCUUUUAACUGAGUUAAUAGGGUCGUUAGGUUAAACUAAGUUUGGCUUCAUAAGCUUCAUGGUAGAGUGUAGAAUUGGGCACAAUUUUGGAUUAGACAAGUCAAAGGUCUUAUCAAGUAAUUGUUCUGCUUACUGAUUUGGUAAUUGCAACAUUGCUAAAUAGUUCAAUUUGUCCUUUUUAUUUUGUUGAAUUUAUUGUAUGUCAUAUUACUUGAUUUAAUUAUUUUCUCAGAUCUUGUAGGUGAAAAUUUCAGCUUCAAAGACCAAAGCUAAUCAUCCAGCAAUUCAGUGAAACCAAGACACAGUAGGUGCGUUUGGGAUUGAGGUGCUGUAGCUUUUAAGCUACAACUGCUGUAAAAAAAAAGUUGUAAUUAUGAAACAAAAGUUAAUAAUAUAUAGUAAAUAUAAAUUUUAAAUAAUAAUUUUGAUAAAGUUAUUAAAGAUAUAAUAGAUUUUGUAUUAUACAAGUGAAAAAUCAUAUCAAUAUAACUUAAAAGCUACAGCAGCUAGUGUUUACUAAACAUUUUAGUGCUGUAGCUUUUAAGCUACAGCUGCCCAAUCUCAAUUCCAAACGCACCCAGUGGCUCAUAAAUUGUUGUUGGUUAUUGAUCCCAGCCAUUCGGGUGCUCGCCAGUCCUAGAUGAGAAAACUUUCAACGCGGCGCAUAAAUUGCUGUUGAUCUGCUUUAUAUAUUUUGACGUUUGUGAUUUGUGAAUACAUGGUCUGAUUCCAGUGUUUACAACUUUGAAAUUCAAUUAAAAGUUGAGCUGUGAAAGAGUGUGUUGUAUAACUUGAGAAGCAAAUGAAACAAACAGAAAAUGUGUUUUUAUUUUUUUAAUCUAUCUAUCUAUUUAUUUUUGGUUUGGAAAUGUAACAAUUUAUAGCUGACAAAGUAAUAGAGUUGUAUACUUUUACUUGUAUUUAAUUUAUUGUUAUUAUUAUUUUUUUUUAAUGACUCGGUAAUGUCAUCGUCCGUGGUGUUUUGUCAUUUCGAAAGUACUUAACCCUUCCACGAUAAGUUUGAGCUUUCAGUUCUUGAUUUAGCGUGUGGGGUAUCUUUGUCUUUUCAGUAGUCAACACACGGUCAACAAAACAGUCUACAAACAAUCGACCUGUGAACUUGGGUCAAAGCUUUCAUCUUUAAAUCACAUAGGUAGAUCAUGAUUCAAGCUUCAGUUAUAAGCAUUUCGUUGUGAUUGAUAGUAUUCUUUCUUUGAUAUAUAUAUAUAUAGAUUCAGUUUGAAUAUGGUUCUUGAUGGUAUCAUGGAAAAUGCGAACGAAAAGUCAGCAUCUUUGAGUUUUGUCUCAUCAUAUCAAACUUGUUGGUCCACUAAUCAAUCAACAGGCACUUGUGAUCUUGAUAAUUUGAACUUAAGGAAGCAAAGCACCAAUCCCAAAGAGACAUGGCUUGAAGCUGAGAUUGUUGUUGAGGGCAAAUCAGUGGCGGUUAAUCGCAGCAUAUUGUCUGAGCGCAGUCAAUUUUUUCGUCGGCUUUUUAAUUUGAGAAAUGAUGGUUCUGUCAGUGAGGGGAAACCCAAGUAUCUUUUGACUGAUUUGGUGCCUCAUGGGAAGGUUGGAUAUGAAGCUUUCAAUGAUACCUUGCAUUUUCUUUACACUGGGAAGCUUAAGCCAUCUCCUCUAGAAGUUUCCACGUGUGUUGAUGACGCUUGUGCUCAUGGUGCUUGCCCUCCUGCUAUCAAUUUUGCUAUUGAGAUGAUGUAUGCUUCUGCUGCUUUCCAGAUGGAACAACUCGUUGUUUUGGAGGUAAUUGUGCUUCCCUACUAUUUGUAUUGAAUAAACUUAUGCUUCUUGGUAUAGUUUUAGCAUAUAUGGGAUUGAAAUCAAUUUCAGUUGUGAAGCAACUUCGGUGGUUCCCAAUAUUAGGCAUUGUAGUAGAUCCAAAAUUAGCUUGUUAAGAAGUGUAGAUACCGGAGAGCCCAAAACUUCGUCUUAUCUUGCAAGAGUCUGUUGUUUUAUUUUCAAAGAGACAAAAGUGAUGAUGAUGGGCAGCGAACUCUAGGAAUCAAUGCUUGCUGACACUGACUCCCAAGAAUGAUAAAAACUAACCAAAAAGGUAUAGAUUACAUGAGUCUGAAUUUGAUAAGUGCGCCUAUCCUAUCACAAAAGCUUUUGCGUUGAGUUUCUAACCAAGGAAAAUUGUCACUUCUUUCUGUAGGCUUCAUAGAUUUGUUCAAGCCUUCAAGGAUGUCUAGCUGUUACUUACUGUCCAACAAUGGUGCUACAUUUCUAGUGAAUGAUAUGUUAUUCUACAUCUGUAUAUUGCAACUUUGACAAACUUGGCCUUUCCUUUGUUGAUUCACUCGUCUCACUUUUAUUAAAUUGCCCGAUUAUGAAAUGGUCUAUUGGAGACUAGCAUUGGAAGGUUUCUUCUGGAAAAAAUUUUACUUGACCGCCAAUUUUCAUUUGGGUGGGUGUCAGUUCAUGCUCUGGCUUGACUGUUCUGUUAUUUAGGUUGUUUUAUCCGUAUUUUCUUCACUUACUUGAUGGUUAGUUCUCUCAUGCUUUCAAGCUCUCAACAGUGAAUGCGAGAGAUUCUAUUUUUCCCGUCCAGUCUAUAACCUAGCAAAUCAUUAAUGCUGUAGAAUAACAUCUUGUGUAGGUGAGCUUAUGUCUCUGAACAUUGGUCCAUCGGCAUUUAGGUUCAAUAAGCAUGACACUGAUUUCCCCCCAAUUAUUAUUUUCCUGCACAGAUUAUCCCCUUUAAGUAUUUGAAUUUUGAAUAUAUUAUUAUGCAUCAAAACUGUAUCUAUCCGUGUAGCAUUUAAAUCUGCUUUAUGAUGUUUACCAAUAAUUACCCAUUAUGGGGUAUUUGAAUUUUGAAUAUAUUAUUCUGGACCAAAACUCUAUCUGUCCGUGUAGGAUUGGCUUCUGUGCUUGGCUGAGGAUGCUCCUGUGGAAGAUGUAAUCCCAAUUCUCGUGGCUGCCUUCCAUUGCCAACUGAACAUGCUCCGUUCUUACUGCAUCCAGAGAAUUGCAGGGUCAAAUCUUGACAAUCUUUGUCUCGAGAAAGAGCUUCCUGAUGAAGUUUCAAGAGAAAUCAAAUCACUCCGUGUCAAAUCUAACCAGGAGUCUGAAGCUAAUAUAGCAGAAGUGGAUCAUAAUCAUGCAAUAAUAGUCAGAAGAAUCCACAAGGCGCUGGACUCUGAUGACGUUGAACUGUUGAAGCUUCUUCUGGAUGUAUCUAAUGUCACUCUGGAUGAUGCUUACGCUCUGCACUAUGCUGCUGCCUACUGCAACCCCAAGGUUUUUAAGGAAGUGCUCAAUAUGGACUUGGCUGAUCUCAAUCUUAAGGAUGCAAGGGGACGUACAGUGCUUCAUGUGGCUGCAAGGCGUAAUGAGCCAGAAGUGAUGGUGACUCUGCUGAGCAAGGGAGCAUGCGCAUCAGAAACUAUAUCAGAUGGCCAAACAGCUGUAGAAAUCUGUCGGAGAAUGACAAGGCGAAAGGAUUAUCUUGAAGCUACAAAGCAGGGGCAGGGAACUAACAAAGACCAGUUAUGCAUUGAUGUCCUUGAGAGAGAGAUGAGAAGGAAGUCCAUGUCUGGGAACUUGGCAAUGCCAUCAGAGGUGAUGGAUGAUGAUUUCCAAGCGAAGCUGGACUAUCUGGAAAAUAGAGGUGAUAUUUCUUUACUGGUAUUAGUUCAUCACCUUCUCAGAGUUUGUGCUAUGCACACUUCUUUCUACUGUUUGUUUGUCCCUUCAUAUGGAAAAUAGAGGUGAUAUUCCUUUACUGGUAUUAGUAAAUCAUCUUCUCAAGAGUUUGUGAGUCCCUUCAUUUUAGCAUCUCAAACACACAUGGGCUCAUUGCUUGGGGCACACUGUUGGCCAGUCAUGUGAUUUGAUCCCCUUUUUUGGAAUAGACAAUUCUGAAUCCAUCUGAUCUAGGCUUGGUGGUUUGCACCGAACUGGUUUUUGAUAAAUAAUUGUACAAGACUUUGUCAUCAAAAACUUUUUUUUUUGUUUUUUUGUUUUUUGUUUUCCAAAAGUAAUGAGGUACAAAACAAUUUAUGCCUAUCCUGGAUGAGUGUCAUAACAGCUUCUUAAUAUUUUGCAGUGGCUUUUGUACGGUUGUUUCCUUCUGAAGCUAGAGUAGCUAUGGAAAUAGCAGGUACCGCCACUGGCCUUUCAGCAUUAGGUCAGAAAGGACUAAGUGGGAACUUAAAGGAGAUUGAUUUGAAUGAAACGCCCUCUAUGCAAGCCAAGAGCCGCCAAUUGAGACUGCUAACUCUGCUUAAAACAGGUAUUUAUAUACUUUAUUAACUUUUGCACCCUUCUAUACAUGUAUUAGUUAAUUAUAAAGAUAUUUAUAUACUUUAUUAACUUUUGCACCCUUCUAUUUACUGAUUAUCUUUAUAAUUAACUAAUACAUGUAUCCAGGUUUCUCCUUCCAAUUGGAAUUCCUUUAUAGUGCUCUGUUAGGUGUAAUCAGAUGUAUCAAAAGAGAAAGGGUAAUUGUUAGUACAUUGAUAUCUCAACAAAAUGGUAGAACCUUUCUUUAUACCACUAAGACAUUUGUCGCAGAUAUGCCUACAUAAUCAGUGUCCUUCAAAACUUUCAAGGAGUUAGCAAUGCCUAACCCCUGAAACACUAAAUCUCACGGGAUCAACUCUUUACAUCUAGACCGAAGGUGUGACACCCAGACCCAAUUAGGGCUUAGAACACAUAUUGAAUCUGAGUGAAACUAAAUGCCUGUAAAUCCAAAUCUCCAAAAUAUCAAAAAGUCAUCUACUUUCUCUUUUCAUGUAUUUCACAAAAUUUUGAAAAAUUCAUUCUCAAUCAUAAACUAUGCACAGCUAAUUAUUCAGCAUAUCAGUAUAGAGCAAUACUUCCUCAUAAGCAAAUAAAUCUUACAAUCCUUCUUACAUGAUUUUAAAAAAAAUACUAAUAGAAGUCUUCUAGAUACAAACAUAAACAGAAUUCAACUGUUUAAAACUAUGCCAAAACACAAGCUUCAAUCAGUAAUACAUACGACUAAUUAUUAAAAACAUCUAGGCAGAAACCUUACGAAAGCUCAAUCUUUCUGAAGCAUUCUUCAAAUUAAAAAUUGCUACCAUCUGUGAAAAAUAAUUGACAAGGAGUCAGCUGUGAACUCAAUCAGUAGAAACAUUCGUAAUGAACAAAAAGAAUUCUUUGUGCAAUAUUUUCAGAAAAUUCAUUUAACCUUUCAAAUGAAACAGAGUAAUUUUUCUAACACAGUCAGGAUUUAUAUAAAACACAAACGUUUCAGACAAAAGCUGUGCGGAAUGUAAAUUUUGCUUCUUUAAACAGAAAGUUAUAUAUUAGUUUGAUUUUAAAGGGAGGUUAUUGGGAAGUUAAAAUUGGCAGUUGUGGGAAAAGGGUAAUAGCAGUUAUAAAAUCUGUUUUAAAGCAAAUUCAAAUCAAGUUUCAAAUUUUAGGAGUACUUAAUUCAAUAAAAUAAGGAAUAAAUAAAGCUUUCAUUGAAACAAAACUAAGUAAAUUCAUUUAAAGCAAAAAAGGAUGGGAGCAUUACUAUGGGUUCUUAUGUUUACCCGCAGUCAGACAUCUGGGGACCUUGUUAUUUGGAGACAAGACUUGAUUGUGCCAUGUUUUCCGCAGCUAGACAUCUGUGGAUAAGAGAACCCUAAGCCUAUUUAGAAUAAAUUCUGUAAUCCAAGACUCUUCAGUUCUUUCAUUUGUGGCUAAUUAGUUAUAAAAUUUGUGAAUUUCAUGCCCCAUGCCCCUUGCAAAAUGCCAGUUGUUGAACUGAAAUAAUAAAAAAUGGAAAACAGACUUAAUGCCGAUAGCAUUUCUUAAGAAAAACUUGGGAUGUUUAUAAUUUUCUUAGAGCAUUUGCUGAACUUUCUGUGAUCGCAGUCGAGACGCGUGACCUCUACUUCCCUCAUUGCUCAGAAGUGGUUGAUCGCUUUUUGGAUUUGAACAAUCCUGCCACCCCAGAAAUGGACGACGAGAAACUUAAAGCAGACAUGCAGGAGGCAUUCUGCAAGGACGUGGCUUAUCACCGUCGUUUAGGGCUGCCAUCAUCCCGGCCGGCAUUUUACCAGUACACGGCUAGGAGCAAUCAGUCGGCAUUUUACAAGUACAUGGCUGAGAGCAAUCAGUCGGCCAAGUACGUGGCUGAGAGCAAUGGCUCAGGAAUGUCGACAUCCUCGGCAGCGCGCAAUCUAAAAGUUAUAUUUGACACCUGGAAAACUAAAGGAGUUGAGUGAGAUCGAUUGGUAUUUGUAGUUUCUUUUUUUUUUUCCUCAAGUGAUCUGGCGGCAUAAUUAAAAGUUAUAUUUGUUUGUCUUCAAAGUUAUUGUAUUGUCUCAAGUCCGGUAAGAUGCGCGAACUUAUAGCAUGGAUCCAUAUGAUCUGGACUAAACUAGUUUCUAAUAAAUAAGUAUAUUUUACAGUACUGAUUUUCCUACAGAAAUUGGUUAAGGUGACAUUAAUGUUCUUUAUGAUAGACGGAUAUACAGAUUUUUCGUCGAAAUUGAAAUUAGAAAUGGAUGGAUAUGCAGAAUUUUUUAAUAGAAUUUUUAUACAAAAAUUUGUAGCUCAUUACCCUCUAAAAGGAAAAAAAUAAAUUUUUGAUUUUAAAUAUUAAAUAUUAAAUUUAUAAUAUAAUAACUUUGUGAGUUAAGGUGCACAAUACCCAUAUAUUAAUAAUUAAGAAAAGAAAAAAAUUAAAAUUUGUAAAUUACCAAUUUUUUCUUGAAAUUUGAUAUUCUAUAUUAACGUAGGUGUUGCAUGGACUGGGUUAGUACAAUUGAAAGAAACUAACUAAAGUAAAACAAAAUAUCAUUAAAAUAUGGCAAGCUUCUCAUAUUUUUUAAGUGAAAAAGAGAAGAAAACUAAAAUUAAUUAUUUUUAUACCCAAAUUCUAGUGCUUGAAGGCCGCUGGAAUUGACCAUUGUAGUUUUGUCAUCCUCAUUAUUCACCGGCCAUCGUGGCCUUCCUCCAUUAAAAAAAUAAAUGACCAUUUUUUUGGACCACAACAUAUUAAAAAUAGUAUUGAUUAAUACUAAUAAAUCUCUUUUUUGAUUAUUUUGCAGUGUGAUAGUCGAGUGAGGGCAGUGCCCAUCGUAGCACUUGAACAUGUGGUAAAUUUAUGCCAGUCUUUGUAAAAUAAUUUUUAAAUUAUGUAUUAACCAGAUAGCUCAAUGAAAACUAUCGCUCACUAAAUUAUUACUUUAUUUUGUAUAUAUUUAUGAUAAUUGUUGAAAAGAAAAAUGUAAAGUGAGAUUAACGAACGUUUAUGAAUGUGGAAAUUAACACAACCAAGAUUUAUGAUGAAAUAAUUUUAAGUCAAAUGAGCAUAAAUUUGUAUAAAUAUUUUUUGAAUUGUCAUAUAUAUACAAGUUUGUCACUAAUAGUAAACUUAAUUAUGAGUAUUUUAAUAAUUCAAAAUUUUAUUUAACCAUCGGUGUAUAUAGUGUUUUUCAUAAUACAAAAUUAUAAAAAGUCUCAUCCUGAAUAGUAUAAUGCCAAACCUUUUCAAAAAUUUAUUCUAUUAUAGUCGUCUUAGUCAGUUAUAUUUAUUUCUAAAUUGAAGAUAAAAACAGUACUUCAUAUAUCAUCCAUUACUUCAUACAUUACUUAAAGUUUUUUUUUUUUUCAAUCAAAUUAUGAGCAAGUGAAAGGAUGCAAUAAAUUACGACUAAAAUUGUAAAAUUUACCAAUGGCUAUAUACAAAGUCUGAUUCUCAUGAGCUUAAAAGAUGGGCUUUGAAUGAUGUAUGGUUCUCAAAACUCUACUUUUAUUAAUAUGAUUGCCCUGCUUCCUUCAUGACGGGUAAUUUUUAGUUUCGUCCCCUGAAGUUUGGUUUAUCUCCAUUUUAAUAGGAAAUAUUAGCGUAUCUCCCACUUUUCUCCCCUGCCGUUUGUAUACCGUUUCAUAUUGUUAAUGGACGAAGCUACAAGUCUUCUCUUUCAUCAAAUCGAUCCAUAACAAAUACGAGUCUGCUUCACCUAACCAAAACACACACAUACUCCAUCUCUAAAUGCUUUGAAGAUAAACAAAUCAACCGUAAUCCUGCAACUUUAGCUCAGAGAAUCGGAUAAGAAAAGAACAGGUGAUGAAUCAAGGGUAAUGGCGCCGAGUGAGUGUCGCCUGCGGUCGGCGUUAGAGGCGACUGUCACUCAAUCGCGUACAAGGUUAGUCUUUGAAAAAACUCUUUGCAUGUUAGAAAUCAGUGAUUAGGCAUUAUUUUGUUAUUUAAAAAUGAAAAUGGGUUUAUUAGUUUGUCGAAGAAUCUGCUCUGUUGCCGGUGUUGUUUGUUGAUUAAAAUGAAAAUGGGUUUGUUGAUGUGUUGAAGAAGUUGCUCUCCUGCUGGUGUUUUUUUAUUAAUUAAAAUGAAAAUGGGUUUGUUAAUUUAUUGAAGCAGCUGCUGGCAUUGUUAUUGUGACUUUAUUUAUCCAAUUGAUGAGCUUAUGAGCUAAUAGUAUUGUUUGAUCAAGCUUGUGUUCUUAAUAGUGGAGUUGAUAUUCUUAAAAUGAAUUUAUGAUUAUGAGAAUAUGAAAAUUGAAUGGCAUCGUAGAGAUCUGGAUUAAUCACCAUCGUAUAUGUUUCUAAAUAAAGGAAUAAGCAGCAACCGAUUUGAAAGUUAAGACUUUAGGGAUAUGUAUGUGCAACUGAAUGAAUCAUCAGUUGCUAUCUUGUAAGUCAGUGCUAGCAUAUUACCUAAUGGCAAGUGAAGCUAUUUUAUGUGUAUUGCUGCCUAUCAAAAUGUUUAUGUUUGAAGUUUUCUCCUUUUGGGAAAUUGAAUGCUUCUGUGAGUUCUCUGGUAAGGGCUAUACAACUAUCUCUAAUAGAUUCCUUCAUGUGCAUUAAUUAGCUUAGUAGUUUAUUGACCUAUAUCCAAUGUCUAUUCUCCUUUUCUGUAGCCGUCUAGUUUUAUGAGUGUGUGAAGUGAACUUUUGUUUUAUGUUUCAGGACUUGGGAUUAGAGUGUAUAACAUUCAAUAUCUUUAUAUCAAAGAACUGAUAUAUGUCAAUGUAGUGCGAUCUGGUCUUUAUUAGCUUCUUGAUUUGCCAGGAUGUUUGACAACCAUCUUUGACCAUGAUUGCCAACAUAUAAGCUGCUACAUAGUGUCUCAGGAAUCACAGCAAAUUAUUAUCAUAAUAUGGUGAUUUUGAAUCCAAAACUUGGUAGUGUCAAGAAAAUAGACCCAUGUUUAUUUAUCUUCAUGUUUUGUAUGCGCCUGCAAUAGACUAUUAUAAGUUACUUUUAGUUUUAUCAAGUUUUUUUUUCCUUAAAUUUCAUCGAGUCUUGGAGUCUUUGUAAUAUAGAGUCUAAGUGAAGAAUACUUGGGUGAAAUCUUGUAUUCUCUCUUCCAGUAAUAUAAUCAUCCUUUGUGUUUUUAUCUUUUUAUUUUGGUAUCAGAGCAUACUUUAUUAUAGAAGGACUUAGACUCUAUAUUACAAAGACUCAGCGGUUUCUUUUAACUGAGUUAAUAGUGUUGUUAGGUUAAACUAAGUUUGGCUUCAUAAGAUUCAUAGUAGAGUGUAGAACUGGGUACAAUUUUGGGUUAGACAAGUCAAAAGUCUUCUCAAGUAAUUGUUCUGCUUACUGAUUUGGUAAUUGCAACAUUGCUAAAUAGUUCAAUUUGUCCUUUUAUUUUGUUGAAUUUAUUGUAUGUCAUAUUACUUCAUUUAAUUAUUUUCUCAGAUCUUGUAGGUGAAAAUUUCAGCUUCAAAGGCCAAGCUAAUCAUCCAGCAAUUCAGUGAAACCAAGACACAGUGGCUCAUAAAUUGUUGUUGGUGAUCCAGCCAUUCGGGUGCUUGCCAGUCCUAGACGAGAAAACUUUCAACGCGGCGCAUAAAUUGUUGUUGAUCUACUUUAUAUAUUUUGACCUUUGUGAUUUGUGAAUACAUGGUUUGAUUCCAGUGUUUACAACUUUGAUACUGUGUAUAACUUAAAAAGCAAAUGAAACAAAUAGGAAAUGUGUUUUUAUUUUUUUUAUUCUAUCUAUCUAUUUAUAUUUUGUUUGGAAAUGUAACAAUUUAUAGCUGGCAAAGUACUAGAGUUGUAUACUUGUAUUUAAUUCAUUAUUAUUAUUUUUUUAAUGAUGACUCAGUAAUGUCGUUGUCCAUGGUGUUUUGUCAUUUUGAGAGUACUUAACCCUUGGACGCUAAGGCACAUUACAGUAGCCGAAAUUUUGAGCUUUCAGUUCUUGAUUUUAGCGUGAGGGGUAUCUUUGUCGUUUCAGUUGUCAACAAACAAUUUGUUGGGGGGGGGGGGGGGGGGGUGGAGAUACGCUGAUACUUUCUAUCAUACUGGAGAUACACCUAACCUCAGGGAAGGAAACUGAAAUUUCACCUUUACGACGGGUGGACUUGGGUCAAACUUUCAUAUUCUAAUCAAGUAGGUCGAUCACGAUUCAAGCUUCAGUCAUAAGCCUUUCGUUAUGAUUGAUAUUAUUCUUUCUUGAUAGUAUCAUGGAAAAUGCAAACGAAAAGUCAGCAUCUUUGAGUUUUGUCUCAUCAUAUCCGACUUGUUGGUCUACUAAUCAAUCCACAGACCCUUGUGAUCUUGGUAAUUUGAACUUAAGGAGGCAAAGCAGCAAUCCUAAAGAGCCAUUGCUUGAUGCUGAGAUCGUUGUUGACGGCAAAUCAGUGGCAGUUAAUCGCAGCAUAUUGUCUGCACGCAGUCGUUUUUUUCAUUGGCUUUUUCAUUUGAGCAGUGAUGGUUCUGUGAGUGAGGGGAAACCCAAGUAUCUUAUGACUGAUUUGGUGCCUUAUAGGAAGGUUGGAUAUGAAGCUUUUAAUGAUAUCUUGCAUUAUCUUUACACUGGAAUGCGUAAGGCACCUCCUUCAGAAGUGUUCACGUGUGUUGAUGAUACUUGUGUUCAUCUUGUUUGCCCUCCUGCUAUUAAUUAUGUUAUUGAGUCGAUAUAUGCUUCUGCUGCUUUUAAGAUGACAGAGGUCGUUUCGGUUUAUGAGGUAGUUGCGCUUCCCCGCUACUUGUAUUGCUUAAAUUUAUGCUUAUUGGUAUAGUUUUAACAUAUGUGGGAUUGAAAUCAAUUUCAGUUGUGACUUGCAAAGAGCCAAAGAAUCUGUUGUUUUAUUUUGAAAGAGACAAAGAUGAUGAUGAUGGGCAGUGAACUCUAGGAAUCAAUGCUUGCUGACACUGACACCCAAGAAUGAUAAAAACUAACCAAAAAGGUAUAUAGAUUACAUGAGUCUGAAUUUGAUAAGUGCACCUAUCCUAUCACAAAAAGCUUUUGCGUUGAGUUUCGAACCAAGGAAAAUUGUCACUUCUGUCUGUAGGCUUCAUAGAUUUGUUCAAGCCUUCAAGGAUGUCUAGCUGUUACUUAGGGUCCAACAAUGGUGCUACAUUUCUAGUGGAUGAUAUGUUAUCUACAUCUGUAUAUUGGAACUUUGACAAACUUCGCCUUUCCUUUGUUGAUACACUCGUCUCACUUUUAUUAAAUUGCCUGAUUAUGAAAUGGUCUAUUGGAGACUAGCAAUGGAAGGUUUCUUCUGGAGAAAAUUUUACUUGCCACCAAUUUUCAUUUUGGUCGGUGUCAGUUCAUGCGCUGGCUUGAUUGUUCUGUUAUUUAGGUUGUUUUAUCCGUAUUUUCUCACUAUCUUGAUAGUUAGUUCUCUAAUGCUUUCAAGCUCAACAGCGAAUGCGAGAGAUUCUCUUUGUCCUGUCCAGGUUAUAACCUAGCAAAUCAUUAAUGCUGUAGAAUAACAUCUUGCGUAGAUGAGCUCGUGUCUCUGAACAUUGGUCCAUCGGCAUUUAGGUUCGAUAAGCAUGGCAUUGAUUUUCCCCCUCAUUGUUAUUUUCCUGCACAGAUUAUCCCCUUUAAGUAUUUGAAUUUUGAAUACAUUAUUCUGAAUCAAAACUCUAUACGUCCGUGUAGCAUUUUAUAUAUGCUUUAUGAUAUUUACCAAUAAUUACCCACUGCGAGGUAUUUGAAUUUUGAAUAUAUUAUAUAUUAUUAACUUUUGCACCCUUCUAUACAUGUAUUAGUUAAUUAUAAAGAUAUUUAUAUACUUUAUUAACUUUUGCACCCUUCUAUUUACUGAUUAUCUUUAUAAUUAACUAAUACAUGUAUCCAGGUUUCUCCUUCCAAUUGGAAUUCCUUUAUAGUGCUCUGUUAGGUGUAAUCAGAUGUAUCAAAAGAGAAAGGGUAAUUGUUAGUACAUUGAUAUCUCAACAAAAUGGUAGAACCUUUCUUUAUACCACUAAGACAUUUGUCGCAGAUAUGCCUACAUAAUCAGUGUCCUUCAAAACUUUCAAGGAGUUAGCAAUGCCUAACCCCUGAAACACUAAAUCUCACGGGAUCAACUCUUUACAUCUAGACCGAAGGUGUGACACCCAGACCCAAUUAGGGCUUAGAACACAUAUUGAAUCUGAGUGAAACUAAAUGCCUGUAAAUCCAAAUCUCCAAAAUAUCAAAAAGUCAUCUACUUUCUCUUUUCAUGUAUUUCACAAAAUUUUGAAAAAUUCAUUCUCAAUCAUAAACUAUGCACAGCUAAUUAUUCAGCAUAUCAGUAUAGAGCAAUACUUCCUCAUAAGCAAAUAAAUCUUACAAUCCUUCUUACAUGAUUUUAAAAAAAAUACUAAUAGAAGUCUUCUAGAUACAAACAUAAACAGAAUUCAACUGUUUAAAACUAUGCCAAAACACAAGCUUCAAUCAGUAAUACAUACGACUAAUUAUUAAAAACAUCUAGGCAGAAACCUUACGAAAGCUCAAUCUUUCUGAAGCAUUCUUCAAAUUAAAAAUUGCUACCAUCUGUGAAAAAUAAUUGACAAGGAGUCAGCUGUGAACUCAAUCAGUAGAAACAUUCGUAAUGAACAAAAAGAAUUCUUUGUGCAAUAUUUUCAGAAAAUUCAUUUAACCUUUCAAAUGAAACAGAGUAAUUUUUCUAACGCAGUCAGGAUUUAUAUAAAACACAAACGUUUCAGACAAAAGCUGUGCGGAAUUUAAAUUUUGCUUCUUUAAACAGAAAGUUAUAUAUUAGUUUGAUUUUAAAGGGAGGUUAUUGGGAAGUUAAAAUUGGCAGUUGUGGGAAAAGGGUAAUAGCAGUUAUAAAAUCUGUUUUAAAGCAAAUUCAAAUCAAGUUUCAAAUUUUAGGAGUACUUAAUUCAAUAAAAUAAGGAAUAAAUAAAGCUUUCAUUGAAACAAAACUAAGUAAAUUCAUUUAAAGCAAAAAAGGAUGGGAGCAUUACUAUGGGUUCUUAUGUUUACCCGCAGUCAGACAUCUGGGGACCUUGUUAUUUGGAGACAAGACUUGAUUGUGCCAUGUUUUCCGCAGCUAGACAUCUGUGGAUAAGAGAACCCUAAGCCUAUUUAGAAUAAAUUCUGUAAUCCAAGACUCUUCAGUUCUUUCAUUUGUGGCUAAUUAGUUAUAAAAUUUGUGAAUUUCAUGCCCCAUGCCCCUUGCAAAAUGCCAGUUGUUGAACUGAAAUAAUAAAAAAUGGAAAACAGACUUAAUGCCGAUAGCAUUUCUUAAGAAAAACUUGGGAUGUUUAUAAUUUUCUUAGAGCAUUUGCUGAACUUUCUGUGAUCGCAGUCGAGACGCGUGACCUCUACUUCCCUCAUUGCUCAGAAGUGGUUGAUCGCUUUUUGGAUUUGAACAAUCCUGCCACCCCAGAAAUGGACGACGAGAAACUUAAAGCAGACAUGCAGGAGGCAUUCUGCAAGGACGUGGCUUAUCACCGUCGUUUAGGGCUGCCAUCAUCCCGGCCGGCAUUUUACCAGUACACGGCUAGGAGCAAUCAGUCGGCAUUUUACAAGUACAUGGCUGAGAGCAAUCAGUCGGCCAAGUACGUGGCUGAGAGCAAUGGUUCAGGAAUGUCGACAUCCUCGGCAGCGCGCAAUCUAAAAGUUAUAUUUGACACCUGGAAAACUAAAGGAGUUGAGUGAGAUCGAUUGGUAUUUGUAGUUUCUUUUUUUUUUUCCUCAAGUGAUCUGGCAUAAUUAAAAGUUAUAUUUGUUUGUCUUAAAAGUUAUUGUAAUAUCUAAAGUCCGGUAAGAUGCGCGAACGUAUAGCAUGGAUCACAAACUCAUUUCAUAGAAUAUUUUUUUGUAUAAUUAUAUAAUUUAUAGGCUUUGCUUAAAAAAUUAAAAAAGAAUUGCAUUACAAUUGGUAUGAGGCAUGCAUGUGUGUGUCAUAUCAGUUGCUGAACAAACUUUGCCUUUUAGUUUUGUAGGCACUACCAUCUCAAAUUCUCUGUUAUCAUGAAUGAGUAUUUUUUUCUUUUUUCUUUUUUAAGAAAUCAUAAAUGAGAUUAAGAUAAUUUUUUUUAAAAAAAGAAAAAAAUGGAGAUUUCUUUUAUUUUUCCUUAAAAACUGAAGAAAAAUUUAGAUGGUAGUGUGAGACGGAGAAUUAAAGCAAUUUUACUAACAAAUGUAAUGUGUUUGGUGUCGCAAUACAAAUUAAUAAAUUAUAAUUUAUGAGACUAGUUUGCAUAAUCUUAUAUAUAAAAUUAUAUCCUCUGAAUAAAAAUCUUCUCACCUCUUUUGACUUUUCAUUUAAAUAUCCUCUCUAGAAUCUCUCUGACCAUAAACACAUUUUUACAAAACAAAACAGAAGAAAUUAUAUAUAAUUCUCACAAGGACUAUUUCAUUUGCACAUAGUACGCAAUUGGUCACUAAAGUUAUUUGAGGAGAAAAUUUACAUGAGAUGGGUACAUCCUAUUAUCAGUAUUUUAAUUUAAGUUUGAACAUACUAGAAUGGUCUCUCAUAAAUUUUUCUCCAAUUUGAGAGAUGGUGGGGAAGUGGGGUUAAAGUGCAUCUGCAUAGAAUUAAUUAUAAUUAAAUUUAUUUUUUAAAACUAUUUUAACUAGAAGUAGUAGUAAUUCUUUUUAUUAUUGUUAUUCCAAUUAUAUCAAAAUCUAGUGACUCGUGAUCAAAUUAAGUAGUUCAUUAAACUUUUUUAGGUGACGUAUGGUAUGGAGUUUUUAUAAAUCUAUAAAUAUAGUAAAAUAUUUAAUUUUGCUUGUCGUAAACUUUUAAUUUGCAUGGGUUAAAAAAGAAAAACUAGCGAAAAGUUUGUGCGCAGAGAGCCAGAGAAAACUAGCGGCCGCUGUUAAGCAAAAAGUUAAAAGUUGAACCCCAUGCAUGAAAGCUCCGAAAAUAUCGGACGUGGCGAAAACCCUAUUUUCGGAGGGACUUUUUCUCCGCCGUUUAGGGAGGCUAGAACAACCAAAAAGGCACGGUUUCGUGAUGAGGAAGUAGCUGGUGACAAUCCUAUGCAGGUUUCGUACAAAGAAACCCUGGUGAACUCUUCGCAAGCAAUGGAGAAUGGUUUUGGAGGCGGAGCAGUGGACUGGGAUUUUGAGGAAGGAGAUGUGAUCGAGAACAACGAUGGACCUAUGCCAUCAAUAGCUUUCUCGGCUAGGGUCCAUGAGAAGUUGAGUGAACCGCGGAAGAAUUCUGUCGUUGUGAAACUACUUGGCCGAACAAUAGGCUAUAGGGCUCUCUGCACAAGAUUGAAUGUAAUGUGGAAAACAACCAUGAGUUUCUCAGUGAUUGAUUUAGAGAAUAACUAUUUUUUGAUUCGCUUCCGCUCAAGUAGUGAUGUUGUUGAUGCUCUAACUAAUGGGCCUUGGCUUAUUAUGGGGCAUUACUUAACGGUACAACCAUGGACACCCAAUUUCGAUUUCACCAAAACGGCUAUUGAUCAAGUCACUGUAUGGAUUCGUUUACCUGGUCUUGCUGUCCACCUCUAUGAUCGGAAAAUGCUGCAAAAGCUUGGACAAUUGGUGGGUACGGUGAUCAAAAUUGAUGUGAAUACAGCCUCCUCUACACGGGGACGUUUUGCCCGAGUUGCAGUCACAAUCUCUUUGGCUAACCCGCUAGUGUCUCAGUUUGAACUGGAUGGGAAGGUCCAGAAGGUGGAAUAUGAGGGAUUGCCAGUGAUCUGCUUUAUGUGUGGAAGGUAUGGACAUAACAGAAAUACUUGCAAGGAAGCUGGUGCAGCGAAUGAAGCUGAAAAUGCCCCCCAGCCUACUAUGCAACGUCAGGAGGUCCCUGCUCAUCAGGAGUUUGGCUGUCAUGAUGCUAGUAUUGUAGAACCCUUUGGCACUUGGAUGAUCGUCACGAGAAAAGGCAGGAGAACUAACAAUGGCAUGGAGAAUAACAGUGAGCUAAACCGGAACCGCGAGCCUUUUGGGGCUAGCACUUCAAGAUUCCACAUUCUAGCUCAAGUCUCAGAUGAGCGUGAGGAUCAUGCCCCUGCAGUGGUUAAGGAUAUCCCCUCCACUUCACGUCAACCACUCAUGCCUACCCUGAACCCUACUUUUACCUCCCAUCAAGAGACCAUAACAAGGACCUCGGCAAGGCGUAAACCUCAUAAUAAGGCUGUGGUUACAAAACCUCGAGGUAGGAAACCGGCCACCUCAAUGAAUCCAUUCCAAAACCCCUUUCAGUCGAGUGUUUUUACCACAAGCAAGAAGGAUGUAAACUCCACACCCCAUGCAAACCUUAAUCCCACAUCAUUUGUAACUUCACAGUUUGAACCUGGUCAUCAACAAGUUUCCCACCUUGCUAACACCUUAGACCCAACGAAGCAUACUGUGGUCUUUUGCUCACCACAAACCUUUCCAUCGGGGAAUGUAAGGGAUGCGGCCAUUGAGCAUAGAGCUCGGCAGGGACCAGACCCUCAACAUACAUCUACUUGCCAGACGCUCGAAACACAUCAUGUGUUAAUGAAGUUGAGAAUGCCCAUACACACCCUGAGCAGCCUACGAGUGGAGUUGAUGAGGCUGGAAUGUUGGAUGAAGAAGAAUCAAUGGUUCAAGAAACGCUUAUGGCGUUGAUGGCUGAUAUUAAUGAUCAGCAAAACUAAGGUUUCUAUCAUCCCCUACUGAAAUUUUUUAUGUCAAUUAGCAUCAUGUAUUGGAAUGUUCAAGGGGUGGCCUUGACUACUUUUCGCCACUCUUUUAAGACUAUUGUUAAAAAUUAUAAUCCUUCUCUGGUGGUAUUGAUGGAACCUCGUAUUAGUGGGGGUAAAGCAGAUGAGUUUAUUAAGAAAAGUGGUUUUGACAACUCUCAUCGUGUGGAAGUAGUAGGCUUCUCUGGAGGAAUUUGGCUGCUCUGGCAGAAUGUUAUAGAGGUGGAGGUUCUUUUAAAUCACAAGCAAUUUAUUCAUUUCAGGAUUAGCAUGAAUAAGGUAUUUAUGUCUUGGGCAACGGCUGUCUAUGCUAGCCCAAAUCCAAUGUUGCGGAGAUAGUUAUGGAAUCAUAUGGAUAGCCUUGCUCUCUCUAUCCAAGGACCUUGGCUGAUUGGUGGGGAUUUCAAUUCUAUAUUGUACGCUUCUGAAAAACAGGGGGAGCUGCAGGGCAGUCAGGAGUGUGUGGCUUGUUUCGGCAGUGGUUUGAUGGACACCAAAUCUUUGAUUUAAAGUUCAAAGGCCCUCAAUCUACAUGGUCUCGUGGUUUUCUUUUCAAAAGGCUAGAUAAAGCCUUAUGCAAUAAUGAGUGGUUAUUAAAGUUUGCAGAUAACUCAGUUCUCCAUCUUCCGAAAGUUGCUUCGGAUCACAGACCGGUGCUAGUUCAGUUUGAGAGAGUUGUACGGAGACAUCAUGGUAAUAGGCCCUUUCGGUUUUUGGCUUAUUGGUUUACUAAUGAUCAUUUUAAUAAUUUUGUUAAGCAGACGUGGGAUCCUCAAGCUUCUUAUAGUGAUGCGGCAUCUAUUUUUGUCAAGGAGGUUCAAGUUUGGAAUCGGGAGGUUUUUGGGAAUAUUUUUCAGCGAAAACGUAUCUUAAUGGCUCGGAUUAAUGAGAUUCAAGCAACCUUGGAGAAAUCUAGUUCGAGGGGGUUAAUGCGCUUAGAGGCUUAGUUGCGGAAAGAUUUGGAGAUGGUGAUGGGGCAAGAGGACAUUCUUUGGUGGCAAAAAUCGAGAAAGGAUUGGAUUAUGCAUGGGGACAGAAAUAUUAGGUUCUUUCACCAAAAAACUAUUGUUCGCAGGCGGCGGAAUAGAAUUGAAGCCAUCCAGGACAAUUCGGGCAAUUGGUUGUACAAUGAGGAAGAAAUCCGAAAUCAUACAGUUGGGUAUUUUUCUGCCUUAUUCACAAGUGAGGCUGCAAGUCCCCAAGUUUAUCUUGUUCCGAAUUAUUUCCCAACUCUGGAUGCUUAUGAUAUCGAUUGUGUUGCCAACCCAGUUUUGGAAGCAGAAAUCAAGAAUGUCGUCUUUAGUAUGAAACCGCUAAAGGCUCCAGGUACGGAUGGGUUGCAUGCUAUUUUCUACCAGUCUCAAUGGGCAGUGGUUUGGCCUUCCUUCUGUAAGUUUAUUGCUGACAUUUUUAACUCUGGUAAGAUUCCUAAAGAGGUCAAUACUACUCUUCUGGUAUUGAUCCCUAAAGUGGAGCAUCCUACUAGCUUAAAAAUGUUCAGACCUAUCAGCUUAUGUAUAGUCGCCUAUAAAACAGUGACUAAAAUAAUUACUAACCGUUUGCAAGUCGUGCUGCCUAAAAUUAUAGGCCCUCAUCAGACGAGUUUUGUUCCUGGCCGCCACAUCAUAGAUAAUAUUGUUGUUGCCCAGGAAGUGGUCCAUACUAUGCAACGAAAAACAGGUAAGCGAGGGCUUAUGGCUAUCAAGGUAGAUCUCGAGAAGGCGUAUGAUCGGCUCAAUUGGUCUUUUAUCUUCGAUACUCUUCAGCUGACUGGCAUUCCGAUUCAAUUAUCUAGGCUCAUCAUGGAAUGUGUUACUACAGCUAAAAUGAGCAUUUUGUGGAAUGGAUAGGCUAUGGAGGAAUUUUCUCCGGGGAGAGGAAUCCGACAGGGAGAUCCCCUGUCUCCCUAUAUUUUUGUGCUUUGCAUUGAGCGGUUGAGCCAUGGUAUUUCCCAAGCUGUGAGGGAAGGCAGUUGGAAACCAAUCCGGUUGGCCAAACGGGGAACUCCCCUAACACAUUUAUUUGUUGCUGAUGACUUACUUUUAUUUGCAGAAGCCUCAAUUAAUCAAGCUUAUAUCAUUGACGCAGUUCUGGAGAAUUAUUGUCGGAGCUCUGAAACAAAGGUUAAUAAAUCAAAAACCAAAGUCUUUUUCUCUAAAAAUGUGUUAUCUAGAGAUGCCCAGCUUAUUAGUGACGCCUUGGGAUUUUCGGCUACUAAGGAUUUAGACUGUUACCUUGGCAUGCCUCUAAUCCAUUCGCGGGUGAAUAAAGCUACUUAUCAGUCCAUUCUGGAUAAGGUGGACAUGCGGCUUACUGGAUGGAAUGUGGCUAAUUUAUCCUUUGCUUGAAGAGUAACUUUGGCUCAAUCGGUGGUUCAAGCAAUGCCCAUUUAUGCAAUGCAAACAACUUUGCUUCCCCCCCGAUGCGUCAUAAAAUUGACACGACUUGUCAUCGGUUUAUUUGGGACGGGAAGUCGAAGAGGCACAAGAUGAGUAUGGUGGGCUGGGACAGAAUUUGUAUGCCAAAGAAUCAUGGGGGUCUGGGGUUUAAAAAGCUAGAUGUGUUGAACCAUGCACUGCUGAUGAAGCUGACCUGGGAAGUUGUAUCUAACUCGGACAAAUUAUGGGUGAAGGUGUUUUGUUCUAAAUAUGGGUUGGAUCCUGGAAACUUACCGCUCUCUCUCCUAGAUAAACAAUGGUCCCGUAUUUGGAUGGCUAUCAGGAAAACGUGGGCAGACACCAUGCAUGGAGCCCGCUGGUCAGUUUGUGAUGGUGUGAGAACUCGGUUUUGGCUUGACUGCUGGGUAACGAAGCAAGAACCUUUGAUAAAUUUUGCCCUCCAGCCGAUCUCUCACGAGAUUAUUAAUGCUACUGUGAGUGAGUUUAUAAACGAACACAGGGGCUGGAACUGGCUGAGAUUUGAACAUUUGCUGCCAAAUUACAUCCUCAUAUUGCAUCAGUUAGGCACUGACAAAAUUUACUGGAGUUUUGAUCCAAGAGGUGUGUUUACUGUCCGUUCAGCCUACGACUCCAUCUAUCGUCAAAACCUAGCCAUCCAAGAUGAAGCAUGGAGCUUAGCAUGGUCGUGGAAGGGACCCCAAUCUAUCCGCCUUUUUCUUUGGCAAAUUAUGCAUGGGAAGUUGAAGACUCAUGGUGAGCUGUCUCGGCGUCACAUUCCCGUGUCUAUGGCUUGUGAUAGGCGUGGGGCAUUGGUUGAGGACAUUCUACAUGCAUUGAGAGAUUGCCAUUGUAUUAAACGGGUUUGGCUGCGACUUGUUCCAGAGGGUGAUUAUCACUCUUUCUUUCACAUUAAUUUACGGGAUUGGAUUGUAGUUAAUCUUCAGAACAAGUUAAAGUUCGUUUCCCACAUUCAUUGGGAGUGUGUUUUUGGAGUGGCCGUUUGGAGAUUAUGGUUCUGGAGAAAUCAUUUCAUGGUCGAAGGAAAAUUGGUGGAUAGCUCAGCAAUUAAUAUGGAUAUUAUGGCCAGAGCAAAUGAAAUUCAUAGAGUGAAUAAUUCUCACAUGAGUCAGCAACCGAGGAGAAAAGAGAUGCUUAUCGGCUGUCAGCCUCCUCCAUGGCCUUGGUGUAAGUUAAAUACGGAUGGAUUUGUUAGAAAUUCAUGGGAUGUAGGGGCUGGUGGUGUUAUUCGUGAUUCAGUUGGUCACUGGAUUUCGGGAUUUUGUAUGAAUAUUGGGGAGUGUUCGGUGGUUAUGGCUGAGCUAUGGGGUCUAUAUCAAGGUUUAAUCCUGGCGUAGGAUGCUGGCAUAAAACGUCUUUUGGUGGAAGUGGACAGUCUGUGUGUUUCACAGAUGAUUUCUAAGCAGGUGGUCGUGCCUAAUGCUUUUUAUGCUCUAGUUGUUGCUAUCCCGAAACUUCUAAGCAGGAACUGGCAAGUUUCCCUCACUCACAUCUUUCGUGAAGCGAAUUCAACUGCGGAUUUCAUGGCUAAUAUGGCUUAUUCAGUCUCUCAUGGGUUACAUUUAUUUACUAGCCCGCCUGUGGUUAUUUAUUUAAUUAUAUUGCAAGACAUGUUUGGGGUUGCUCAACCCCGUAUUGUUCCGGUUUAGCUCGAAUUUGAGCCCAUUUUAAUCAAAAAAAGAAAAAGAAAAAAAGAAAUUGACUUAUUAAUUAAUUAACAAUUAUAGAAAGAAUAAAUAGAAAAUUAUAAUGGCGAACCUUGCUUGUUCUUUGCCUCUUGGGCUUAUGGUGUACCCUUGUCCCCCGCUGGGGGUUUCAUCCAUUCUUCUGUAUGAUUCUUACGGGGUUGCGACUCCUCGUUCGGUUGUUUUUUAGCUCUUAAUUGAGCCCCAGUUGAUCAAAAAAAAAAAAAAAAAAUUAUAGUUGCGUGAGAAAACUCUCGUGAAAAGGGCUCCGGAUUUCCUUUCCCUGGCUUCGUGCGUUUCCUUUUGCCCUUUCGAGCACGAAUUCGAAUCCAGUACUUUAUAAUAAAGAUAUAAUAUUAAAAAAUAAGAAAAAGAAUCCAAAUUUUUACUGGUAUAUAACGCAGAGCCAAAGCGAUAGCAAAACAUCAAAUUGUUUUUAUUUCAACCUUCGCGCAACUUCCGGUGACAUAAUUUUUAUCUGUUUCAGGUAUCGUUCUUGUUUUUUUGUUAUUCAUUCACAUAUCCUUCUUUUCUUUUCUUUUUUGCUGUAUUUUGUUUAUGAAACGCUCUGUUUCAGUUUUGUUUCUGGUUUUGUUUCAGUUUAACAUUAUUGGUUCGGUUCUGUUCUACGUCGUAUGUAUAUAUGUAUAUAUUUUUGGCCUCGAAUUGCUUUGAUCACCGGUUUUGUUAUUCAUUUAUCGUGAAUUUUAGAUGACUUGUUUGGCCAUGUAUUCACUUGAUUAUUACAUUCAGCUGCCAUUUUCAUGGUGGGUUUGUAAGAUAGUCUCUGACUAGCAUACGACAUUGAUCAUGAAUGAUGGUUUUGUUAGAUACAUCAUACGGAUGUUAACUCGUAUUAUUGUGUACUUACUUCAUUCAAAAGAUUAGUGUUUCUCUCUCUCUCAAUUUUUUUAAGAAAAAAAAUGAAAUGCCCCUUUUCGCAUUUUAUAGGUGAAAGGAAGAAACAUAAUAUCGCAGUGUCAAGGAAGCUCAUAAUGUAUGGAAGGAUGCAGCACACGUGUGAGAUGAAUACAGUCAGCUGAAGUUAGUUAGACACGUUAAGAUCAUAUUCAAUUAGCUUCUUUAUUUUCUGUUAAGUUGUAAACAGCUGAGUAUAAAUACAAGCAUCUUGUAAUCAUUUCGUUGUUAAGAAAAAUGAAAUAAAGCAUUUGAUUCAGAAGUCUUUUACAAAUUUUCUUAGCACUUUAAAUACAUUUUCUCAGUAACCAAACAGUCUGUUCAUUCAAGCUUUUAAGCUUUCAAACAUGGUAUCAGAGCCAUACAGAGCUAGUUCCAGUAAUCAACAGUCAAGCUUUCGUAAUCAAACAACAAACAACACAAAUCAAUCUACUCAAAUCAACUUCUCCUUUACUAAUCCUAUCAAGCUAGAUCGAUCAAAUUACUUACUCUGGCGCUUUCAAGUUUUAGCCUCAAUAAGAGGCAAUCGUUUGGAAGAUUUCGUCACAGGAGCCAAAUCAGUACCUGAUAAGUGUCUUCUGUUAACUGAAGUAGAUGGAUCUACACAACAAAUUGAAAAUCCAGAAUAUCAGAUCUGGAGAUCACAGGAUCAGACACUUCUUGGCUGGCUACUGUUGUCAUUAAGUGAAGGUAUCUUAAGUCUUGUUAUCAAUUGUGAAAGUUCAUUUGAUAUAUGGAAAACUUUGGAAAAGAAAUUUGGAGUUCAAUCUGAAGCUCGAGUUCUUCAGCUCAGAUAUGAACUAAACACUCUUAAAAAGGAAGCUCUUAGUGUUUAAGAUUAUUGUAUUAAAAUGAAAGCAAUAACUGAUAAGCUAGCCAGUGCUGGUAGUUCAAUUACAGAGAAGGAUCUUAUGUUAACUAUUCUUAAUGGAUUAGGACCAGGAUUUCGUGAUAUUGCUACAUUUAUAACUGGUUCACGAAUGGAAUUUGAUGAUGCUUAUGCACUGUUACUCACUCAUGAGACUAGAUUAGAGCAGGAGAAAGGUGACAGAAGUAUGUUUAAUGCAAACUAUGCAUAUACGAAUGCAUAUUAUCCUAGAGCUUAUUUUGCACAGCCUAGAGGAAGUUUUAAACGAGGAGGUUAUUCUGGUGGUAGAACUCCUUUCUUUGGCAGAGGAAAUAUGAAUUACUCUCCAAGAAUGUUUAAUGGAGGUGUUAGAAAUGGAUAUUGCAGAGGAUUUUUUCCUGGAAAUAACUCAACUGAUUUCAAUCAUUUUUCAGCUCCUAGGAAUCCAGUACCUAGGAACUCAUCCUUUCUAGCUAGAAAUGGUGCUAAUAUGAGUGGAUCACAAGGAAGCUUUAAUAAUGCUAGGGAGCUGGUAUGUCAGAUUUGCUUUAAGAAUGGUCAUACUGCUGAUGUCUGUUGGCACAGAUUUGUUGAAGACUUUGUACCUAUUCCAAGAGGUUUUGGCAGGGGAAAAACACCAAGAGCAGCAUAUUUCUCAAACUUUGAUGGCCCUACUUCUAAUCCAGAUUUUGGCUAUGAAAAUAAUAAUAUGUUUCCAGGUUAUGAUUCUAUAUCUGGCAAUAGUUACUAUUCUGGAAUGGAUGGAUACACUUCUGGAGCAGUUGGAACAGCUUUCAUGGCUAAUUUUGAAGGAACUGCUGAUGAUAGAUGGUAUCUGGAUAGUGUGGCAACUCACCAUUUAACCAACAAUAUGGAGAAUUUGCAGAUCAAUGAAGAGUUUAAAGGUACUGAUCAGCUUAUCAUUGGAAAUGGUCAAGGUUUGUCUAUUACUCAUGUUGGACAUGCAUUUCUGGUAUUAAGAGCUUCUAAAUCUUUAUCUAUACAUGCUAGAAUAACACUUAAAGAUGUGUUAUUUGUUCCUUCAAUUACCAAAAAUCUAUUAAGUAUUUCCAAACUCACAUCUGAUAAUCUUGUAUCUGUUGAAUUCUGUGGAAAUGUUUGUUUUGUAAAGGACAUGAAGGGUCAAGUUCUUCUGCAGGGUAUUGCUGAAAAAUGCCUUUACAAGCUGCUGCUGAAAUCUAAUUCUCUUUCUUCAUCACCUACAUCUUAUCUUUGUAAAUCCCAGCCAAAUAAACCAGUUUCUAUGUUAUCUGCUUUCAAACACUGUGAUAAUGGUACUCGAGCUUGCUAUCAAUCUGUUUUAAAUAAGUGUAAUGUCAAACCUGAUAUGAUAACUUUGUUACAUAGAAAGUUUGGUCAUCCAAGCUCAAUGACAUUGGUGCAUUUGCUCAAAUCAUGUAAACAGUUUAAAGUCUCUCCAAAAGACAUGUUAUCUUCUGCAAACACUUUAUGUGAAGCAUGUCAGCUAGGCAAAGUCCAUAAGCAACAUUUCUCAAUAACUGAAACAAAAACAAAAGGGGUAUUAGAAUUGAUUCAUACUGAUCUUUGGGGGCCUUCACCCACUGUGUCUAGAGAUGGAUACAAAUACUACAUUAGUUUUGUGGAUGAUUAUACUAGGUAUUCUUGGAUCUAUCCUCUUAAGCUCAAAUCACAAGCAUUUGAAGUUUUUAAAUUGUUCAAAACUCAAGUUGAGAAUCAGUUUGAUACCAAAAUUAAGAAGCUACAAUCUGACCUUGGGGGAGAGUUUAGAGCAUUUACUGAUUUUCUGAAUCAAAAUGGAAUAAUGUUUAGACACUCAUGUCCUUACACUCAUCACCAAAAUGGUUUUGUUGAGAGGAAACACAGGCAUAUAGUUGAGCUAGGCUUAACCCUCAUGGCUCAAGCAAACCUUCCUCUUCAAUUCUGGUGGGAACCUAUUCAUACAGUAGUGUAUCAUAUUAAUAGAUUGCCUACCCCUGUUCUGAAAUUCUUAUCUCUUUAUGAGAAACUUUUCAAACACAAACUAGAUUACACAUUCCUGAAGUGUUUUGGUUGUCUUUGCUACCCAUACUUGAGAGAUUUUAACAAACAUAAGUUUGAUUUUCACACCUCUAAAUGCAUUUUUAUUGGAUACAAUCCCUCUUAUAAAGGAUACAAGUGCUUAGCAAGUUCUGGCAAAGUCUAUGUUCUUAGACAUGUCAUUUUUGAUGAAAACACAUUCCCUUAUCCAAUAAACACUACAUCUCACACAUCAGAAAACUCCAUAUCUUCUGAAACCUCAGUGUCUAAUUUCUCUCAACAACAUAUCUAUCAUCUUUCUACAAUGGCCUUACCCAACAGCAGCUUUGAAGGUCUUCAAUCAGCAGGCUCAGCAAGAAGUGAACAAAUGUCCUCUGUUCCCACACAUACAGAUAUUCUGAAUCAACAAGAACAUCCAUCACACACAUCUUUAGAGUUAUCAUCCUCAACCUCACCAUCACCAAACACAUUACCAGUACAAUCAUCCAUUCUACAAUCAGAGGAAACUUCUAUUCCACAGAACAUAGACCAAAUUCAAACCAGAAAUCAUUCCCAACCAUCUUCUCAUCCAAUGAUUACCAGAUCAAAAUCUGGAAUCUUCAAACCAAAGGUCUAUACAGUCACCUUAGCCAACAAAGAACCUAGUACAGUUCAAGAAGCUCUUAGUAGUCAGAAUUGGCAUCAAGCCAUGGUAGAUGAGUAUGCAGCUUUGAUAAAGAAUGAGACUUGGUCACUGGUACCAUUUUCAAAUGCAUACAAAGUAGUUGACAAUAAAUGGGUGUUUAGACUUAAGCAAAAUACUGAUGGAAGCAUAGUUAAACACAAGGCCAGGUUGGUUGCCAAAGGUUUUCAGCAAACUGAAGGUGUGGAUUACUUUGAGACCUUUAGCCCAGUUGUAAAAGCUUCAACAGUAAGGAUUGUUCUGAGUUUAGCUGUGAUGCAUAAAUGGAAAAUAAGGCAAGUGGAUGUGAAUAAUGCAUUCUUGAAUGGAGACUUGACAGAGGAUGUCUAUAUGUAUCAGCCUGAAGGUUUUAUUGAUCAACAAAAACCCAAUCAUAUAUGUAAGCUGAAGAAGGCCUUGUAUGGCUUGAAGCAAGCUCCUAGAGCUUGGUAUGACAAGCUUAAGAAUUGUCUUAUUGCUAAUUGGAAAUUUCAGAAUUCAAAGGCUGAUACCUCUCUCUUCUUCAAAGAAGUGCAGGGUUCAAUGAUACUUAUCUUAAUCUAUGUUGAUGACAUUCUAAUAACAGGACCUGAUAAUGGUGAGCUGGAAAAAUUCAUCUCAGAAUUCAGUAAGACUUUUUCCUUAAAAGACUUAGGGAAUUCUGUCAUAUUUUCUGGGGAUAGAAGUUUCCUAUGCUGAAGACUGCAUCUAUUUAUCUCAGAAGAAAUAUAUCUUGGAUUUGUUAUCCAAAGCUGAUAUGCAAAAUUGUAAAGGCUGUGACACUCCCAUAGUUACUGGAACAAAGCUUCAGAAAGAAGUCAAAGGCUGUUUGGGUCAAUAUAUUGAGGAUGCAACAAGCUAUAGAAGCUUAGUUGGAGGUUUACAAUAUCUGGUAUUAACCAGACCAAAGAUAGCAUUUGCUGUGCAUAAGUUGAGCCAGUAUGUGACAGCUCCAACACUCCAGCAUGUUAUGGCUUGUAAAAGAGUUCUUAGAUACCUUAAGGAAACUGCAGAUCAUGGUUUGAAGUUUUCAGCAGGUGGAGAAAUGAAGAUCACAGGAUUUACAGAUGCAGAUUGGGCAUGUGAUGUUGAUGACAGAAAAUCAAUAGGAGCAUAUUGCAUUUAUUUUUGGAAACAAUCUAAUUUCAUGGUCAUCCAAGAAGCAGGCUAUGGUUACACGAUCCAGUGCAGAGAGUGAAUAUCGUGCUCUGGCUUCUGCAAGUGCAGAGAUAACAUGGAUCCAGUCAUUAUUCAGUGAACUCAACAUUAAGUGUACUUCAUUACCAACUAUCUGGUGUGAUAAUAUAAGUGCAACAGAGUUGGCCAAGAAUCCAGUUUAUCAUUCAAGGACAAAACACAUUGAACUGGAUAUGCACUUUAUUAGAGACAAAGUUUUGGCAAAGGAGUUGGAGAUUAACUAUAUUCCCAGCGAGGAGCAAAUUGCUGAUGCUUUGACAAAGCCUCUGACAUUCAUUCAUUUCAAUUAUUUCAGAGACAAACUCAAUGUGCAACCAUGCCCCUUGAGUUUGAGGGGGGCUGUCAAGGAAGCUCAUAAUGUAUGGAAGGAUGCAGCACACGUGUGAGAUGAAUACAGUCAGCUGAAGUUAGUUAGACACGUUAAGAUCAUAUUCAGUUAACUUCUUUAUUUUCUGUUAAGCUGUAAACAGCUGAGUAUAAAUACAAGCAUCUUGUAAUCAUUUCGUUGUUAAGAAAAAUGAAAUAAAGCAUUUGAUUCAGAAGUCUUUUACAAAUUUUCUUAGCACUUUAAAUACAUUUUCUCAGUAACCAAACAGUCUGUUCAUUCAAGCUUUUAAGCUUUCAAACACGCAGAACUAGAAUAAAGGAGCCUAUUCUGGUACCUAUUGUCCAAGAAAGCUUCUGUAUAUUCAGUAGGAACUACCAUGGAAGUCAAAUCUUACCAGAGCCAGGCGGAGUCGUUGCUGAAGGAAUAUAUAUUAGCAGAUCCAUUUCUCCCGUACACUUCAAUUGUUGGUAGCAUUUUUGCUUGCACGAUGGUAUGUUUGUCAUCGUUACUGCGUGGUGGUAUUUACUAGAAAAUAUUUUGAAUGCGUAGUUUUCAUCUAAUUAGUUAUAAAUUUUAUACCCUCUGUUUUCCAUAAGAAUGUGUUCCUUUUCAGGUCUAUGAUCUUGCCCAAUUGAUUAGUGUGCUGAUAACUUUAAAUCUGAUUCCAGUUUCUCCAACAUACAGCGGGUCGAGUGGAGUAACAGGUGAUUGAAAAUUUUCAUUUAGUCCAAUUGUCAUUUCUUUCUCAAUCGGUAAAAUUUAAUCAUUUUUCUUAAAUCGACAACUUAUGCCGGGCCAUAUCAACUGUCCAUGACAUUUUUAUUACAACGAUGUCUUUGUACUUUGUGUUUUGGUCGAAUCUCAGAGUUUGUGCAUAGCACACUUGGUUCUACUGUUUGUUUGUCCCUUCAUAGACAUUUUGAUAAACUGUUAUUUUUGUUCUUUGGAAGUGAAUAUUUUCAGCAACUAGAACUCCGAAGCAUCUGGAGUGAUCCAUUUUGUCAUUCGCAAUACCUAUAAAAGAAUGUCAUAGAAAACAGUUUCCAAAGCAAGUUGCAUGUGUUUUGAAUUUGUCUUUGCAAGCCACUAAUUGCUUGGAGCGCACUGUUAGCCUGUCGUGAUCCCAUCCACUUUUUUGGAUAGACAAUUGUGCAUCCAUAUGAUCUGGACUAAACUAGUUUCUAAUAAAUAAUUGCCCAAGGAUUUAGUCUCAGUGUUACAGCCCAGUCUUUGUUGUCAAUACUCUUUCCCCUGUCGUGGAUGAGCGCCAUAACAGCUUCUUAAUGUUUUGCAGUGGCUUUUGCACGGUUGUUGUUUCCUUCUGAAGCUAGAGUAGCUACGGAUAGAGCGGAUGCAGAUGCCACCAAUUUUUAUACUGGCCUUUCAGCAUCAAAAUCAAAAGGAUCAAGUGGGAACUUAAAGGAGGUUGAUUUGAAUGAAACACCCUCCAUGCAAGCCAAGAGACUCCAAUUAAGAUUGCAAGCUCUGCUUAAAACAAGUAUUCAUAUACCUUAUUAGUUUUUGUACCUUUACAAUUUGUGAUUUUUGUAUCAAAAGAGAGAGGUUAAUUUUUAGUACAUUGAUAUCUCGACAAACUGUUAGAACCUUUGCACCACUAGAGACAUUUUCUUAGAGCAUUUACUGAACCUUCUAUGAUUGCAGUGGAGAUAGGUCGACGCUACUUCCCUCGUUGCUCAGAAGUGGUUGAUAAAUUUUAGGAUUGUGAUUGGUCCGAUGCUUCCCUCCUAGAAAAAGGGUACUCCUAAAGAGCAGAGACUCAAAAGGGCACGCUUCAUGGAACUUAAAGAAGACGUGAAGAAGGCAUUUUACAAGGACAUGGCUGAGAAAAAAUGGCUCAGGUUUGUAGUCAUCCUCGUCAUCGUCAUCUUCUCCGAAGGACGGAGUAAAGUGUAAGGGUAGGAAAAUGUGAUGCUUAUCUGCUUGUCUUUGUUAUUCAUUUACAGGCAACUAAAAGAGUUUUAGUGAGUUGGAUUGUUACUUGUAGAGAGAUACUCUUCGAGCCUAUGUUAUGGCUUAUGUUGUAUAAUAGCAGAGGAACUUCAAGCUUGCGUUGUUGUAUUUUCCCUGGUAUUUGGCAUGUGAUGCACUAAAUGACAAAGAAUUUUCUAAUUUUAGAGGGGAAAGUUAUGUCAGUUAAUUAUUUAUUUAUUUUGUCUGUUUAAUUCAGUUUACACAGCGCUUUUUUUUUUCUAAAAAAAUCUUCAUAUCUCCAUCUGCAAUUUAAGUCAUUCUUAACUUGUUUCAGGAUGGGGAACAAAAAAAAAAAAGAGAAAAUGAAAAGAAGCAUUUGUAAGUAUAUUUUACAGUACUGAUUUUCCUAUAGAAAUUGGUUAAUGUGACAUUAAUGUUCUUUGAGAUAGACGGAUAUACAGAUUUUUCGUCGAAAUUGAAAUUAGAAAUGGAUGGAUAUGCAGAAUUUUUUAAUAGAAUUUUUAUACAAAAAUUUGUAGCUCAUUACUCUCUAAAAGGAAAAAAUAAAUUUUUGAUUGUAAAUAUUAAAUUUUAAAUUUAUAAUAUAAUAACUUUGUGAGUUAAGGUGCACAAUACCCAUAUAUUAAUAAUUAAGAAAAGAAAAAAAAAUUAAAAUUUGUAAAUUACCAAUUUUUUCUUGAAAUUUGAUAUUCUAUAUUAACGUAGGUGUUGCAUGGACUGGGUUAGUACAAUUGAAAGAAACUAACUAAAGUAAAACAAAAUAUCAUUAAAAAUAUGGCAAGCUUCUCAUAUUUUUUAAGUGAAAAAGAGAAGAAAACUAAAAUUAGUUAUUUUUAUACCCAAAUUCUAGUGCUUGAAGGCCGCUGGAAUUGACCAUUGCAGUUUUGUCAUCCUCAUUAUUCACCGGCCAUCGUGGCCUUCCUCCAUUAAAAAAAUAAAUGAUCAUUUUUUUGGACCACGACAUAUUAAAAAUAGUAUUGAUUAAUACUAAUAAAUCUCUUUUUUUAUUAUUUUGCAGUGCAAUAGUCCAGUGAGGGCAGUGCCCAUCGUAGCACUUGAACAUGUGGUAAAUUUCUGCCAGUCUUUGUAAAAUAAUUUUUAAAUUAUGUAUUAACCAGAUAGCUCAAUGAAAACUAUCGUUCACUAAAUCAUUACUUUAUUUUGUAUAUAUUUAUGGUAAUUGUUGAAAAGAAAAAUGUAAAGUGAGAUUAAUGAACGUUUAUGAAUGUGGAAAUUAACACAACCAGGAUUUAUGAUAAAAUAAUUUUAAGUCAAAUGAGCAUAAAUUUGUAUAAAUAUUUUUUGAAUUGUCAUAUAUAUACAAGUUUGUCACUAAUUCCUUACCUAAAUCAUGUACUAAGCAAACAGCAAAUAAGAUCGAAAAUCUUGUUGAAUAUUCCUAUGUUCCCGAGUCCGCCCAGAUCACUGAAUCUUCUUUACCUCUUAUCAGUCCAUACCAUCUGUAUAAAAAAACCAUCUUCUUUUACUAAAACCAUCAAAACCCUGAUUUCUACCAAACGCCCCUCUCCUAAAGAGUAUAUCCAGUCAUCUAAACUAGAUCAGUGUGCUUUAAUGGCUACUGCAGCUGAACAAUAUGUGACACUUGAGAUACCCCCAGAAGUAAUCUCUACAUGGAAAAGAAAAGGCUAUACACAUCUUCAUCUUGCAGGUGUUCGCCUUAUCCUUACUCUCAAUGGGAGAAAGGGUCUACCCGUCACAGCCCGAAUUGCUUUGCUUGACACCAGGUUUAAGCAAUAUCAGCAUGCCAUUAUUGGCACAGUUCUUACUACUCUCUCUGCCGGAAAUGUUUUGCUUACAUUCUAUCCUAAUUUCAAUCUUUCUCUUCUUGACUCUAAUCUUUUCAAAGUAGGUUUUAAUGGUGUUCAAAAACAUAACAUCACAUUAAGGAAUCAUUCUUUUAUUGUUAUCCCCAAAAAAAGUUCACCUUCACCAACCCCCUCAUUUACCCUUCUUCUCAGCUAUCCUUUGGCGUAUCUCCAUUUUAAUAGGAAGUAUUAGCAUAUCUCCCACUUUUCUCCCCUGCCGUUUGUAUACCGUUUCAUAUUGUUAAUGGACGAAGCUACAAGUCUUCUCUUUCAUCAAAUCGAUCCAUAACAAAUACGAGUCUGCUUCACCUAACCAAAACACACACAUACUCCAUCUCUAAAUGCUUUGAAGAUAAACAAAUCAACGGUAAUCCUGCAACUUUAGCUCAGAGAAUCGGAUAAGAAAAGAACAGGCGAUGAAUCAAGGGUAAUGGCGCCGAGUGAGUGUCGCCUGCGGUCGGCGUUAGAGGCGACUGUCACUCAAUCGCGUACAAGGUUAGUCUUUGAAAAAACUCUUUGCACGUUAGAAAUCAGUGAUUGGGCAUUAUUUUGUUAUUUAAAAUGAAAAUGGGUUUGUUGAUGUGUUGAAGAAGUUUCUCUACUGCUGGUGUUUUUUUAUUAAUUAAAAUGAAAAUGGGUUUGUUAAUUUAUUGAAGCAGCUGCUGGCAUUGUUAUUGUGACUUUAUUUAUCCAAUUGAUGAGCUUAUGAGCUAAUAGUAUUGUUUGAUCAAGCUUGUGUUCUUAAUAGUGGAGUUGAUAUUCUUAAAAUGAAUUUAUGAUUAUGAGAAUAUGAAAAUUGAAUGGCAUCGUAGAGAUCUGGAUUAAUCACCAUCGUAUAUGUUUCUAAAUAAAGGAAUAAGCAGCAACCGAUUUGAAAGUUAAGACUUUAGGGAUAUGUAUGUGCAACUGAAUGAAUCAUCAGUUGCUAUCUUGUAAGUCAGUGCUAGCAUAUUACCUAAUGGCAAGUGAAGCUAUUUUAUGUGUAUUGCUGCCUAUCAAAAUGUUUAUGUUUGAAGUUUUCUCCUUUUGGGAAAUUGAAUGCUUCUGUGAGUUCUCUGGUAAGGGCUAUACAACUAUCUCUAAUAGAUUCCUUCAUGUGCAUUAAUUAGCUUAGUAGUUUAUUGACCUAUAUCCAAUGUCUAUUCUCCUUUUCUGUAGCCGUCUAGUUUUAUGAGUGUGUGAAGUGAACUUUUGUUUUAUGUUUCAGGACUUGGGAUUAGAGUGUAUAACAUUCAAUAUCUUUAUAUCAAAGAACUGAUAUAUGUCAAUGUAGUGCGAUCUGGUCUUUAUUAGCUUCUUGAUUUGCCAGGAUGUUUGACAACCAUCUUUGACCAUGAUUGCCAACAUAUAAGCUGCUACAUAGUGUCUCAGGAAUCACAGCAAAUUAUUAUCAUAAUAUGGUGAUUUUGAAUCCAAAACUUGGUAGUGUCAAGAAAAUAGACCCAUGUUUAUUUAUCUUCAUGUUUUGUAUGCGCCUGCAAUAGACUAUUAUAAGUUACUUUUAGUUUUGUCAAUUUUUUUUCCCUUAAAUGUCAGUUAUUUCAGCGGUUUCUUUUAACUGAGUUAAUAGUGUUGUUAGGUUAAACUAAGUUUGGCUUCAUAAGCUUCAUAGUAGAGUGUAGAAUUGGGUAUAAUUUUGGAUUAGACAAGUCAAAGGUCUUAUCAAGUAAUUGUUCUGCUUACUGAUUUGGUAAUUGCAACAUUGCUAAAUAGUUCAAUUUGUCCUUUUUAUUUUGUUGAAUUUAUUGUAUGUCAUAUUACUUAAUUUAAUUAUUUUCUCAGAUCUUGUAGGUGAAAAUUUCAGCUUCAAAGACCAAAGCUAAUCAUCCAGCAAUUCAGUGAAGAAACCAAGACACAGUGGCUCAUAAAUUGUUGUUGGUGAUCCCAGCCAUUCGGGUGCUCGCCAGUCCUAGAUGAGAAACCUUUCAACGCGGCGCAUAAAUUGUUGUAGAGCUGCUUUAUAUAUUUUGACCUUUGUGAUUUGUGAAUACAUGGUUUGAUUCCAGUGUUUACAACUUUGAAAUUCAAUUAAAAGUUGAGCUGUCAUUGAUUGAUGACAAGAUUGUGUUGUAUAACUUGAGAAGCAAAUGAAACAAACAGGAAAUAUGUUUUUUUAUUUUUUUAAUCUAUCUAUCUAUUUAUUUUUUGUUUGGAAAUGUUACAAUUUAUAGCUGGCAAAGUAAUAGAGUUGUAUACUUGUAUUUAAUUUAUUAUUAUUAUUAUUAUUUUAAUGACUCGGUAAUGUCAUUGUCCGUGGUGUUUUGUCAUUUCGAAAGUACUUAACCCUUCCACGCUAAGGCACAUUACCGCAGCCGAAACUUUGAGCUUUCAGUUCUUGAUUUUAGCGUGAGGGGUAUCUUUGUCUUUUCAGUAGUCAACACACGGUCAACAAAACAGUGUACAAACAAUCGACCUGUGAACUUGGGUCAAAGCUUUCAUCUUUAAAUCACAUAGGUAGAUCAUGAUUCAAGCUUCAGUUAUAAGCCUUUCAUUGUGAUUGAGGUAAUUGUGUUUCACUGCUAUUUGUAUUGCUUAAAUUUAUGCUUCUUGGUAUAGUUUUAACAUAUAUGGGAUUGAAAUCAAUUUCAGUUGUGAAGCAACUCCGGUGGUUCCCAAUAUUAGGCAUUGUAGUAGAUCCAAAAUUAGCUUGUUAAGAAGUGUAGAUACCGUAGAGCCCAAAACUCCGUCUUAUCUUGCAAGAGUCUGUUGUUUUAUUUUGAAAGAGACAAAAGUGAUGAUGAUGGGCAGCGAACUCUAGGAAUCAAUGCUUGCUGACACUGACCCCCAAGAAUCAAUGAGUCUGAAUUUGAUAAGUGCACCUAUCCUAUCACAAAAGCUUUUGCGUUGAGUUUCUAACCAAUUUUCAUUUGGGUAGGUGUCAGUUCAUGCUCUGGCUUGACUGUUCUGUUAUUUAGGUUGUUUUAUCCGUAUUUUCUUCACUCACUUGAUGGUUAGUUCUCUCAUGCUUUCAAGCUCUCAACAGUGAAUGCGAGAGAUUCUAUUUUUCCCGUCCAGUCUAUAACCUAGCAAAUCAUUAAUGCUGUAGAAUAGCAUCUUGUGUAGCCGAGUUUAUGUCUCUGAACAUUGGUCCAUCGGCAUUUAGGUUCAAUAAGCAUCUUGAAUUUUGAAUAUAUUAUUCUGAAUCAAAACCCUAUCUGUCCGUGUAGCAUUUUUUAUAUGCUUUACGAUGUUUACCAAUAAUUACCCACUAUGGGGUAUUUGAAUUUUGAAUAUAUUAUUCUGAAUCAAAACUCUAUCUGUCCGUGUAGCUUUGGCUUCUGAACUUGGUUGAGAAGGCUCUUGUGGAAGAUGUAAUCCCAAUUCUCGUGGCUGCCUUGCAUUGCCAACUGAACCACCUCCGUUCUUUCUGCAUCCAGAGAAUUGCAAAGUCAAAUCUUGACAAUGUUUGUCUCGAGAAAGAGCUUCCUGAUGAAGUUUCAAGUGAAAUCAAAUCACUCCGUGUCAAAUCUAACCAGGAGUCUGAAGCUAAUAUAGCAGAAGUGGAUCCUAUGCAUGCAAAAAUAGUCAGAAGAAUCCACAAGGCGCUGGACUCUGAUGACGUUGAACUGUUGAAGCUUCUUCUGGAUGUAUCUAGUGUCACUCUGGAUGAUGCUUACGCUCUGCACUAUGCUGCUGCCUACUGCAACCCUAAGGUUUUUAAGGAAGUGCUCAAUAUGGGCUCGGCUGGUCUCAAUCUUAAGGAUGCAAGAGGACAGACGGUCCUUCAUGUGGCUGCAAGGCGUAAUGAGCCAGAAGUGAUGGUGACUCUGCUGAGCAAGGGAGCAUGCGCAUCAGAAACUACAUCAGAUGGGCAAACAGCUGUAGCAAUCUGUCGGAGAAUGACAAGGCUAAAGGAUUAUCUUGAAGCUACAAAGCAGGGGCAGGGAACUAACAAAGACCGGUUAUGCAUUGAUGUCCUUGAGAGAGAGAUGAGAAGGAACUCCAUGUCUGAGAACUUGGCAAUGCCAUCAGAGGUGAUGGAUGAUCAUUUCCAAGCGAAGCUGGACUAUCUAGAAAAUACAGGUGAUAUUUCUUUACUGGUAUUAGUUCAUCACCUUCUCAGAGUUUGUGCAUAGCACACUUCUUUCUACUGUUUGUUUGUCCCUUCAUAUGGAAAAUGGAGGUGAUAUUCCUUUACUGGUAUUAGUAAAUCAUCUUCUCAAGAGUUUGUGAGUCCCUUCAUUUUAGCAUCUCAAACACACAUGGGCUCAUUGCUUGGGGCACACUGUUGGCCAGUCAUGUGAUUUGAUCCCCUUUUUUGGAAUGGAGAAUUCUGAAUCCAUCUGAUCUAGGCUUUGUGGUUUGCACUGAACUGGUUUUUGAUGAAUAAUUGUACAAGACUUUGUAAUAAAAAACUUUUUUUUUUUUCCCAAAAAGUAAUGAGCUACCAAAAAAUUUAUGCCUAUCCUGGAUGACUGCCAUAACAGCUUCUUAAUAUUUUGCAGUGGCUUUUGUACGGUUGUUUCCUUCUGAAGCGAGAGUAGCUAUGGAAAUAGCAGGUGCAGAUACCGCCACUGGCCUUUCAGCAUUAGGUCAGAAAGGACUAAGUGGGAACUCAAAGGAGAUUGAUUUGAAUGAAACGCCCUCUAUGCAAGCCAAGAGACGCCAAUUGAGACUGGUAACUCUGCUUAAAACAGGUAUUUAUAUACUUUAUUAACUUUUGCACCUUUCUAUUUACUGAUUAUCUUUAUAAUUAACUAAUACAUGUAUCCAGGUUUCUCCUUCCAAUUGGAAUUUCUUUAUAGUGCUCUGUUAGGUGUAAUCAGAUGUAUCAAAAGAGAAAGGGUAAUUGUUAGUACAUUGAUAUCUCAACAAAAUGGUAGAACCUUUCUUUAUACCAGUUAAGACAUUUGUUGCAGGUAUGCCUACAUAAUCAGUGUCCUUCAAAACUUUCAAGGAGUUAGCUAUGCCUAACCCCUGAAACACUAAAUCUCACGGGAUCAACUCUUUACCUCUAGACCGAAGGUGUGACACCCAGACCCAAUUAGGGCUUAGAACACAUAUCGAAUCUGAGUGAAACUAAAUGCCUGUAAAUCCAAAUCUCCAAAAUAUCAAAAAGUCAUCUACUUUCUCUUUUCAUGUAUUUCACAAAAUUUUGAAAAAUUCAUUCUCAAUCAUAAACUAUGCACAGCUAAUUAUUCAGCAUAUCAGUAUAGAGCAAUACUUCCUCAUAAGCAAAUAAAUCUUACAAUCCUUCUUACAUGAUUUGAAAAAAAUACUAAUAGAAGUCUUCUAGAUACAAACAUAAACAGAAUUCAACUGUUUAAAACUAUGCCAAAACACAAGCUUCAAUCAGUAAUACAUACGACUAAUUAUUAAAAACAUCUAGCCAGAAACCUUACGAAAGCUCAAUCCUUCCGAAGCAUUCUUCAAAUUAAUAAUUGCUACCAUCUGUAAAAAAUAAUUGGUAAGGAGUCAACUGUGAACUCAAUCAGUAGAAACAUUCGUAACGAACAAAAAGAAUUCUUUGUGCAAUAUUUUCAGAAAAUUCAUUUAACCUUUCAAAUGAAACAAAGUAAUUUUUCUAACGCAGUCAGGAUUUAUAUAAAACACAAACGUUUCAGACAGAAGCUAUGUGGAACGUAAAUUUUGCUUCUUUAAACAGAAAGUUAUAUAUUAGUUUGAUUUUAAAGGGAGGUUAUUGGGAAGUUAAAAUUGGCAGUUGUGGGAAAAGGGUAAUAGCAGUUAUAAAAUCUCUUUUAAAGCAAAUUCAAAUCAAGUUUCAAAUUUUAGGAGUACUUAAUUCAAUAAAAUAAGGAAUAAAUAAAGCUUUCAUUGAAACAAAACUAAGUAAAUUCAUUUAAAGCAAAAAAGGAUGGGAACAUUACAUAAGGGUUCUUAUGUUUACCCGCAGUCAGACAUCUGGGAUCUUGUUAUUUGGAGACAGGACUUGAUUGUGCCAUGUUUUCCGCAGCUAGACAUCUGUGGAUAAGAGAACCCUAAGCCUAUUGAGAAUAAAUUCCGUAAUCCAAGACUCUUCAGUUCUUUAAUUUUUGGCUAAUUAGUUAUAAAAUUUGUGAAUUUCAUGCUCCAUGCCCCUUGCAAAAUGUAUUUUAUAUCCUUAAGUUGCCAGUUGUUGAACUGAAAUAAUAAAAAAUGGAAAACAGACUUAAUGCCGAUAGCAUUUCUUAAGAAAAACUUGGGAUGUUUAUAAUUUUCUUAGAGCAUUUGCUGAACUUUCUGUGAUCGCAGUCGAGACAGGUCACCUCUACUUCCCUCAUUGCUCAGAAGUGGUUGUUGAGUUUAUUGAUUGCUAUCAUUGCUCAGAAGUGGUUGAUGAGUUUUUGUAUUGUGAUUGGUCCGAUGCUUCCCUCCUAGAAAAGGGUACUCCUGAAGAGCAGAUACUCAGAAGGGCAUACUUCAUGAAACUUAAAGAAGACAUGCAGGAGGCACUCUGCAAGGACGUGGCUUAUCACCGUCAUUCAGGGCUGCCAUCAUCCUGGUCGGCAUUUUACAAGUACUUGGUGGCUGAGAGCAAUCGUUCAGGUAUGUCGAUUGGUAUAUUUGGCACCUGGGAAACUAAAAGAAUUUAGUGAGCUCGAUUGGUAUUUGUAGUUCUUUUUCCUCUAGUGAUCUGGCAUGUAUCAAUUAGUUAAAUUAUUGUAUUUUCUCAUGUCCAGUGGGACACGCAAACGUUAGUAUGGAUCAAAAACUCAUUUCAUAUAAUAUUUUUUUGUAAAAUUAUAUAAUUUACAGGCUAUGCUCAAAAAAUUAGAGAAAAAGAAUUGUAUUACAAUUGGUAUGAGGCAUGCAUGUGUAUAUCAAUAUCAGCUGCUGAACAAACUUUGCCUUUUAAUUUUGUAGGCAUUACUAUCUCAAAUUUUCUAUUAUCAUAAAUGAGUUUUUUUUUUCUUUUUUUUAAGAAAAUCAUAAAUGAGAUUAAGAUAAUCUUUUUUUUAAAAAAAAAAAAAAGAAAACUGGAGAUUUUUUUUUCCUUAAAAAAAUGAAGAAAAGUUUAGAAAGUAUUGAGAGAUGGAGAAAUAAAGCAAUUAUAUUCAUAAAUAUAAUGUGUUUGGUGCAGUAACAGAAACUAAUAAAUUAUAAUUUAUGAGAUUAGUUUACAGACUCUUACAUAUGAAAUUAUAUCCCCUAAUUAAAAAUCUUCACACCUCUUUUUGCUUCUCAUUUAGAUGCCCUUUCUAGAACUUCUCCAACGGUAAACACAUUUUUAUUAAACAAAACAGAAAAAAUUAUAUAUAAUUGUUCAUAAGGACCAUUUCUUUUGUACAUAAUACAUAAUUGGCCAUUAAAGUUAUUUGAGAAGAAAAUUUACAUGAGAUGGGUACAUCACAUUAUCAGUAUUUUUGUCUAAUUUUGAACAUACGUUCCUUGUACGAAUUUUCCUAGAAUGGUCUCUCAUAAAUUUUUCUCCAAUUUGAGAGAUAGUGGGAAUUGGGUUAAAGUGCAUUUACAUAGAAUUAAUUUAAAAUAAAAUUUAUUUUUUAACUAUUUUAACUAAAAGUAGCACUACAAGAAAAAAGGCCUACAAUGACAGUCCCUUGUGUGACAGUUUUUUAUCUGGAGACCUACAAUGAUGGAUUUGUGUUAAAUUUUAUUUUUAUCAUGCAAUUAUGACAUAAUUGUGAUAUAAAUUUCGUCUAUCAAAAACUUAGGAUAGACUCAUGAUAGAUUUUUUAACUAUCAAGAAUUUAUGACUCAUAUUUAAUUUUGACUUCAGUUAUUCGGGUUUGACUGUAUUUUUUAAAAUUAUUUUAUUACAAAAAAUUACUAUUAAAAGGAAACGCAGUCGUUUCUUUUGCAAGCAAAACGACAACGUCUUUUUGGCAAGCAAAACGACAACGUCUCUUUGUCGAAUAUAAACUUGAUAAUUCUGAAUAAAAGUUGUGACUUUUGGGGGAAAAAAAACAUAAAAUGCAGAGUUUUAAAGAGAUAACUCAUUUUAAGUGUGAGAAAUUCACUCUCACACUCAAAACACACAAAAGACUUCGACAAAUUAAGAGAAAAUGAAGAAACCCACGACAAACCCACAACAAACCAUAAUCAUUCGAAGUCAUUCUCAUUGCCUACCAUUCUCGCCGCUAUUUUCGAUGUCGUUCGUCUGCCAUUCUCACUCAUUCGUCGUUCGAGCUCUGCCGAAACCUGCUUUUGUCAAAGAUUUCACCCUUUCGUUUGAACGCAAUUUCUACUCUGUGCUAGAGAUAUUUGAAGUCCCAGCUUCUGCCAUUGUCAUUGCUUCUGCUUCGGAUUUGUUGAUAAACCCUAACAAUUUCUAUUGUACCUAUCUAUUUCGCCAGCAAAGCCCUAACUGAAGAACUGAUUUCUUUGCACUGUGAAAUCAUCAGUUCAUUGGUAUGAAAUUCAUCAUUACCUUUAAUUUUUGUUUAUUUUUGUUGAUUUUCUGUGUUUGUAUGUUUGUAUAAAAAUGAGACUUCGAAAAAUAUUUUCAAUUUAGGAGCAUUUGUUGGGGACUUGACUUUUGAGGAAGAUACGAGUAAAUAUGUGGAAGUAUUUGUUUAAUUACUUUGAGGUCUGAUCUCUAUUGGACAUUUAGAAUAAAGAUCAAGAAAUUUAUGCCAUUUUUAAGAAAGAGUUGAUUCUUGAUAAACCAGAUUCUUGUUCUUUUUAGAAGGUUAUUUUGUGAAUUCAAUUUGUUUUUAAUUGAAUCUGUUGUUGUUUUUGGUAGCGAUGAUAUAUGGUUUGAAGAACUUAAGGAAGAGCUUGAAGAAUGCAAGAACCAUGAAGUAAGCAGAAGCUUUAAUAUUUGUUCUUUUUAUGCUAAUAUGUAGCCAAUCUUUUAGUGAUUAUAUGUUUAGUUGUUAGUUUAACCACUCAGGCAUGGUGCUACUUUUAACAUUGAUUCAUUCUUUGGGAAAUAAUCAGUUGAGAGAUUGACAUAAAGUACAAGCUUAAGAAUUCAAUUGUUGUUGUUGAUCGGUGCAUUCUUUGAACUGAAAAUUUGAAAACUUGUAAGUGAUUAGGUAGCUGUUUGUUGGAUGUUGAUUAGACCUGUAAGUGUAUAAUACUUCUUGAGCUUACAUUAAUGCAAGUUAUUCAGAUUUCUGGGUUUAGAAAUUAACUUGUUAAAUGGUUGAUGCACAAAUCAGAUGAUUACAUUAUCCAGUUCAAUUUUUUUUUUUUUUGAUAAUACAUUUAUCCAUCAAAUAGAAAGGAAUGAAAAGUGAGUUUAGAGAGUACCACUUGUCAUUGUCUUGUAGUUUGAUGUAGAAUGUGCAUAAGCUAACUGUAACAUCCCAUAUUCCUUUAACUGUGAUUUUAUUAACUCUUAAGUUUAAGCCCAAUAUUAUAUAUUUAGCCAUUUUUAAAAGCCUAUUUUCUCUAUUACUUAACUAAAUAGCUUAAACAAUAUAUUUGCUUGUCAUUCUCAUGUGUAAGAAAUGGAGGCAAAAGACAUUGCCAUUAUCCACCAUUUGAGAAAAAGAAACAGAACCUGAUACAAAGUUUAAAAACUUUUCUGAUUUCACCAAUUGAGCUUCAAUUUCUUUAGUUUCAGUGUCAAUUUGAAACAUAUCUUGCCAAGGCUUUAGAACCAUUCUUGCAUGUUAAAUUAUCCAAGCUUGGCAGCCUCAAAUCCAUCAAAAUUAUAAGUCUACCUUAAAUUGCUUUAUAUGUAUGUUAAUUUACUCUCCUUUCUAUAGUUGGUGUAAGUUUGAAGCCAUUGUGAGCUAUUCUUAUGCUAUCUCAGAACUCUUGACUCACCAUUGUAGUCCAACCACUGAUUUUUCUCCUUUUAUGAUUUAGGGAGAGUAGAACUGGUGUGGGGGAUAAAAAUCUUGUUGUUUUGAGUAGUCUUUUUGGCAGAAGACAAUGGGCUUCCUUUUGUUUUUAGGUAAAACCCCUCGAUUUCUCAAUAACUUCUUAUGACUUUGUUUAAUGGUAGUGUGAUUGAUUAUUAUUUCUUUGAUCUUUUAUGUUUUGAGUAGUCUUUUUGUCAAUUCCAAGGUUGAGGUUAAUACUUGAGAAGGUGGCAGAAAGCUUUAACAGGCUACAAAGUUAAAGCUUGUGAUUUAGGUAGGUAACUUUGGGCAACUAAUGUUCUGGUUUUGUAGUUCACUUACAUAGUGCAUAGAUACUUUUUUACAAUUCAAUUGAAAGACAACAUAUUCUAAUGAUGAAUUAGAUGAAGUUCGUAUUGAGUGGGCAAACCAUGUUUCUGAAUUACUUGCUACUAUGUGAGGUAAGCCUUACCUAUUAUGUUGUUAUAGUGAGUUCAUUGAUGAAACAAAUUAAUUUACCAAACUUUUGUUCAUUGAAAACAAACUUUGCUAGCUAUUAUUCUAUUGCUUAGUAUUCUAAUCUAUAUGAGUUGUCACGGACUUUGAAUUUGUUAUAUUUUACUUGUGCAGUUACCUAGCUUCUUACACUUGCUAUGUUGGAAUUUGAUGAAGAUGGCGGGUACUGCUGGAGUUCGCUACCUUUUUUAUUUGAUGCAAAAACAGGUCCUGAAUAUUGAGGCAACUUUGCACAUUUAGCUUCUUCUUAUAUUGGUAUUUGUUGUAUGCUUCACCAAAACUGUUAGAAUGGAUUUUCUUAGUCUGAUCAGUGUUGUUGGCUUCAUCUUGUGUUGCUGGAAAUGAACUGUGUUCUUGGCUUUCUUUGUGUUGCUCUAAAUGACUAUGUUGUUGGCUUCCUUUUGUUGCUGGAAAUGAACCGAUCAUGGUACAUUAGUCUUGUACAUGUUGCAGGAAUUUGUUUUUAUGUUGUUACAAUACUCUUCUAUUUAUGUUGGACUUGUCACUUGUAUUUGGAUAAAUUAUGUUUGUUCACAAUUAUCAAUAAUUAGCCAAUGUUAUUUAUUUUGUUUUCUUUGUCAAUGAAUUUUUAAUUGCAAUUAAUUUUAAUAAUCUAAUUAAUUAGCUAAAUUAUGAAAUAUUAAUUUCUAAAUCAAUUGUAGGAUUUUUAUUAAAAUGAUAAUAAUUUCAUGGUACAAACAAAAUAGUUAUUUUUAUUAAUUAUAAUUUCAAAUUUCCAAUUAAUUGAAAAAAAUCAAUUAAUUAUAAUUUCCAUUUUCACUGCAAAUUGAACAUUUCCUGCCAAAAUUUAAAAAAUAGCGUGCGAAAUUCAAAAAAGGCAACCCAAAUUCAAAAUUAUUAUAUUUCCCUCUAAUUAAAGUUAUGAUGGUUGUGUGACUGACUAUAUUCAUCAUAGGUUAUGAUUGGUAUUAUUCUGUCAUCAAUUCUUGACGCUGGCUAUAAUGACGGUAUGAACAACUGUCAUCCACCCCCUACUAUGACAAUUUUUGCCUGUCAUCGUAGGUACUUUUUCUUGUAGUGUAGCAGUUAUUCUUUUUAUUAGUGUUAUUCCAAUUAUAUCAAAAUCAAGUGACUGGUGAUCAAAUUAAGUAGUUCAUUAAUUUUUUUAAGCGACGUAUGGUAUGGAGUUUUUAUAAAUCUAUUUAAAUAGUAUAAUAUUUAAUUUUGCUUGUCCUAAAAUUUUAGUUUACGUGGGUUAAAAAAGAAAAAAAGAAAAAAGAAAUUGACUUAUUAAUUAAUUAACAAUUAUACAAAGAAUAAAUAGAAAGUUAUAGUUGGCAAUGGCAUUAUUUUUCUCCUUGUUAAGUUUUUCUUUCCCACAUUAUCCCCCUUGAAGCAGCAUAUUGAAGGAAAGGAGCAUUCUUAUAUAUGCUUUAUGAUGUUCUUAAUGUAUUCUAACUCAAAACUCUAUCUAUCCGUGCAGCGUCGCCUUCUGAACUUUGUUGAGAAGGCCCUUGUGGAAGAUGAAAUUCCAAUUCUUGUGGCUGCCUUCCAUUGCCAACUCAACCCGCUCCGCUCUCACCGUGUCCAGAGAGUAGUAAGGUCAAAUCUUGAUGAUGUCUGUCUCCUGAAAGAGCUUCCUGAUGAAGUUUCAUGUGAAAUCAAGUCACUCAGUGUCAAAUCUAGCCAGGAGUGUGAAGCUAAUAUAGCAGAAGUGGAUCCUAUGCAUGCAAAAAAGAGUCAGAAGAAUCCACAAGGCACUGGACUCUGAUGACGUUGAACUGUUGAAGCUUCUUCUGGAUGAAUCUAAUGUCACUUUAGAUGAUGCCUACGCUCUGCACUAUGCUGCUGCCUACUGAAACCCUAAGGUUUUUAAGGAAGUGCUCAAUAUGGGCUUGGCUGAUCUCAAUCUUAAGGAUGCAAGAGGUCAUACGGUGCUUCAUGUGGCUGCAAGGCGUAAGGAGCCAGCAGUGCUGGUGACUCUGCUAAGCAAGGGAGCAUGCGCCUCAGAAACUACAUCAGAUGGGCAAACAGCUGUAGCAAUCUGUCGGAGAAUGACAAGGCGAAAGGAUUAUAUUGAAGCUACAAAGCAGAGGCAGGAAACUAACAAAGACCGGUUAUGCAUUGAUGUCCUUGAGAGAGAAAUGAGAAGGAACUCCAUGUCUUGGAACGUGGCACUGUCACCAGAGGUGAUGGCUGAUGAUUUCCAAAUGAAGCUGAACUAUCUAGAAAAUAGAGGUGAUAUUUCUUUACUGGUAUUAGUUCAUCACCUUCUCAGAGUUUCUGCAUAGCACACUUCUUUCUACCGUUUGUUUGUCCCUUCAUCUUAGCAUCUCCGACAUUGCUGUAAACGGGAUAACCACACAGUCUACACUUGUGCUAUCAUCAAAGAAUUUUUCUUGAACUGUUAUUUUUGUUAUUUGGAAGUGAAUAUUUUCAGCAACUAGAACUCGGAAGCAUCCGGAAUGAUCCAUUUUUUUUUUUUUUUAUGUCAAAACAUGAAGUAAUUAAAGGAGGUCAAACAACAAUAAACUCAUUCAUUUUGUCCAAAAUUGAAAAAGACUACAUAGUAAUCAUAAUUGAAAACAACUAAGCACAAAAACAAAUAACAUCCUUUUUCAAAAUUAUGUUCCCAUGAAUCUUGUCUCCACACAUUAAAGAAGACUAAAUCUAUAAUUAGGUGCUGAUUCACGCCCAAAAUUACCCUUCAACUCCUUAAGCAGAGGCAGCUGCUCCCUUCUUCCUUGGUGCUGCCUGAGUACCUUCUCUGAAGCCGCUCUUGAACCUGCGAGGGACAUGGCGCAGAUACCUCAUCCUGCCGGUUCCAGUGGUCUUUCUUCGGAUUGCCUUCACACUCCAGUUAUACGUUCUCUUGCGAGCAGCGGGGUAAGCACAAGCAGCGCAACGACUCUUCUGAAGAUGGAAGCUGCGACGGCCACAUCGCACACACAAAGUGUGCGUCUUGUUUCUCCUCUUACCAAAACUCCCUGUGCCCUUACCCAUUGAAGCGUAUGCGAAGUAGAGGAAAGCCUUCUGAUGAGUUCCGGAAUGAUCCAUUUUAUCAUUCUCAAUACCUAUAAAAGAAUGUCAUAGAAAACAGUUUCCAAAGCAAGUUGCAUGUGUUUUGAAUUUGUCUUUGGAAGCCACUAAUUGCUUGGAGCACACUGUUAGCCAGUCGUGAUUCCAUCCACUUUCUUGGAUGGACAAUUGUGCAUCCAUAUGAUCUAGGCAUGUUGGUUUGGACUGAACUAGUUUUAAUAAAUAAUUGCCUUCAGGAUUUAGUCUGUGUGUUACAGUCCAGUCUUUGUUGUGAAUAGUUCUUUUUUCCCCCUCCCGAGGAAAGAAUUGAGAUAAAAAAUAAUUUAUUCCUGCCACGGAUGAGUGCCAUAACAGCUUCUUAAUGCUUUGCGGUGGCUUUUGCGCGGUUGUUGUUGCCUUCUGAAGCUAGAGUAGCUAUGGCUAUAGCAGAUGCAGAUGCCACCAAUUUUUAUGAUGGCCUUUCAGCAUCAAAAUCAAAAGGAUCAAUUGGGAACUUAAAGGAGGUUGAUUUGAAUGAAACACCCUCCAUGCAAGCCAAGAGACUCCAAUUAAGACUGCAAGCUUUGCUUAAAACAGGUAUUUAUAUACCUUAUUAGUUUUUGUAUGUUUAUAAUUACUGAUUUUUAUAUCAAAAGAGAGAGGUUAAUUUUUAGUACAUUGAUAUCUCAACAAAAUGGUAGAUCCUUUAUACCACUAAAGACAUUUUCUUAGUGCACUUACCGAGCUUUCUAUGAUUGCAGUUGAGACGGGCCGACGCUACUUCCCUCAUUGCUCAGAAGUGGUUGAUAAGUUUUUGGACUGUGAUUGGUCUGAUGCUUCCCUCCUAGAAAAUGGUGCUCCUGAAGAGCAGAGACUCAAAAGGGCACGCUUCAUGGAACUUAAAGAAGACGUACAGAAGGCAUUUUACAAGGACGUGGCUGAGAAAAAUCGUUUAGGUUUGUCGUCAUCCUCGUCGUCGUCAUCUUCUCCAAAGGAAGGAGUAAAGUGUAAGGGUAGGAAAAGGUGAUGCUUAGUUACUUGUCUUUUGUUAUUCAUUGCUAGGAGACUAAGAGAGUUUUACUGAGUUUGAUUGUUACUUGUAGAGAGAUACUCUUAGAGCCCAUGUUAUGGCUAUGUUGUAUAAUAGCAGAGGAACUUCAAGCUUGCAUUGUUGUAUUUUCCCACGUAUUUGGCAUGUAAUAUACUAAAUGACAAAGAAUUUUCUAAUUUUAGAGGGAAAAAAUAUGUCAGUUAAUUAUUUUUUUAUUUUAUCUGUUUAAUUCAGUUUAUAAUAUAGCUUUUUUUUAUAUAAAAAAAAAUCUCCAUAUCUUCAUCUGCAAACUCAGUCAUGUGCAACUUCUUUCAGGGAGAAAAGAGGGGGAAAAAAAAAGGGCAUUUGUACCUGUAUUUUACGGUACUGACCCUCAUACAGAAAUUGGUUAAGAUGACAUUAAUGCUCUUCGAAAUAAAUAGAUAUGCAGAAUUUUCAUCGAAAUUGAAAUUAGAAAUGGAUGGAUACGAAUGAUAUAUAUGCAGAACUUUUUAACAGAAUUUUUAUGCAAAAAUUUGUAGCUAAUUACUCCCCCGAAGAAAAAUAAAUUUUCAAUUGUAGAUAUUAAAUUUUAAAUUUAUAAUAUAAUAAAUGUGACUUAAGUUGCACAGCACCCAUAUAAUAAUAAUAAUUAAGAAAAGAAAAUUUAAAUUUUGUAAAUUAUCAAUUUUUUAAAAUUAAUUAUUUUUAUACUCAAAUUCUCAUGCUCGACGGCCGCUGGAAUUGGCUAUUGUAAUUUUGUCAUCCUCAUUAUUCACUAGCCAUUUUUGGACCACGACAUAAUAGAAAUAGCAUAGAUUAUACUAAUAAAUUUCCUUUAAUUAUUUUGUAGUGUGAUGAUCUAGUGAGUACCAGUGUCCAUCAUAGCACCUGAACAUGUAAAUUUCUGAUAUUUUCUGUAAAAUAGUACUUAAAUUGUGUAUUAACUAGACAGUUCUAUGUAGACCACAACUCAUUAAAUCAUUACUUUACUUUGUAUAUAUUUAUGACAAUUGAUGAAGAAAAAUAUAAAGUGAGAUUAAUGAACAUUCAUGAAUGUGGGAAAUUAACACAACUAGGAUUUAUGAUGAAAUAAUUUUAUUUCAAAUGAGUUUAAGUGAAUGGAUGUUAAAAAAACUUAUAGUAUAUAUUUUUUGAAUUGUUAUAUAUACAAGUUUGUCACUAACAGUAAAUUAAAUUAAGAAUAUUUUAAUAAUUCAAAAUCUCAUUCAACCAUCCCUGUUUAUAGUUUUAUUCGGAGUACAAAAUUGUAAACAGCCUCACCCUUAAUAGUAUAAUGCUAAACACUUUUAAAAAUUUAUUCUAUUAUAGUCGUCUUAGUCAGUUAUAUUUAUUUCCAAAUUGAAGAUAGAAAUAGUACUUUAUAUAUCGUACAUUACUUAAAGAAUUUUUUUAAAAAUCAAAUUAUGAGCUAGUGAAAGGAUGCAAUAAAUCACGUCUAAAAUUGUAAAAUUCAUCAAUCACCGAAUAAAUUAAAUAUCAUGUCUCAUGGGCUUAAAAGAUAGGCUUUUGAAUGAUAUAUCGUACUCAAAAAUCUAUUUUUAAUUAAUUAUUAUACGAACGUUUAAAUGUGUCUCUAAGCUAUAUUAUAUAGUUGCUAAUUACUAUUAAGCUUACACUUCUUCCUUCUAAAAAAAGCAUCUUUUGGCUUCUCAGAUCGCGAUUCAAGCUUCAGUUAUAAGCAUUUCGUUUCGAUUGAUAUUGUUGAUGCGAGAUUCUGGCUCUCUGCUCGACCACGACCAGGAUCUCUCCUCAACUAAACGGACCACGACCAGGGUCUUUCCUCGUAACACUUCUUCUCCACAAACUCCUGUGUACACAGAAACAAGUCAGAGCACGCCGGGUGUUUUUCCGGCGUAAACCCUCCGACGCUCAAGUCAGGAAUGUAGGCUUUGCCUUUCUGGGAAAAACGGCCACUAAUCUUAUGGCUCUUUUCUUAGAUCUAUCAAUCGAAAAUUCUCUUUCUCUCCUUUUUUUUCUCAAAAAGUCUAACCCUUUUACCUUCGUUGGCUACCUUUUUAUAGGCUUCUCCUGAGUUCAGACCUUCCCUCAAUUCACGCCCGUUACCUUCCCACCUCUCGGAAGUGGAUGCAUCGUUUCUGUAAUCGUGGGUGGUUGCAUGGCCUUCGUGCCUUGAUUCUCGGGUUGGAGAGCACGUCUCGCCAACUGUCGUUGACCGGGUCUCCUCGCCUCAACCCUUAGCAGGAAUGGCUUUACGCUUCUAAUAGGAGACCGGCCUCGCAGAUGGUGUAUUCACGGACGAGCAGUAUAUUCCUGCUCCUGUUCCCCUACUACCAGACUUCUACAAAAUAUACCUGUUCGUGGAACCCUGCUACCAAAUAUCUGCUCAUCAUGGCUGGUCUUGUCAAAGUACAUCCCCCAAACACCGAUCCCCCAGUUUCUGGUGUUGGGUAACAUAGUGAGCCGACAGUAGAAACUCGACAGUUCUGGCUCGCGCGGGAUAGGAAAAGACUGCCAAGAGUCGUGUCGCAUUUAAUUGCGGAUGAGGUGAUGUGGCAGAAAUCUACCCCUCUAUUUGAAUUUCAAACCGAUGGUUACGAAACUCUUGGGAUUUGUGCCGUUAAAUGCUGGCAGCCCAAGAGUUUGUUCCUCAUUAGGAAAACCCAAAACCCCCAAAAGAGAAACUUGUCAUUUACUCUGUUUCUGUCUCUCCGGCGAACGAGUCCUUCCUCUCCCUCGGCGUAAAAGCUUCCAUCCUUGUCUCUCUCCGACUAAGUCACAACUUCAGGUAUUAUUUCUAUUUCCUCGGUCUUGGAUAGUUGUAGACAAUUUCCUUUCUCUCUGUUUUGUUUGGGUAGUGCUUGGUGAUGCUGCUCUGGUUAUAGUUUAAGGAAUGUCAAAAGGUAAAGAGAAAGUCGUUGAGAUUGAUGACGACGAACUAGACUUCUUGCCUAGUCUGCUCGCCGAUUCUGCCUUUGACCCCGGGAUCCCCUUAGAACCCAUUAGAUCUAGUGUUGGGGCUAGUGCUAGGAAGAUGUCCCCCCCAAUAACCUCCUCAAGCGGCAAUAGCGGCGACGAGGGGUCUUCUGGUUCGGAAGACACUCUGAGUAAGGAUCAGGGAGAUGAUUAUGGUGGAAUGUCCUCACCAGGAAUAUCGCGACCACAUAGGAGGGUCACAGUAGGAGGUAGAGCUUUAUCAAAGCAUUACGCUAUUGAUUUCAUCACGUGCACGACCACAGUAGAGGAGCUCACUAACCUCCGGGUUAGGUAUGAAAUUCCUGAUGAUAUUCCUCUUAGGAUCCCAGGAAAGAAGGAUACUCCUAGUCGGCCUCAUAGGGGAUAUGUUACUCUAUUUUUGGAGAGUUUUAAACUUGGGUUGAGGUACCCCCUGCAACCCUAUUUUGCCCGAAUACUUAAUGGGUUAAAUUUAGCUCCUGGUCAGCUGAACCCCAACGGGUGGAGAGUACUCUCUGGUCUGUUCAUAUUGUGGGAUAGAUGUUGCCAAAGCGAGCCCACAGUUGAUGAGGUGAAGCACCUGUAUCAGCUAAAGAGCUGCCCCAAAGACGCCGGCUGGUAUUACUUCCAAUCAAGUACCAAGACCAGGAAACCCAUAAUUGAUCUUCCAACUGGUGGUGGUGGGAAUUGGAAGAAAAAUUUCUUUUUUGCUGGGGGUCCCUGGGGUCAAGUUGCACAGAUUGAUGGGAAGGAUUAUCGCGUCCCACCCCGUUUCGUGGUCCCAGGUUGCCUGCUCGCUUUAGAUGUCUUGUCUCCAUAGUUGUUCUCACUUUGUUGAUUUGUCUCUAACCCAAUAUUUGUUCGCAUUGCAGGUUCUUGGGGUGUGCAUUACCCUCUUAAACCUGAGCAGCUCAAGCGGGUCGAGGCUGUACUGGCCAAUUCCUGUUCGAACCGAGAGCUGCUAACUACUUACAACUUGGUCGAAUCUCGUUUGGUGUCCACCGGCUAUAAGAUGUAGGAUGCUGUGAUCGGGGCUUUGAAUCGGAAACGUCCUCGACCUCAUGCUGCCAAGCAGGACCAGAAUAAAGAUGCUCCUUUUGCGAAGCGGGUGAACAUUGUUCAGUAGGUUCCCCCCCUGGAGACUCUACCUCCUCCUCCUGCCAAAGCUGGAGAAACUAGUGGAGCAGCCACUUCUUCUCCCCCAGCUGGGUCGAAACCCCGUUUGCCCGACAAUCGAGCGGAGCAUCUGGCCCCCUACAUCAGUGAGUUUUCUAAGCUCAUGAGCAAGAGAGACUUGGAGGAUUUUGACGGCAGCACUCCGGGUGAGCUGGUGGGGGCUAUGCAGUAUAAUGCUUUCCACCUCGGCUGCAUGUCCACCUACUAUAAGGCGAAGGUCGGCCGCUAUGAACAGAAGAUGAAAGAGGACAUUCAAUCGGCAAAAACCAAAGCAGGAGACCUAAAUCUCGAGAAUCUAAAGUUGAUAGAGUGAGAAUCUCUCGCUCAAGCCAAGGCCAUCACUCUUGAGGAAGAGCUGACUAAGGUCAAGGAGGAUCUGCAGGGGCAGAAGGCCACCUAUGAGGCUCAGCUCGAAUCCCUCAAGGACUCUCACCAGGCUCAGGUCGAGAACCUAGAGAAGGAAGCUGACAACCAAUAUGACCAGGGUCUGCGGCAUUCUUAUCGCUGCAUCAUAGCUGUUUUAGGGAAGCAGCAUCCUGAUCUGAAGAUGGAUGACCUUACUGCUGGUGUUGCUCAACACAUGGACGAGGAGGCAGCAAAAGAGGAUGUCGAAGAGGUGGAGCCAAAUGCGGUUGAGGAGGGAAAUUAUCCUCCUCAUUCAGUCCUUGCUGAUGUUGCUGAGGCGAGUACCCCCCGGAUGCAACUAGUGGUACCCCCCUCCAUUUGAGGUGGACCAGCCAACCGAGAAUGCUCGGCUUACUGACCCGCCGUCCUCUUGAAUGUAUCUUGUGUUGUAGCUGUUUUUUUUUUUUUUUUGGAACACUGUAUGUUAUGAGUAGCAGCUUUUCAUGAUUAUUGAUAAAUUAAUAAGAAUGUUCUUAUUUGCUUUCUCGUGCUGUAGUUGCAAAUUAUUUUACGUUUGAGGGUCUACUCGCCUUCACCGGGUCAAGCAAAUCCUGGCACGCUUGGCUUCUGGUGUCGCCAUAAGACAGGCUUUGAGACUUGGUGAGCCUUUGCAUACCUUAGAAAUUUUUAUAACGCUUGGGAGUCUGCUUGCCUUCGCUUGGUCGAGCAGAUCCCGGCACGCUUGGCUUCUGGUCUCGCCAUAAGACAUGCUUUGAGACUUGGUGAGCCUUUGCAUGCCUUAGAAACUUUUUUAUCGCGUCUGGGAGUUUGCUCGCCUUCGCUUGGUCGAGCAGAUCCUGGCACGCUUGGCUUCUGGUCUCGCCAUAAGACAGGCUUUGAGACUUAGCCUUUGCAUGCCUUAGAAACUUUAUAACAUUACACUGACUGAAAUUCAUCAUGGUUUCAUUGAUUAUUGAAUUCGGCUUACACGAGGUUGAUUUAACAUAAAACGAAUAACAACAAAAGCGAACAGAAAUAACUUUAAAUCAGGAACGAGUCUUACUGGAAUUUCCUGAGGUGUGCUGCGUUCCAGGGGCGUUUCACCUCGUGACCAUCCGCACGAACAAGCUUGUAGGCUCCGGGUCCAGCUACCUGCUUGACCCUGUAUGGCCCCUCCCAGUUUGGUCCAAGUACUCCUUGAGUCGAGUCUUUCGUGUUCUGAUUCACCCUCCUUAAAACCCAAUCUCCGACCUUGAACUGCCGUACAUUCACCUUCUGGUUGUAAUAUCGGGCAACCCUCUGCUGGUAGAUGGCUGAUCGUUUCGAUGCUUGCUCCCUCUUCUCGGUUAGCAAAUCCAGAUUCAAGCACAUCUGGUCGUUGUUCUCCUGCUCAUCGAAGUGAUCUGUCCGGUGCGUGCUCGUCCCUAUCUCAACUGGUAUAACUGCUUCAUGUCCGAAGGCCAAGGCGAAUGGAGUUUCGCCAGUUGUUGUUUUGUGGGUUGUCCUGUAUGCCCAUAAUACACAUGAUAACUCAUCAACCCAUGUACCCUUUUUUGCUCCAAGCCUGGUUUUCAACAGCCUCUUGAUUAUCUUGUUGGCUGCUUCUACUUGCCCGUUAGACUGAGGAUGAGCAGGCGAGCAAUACUUAAACUCUAUCCUGAGGUUCUGGCAGAAGUCCCUGAAGUUCUGGUUAUCAAACUGCCUGCCAUUAUCUGUUAUCAAAGCAUAAGGGAUCCCGUACCGGCAGACCAGGUUUCUCUAUACGAAGUCAGUUGUCUUUUUCUCUGUGAUCCUGCUAAGGACUUCUACCUCUACCCACUUCGUGAAAUAGUCUAUUGCUACUAUUGCAUGUGUUGCUGCUCCUCGUCCCUUUGGCAAUGGCCCAAUCAAAUCAAUUCCCCAUUGAGCAAAUGGCCAUGGGGAAGCCAUAGAAGUGAGCUUCUCUGGUGGUUGGGUAGAGAAAUUUACAAAACUCUGGCAACUUACGCAGCUCCUGGUCUUCUCAUGCACGUCCUGGUGCAUUGUCGGCCAGAAAUAUCCCUGCCUUAGGACCUUGUGGGCAAGGGAUCUUGCACCAGAAUGGUUUCCGCAAACUCCUUCAUGUACUUCUCUCAGCAUGUAAUCUGCGUCGUCCUCGUCUAAACACCGAAGGAACGGUAAGGUAUAUCCCCUCCGAUAUAAUACCCCAUCAAUCAUUGUAUACCUCGACGCUUGGGCUCUAGUCUUCCGAGCUCGUAACUUAUCUGGUGGCAGUACCCCAUUCCGGAUGUACGAGAUUAUCGGGUCCAUCCACGAGCAUUUCUGCUCUAUCUGUAGCACCUCCAGAUUCUGCUCGAUGUUGGGGCUGGACUUCACCUCCAGAGGGACUGACUUUGGCAUUUUCGGAUCUGCUACCGCUGCCAUCCUGGCCAGAAUAUCUGCUCGACUAUUCUCUUCCCUUGGGAUUUGUAUCACCUCAACCGCUUCAAACUUCCCAAUCAUCUGCUUGACUUUCUUCAGGUACUGCUCUAUCGUCCCAUCUCUUGGUUGAAAUCUUUCACUGACAUGAUUUGCAACCAGCUGAGAAUCAGUUCAGAUUUUCACCCUAUCCGCUUUCACUGCCUUAGCCAAUCCCAAGCCCGCUAUUAAAGCUUCAUAUUCUGCCUAGUUAUUUGUGGUUGUGAACUCUAACUUUACAGCAUCAGAGAUUUCCUCCCCUUCUAGGCCUUCCAAAACAAUCCCUGCUCCAGACCCCUGCUCCCCUGAUGAUCCAUCUACAUACAUCUGCCAUACUCGAGUUUCGUUGUUGGCUGUAGCAGUAUCCAGCUGGUCGAAACAUACUUCGGGCUCUGCGAAUUCUGCCACGAAAUCAGCCAUUGCUUGGGCCUUUAUUGCUGCUCGGGGUUUGUAAUCUAUGUCGAACUCACUCAACUCUAUGGCCCACUUCACGAGCCGACCAGAAGCAUCCGGCUUGUGUAGAGUCUGCCGCAAUGGUUGGUUUGUUAUUACCGAGACGGGGAAUGCCUGAAAGUAUGACCUCAGCUUUCGAGCAGCAACCACAAGGGCGAGUGCCCAUUUCUCCAACGGUGGGUAUCUGGUUUCGGCAUCGAGCAAAGCCUUGCUGGUGUAGUAUAUCGGAUACUGAACCCCUUCUUCCUCUCUUACUAGAACAGAACUUGUGGCAUGAUCCAAUACUGCCACAUACAGGAACAGCACGUCCCCAUCUCGCGGCGUGGACAACAGAGGUGCUUGCUGCAAAUAUUGCUUCAAAUUCUGGAAGGCUUUUUCGCAUUCUGGGGUCCAUUCUGUUUUCUUUCCUCUCCUUAUCACUUGAAAGAAUGGCUGGCACUUAUCUGUUGCCUUGGAUAUGAAUCGGCUCAAUGCUGCCAACCUCCCUGUAAGGCUCUGCGUCUCCUUCAGGUUAUGAGGAGACCCCAUAUGCACGAUCGCCUGAAUCUUCUCAGGAUUCGCCUCGAUCCCCCUAUGACUCACCAUGAAUCCGAGGAAUUUGCCCGACUCGACCCCAAAAGCACACUUCUCCGAGUUGAGCUUCAUCUUAUACUUCCUCAGAAGUCCAAAUGUCUCCUCGAGGUGCUCGACAUGUUCCUUCGGGAUUUUUGACUUGGUUAUCAUGUCGUCCACAUACACCUCCAUUGUUCUCCCAAUCAGCGGCUUAAAGAUUUUGUUCACCAGUCUCUGGUAUGUGGCCCCCGUAUUUUUAAGACCGAACGGCAUUACCCUGUAACAGAACAAACCCUGGUUAGUAAUAAAUGUCGUGCUCUCCUCAUCCUGCUCGAACAUGGGGAUUUGGUUGUAUCCCGAAAAUGCGUCCAUGAAGCUGAGCAGGUCAUGUUCGGCUGUUGAGUCUACAAGCUGGUCGAUCUUGGGUACGGGAAAGCUGUCUUUCGGGCACGCCUUAUUGAGAUCCGUGAAAUCUACACACAUCCUCCAUUUGCCAUUAGCAUUUUUCACUAACACCACGUUCGAUAUCCAUUCAGGAUAGUUAACUUCCCAAAUGAACCAUGCCUUCAAGAGCUUCUCCACCUCGCCAUUUAUAGCCUCAUACCUUUCCUGAUUGAAGUACCUUCUUUUCUGCCUUACUACCCGAGCACCUUUCUUUAUUGCCAGCCUAUGACAUGCGACCUCAGGGUCGAUUCCCGGCAUGUCCUCAUGCGUCCAAGCAAACACAUCUGCAUGAGCUCGUAGGCAUUGCACCAACUCCCGCUUCUGCUCUUCUUUAAGCCUCGACCCGAUUCAGAUCGUUUUUCCUGGAUCAUUUUGUUCCAGGCUUACUGUUUCCAGCUCCUCUACAGGUUCCUGUCUACCAUUCUUGGCUCCCACUCGUGUAUCAAGGGAUGUAAUAUGCAUUGCUUCCCUUGCUGCUGUGGAGUAACAGCUUCGGGCGAUCCUCUGAUCUCCUCGUACCACUCCAACUACCCCAUUCACUCGGUACUUGAGAGCUAGAUAAUUGUUGGAAAGUACCGCUGUGCUCAUACUCAGAAAGGGACGACCUAAGAUCAUCUGGUACGGACCCUCUUCAUCGACCACCACAAAAUCCAGUAUUAUGGUCUUUUCUGUCGGGGAAUUACCAAUUGUGAUGGGCAACUCGACCACGCCUAGGGGAACCAGCUUUCCUCCUCCAAAUCCCUUCAAGGAGGUAUUGGUAUGCUCCAACCUCAAGUCCGUUAUUCCCAUCUCCUCCAGAGUUGACUUGAACAAAACAUCGACCGAGCUUCCCGUGUCUACCAGAACUCGGUCAAACUUCUUGCUAGCAGCGGUGACUUUAAUAACUAAAGCAUCCUCAUGUGGAUAUAGAAUUCCCUCUUCAUCCUCAUUUGUCCACAUGAUUGGAACUUACCUGACUCUUGCUCGCUUAGCUGCUGGGGUGUUGAAAAAUACUUCUUUGCUAGUCAUGGCAUACUUGGCAUAAUUCUUCCUCGACCUGUUGGAAUCUCCUGCCAAUGUUGGGCCCCCAGCAAUCACUCUUAUUAUAGGCUGCUCGUGGUUCAAGUUCCUAUCUCUCUGCUCCCCUUCACCCGGCGAGGGCACCAUCGGGAAAGUCUCAUCAAUAAAUUCGUCCAUGUAUCGAUUUCUCACCAAAUCUUCAACCUAGGUCUUGAGAUCUCUGCAUUCUGUUGCGGUAUGGCUAUGAGUGCCAUAGAACUUGCAAUAGCGUCCCCUAUCCCUCCUGCUGGGUAGCUUUGUUAUUGGGGCAAGGAGGUACAGUAAUCUCUGGUCCUUUAUGGCCUCGUACACCUCAUCCAGCGGCAUCUUUAAGGAAGUAUACCGCCCAUAGUCCUGGUUAUGGUCGAUCAUGUGCACUGCCCUUUCCCCGUUUGUGUUGUUCUGAACUGGAGGAGGUGGCAGCGCUUCCGGCCUGCUUCCUCUACCACCAGGGGGGUGUGGUUGAGGAUGACUAUAUGUCGAGCCAUGCCUUCUCCAAAACUCCCUGGCUGGUGAACGAGGAGGUUGUGCCCUGCUGCGCUGAUACUGUGGUGGCCUCUGAUGAGGCUGGUAGGCGGUGACUCGACCUCCUAUACCACUGCCUGAGGCAUGUUGGUCCCUCCUCUUGAUCGGUCUAUUUCCUGGUAAGGCUCUCUUCUUUUUCAUUCUCAACCCUUCUAGCUGGUCUGUCUUGAUCUGUGCUGCCUUUUCCUCAUCAAUCUCUAUAUCCCUCUUAGCCUGCUCGUAAGCAGCUGCAUACGUUUGAAUAGCUGGGCUCCUCAAAUUGUACCACAGCCUUCCUAUCUUCACUCCUUCUUUCAAUCCCCUUAAUGUCUGAGGAUGGUUGAAGGCUCCCAAGUCGAGGACAGCGCGAUGGAACCUCUUGAUGAAUUCCCGAAGGGUUUCUUCCUCCCCCUACUUCAUGUUUUUCAACUCCAUCAUGUCAUCUUCCGGUGCCAUUGCCACACGAAACUGCUCUGCAAAUUCCUGGCACAUCUGCUCGAAAGAUUUAACGCUUCCUCGAGGAAGUUUUCGGUACCACUCACGUGCUCGUCCCUCUAGAGACAGCGGGAACAUCCUGCAUCUUUGAGCUUGGGAUAAUCCUUGCACCCCAGUUAUGUCGUUAAAGCGCUCUAUGUGCACCAACGGAUCGGUUCAUUCCGAGUACUUGAGGUCUGGGAGGCGAAAAUCCCUUGGAAUGACUGCUCUCAUGAUCUCUGCCGAGAGUGGGGAUUCUCCGUCCAGCAUUAUCCUCCAACCAGGUGCUCUGUUCCUUCCUUGCAUGUCAUCAAUUACCUGCACUAAUCUGCGCACUUCUUCCUCCAGCUGUACUGCAUGAUCAGGGUCACGUGCUGCAACUUGAUCCCGCUCUUGCUCUACAUCAUGUAGGUGUUGCCUGAGCUCUGUUUCCUAUGCAUUCUCCACCUCGUCGUCAUUAUCAAAAAUCUGCCUUCCUGGGGAUUGGUCUUCUCUUCUAUGGACUUCUCCCCGUAGAGAUGAGUUACCUCCCUCACCACCAAAUCUCCUGGUGGUCCGACUUCUCAUCAUAUUAUCGUGCCCUGGUGCCAUUCCGCCACUUCUCACCCUUUCCUCAUGGAUUCCCCUCCGUUCACUCCUCAGCUCAUGUAGGAUGGUGGUCAGGGUCUCCAUCUGCUUUUCCAUCUGUUUCAUCCGGUCAUACAUGAUUUUUUCCCGUGUUUCAUUGGCUAUCUCCCUCAACGUCACGGAUUCGUUAAGCCUCAUAUCACCUCCUUGUGCACUACUUCGUCCUACAUCUAUUGUUUCUUCACUUGCUGUAUUCCUCCUCUUUCUGUCAACAGAGCUUUUUUAUCAGCUCCCCACAGACGGCGCCAAAAUGUUGAUGCGAGAUUCUGGCUCUCUGCUCAACCACGACCAGGAUCUCUCCUCAACUAAACGGACCACGACCAGGGUCUUUCCUCGUAACACUUAUUCUCCACAAACUCCUGCGUACACAGAAACAAGUCAGAGCAUGCCGGGUGUUUUCCCGGCGUAAACCCUCCGACGCUCAAGUCAAGAAUGCAGGCUUUGCCUUUCUGGGAAAAACGUCCACUAAUCUUAUGGCUCUUUUCUUAGAUCUAUCAAUCGAAAAUUCUCUUUCUCUCUUUUUUUUCUCAAAAAGUCUAACCCUUUUACCUUCGUUGGCUACCUUUUUAUAGGCUUCUCCUGAGUUCAGACCUUCCCUCAAUUCACGCCCGUUACCUUCCCACCUCUCGGAAGUGGAUGCUCCGUUUCCGUAAUCGUGGGUGGUUGCAUGGCCUUCAUGCCUUGAUUCUCGGGUUGGAGAGCACGUCUCGCCAACUGUCGUUGACCGAGUCUCCUCGCCUCAACCCUUAGCAGGAAUGGCUUUACGCUUCUAAUAGGAGACCGGCCUCGCGGAUGGUGUAUUCGUGGACGAGCAGUAUAUUCCUGCUCCUGUUCCCCUGCGACCAGACUUCUACAAAAUAUACCUGUUUGUGGAACCAUGCUACCAGAUAUCUGCUCUUCAUGGCUGGUCUUGUCAAAGUACAUCCCCCAAACAGAUAUUAUUCUUUCUUGAUAGUAUCAUGGAAACUGCAAACGAAAAGUCAGCAUCUUUGAGUUUUCUUUCAUCAUAUCUGACUUGUUGGUCUACUAAUCAAUCAACAGGCCCUUCUGAUCUUGAUAAUUUGAACUUAAGGAGGGAAAGCAGCAAUCCUGAAGGGCCAUUGCUUGAUGCCGAGAUCAUUGUUGAGGGCAAAUCAGUGGCAGUUAAUCGCAGAAUAUUGUCAAAGUCUGCAAGCAAUCCGUUUUUCCGUCGGCUUUUUAAAUUGAGCAGUGAUGCUUCUGUGAGUGAGGGGAAACCCAAGUAUCUUAUGACUGAUUUGGUGCCUUAUGGGAAGGUUGGAUUUGAAGCUUUCAAUGAUAUCUUGCAUUGUCUUUACACUGGAAAGACAAAGGCAACUCCUCCAGAAAUGUCCACGUGUGUUGAUGAUGCUUGUGCUCAUGAUGCCUGCCCUCCUGCUAUUAAUUAUGUUAUUGAGUUAAUGUAUGCUUCUGCUGCUUUUCAGAUGACACAUCUCGUUUCGGUUUAUGAGGUAGUUGCGCUUCCUCGCUAUUUGUAUUGCUUAAAUUUAUGCUUGUUGGUAUAAUUUUAACAUUUAUAGAAUUGAAAUCAAUUUCAGUUGUGACUUGCAAAGAGCCAAAGAAUCGAAUCUAGUAAAUCCAAAAUUAUUUUGAAAGAGACAAAAAUUAUAUGGCAACUUCGGUGGUUCGCAAUAUUAGGCAUUGUAGUAUAUCCAAAAUUAGCUUGUUAACCUAGCAAAUCAUUAAUGUUGUAGAAUAACAUCUUGUGUAGGUGAGCUUAUGUCUCUGUUCAUUGGUCCACCGGCAUUUAGGUUCGAUAAGCAUGGCACUGAUUUUCCCCCUCAUUAUUAUUUUCAUGCACAAAUUAUCCCCAUUAAGUAUUUGAACUUUGAAUAUAUUAUUCUGAAUCAAAACUCUAUCUGUCCGUGUAGCAUUUUAUAUAUGCUUUUUGAUGUUUGCCAAUAAUUACCCACUAUGGGGUAUUUGAAUUUUGAAUAUAUUACACUGAAUAAAAACUUUGUCUGUCAAUCUUAAAGAUGCAAGAGGACGCACGGUGCUUCAUGUGGCUGCAAGGCGUAAUGAGCGAUCAGUUCUGGUGACUCUGCUGAGCAAGGGAGGAUGCGCAUCAGAAACUACAUCAGAUGGGCAAACAGCUGUAGCAAUCUGUCGGAGAAUGACAAGGUGAAAGGAUUAUAUUCAAGCUACAAAGCAGGGGCAGGAAACUAACAAAGAUUGGUUAUGCAUUGAUGUCCUUGAGAGAGAGAUGAGAAGGAACUCCACGUCUGGGAACUUGGCAAUGCCAGCACAGGUGAUGGAUGAUGUUUUCCAAAUGAAGCUGGACUAUCUGGAAAAUAUAGGUGAUAUUUCUUUACUGGUAUUAGUUCAUCACCUUCUCAGAGUUUGUUCAUAACACACUUCUUUCUACUGUUUGUUUGUCCCUUCAUCUGGAAAAUAGAGGUGAUAUUCUUUUACUAGUAUUAGUAAGUCAUCUUCUCAGAGUUUGUGAGUCCCUUCAUCUUGGCAUCUCAAACACACAUGGGCUUAUUGCUUGGAGGGCACUGUUGGCCAGUCAUGUGAUUUGAUCCCCUUUUUUGGAAUAGACAAUUCUGAAUCCAUCUGAUCUAAGCUUGGUGGUUUCCUCUGAACUGGUUUUUGAUGAAUAAUUGUACAAGACUUUGUAAUAAAAAACUUUUUUUCCCCCAAAAGUAAUGAGGUACCAAAAACUUUAUGCCCAUCCUGGAUGACUGCCAUAACAGCUUCUUAAUAUUUUGCAGUGGCUUUUGUACGGUUGUUUCCUUCUGAAGCUAGAGUAGCUAUGGAAAUAGUAGGUGCAGAUACCGCCCCUGGCCUUUCAGCAUUAGGUCGGAAAGUACUAAGUGGGAACUUAAAGGAGAUUGAUUUGAAUGAAACGCCCUCUAUGCAAGCCAAGAGACGCCAAUUGAGACUGCUAACUCUGCUUAAAAAAGAUAUUUAUAUGCUUUAUUAACUUUUGCACCUUUCUAUUUACUGAUUAUCUUUAUAAUUAAAUAAUACAUGUAUCCAGGUUUCUCCUUCCAUUUCAUUAGAAGUAAAUUGGAAUCUCUUUAUAGUGCUCUGUUAGGUGUAAUCAGAUGUAUCAAAAGAGAAAGGGUAAUUGUUAGUACAUUGAUAUCUCAACAAAAUGGUAGAACCUUUCUUUAUACCACUAAAGACAUUUGUUGCAGGGAUGCCUGCAUAAUCAGUGUCCUUUAAAACUUUCAAGGAGUUAGCAAUGCCUAACCCUUGAAACACUAAAUCUCACUGGAUCAACUCUUUACCUCUGGACCGAAGGUGUGACACCCAAACCCAAUUAGGGCUUAGAACGCAUAUUGAAUUUGAGAGAAACUAAGUGCUUGUAAAUCCAAGUCUCCAAAAUAUCAAAAGGUUAUCUACUUUCUCUUUUCAUGUAUUUCACAAAAUUUUGAAAAAUUCAUCCUCAAUCAUAAACUAGGCACAGCUAAUUAAUCAGCAUAUCAGUAUACAUCAAUACUUCCUCAUAAGCAAAUAAAUCUUACAAUCCUUCCUACAUGAUUUAAAAAAAAUACUUCUAGAACUCUUCUAGAUACAAACAUAAACAGAAUUCAACUGCUAAAACUUGUUGAAAAUUGAUUAAAAAAAAAAGUGUCAAAAUGGUGGGUGGUUGAGCAACCAUCUUUGAAUUCAAAGAUGGUGGGUGGCUAGCCAUUGAACAAGGAAAAUGGGUAGGUGCCGCCCAUGGAAAGAAGAAAAAAAAUGAAGAAAAGGAAGCCAUAAUUUGGCUAUAAAUAGAGGAGUGCUCCUCCUUAUUUUUGUAUCCCAAAUCCCAGAGAAGCGAUCCAAGUUUUGGUGAGAAAUUGAGAGAGAGAAAUGUUCUUAAGCAUGUAGUUAUAUUGUAGGAGUAUUUGACUCCUCAAUAUAUGUGUUACGGGUUUACUUUGUUAAAGGAUAUUUCUCAGGAUUAUGUAUUUGGGGAUUGGGUGAGAGAAAAUUAUUUCUCAGAGUGUGGUUGUAAUAAUUUUCCACAUAGUGAAUAUUUUUUCUCUGGUUGGCUUUUGACAACGGCAGUGGUUUUUCUCCAGAUUUAGAGUUUUCCACGUAAAUCUUGUGUUGUGUGAUUGGUGUAUUCUCUAUUUAAUUUUUUCUGUUAAUUUGUUGCUUGACAAAUUGCUUAGAGUGAUCUUGGGAGGAAACUCAAUUUCCUAACAAAACUAUGCCAAAACACAAGCUUCAAUCAGUAAUACAUACGACUAAUUAUUAAAAACAUAGAGCCAGAAACCUUACGAAAGCUCAGUCCUUCAGAAGCAUUCUUCGAAUUAAUAAUUGCUACUAUCUGUGAAAAAUAAUUGACACGGGUUCAGCUGUUAACUCAAUCAGUAGAAACAUUCAUAACCAACAAAAAGAAUUCUUUGUGCAAUAUUUUCAGAAAAUUCAUUUAACCUUUCAAAUGAAACAAAGUAAUUUUUCAAACACUGUCAGGAUUUAUAUAAAACAUAAAUGUUUCCGACGGAAGCUUUUUGGAACGUAAAGUUUGCUUCUUUAAACAGAAAGUUAUACAUUAGUUUGAUUUUAAAGGGUGGUUAUUGGGAAGUUAAAAUUGGCUGUUGUGGUAAAAGGGUAAUAGCAGUUAUAAUCUCUUUUAAAACAACUUCAAAUCAAGUUUCAAAUUUUAGGAGUACUUAAUUCAAUAACAUAAAGAAUAAAUAAAGCUUUAAUUGAAACAAAACUAAGUAAAUUCAUUUAAAGCAAAACAGGAUGCGAGCAUUACGUAAGGGUUCUUGACCAUACCAUGUUUACCCGCAGUCGGAUAUCUGGGACUUUGUUAUUUGGAGACAAGACUUGAUUUUGCCAUGUUUUCCGCAGCUAGACAUCUGUGGAUAAGAGAACCCUAAGCCUAUUGAGAAUAAAUUCUGUAAUCUAAGACUCUUCAGUUCUUUCAUUUGUGGCUAAUUAGUUAUAAAAUUUGUGAAUUUCAUGCCCCAUGCCCCUUGCAAAAUGUAUUUUAUAUCCUUAAGAUGCUAGUGGAUGAACUGAAAUAAUAAAAAAUGGAAAACAGACUUGAUGCCGACAGCAUUUCUCAAGAAAAACUUGGGAUGUUUAUAAUUUUCUUAGAGCAUUUGCUGAGCUUUCUGUGAUCGCAGUCGAGACAGGUCAACGCUACUUCCCUCAUUGCUCAGAAGUGGCUUUUAAGUUUAUGGAUAUCAACUCCCCUCAUUGCUCAGAAGUGGUUAAUGAGGUUUUGGAUUGUGAUUGGUCCAAUGCUUCCCUCCUACAAAAGGGUACUCCUGAAGAGCAGAAACUCAAAAGGGCAAGCUUCAUGAAACUUAAAGUAGACACGGGGGAGGCAUUCUGCAAGGACGUGGCUUAUCCCCGUCGUUUAGGGCUGCCAUCAUCCUGGUCGGCAUUUUACAAUUACAUGGCUGAGAGCAAUCGUUCAGGUAUGCCGACAUCCUCGGCAUCGAGCAAUUAAGCAUCACCUUUCCCUAAAAGUUAUUUUUGACACAUGGGAAACUAAAAGAGUUUAGUGAGCUCGAUUGGCAUUUGUAGUUUUUUUUGCCUCAAGUGAUCUGGUAUGUAUCAAUUAGUUUGUGAAAUUAUUGUACUGUAUCAAUUAGUUUGUGAUAUGUACACAUGCAUGGAUCACAAACUCAUUUCAUUGAAUAUUUUUUUUUUUAAUUAUACAAUUUAUAGGCUAUGCUUAAAAAUUAGAAAAAAAGAAUUGUAUUACAGUUGGUAUGAGACAUGCAUGUGUGCAUAUCAGUUGCUGAACAAACUUUGCCUUUUAAUUUUGUAGGCAUUACUUUCUGCAAUUUGAGAGAUAGUGGAUUAGUGGGGAGUGGAUUAAAGUGCAUCUACAUAGAAUUAAUCAAAAUAAAAUUGAUUUUUUAACUAUUUUUACUCAAAGUAGUAGUUAUUCUUUUUAUUAGUGUUAUUCCAAUUAUAUCAAAAUCAGUUGACUGGUGAUCAAAUUAAGUGAUAUAUGGUAUGGAGUUUUUAUAAAUCUAUGUAAAUAGUAAAAUAUUUAAUUUUUCUUGUCGUACAAUUUUAAUUUAUAUGGUUUAAAAAAAGAAAUUGACUUAUUAAUUAAUUAACAAUUAUAGAAAGAAUAAAUAGAAAAUUAUAGUUGUGGGAGAAAACUCUCGCGAAAAGGGCUCUAGAUUGGCUUCGUGCGUUGCCCCUGGCCCUUUCGAGCACGAAUUCGAAUCCAAUGCUUUAUAAUAAAGAUAUAAUAUUAUUAUAAUACUAAUAAUUAACAUUAAAAUAUUAAAAAAUAAGGAAAAAAAAAUCCAAAUUUUUACUGGGGUUUUUAAUUAAAUACCCUUUAAUAAUUUCAAAAUUAUUUAAAUACCCCCUCCCUUUUUGGUUUUCAUGGAUACCCUAACAAAUGUGAGCAAAGUCAGAAAUACCCUUAAUGAAUGCAUCAAACUCACUCAAGGAAUUGUCUUCAUAUUUCUUUCCUCAUUUCUUUCACCCAAAUCUAUUUUUGCUGCCGAUUCUUUCAAAAUCUCUUAGCAUCUCUCAAAAUCUCUCAUAACUUCUUACACAAAUACAAUUAUGUAUUCAUUUCUUUAACACCCACUCUUUCUUUAAAGGUGCAUUGCUUAUUAAACAACCAAAUAAGGUAUGUUAAUGUUGUUGGGUUUUAAAUUUUUAAUUUUUAGGAAAAUUUAGAAAUUUUCCUCACAUUACAAUGUUUUAUUUUCACCAUUUUUUCUUAUACGUAGAAAUAUAUGCAAUGUAGGUUGUUUAAUUAUUUUUUUCAGCAAUAUAACUUAUUUAUGGCGAAAAUGUUUCGAGUCGUGCAUUCUUUUGAUACCGUGUACGUCAUAUAAUUAGUCAUGUAGGUCAUGUAAGUAAUAUAGUCGUGUAAGUCGUGUAGGUCAUGUAAGAAAUAUAGUCGUGUAGGUCGUGUAAGAAAUAUAGUCGUGUAAGUCGUGUAAGUAAUAUAGUUGUGUAGGUCAUGUAAGUCGUGUAGUUAAUUGUAUAUGAAAUUUAAUAUUAUUGUUUUUAUUGUAUCAUCAGAUAUGGUUUUGGUACGUGUGCCUAUUCUCUUCAAUGGUGAAUGGAUUGAGCAAAAUGACGAGUAUAAGUUCAAAGGUUCAAAGGCUAAAGGGAUAAUGAUACCACGAUCGACAACAUAUGCCGAAUUGGUGGAGAAGAUAACUGAAGUUAUUGAUAUAGAUACUUCGGAAUUCGAAAUCACAAUGAAGUUCAAACUUAAGACAUCUGAUCCUAUGCCACUCGUUACAAUUCAAACCAAUGAUAAUGUGGAAUUUUUUUAGAUUCUAAUUUAAUUUCACUUCUUCUUUUUUAAUAAUUUUCGUUGACAUUUUCUGCAUAGCAGCAAAUAUAAAUUCUUAGCACAAAUUAAGUCUUUAAAGAACUAAAUUAAUCUAAUGAGUAAUAGAAAAAUUCGUGUAAUUUUAAAGUUGCAAUUAAACAUAUUACCGCCAUUUAAAAAGUUUUUUUUUUUUUUAUCUUCAAAGUGCUUUCUUCCUCUGGCCAAGCAUACAAGCAUACAUGAGGAAUGUCUGCAUAUAAUUAAUCCAUGAAAUCAAUUAAGAAAAAAAAAUAUCAACCAUAGGAAAUUAAUGUAAUGUUAUACACAUAAGAACACCAUUCGCAGUGAUAAAAUAUUUCCACUCAUAACUAGACAUAUCAUGACUUACCAUGGCUUAUAAUUGGAAAUUAAGAAUCUCUCUAACUAAUGACAUUUCACAAGGUAAAGGUAUAUGCACCAUUCCAAUUUAUUGUGAGCCUAAUUAAACUAAAUGUAAUGUGUAGAUUCUAUUGACAAGAAACAAAAUGUGGAAUUGAAGGUCGUGUAAUUGUGUAAUACAAGAAGAUCGUGUAAUUGUAUAAUACAUGAAGGUCGUAUAAACAUGCAAUACAUGAAGGUCGUGUAAACGUGCAAUACAUGAAGGUCGUAUAAUCGUGCAAUACAUGAAGGUCGUGUAAUCGUGCAAUACAUGAAGGUCGUGUAAUACACAACCUUGAAUCUUACAUAACCUUACACGACCAAAUCUUAUGUUACAUAACAAAAUUAUAAUCAGCACAAUCCAUUAAUUUUUCACAAUUUGCAUGCAGCAAAACAACUAGAAAUUUGUUUUCGAACAUGUUAUGAGAGACCCACAACUAAUUAAUCUAUUUUUUCAAUAUAAAACCCUAACUUUUUGUUUUUUUCCCUUGAAUAUUAACAAGAAAACUAAUUAUACGGAAUUACUUGUCUCAACUAGUGAUAUUCUGACAAUUUUACAGUAAAUGAUCAACUCUCUCCGGCGAUUAUGUAGUGACGAACUAUGCUUCACUUUCUCAGUUGUGGCAGCUUCCCCUUCUCAGGCUUAGUUUGCUCGUGUUGAAGUUCGAUUUACCAUGUAUGGAGAAUGAAUGUUUGUUUCGGUAGAGGUGAUGCUGGUGAGGGAAUUACAGAGGUGAUGUCGGUGAGGGAAUUGCAGUGUUUGUUUGUUUGAGUUUGAUAAUGGAGGGAAUUGCGGUAGAUGAGUGUUUGUUUGCUUCAGUAGAGAAGGGAGAUGUAUUGUCCGUUGAGUUGAAAUGUUUUAAAAUGAGGAUAGCUUAGUAAUUUCCUAUCAGUUUUUAAAGGGUAUCGAUGAAAAUUUUGGCAAAAACAGAUUUUAGGGUAUUGAGAUAAUUUUUGAAGUACGAAGGUGUACCGGGCGCAAUUGGCUCAUUUUUACUGGUAUAUAAUAUAACGCAGGGCCAAAACGAUAGCGAAACAUCAAAUUGUUUUUAUUUCAAUCUUCGCGCAACCUCCGGUGACAUAAUUUUUCUCUGUUUCAGGUACAUACAUACCCAAAACUAAACUUUGCAUGUAUCGUUCUUGUUUUUUUGUUAUUCAUUCACACAUCCUUCUUUUCUUUUCUUUUCUUUUCUUUUUUGCUGUAAGUUUUUAUGAGACGCUCUGUUUCAGUUUAAUAUUAUUGUUUGGGUUCUGUUCUGCUCUGUUCUCUGUUGUAUGUAUAUAUGUAUAUAUUUUUGGCCUCGAAUUGCUUUGAUCACCGGAAUUUUUAUUCAUUUAUCGUGAAUUUUAGAUGACUUGUUUGGCCAUGUAUUCAUUUGAUUGUUACAUUCAGCUGCCAUCUUCAUGGUGGGUUUGUAAGAUAGUCUCUGACUAACAUAUGGCAUUCAUUAUGAAUGAUGGUUUUGUGAGAUACAUCAUACAGACGUUAACUUGUAUUAACAUGUACUUGCUUCAUCUAAAAGAUUAGUGUUUUUCUGGCUUUUUUUUUUUUUUUCCUUUUUGAAAUGCCCUUUUUGCAUUUUAUAGGUGAAAGGAAAAAACAUAAUAUCGCAGCUCUAGAACAAAGGAGCCUAUUCUGGUACCUAUUGUCCAAGGAAGCUUCUGUAUAUUCGGUAGGCACUACCAUGGAAGUGAAAUCUUACCAGAGCCAGGCGGAGUCAUUGCUGAAGGAAUAUAUAUUAGCAGAUCCAUUUGUCCCGUACACUUCAAUUGUUGGUAGCAUUUUUGCUUGCAAGAUGGUAUGUUUUUCAUCGUUACUGCAUGGUGGUAUUUACUAGAAAAUAUUUUGAAUGCAUAGUUUUUAUUUAAUUAGUUAUAAAUUUUUAUACCCACUGCUUUCUAUAAGAACGUGUUCAUUUUCAGGUCUAUAAUCUUGCCCAAUUGAUUAGUGCGGUUCACUUUAAAAGUUAUUCCAGUUUCUCCAACAUACAGCGGGUUGAGUGGAGUAACAGGUGAUUGAAUAUUUUCAUUUAGUUCAAUUGACAUUUCUUUUUCAAUCGGUAAAGUUUAAUCGUUUCUCUUAAAUCGACAACUUAUGCAGGGCCAUAUCAACCGUCCAUGCCAUUUUUAUUACAGCUAUGUCUUUGUAUUUCGUGUUUUGGUCAGAUCUCAGAGUUUGUGCAUAGCACACUUGUUUCUACUGUUUGUUUGUCCCUUCAUAGACAUUUCGACAAACUGUUAUUUUUGUUCUUUGGAAGUGAAUAUUUUCAGCAACUAGAACUCCAAAGCAUCUGGAAUGAUCCAUUUUAUCAUUCUCAAUACCUAUAAAAGAAUGUCAUAGAAAACAGUUUCCAUAGCAAGUUGCAUGUGUUUUGAAUUUGUCUUUGCAAGCCACUAAUUGCUUAGAGCACACUGUUAGUCAGUCGUGAUUCCAUCCACUUUUUUUGAUAGACAAUUGUGCAUCCAUAUGAUCUGGACUAAACUAGUUUUUAAUUAAUAAUUGCCCAGGGUUUUAGUCUCAGUGUUACAGCCCAGUCUUUGUUGUCAAUACUCUUUCCCCCGUUGUGGAUGAGCACCAUUACAGCUUCUUAAUGUUUUGCAGUGGCUUUCGCACGGUUGUUUUUUCCUUCUGAAGCUAGGGUAGCUAUGGAUGUAGCAGAUGCAGAUGCCACCAAUUUUUAUACUGGCCUUUCAGCAUCAAAAUCAAAAGGAUCAAGUGGGAGCUUAAAGGAGGUUGAUUUGAAUGAAACACCCUCUAUGAAAGCCAAGAGACUCCAAUUAAGACUGCAAGCUCUGCUUAAAACAGGUAUUUAUAUACCUUAUUAGUUUUUGUACCUUUACAAUUAGUGAUUUUUGCAUCAAAAGAGAGAGGUUAAUUUUUAGUACAUUGAUAUCUCAACAAAAUGUUAGAACCUUUGGAGCACUACAGACAUUUUCUUAGAGCAUUUACUGAACUUUCUUUGAUUGCAGUGGAGACAGGUCGACGCUACUUCCCUCGUUGCUCAGAAGUGGUUGAUAAAUUUUAGGAUUGUGAUUGGUCCGAUGCUUCCCUCCUAGAAAAGGGUACUCCUGAAAAGCAGAAACUCAAAAGGGCACGCUUCAUGGAACUUAAAGAAGACCUGAAGGAGGCAUUUUACAAUGACAUGGCUGAGAAAAAUCGCUCAGGUUUGUAGUCAUACUCGUCGUCGUCAUCUUCUCCGAAGGAAGGAGUAAAGUGUAAGGGUAGGAAAAGGUGAUGCUUAGCUGCUUGUCUUUGUUAUUCAUUUAUAGGCAACUAAAAGAGUUUUAGUGAGUUGGAUUGUUACUUGUAAGCAGAUACUCUUCGAGCCUAUGUUAUGGCCAUGUUGUAUAAUAGCAGAGGAACUUCAAGCUUGCGUUGUUGUAUUUUCCCCAGUAUUUGGCAUGUAAUGCACUAGAUGACAAAGAAUUUUCUAAUUUUAGAGGGGAAAGUUAUGUCAGUUAAUUAUUUAUUUAUUUAUUUUGUCUGUUUAAUUCAGUUUGCAUUAGGGAUGGCAAAAUAACCUGAACCCGGACGAACCCGGAUAAUCCAGGCCGGGUUGAACCCGUACCGGAAUGUAAAAAAAUUCGGGUCCGGAAUAAAUUUUAAUAACCCGGAUAUAUCCGGGUCCGGGUCCGGGUUUAGGUUAACCCGAACAUUCGGAACCCGGACCCGGAUAUCUAAUUUUAAUAUUAUUUUUUAAUUAAUUUUAUUGAUUAAUUUAGAUGUGUUAUUGCUUGGAAAUGUAUUAAUUUUUUAUUUUUAGAAUUUUAGAAAUUGAUAUUGAUUCAUUGAUCCGGGUUCAAAACCCAGAAUCCGGAAACCCGGAUUUUUCCGGGUUGAACCCGGACCCGGGUGAAAAAAUCCGGGUUAAAAUCCGGGUCCGGGAAAAGAAAAUGGUAUCCGGGUCCGGAUCCGAAAAGGCUAAACCCGGACCCGGAUUUUGCCAUCCCUAGUUUGCAUAGCUUUUUUUUUUUUUUCUUUCCAAAAAAAUCUUCAUUUCUUCAUCUGCAAUUUAAGUCAUUUGUAACUUCUUUUAGGGAGGAGAGAGAGAAAAAAAAGAAAAGAGUAUAUUUUACAGUAGUGAUUUUCCUACGGAAAUUGGUUAAGAUGACAUUAAUGUUCUUUGAGAUGGACGGAUAUGCAGAUUUUUCGUCGAAAUUGAAAUUAGAAAUGGAUGGAUAUGAAUGACAUAUAUGCAGAAUUUUAAUAAAAUUUUUAUACAAAAAUUUGUAGCUCAUUACUCUCUAGAAGGAAAAAAUAAGUUUUUAAUUGUAAAUAUUAAAUAUUAAAUAUUAAAUUUAUAAUAUAAUAAAUGUGUGACUUAAGGUGCACAAUACCCAUAUAAUAAUAAUUAAGAAAAGAAAAAAUCAAAAUUUGCAAAUUACCAAUUUUCUCUUGAAAUUUGAUAUUCUAUAUUAACGUAGGUGUUGCAUGGACUGGGUUAGUACAACUGAAAGAAACAAAAUAUCAUAAAAAUGAGUGUAAGUUUGUAUAUAUAUUUUUUGAAUUGUCAUAUAUAUACAAGUUUGUCACUAACGGUAAAUUUAAUUAUGAAUAUUUUAAUAAUUCAAAAUCUCAUUCAACCAUCGGUGUUUAUAGUGUUUUUCGAAAUACAAAAUUGUAAUUUAUAAACAGUCUCACCCUUAAUAGUACAAUGCUAAAUCUUUUCAAAAAAUUAUUCUAUUAUAGUCGUCUUAGUCAGUUAUAUUUAUUUUCAAAUUGAAGAUAAAAAUCGUACUUCAUAUGUCAAACAUUACUUAAAGACUUUAGGGAUAUGUACGUGAAACUGAAUGAAUCAUCAGUUGCAUAUUACUUAAUGGCAAGUGAAGCUAUUUUAUGUGUAUUGCUUGUCACGGGAUGAGUGUUUUGCGCAGCUAACCCGUGUGGCACUUAGACAACUUUGCCGAAUGUUGCUAAGUAAGCCUUGAGCUUCUCGAACUAGAGAAGAGAGCAAUGGAGCCGAAUAAGAAAACUUGUAUUGCACAAAAGAGAGAUUACAAGAAUGCUUGAGUUGCUUGCUCUAAGCUUGUUGUUGUUGUUUUUUAACAAAUGCCUAAUGACAUCCCAUAUUUAUAGGGGAUGCUUGCCAAGCUCUAGGGAUUCUAGAGAAUUCUACCACUUCCUAGCUAUUUACAUGUGCUGGAAUUGUAAAGAGAAUUCUAGAGUAUUUACAAGCUCAAUGUGCUAGAGUUGCCUAGAACUUUCCGGAAUUUGGGCCAAGCUAGCACUCUUGGCUUUGUCUUGGGCUCUUGGUGGCCAAAUUGGGCUAGCGAAUUGGGUGGUCCACAACAUCCUCCCCCACCUAAGCUCGCGGCGUCCUCGUCGCGCUCUCGUGCUUGAAGCGUUGGAUGUGCUCAGCGAAUUGCCACAAAUCAUCUUCACGUUCCCAUGUGGCCUCGCUCUCGGGGAGGUUUUUCCACUUCACCAAGUACUCGCUAUGCGCUGGUACGCCUCUCCUCGAAACCACAUGAUCCGCAAGGAUGUAGUCCACAUCUUUGUCGAACGCGGUGACAACGGCAGUUGGCGCGCCCCUUGAUUCUCCACGACUUGGAUCUUCCACAUCUCGGUGGUAUGGCUUGAGAAGGCUCACAUGGAAGACCGGAUGGAUCUUGAGUCUUGGCGGAAGUUGAAGUUGAUACGAGACGUUGCCCACACGUCGUACAACUCGGAAGGGUCCCUUGUAGCGCCUCACUAACCCCUUGUGGACUUUCCGCAACGUCUUGAAUUGUUGGGGUAGGAGCUUGAUCAUGACUUGAUCACCUUCUUUGUACUCCACAUGCCGUCUCCUUGUAUCUGCCCAUUUCUUCAUUUUCCUUGCGGCUUUAUCGAGGUAGGCUCGCGUGAUGUCCGCUUCCUCGUGCCAUUCGCGGGCGAGCUUAUGUGCCGCGGGGCUCUUCCCUCCGUAAGUUGAGGCUAUGGCGUUGGGAGUCAUAGGCUGGAAUCCCAUGAUGAUUUCGAACGGACUCUUGCCCGUAGCCUCACUUCGCUGCAAGUUAUAAGAAAAUUGGACGAUGUCAAGUAACUUCGCCCAAUCCCGCUGAUGAGCGUUCACAUAAUGCCUCAAGUACAUCUCGAGGAGACCAUUGAUGCGCUCGGUCUGCCCAUCCGUUUGGGGAUGGAAGCUUGUCGAGAACUUGAGAUCGGUCCCCAACAUCUUGAAGAGCUCCGUCCAAAAACGCCCAGUGAACCGAGGGUCUCGGUCGCUCACAAUGCUCCUUGGAACUCCCCAAAGCUUCACAAUGUGCUUGACGAAUAGGCGGGCUGCCUCGUCCACUUUGCAAUCGACUGGUGCGGCAAUGAAUGUGGCGUACUUGCUGUAUCGGUCGACAACGACCAUGAUGCUUUCGCUACGUUGUGUUUGAAAGUAGCUCGUCGCUACGUUGUCCGUCAUAAUCGUGAAGUGAGAGCCGAGCAAGUAGUGUCGCCACACCCGCAAGCAAUGUAUUAUUGCAGUCAUCUCCUUCUCUUGCACCAUGUAGCGGCGUUCCGUAUCGUUUAGCCUUCGACUCUCGAACGCUAUGGGGUGGCCUUCUUGCAUGAUCACUCCACCUAUGGCGAAAUCCGAGGCAUCCGUUUGAACUUCGAAGGGUUUAGUGUGGUCCGGAAGAGCGAGGACUGGUUCCUCCGAAAUUGCCUUCUUCAAUUCCUCAAAUGCGCAUUGGCACUCUUCGGACCAAUGCUACGUUAUGUUUUUCUUAAGCAAAUCCGUCAAGGGGGCCCCUUUGGCUGAAUAGCUCUUGAUGAAACGGCGGUAGUAAUUCACCAGCCCAAGGAAUGAGCGAAGCUCAGGCACUUUCGAGGGAGGCUCCCAUUCGAGGAUGGCCUUCACUUUAGCAUUCUCCAUCAUGAGCUUCCCGCCCGCAAUCUUGUGGCCAAGGAACUCCACUUCUUGUUGGGAAAACGAGCACUUCUCCAACUUGAGGAAGAGCUCGUUGUCUCGGAGUACUUGGAGGACUUGUCGCAAGUGUUGGGCAUGCUCCUCGAGUGUGGUGCUAUACACCACGAUGUCAUCCAAGUACACGACCACAAAGUGGUCGAGGAAUGGUUGGAGUACCUUGUUCAUGAGCGUGCAAAAUGUGGCGGGUGCAUUAGUAAGGCCAAAAGGCAUCACAAGGAAUUCGAAAGACCCCGUACCUUGUUGUGCACGCCGUCUUCGGUUCGUCUCCCUUGGCGAUGCACACUUGAUAGUACCCAGAGCGCAAGUCAAGUUUAGUGAAGUACCGUGCUUUGCCAAGCUGGUCGAACAAGUCCGCGAUCAAGGGAAUCAGAUACUUGUUUUUUAUGGUGAUCUUGUUGAGCGCCCUAUAGUCGAUGCACAUCCGCAGCGAUCCAUCCUUUUUUCUUUUGGAAGAGGAUCGGUGCGCCAAAUGGGGCCUUUGAGGGGCGAAUGUAGCCUGCAUCCAACAAGUCUUUGAGUUGUCUCCGCAAUUCCUCUAGUUCGGGUGGCGCCAUGCGGUAGGGCGCCAAGGCUGGUGGUUUCACGCCUUAUUCCAACUCAAUUGCAUGAUCGACCUCUCGUCGAGGUGGGAGCUUCUUCGGAAGUUCCGGAGGCAUUACGUCCUUGUACUCAUUGAGGACGGCUUGAAUUCGCGGAGGGACUUGCCUUGGCGAGAUUCCGCUAUUUCCUUCCUCGUUUAGUUCCCGAAUGGAGACCAAGAAGCUUGGGUCCUUCUUGAAAGUCCUUUUGAAUUGCAUAGCGGAGAGUGUCUUCUCCUCGGACUUGCCUCCUUCCGUGGGAACCAUGCAUGCCUUACUCCCGUCGAGGAUGCUUAGGGAGUUCGUAGCGGGCAGCCGGAAGGCAUGGACUUGGUCGAAGAAUUCCAUGCCGAGGACCAUCUUGAAGUCAUCCAUGGGGACGAUGGAGAAGUCAAGCUUUUCGCUCCACGUACUGAGUGUAAUGUGCACACCUUGUGCGAUUCCCGCAAUUGGCUUAGUGGGUGAGUUCACAGCCUUCAUCGUGCCUCCUUCCUUGGUGGCCUUGAGGCCUAAGCGCUUGGCCUCGUCUACGGACACGAAAUUGUGUGUUGCUCCCGUGUCUAGCAGCGUGCGAACGGACUGGCCGUUUAUUUUCGCGCUUACAUACAUGAGCCCUUUCUUGACAAGUGUGGGCUAUUGGCGAUUGAGUGUGCCGAGGCGUUGGAGAGAACCCAUGCUGAGUUGGGGUUCUUCCGUGGACAUUGUGGGGUUGCUCUUAAGCUGGGCUGCGAGAGCAUUAAGCGACCUCUUCUCCGGACAAGUCGCGUACCCAAUGAGGACUGUUGCAUAUGAAGCAUGGGCUUCGCGGCUUUGGCGCCUCGUUCUUGCCCUCCGAUUUUCCUUGCCCGCUCUUGUUGCUAGGCGGCUUUUUCUACCCCCAAUCUUUGCGGUUGUUGCCCUUGUCCUUGCGACUCUCUUCCCCACCUUUGCCUUGGUUGGCCUUUUUGUCCUUGGAUUGGUGAGCGAUUCCGCAACGGCGAUGGCGUCGUCAAGUGUUUGAACACCCCGCCUAUCGAGCUCGGUCUUGGCCUAAUCCUUGAGGCCAUCUUGGAAGUAGAAGAGCGAAUCCUUGUCGGACAUGUCGCUUAUCUCCAACAUAAGGGUAGUGAACUCGUUGAUGUAGUCCUGAAUGCUACUCGUUUUCUUGAGGCGACGUAAGCGCGCUCGCGCUUCCUUCUCCACAUUGCUUGGGGCGAACUGCUUUCGGAGUUCUUGCUUGAAAUCGGCCCAAGUGUCGAUGGUGCAAAUGCCCUUGCCCAUCUCGCCAUGCUUGCGACGCCACCCUAGUUGUGCAGCGCCUCGAAGAUAAGUGGGUGCUGUGCCCACUUUCGAUGCAUCAUCUCGGACACCCAUGGCAUCGAAGUAUUGAUCAAGCCCAAAUAGGAAGUUGUCCACGAUUGUGGCAUUGCGUGUGCCAUCGUAUGUGUCGGGCUUUGGCACGUCAAUGCGGCGCGCAUCACUCGUGCUUGUGGAAGCUGGACUAGCGGAGAGUGUGCACUUGUGCCAUGCCCAAUCCGAGCGGACUUCAUCCACUUCCGCACGGACAGUGCGUAGUUCAUCCUGAACAAAGCUACGAAGUUUAAGCAACUCAUCAUGAAAAGAAUGAAACUCACCUCGAAGAGUGUUCGCUUGCUCUUGGAUGAGGGCUUUCGUUGCCACCGUGAACUCGGCGUAUUCACCCUCGAGACCGUCCACUCGUUCCUCUAAUCCCUCGAGGCUGUCUUGAGCGGCGGACAAUGCGAUUUCGAGAGUAGUCACUCGAGGCUCCAACACAUCCACGGAUGGGGCCUUGGACUUGCCGCGAGUUUUGCCUUGGGCGCGUUCUCCCUCUCGGCCGCGGCUUGGUUCCGGUGGAACAUCCACACCAACAACACCCUCUUGUGCUACGUUCAAAGGGUUGGCCAUUGCUCGUGAGCUAACUUGCGUGCGUGCAAACCUUAGCUCUGAUACCACUUGUCACGGGAUGAGUGUUUUACGCAGCUAACCCGUGCGGCACUUAGACAACUUUGCCGAAUGUUGCUCAGUAAGCCUUGAGCUUCUCGAACUAGAGAAGAGAGCAAUGGAGCCGAAUAAGAAAACUUGUAUUGCACAAAAGAGAGAUUACAAGAAUGCUUGAGUUGCUUGCUCUAAGCUUGUUGUUGUUGUUUUUUUACAAAUGCCUAAUGCCAUCCCAUAUUUAUAGGGGAGGCUUGCCAAGCUCUAGGGAUUCUAGAGAAUUCUACCACUUCCUAGCUAUUUACAUGUGCUGGAAUUGUAAAGAGAAUUCUAGAGUAUUUACAAGCUCAAUGUGCUAGAGUUGCCUAGAACUUUCCGGAAUUGGGCCAAGCUAGCACUCUUGGCUUUGUCUUGGGCUCUUGGUGGGCAAAUUAGGCUAGCGAAUUGGGCGGUCCGCAACAUGCUUCCUAUCAAAAUGUUUAUGUUUGAAUGCUUCUGUGAGUUCUCUGGUAAGGGCUAUACAACUAGCUCUAACAGAUUCCUUCAUGUGCAUUAAUUAGCUUAAUAGCUUAUUGACCUAUAUCCAAUGUCUAUUCUCCUUUUCUGUAGCCGUCUAGCUUUAUGAGUGCGUGAAGUGAACUUUUGUUUUUUGUUUCAGGACUUGGGAUUAGAGUGUAUAACAUUCAAUAUCUUUAUAUCAAACAACUGAUAUAUGUUAAUGUAGUGCGAUCUGGUCUUUAUUAGCUUCUUGAUUUGCGAGGAUGUUUGACAACCAUCUUUGACUGUGUUUGCCAGCGUAUAAGCUACUACAUAUUGUGUCUGAGGAAUCACAACAAAUUAUUAUCAUAAUAUGGUGAUUUUGAAUCCAAAACUUGGUAGUGUCAAGAAAAUAGACCCAUGUUUAUUUAGCUUCACGUUUUGUAUGCGGCUGCAAUAGACUAUUAUAAGUUACUUUUAGUUUUAUCAAGUUCCCCCCCGCCCCCUUAAAUUUCAGUUAUUUCAGCAGUUUCUUUUAACUGAGUUAAUAGUGUUGUUAGGUUAAACUAAGUUUGGCUUCAUAAGCUUCAUAGUAGAGUGUAGAAUUAGGUACAAUUUUGGGUUAGACAAGUCAAAGGUCUUAUCAAGUAAUUGUCCUGCUUACUGAUUUGGUAAUUGCAACAUUGCUAAAUAGUUCAAUUUGUCCUUUUUAUUUUGUUGAAUUUAUUGUAUGUCAUAUUACUUGAUUUAAUUAUUUUCUCAGAUCUUGUAGGUGAAAAUUUGAGCUUCAAAGACCAAAGCUAAUCAUCCAGCAAUUCAGUGAAGAAACCAAGACACACGCGGCGCAUAAAAAUUGUUGUUGAUCUGCUUUAUAUAUUUUGAGCUUUGUGAUUUGUGAAUACAUGGUUUGAUUCCAGUGUUUAAAACUUUGAAAUUCAAUUAAAAGUUGAGCUGUGAAAGAGUGUGUUGUAUAACUUGAGAAGCCAAACAGGAAAUGUGUUUUUUUGUUUUUAAUCUAUCUAUCUAUUUAUUUUUUGUUUGGAAAUGUAACAAUUUAUAGCUGGCAAAGUAAUAGAGUUGUAUACUUACUUGUAUUUAAUUUAUUAUUAUUAUUAUUAUUAUUAUUAUUAUUAUUUUAAUGACUCGGUAAUGUCAUUGUCCGUGGCGUUGUCAUUUCGAAAGUACUUAACCCUUCCACGCUAAGGCACAUCACAGCAGCCGAAAUUUUGAGCUUUCAGUUCUUGAUUUAGCGUGAGGGGUAUCUUUGUCUUUUCAGUAGUCAACAAACGGUCAACAAAACAGUCUACAAGCAAUCAGGGGGGAAAUCGGAUCUUUGAGUUUUCAGUAGUCAACAAAACAGUCAACAUACAGAAUCAGUUUGAAUAUGGUUCUUGAUGGUAUCAUGGAAAAUGCGAACGAAAAGUCAGCAUCUUUGAGUUUUGUCUCAUCAUAUCCGACUUGUUGGUCCACUAAUCAAUCAACAGGCACUUGUGAUCUUGAUAGUUUGAACUUAAGGAGGCAAAGCACCAAUCCUGAAGAGCCGUUCCUUGACGCUGAGAUUGUUGUUGAGGGCAAAUCAGUGGCAGUUAAUCGCAGCAUAUUGUCUGAGCGCAGUCAAUUUUUUCAUCGGCUUUUUAAUUUGAGAAAUGAUGCUUCUGUCGGUGAGGGGAAACCCAAGUAUCUUUUGACUGAUUUGGUGCCUCAUGGGAAGGUUGGAUAUGAAGCUUUCAAUGAUACCUUGUAUUAUCUUUACUUUGGACGGGUUAAGACAUCUCCUCCAGAAGGGUCCACGUGUGUUGAUGAUGCUUGUGCUCAUGAUGCUUGCCCUCCUGCUAUUAAUUAUGCUAUUGAGUUGAUGUAUGCUUCCGCUGCUUUUCAGAUGAAAAACCGCGUUGUUUAUUUUGGGGUAAUUGUGCUUCCCUGCUAUUUGUAUUGCUUAAAUUUAUGCACAUAUAUGGGAUUGAAAUCAAUUUCAGUUGUGAAGCAACUUCGGUGGUUCCCAAUAUUAGGAAUUGUAGUAGAUCCAAAAUUAGCUUAUUAAAAAGUGUAGAUACCGUAGAGCCCAAAACUUCGUCUUAUCUUGCAAGAGUCUGUCGUUAUAUUUUGAAAGAGACAAAAGUGAUGAUGAUGGGCGGCGAACUCUAGGAAUCAAUGCUUGCUGACACUCACUCCCAUGAAUGAUAAAAACUAACCAAAAAGGUAUAGAUUACAUGAGUCUGAAUUUGAUAAGUGCACCUAUCCUAUCACAAAAAGCUUUCGCGUUGAGUUUCUAACCAAUGAAAAUUGUCACUUCUGUCUGUAGCCUUCAUAGAUUUGUUCAAGCCUUCAAGGAUGUCUAGCUGUUACUUACCGUCCAACAAUGGUGCUACAUUUCUAGUGAAUGAUAUGUUAUUCUACAUCUGUAUAUUGCAACUUUGACAAACUUCGCCUUUCCUUUGUUGCCCGAUUAUGAAAUGGUCUAUUGGAGACUAGCAUUGGAAGGUUUCUUCUGGAAAAAAUUUUACUUGACCACCAAUUUUCAUUUGGGUGGGUGUCAGUUCAUGCUCUGGCUUGACUGUUCUGUUAUUUAGGUUGUUUUAUCUGUAUUUUCUCACUCACUUGAUACUGAGUUUUCUCAUGCUUUCAAGCUCAACAGUGAAUGCGAAUACUAGAGAUUCUCUUUUUUCCCGUCCAGGCUACAACCUAGCAAAUUGUUAAUGCUGUAGAAUAACAUCUUUUGUAGGCGAGCUUAUGUCUCUGAACAUUGGUCCAUCGGCAUUUAGGUUCAAUAAGCAUGCCACUGAUUUUCCCCCUCAUUAUUAUUUUCCUGCACAGGUUAUCCCCUUUAAGUAUUUGAAUUUUGAAUAUAUUAUUCUGAAUCAAUACUCUAUCUGUCCGUGUAGCAUUUUAUAUAUGCUUUAUGAUGUUUACCAAUAAUUACCCACUAUGGGGUAUUUGAAUUCUGAAUAUAUUAUUCUGAAUCAAAACUCUAUCUGUCCGUGUAGGAUUUGUUUUGGGACAUGACUGAGGAUGCUCCUGUGGAAGAUGUAAUCCCAAUUCUCGUGGCUGCCUUCCAUUGCCAACUGAACAAGCUUCGUUUUUUCUGCAUCCAGAGAAUUGCAAGGUCAAAUCUUGACAAUGUUUGUCUCGAGAAAGAGCUUCCCGAUGAAGUUUCAAGAGAAAUCAAAUCACUCCGUGUCAAAUCUAACCAGGAGUCUGAAGCUAUUAUAGCAGAAGUGGAUCCCAUGCAUGCAAAAAUAGUCAGUAGAAUCCACAAGGCGCUGGACUCUGAUGACGUUGAACUGUUGAAGCUUCUUCUGGAUGUAUCUAAUGUCACUCUGGAUGAUGCUUACGCUCUGCACUAUGCUGCUGCCUACUGCAACCCUAAGGUUUUUAAGGAAGUGCUCAAUAUGGGCUUGGCUGACCUCAAUCUUAGGGAUGCAAGAGGACGUACGGUGCUUCAUGUGGCUGCAAGGCGUAAUGAGCCAGAAGUGAUGGUGACUCUGCUGAGCAAGGGAGCAUGCGCAUCAGAAACUACAUCAGAUGGGCAAACCGCUGUAGCAAUCUGUCGGAGAAUGACAAGGCGAAAGGAUUAUCUUGAAGCUACAAAGCAGGGGCAGGGAACUAACAAAGACCGGUUAUGCAUUGAUGUCCUUGAGAGAGAGAUGAGAAGGAACUCCAUGUCUGAGAACUUGGCAAUGUCAUCAGAGGUGAUGGAUGAUGAUUUCCAAAGGAAGCUGGACUAUCUGGAAAAUAGAGGUGAUAAUUUCUUUACUGGUAUUAGUUCAUCACCUUCUCAGAGUUUGUGCAUAGCACACUUCUUUCUACUGUUUGUUUGUCCAUUCAUCUGGAAAAUAGAGGUGAUAUUCCUUUGCUGGUAUUAGUAAAUCAUCUUCUCAGAGUUUGUGAGUCCCUUCAUCUUAGGAUCUCAAACACACAUGGGCUCAUUGCUUGGAGCACACUGUUGGCCAGUCGUGUGAUUUGAUCCCUUUUUUGGAAUAGACAACUCUGAAUCCAUCUGAUCUAGGCUUGGCGGUUUGCACUGAACUGGUUUUUGAUGAAUAAUUGCACAAGACUUUGUCAUCAAAACUUUUAUUUUUUGGUUUUUUUGCCCCAAAAGUAAUGAGGUACAAAAAAAAUCUAUGCCUAUCCUGGAUGACUGCCAUAACAGCUUCUUAAUAUUUUGCAGUGGCUUUUGUACGGUUGUUUCCUUCUGAAGCUAGAGUAGCUAUGGAAAUAGCAGGUGCAGAUACCGCCACUGGCCUUUCAGCAUUAGGUCAGAAAGGACUAAGUGGGAACUUAAAGGAGAUUGAUUUGAAUGAAACGCCCUCUAUGCAAGCCAAGAGACGCCAAUUGAGACUGCUAACUCUGCUUAAAACAGGUAUUUAUAUACUUUAUUAACUUUUGCACCUUUCUAUUUACUGAUUAUCUUUAUAAUUAACUAAUACAUGUAUCCAGGUUUCUCCUUCCAUUUCUAAAAGGUUUCUCCUUCCAUUUCAUUAGAAGUAAAUUGGAAUUUCUUUAUAGUGCUCUGUUAGGUGUAAUCAGAUGUAUCAAAAGAGAAAGGGUAAUUGUUAGUACAUUGAUAUCUCAACAAAAUGGUAGAACCUUUCUUUAUACCAGUAAGACAUUUGUUGCAGGUAUGCCUACAUAAUCAGUGUCCUUCAAAACUUUCAAGGAGUUAGCAAUGCCUAACCCCUGAAACACUAAAUCUCACGGGAUCAACUCUUUACCUCUAGACCGAAGGUGUGACACCCAGACCCAAUUAGGGCUUAGAACACAUAUCGAAUCUGAGUGAAACUAAAUGCCUGUAAAUCCAAAUCUCCAAAAUAUCAUAAAGUCAUCUACUUUCUCUUUUCAUGUAUUUCACAAAAUUUUGAAAAAUUCAUUCUCAAUCAUAAACUAUGCACAGCUAAUUAUUCAGCAUAUCAGUAUAGAGCAAUACUUCCUCAUAAGCAAAUAAAUCUUACAAUCCUUCUUAAAUGAUUUGAAAAAAAUACUAAUAGAAGUCUUCUAGAUACAAACAUAAACAGAAUUCAACUGUUUAAAACUAUGCCAAAACACAAGCUUCAAUCAGUAAUGCAUACGACUAAUUAUUAAAAACAUCUAGCCAGAAACCUUACGAAAGCUCAAUCCUUUCGAAGCAUUCUUCAAAUUAAUAAUUGCUACCAUCUGUGAAAAAUAAUUGACAAGGAGUCACCUGUGAACUCAAUCAGUAGAAACAUUCGUAACGAACAAAAAGAAUUCUUUGUGCAAUAUUUUCAGAAAAUUCAUUUAACCUUUCAAAUGAAACAGAGUAAUUUUUCUAACGCAGUCAGGAUUUAUAUAAAACACAAACGUUUCAGACAAAAGCUGUGUGGAAUGUAAAUUUUGUUUCUUUAAACAGAAAGUUAUAUAUUAGUUUGAUUUUAAAGGGAGGUUAUUGGGAAGUUAAAAUUGGCAGUUGCGGGAAAAGGGUAAUAGCAGUUAUAAAAUCUCUUUUAAAGCAAAUUCAAAUCAAGUUUCAAAUUUUAGGAGUACUUAAUUCAAUAAAAUAAGGAAUAAAUAAAGCUUUCAUUGAAAUAAAACUAAGUAAAUUCAUUUAAAGCAAAAAAGGAUGGGAGCAUUACUAUGGGUUCUUAUGUUUACCCGCAGUCAGACAUCUGGGACCUUGUUAUUUGGAGACAAGACUUGAUUGUGCCAUGUUUUCCGCAGCUAGACAUCUGUGGAUAAGAGAACCCUAAGCGUAUUGAGAAUAAAUUCCAUAAUCCAAGUCUCUUCAGUUCUUUCAUUUGUGGCUAAUUAGUUAUAAAAUUUGUGAAUUUCAUGCCCCAUGCCCCUUGCAAAAAUGUAUUUUAUAUCCUUAAGAUGCCAGUUGUUGAACUGAAAUAAUAAAAAAUGGAAAACAGACUUAAUGCCGAUAGCAUUUCUUAAGAAAAACUUGGGAUGUUUAUAAGUUUCUUAGAGCAUUUGCUGAACUUUCUGUGAUGGCAGUCGAGACGGGUGACCGCUACUUCCCUCAUUGCUCAGAAGUGGUUGAUCGCUUUUUGGAUUUGAACAAUCCUUCCACCCCAGAAAUGGACGACGAGAAACUUAAAGUAGACGUGCAGGAGGCAUUCUGCAAGGACGUGGCUUAUCACCGUCGUUUAGGGCUGCCAUCAUCCUGGCCGGCAUUUUACCAGUACAUGGCUAGGAGCAAUCAGUCGGCAUUUUACAAGUACGUGGCUGAGAGCAAUGGUUCACGAAUGUCGACAUCCUGGGCAGCGAGCAAUUAAGCAUCACCUUUCCCUAAAAGUUAUAUUUGACACCUGGAAAACUAAAGUAGUUGAGUGAGCUCGAUUGGUAUUUGUAGUUUCUUUUUUUUUUACUCAAGUGAUCUGGCAUAAUUAAAAGUUAUUUGUUUGUCUUCAAAGUUAUUGUAUUGUCUCAAGUCCGGUGAGAUGCGCGAACGUAUAGCAUGCAUCACAAACUCAUUUCAUAGAAUAUUUUUUUGUAUAAUUAUAUAAUUUAUAGGCUUUGCUUAAAAAAUUAAAAAAGAAAAAAAGAAUUGUAUUACAAUUGGUAUGAGGCAUGCUCGUGUGUUAUAUCAGUUGCAUGCGUGUGUUAUAUCAGUUGCUGAACAAACUUUGCCUUUUAGUUUUGUAGGCACUACCAUCUCAAAUUCUCUGUUAUCAUGAAUGAGUAUUUUUUUUCUUUUUUCUUUUUUAAGAAAUCAUAAAUGAGAUUCAGAUAAUCUUUUUAAAAAAAAAAGAAAAAAAAAUGGAGAUUUCUUUUAUUUUUCCUUAAAAAACUGAAGAAAAAUUUAGAAGGUAGUGAGAGACGGAGAAUUAAAGCAAUUUUAUUCACAAAUGUAAUGUGUUUGGUCUAGCAAUACAAACUAAUAAAUUAUAAUUUAUGAGAUUAGUUUACAUAAUCUUAUAUAUAAAAUUAUAUCCUCUGAAUAAAAAUCUUCUCACCUCUUUUGACUUCUCAUUUAGAUGCCCUCUCUAGAAUCUCUCCAGCCAUAAACACAUUUUUAUAAAACAAAACACAAAAAAAAAUUAUAUAUAGUUGUCACAAGGACUAUUUCAUUUGCACAUAAUACGCAAUUGGUCAUUAAAGUUAUUAGAGGAGAAACUUUACAUGACAUGGGUACAUCAUAUUAUUAGUAUUUUAGUUUAAAUUUUUACAUACUAGAACAGUCUCUUUUUCUCCGAUUUGAGAGAUAAUGGGGAAUGGGGUUAAAGUGCAUCUACAUAGAAUUAAUUAUAAUUAAAUUUAUUUUUUAAAACUAUUUUAACUAGAAGUAGUAGUAAUUCUUUUUACUAUUGUUAUUCCAAUUAUAUCAAAAUCUCGUGACUGGUGAUCAAAAUAAGUGGUUCAUUAAAUUUUUUUAGGUGACGUAUGGUAUGGAGUUGUUAUAAAUCUAUAUAAAAAGUAAAAUAUUUAAUUUUGCUUGUCGUAAACUUUUAAUUUGCAUGGGUUAAAAAAGAAAAAAAGAAAUUGACUUAUUAAUUAAUUAACAAUUAUAGAAAGAAUAAAUAGAAAAUUAUAGUUGCGUGAGAAAACCCUCGUGAAAAGGGCUCCGGAUUUCCUUUCCCUGGCUUCGUGCGUUUCCUUUUGCCCUUUUCGAGCACGAAUUCGAAUCCAGUACUUUAUAAUAAAGAUAUAAUAUUAAAAAAUAAGAAAAAGAAUCCCAAUUUUUACUGGUAUAUAACGCAGAGCCUGCAUUAUGAAACACUCUUUUGCUAUUGUUUUCUUUUCUUUUCUCUUUUGCUGUAAUUUUUUAUGAAACACUCUGUUUCAGUUCUGUUUCUGGUUUUGUUUCGGUUUAAUAUUAUUGGUUCCGUUUGGUUCUGUUCUGCUCUGUUCUACGUCGUAUGUAUAUAUGUAUAUAUUUUUGGCCUCGAAUUGCUUUCAUCACCGGUUUUGUUAUUCAUUUAUCGUGAAUUUUAGAUGACUUGUUCGGCCAUGUUACAUUCAGCUACCAUUUUCAUGGUGGGUUUGUAAGAUAGUCUCUGACUAACACAUGGCAUUGAUUAUGAAUGAUGGUUUUGUGAGAUACAUCAUACAGACGUUAACUCGUGUUAAUUUGUACUUACAUCAUUCAAAAGAUUACUGUUUUUCUCUCUUUUUUUUAAAAAAAAAAAAAAUUGAAAUGCCCUUUUUCGCAUUUUAUAGAUGAAAGGAAGAAACAUAAUAUCGCAGAACUAGAAUAAAGGAGCCUAUUCUGUUACCUAUUGUCCGAGGAACCUUCUGUAUAUUCGGUAGGAACUACCAUGGGAAGUCAAAUCUUACCAGAGCCAGGCGGAGUCGUUGCUGAAGGAAUAUAUAUUAGCAGAUCCAUUUGUCCCGUACACUUCAAUUGUUGGUAGCAUUUUUGCUUGCACGAUGGUAUGUUUGUCAUCGUUACUGCGUGGUGGUAUUUACUAGAAAAUAUUUUGAAUGCAUAGUUUUUAUUUAAUUAGUUAUAAAAUUUUUAUACCCUCUGUUUUCCAUAAGAAUGUGUUCCUUUUCAGGUCUAUGAUCUUGCCCAAUUGAUUAGUGUGCUGUUCACUUUAAAUCUGAUUCCAGUUUCUCCAACAUACAGCGGGUCGAGUGGAGUAACAGGUGAUUGAAAAUUUUCAUUUAGUCCAAUUGUCAUUUCUUUCUCAAUCGGUAAAGUUUAAUCAUUUUUCUUAAAUCGACAACUCAUGCAGGGCCAUAUCAACCGUCCAUGACAUUUUUAUUACAGCGAUGUCUUUGUACUUUGUGUUUUGGUCGGAUCUCAGAGUUUGUGCAUAGCACACUUGGUUCUACUGUUUGUUUGUCCCUUCAUAGACAUUUCGAUAAACUGUUAUUUUUGUUCUUUGGAAGUGAAUAUUUUCAGCAACUAGAACUCCGAAGCAUCUGGAGUGAUCCAUUUUGUCAUUCUCAAUACCUAUAAAAGAAUGUCAUAGAAAACAGUUUCCAAAGCAAGUUGCAUGUGUUUUGAAUUUGUCUUUGCAAGCCACUAAUUGCUUGGAGCGCACUGUUAGCCAGUCGUGGUUCCAUCCACUUUUUUGGAUAGACAAUUGUGCAUCCAUAUGAUCUGGACUAAACUAGUUUCUAAUAAAUAAUUGCCCAGGGUUUUAGUCUCAGUGUUACAGCCCAGUCUUUGUUGUCAAUACUCUUUCCCCUGUCGUGGAUGAGCGACAUAACAGCUUCUUAAUGUUUUGCAGUGGCUUUUGCACGGUUGUUGUUUCCUUCUGAAGCUAGAGUAGCUACGGAUAGAGCGGAUGCAGAUGCCACCAAUUUUUAUACUGGCCUUUCAGCAUCAAAAUCAAAAGGAUCAAGUGGGAACUUAAAGGAGGUUGAUUUGAAUGAAACACCCUCUAUGCAAGCCAAGAGACUCCAAUUAAGAUUGCAAGCUCUGCUUAAAACAAGUAUUCAUAUACCUUAUUAGUUUUUGUACCUUUACAAUUUGUGAUUUUUGUAUCAAAAGAGAGAGGUUAAUUUUUAGUACAUUGAUAUCUCGACAAACUGUUAGAACCUUUGCACCACUAGAGACAUUUUCUUAGAGCAUUUACUGAACCUUCUAUGAUUGCAGUGGAGACAGGUCGACGCUACUUCCCUCGUUGCUCAGAAGUGGUUGAUAAAUUUUAGGAUUGUGAUUGGGCCGAUGCUUCCCUCCUAGAAAAAGGGUACUCCUGAAGAGCAGAGACUCAAAAGGGCACGCUUCAUGGAACUUAAAGAAGACAUGAAGAAGGCAUUUUACAAGGACAUGGCUGAGAAAAAAUGGCUCAGGUUUGUAGUCAUCCUCGUCAUCGUCAUCUUCUCCGAAGGACGGAGUAAAGUGUAAGGGUAGGAAAAUGUGAUGCUUAGCUGCAUGUCUUUGUUAUUCAUUUAUUGGCAACUAAAAGAGUUUUAGUGAGUUGGCUUGUUACUUGUAGAGAGAUACUCUUAGAGCCUAUGUUAUGGCUAUGUUGUAUAAUAGCAGAGGAACUUCAAGCUUGUGUUGUUGUAUUUUCCCUGGUAUUUGGCAUGUAAUGCACUAAAUGACAAAGAAUUUUCUAAUUUUAGAGGGGAAUGUUAUGUCAGUUAAUUAUUUAUUUAUUUUGUCUGUUUAAUUCAGUUUACAUAGCUUUUUUUUUUUCUCCAAAAAAAUCUUCAUAUCUCCAUCUGCAAUUUAAGUCAUUUGUAACUUCUUUCAGGGAGGAAGGAAAAGGGAAAAAAAAGAAGCAUUUGUAAGUAUAUUUACAGUACUGAUUUUCCUACAGAAAUUGGUUAAGGUGACAUUAAUGUUCUUAGUAACAGAUGGAUAUGCAGAAUUUUCGUUGAAAUUGAAAUUAGAAAUGGAUGGAUAUGAAUGACAUAUAUUCAGAAUUUUUUAGUAGAAUGUUUAAACAAAAUUUUUUAGCUCAUUACUCUCUAGAAGGAAAAUAAAUUUUUUAUUGUAAAUAUUAAAUAUUAAAUUUAUAAUAUAAUAAAUGUGUGACUUAAGGUGCACAAUACCUAUAUAAUAAUAAUAAUUAGGACAAGAAAAAUCAAAUUUUGUAAAUUACCAAAUUUCCCUUGGAAUUUGAUAUUCUAUAUCAACGUAGGUGUUGCAUCCACUGGGUUAGUACAACUAAAAGAAACUAACUAAAGUAAAACAAAAUAUCAGAAAAAUAUGGCGAGCUUCUCAUUUUUUUUUAAGUGAAAAAAAAAGAAAACUGAAAUUAAUUAUUUUUAUACCCAAAUUCUCAUGCUCGAAGGCCGCUGGAAUUGGUCAUUGUAAUUUUGUCAUCCUCGUUAUUCACUGGCCAUCGUAGCCUUCCUCCCUUAGAAUGAGAGUCGUUUUUUGGACCACGACAUAAUAAAAAUAGUAUUGAUUAAUACUAAUAAAUUUCUUUUUGAUUAUUUUGCAGUGUAAUAGUCUAGUGCGUGCCAGUGCCCAUCAGAUCACUUGAACAUGUGGUAAAAUUCUGCGAGUCUUUGUAAAAUAAUUUUUAAAUUGUGUAUUAACCAAAUAGCUCAAUGAAGACUAUCGACUCAUUAUUUUAUUUUGUAUAUAUUUAUGAUAAUUGUUGAAAAGAAAAUUGUAAAGUGAGAUUAAUGAACAUUUAUGAAUGUGGAAAUUAACACAACCAGAAUUUAUGAUGAAAUAAUUUUAAGUCAAACGAAUGUAAGUUUGUAUAUAUAUUUUUUGAAUUGUCAUAUAUAUACAAGUUUGUCACUAACAGUAAAUUAAAUUAUGAAUAUUUUAAUAAUUCAAAAUCUCAUUUAACCAUCAGCGUUUAUAGGGUGCGUUUGGCACAUUGUAUUGUAUUAUAUUGUAUUAUAUUAUUUUAAUGCAUGUGUAUUAUAUUAUAUUGUAUUACAUUAACAUUGUAUUAUAAUAAUACUAUACAAUGUUUGGUACUACAUUGUAUUAAUUUUUAAUAAAUAUAUAAUAUUACACUGUAUUAUAUUAAUUUUUUAAUAAGUACUUUAAAUUAUAUAUUUAGAAAAUAACAUUUAUUAGUCGUUAAAAAAUACUAAAUAUAAAAUUCUUAAAUUUUAGAAAUUUAAUAUUAUCUUUCUGGUAUAAACGUUGAAAAAAAAAAUCAUAAUUCUUCGUAAAAAUCGAAAUAAAUAAUUCAAUCAAAUAACCUUCAAAUAAUAUUAUAACAUAAAUAAAUAAUUAAAAUGUACAAGAUUAAGUUAAAAAUCAUUUUAAGAUAAUAAAAUAAAAAUUUAUACAUAGUAUAAAAUAAUAUAGUAACUGUAGUAUAAUAACUAACAAAAUAGACUGUACUAAAUAAUUUAAGUAAUACAACAAUAUUUACAAGUACCGUUUUUGCUAUCUUUCUCUUUUAAAGGCCCCUUUUUUGUUUUAUUCUUAGAACUUCAUAGUUCUUUUGUUUUUUCUUUUUCUUUUUCUUUUUCUUUGCCCCUUUUUUGUUUUCUUCAUAUUUCUUUUGGCUUCAUAAGUUUCUUUUAACUGAGUUAAUAGUGUUGUUAGGUUAAACUAAGUUUGGCUUCAUAAACUUAAAUCUCGUUAAGUUUUCCUUCGAAUAGCUCUCUCUCUUUUAGAGAGGCUUGAAUGGAAAAAUAUUAAGGGGUCGUAAGGACUCAGGUGGUCACUCCUAGUGAGUGGAAAGUAAUCUAAACCAGCAAGCUGUUGGGAUUGAUGUGCUGGUGGAGAAAGUUUCGAAGAGCCAAAGGUAGUGUAAAGCGUUGGGGUACGAGUCAAAGCAAGCAAGUUGAAAGAACUCACUAUCGGCUCUAGCGUUAUUUGCCAUGGACACUGAAGAGCUAAUUCGCAAGUGUCAAGCAAUAAAUAUUAGAGAGGAAGACAAAGCCAAAAUAACACUGGAGGUGAAUCUGGAAAAAAAGAAAGAACUAAUGAUGGCAGGCUGCUUAGUGGGUAAAGUAAUGCUCGCGAAGGGAGUAAAUAAAGAGGGUCUCAAGGCUGCGUUACAGCAGGUGUGGAGGACUUUCAAAGAAGUCAAAAUCGAAAGCGUGGGAAACAACAUCUUCAUGUUUAAAUUUGCUGAGGAAGCAGACAAGAAAAGAGUGUUAAAAUGGGGACCAUGGCACUUCGACAGGGCAUUGAUUGUACUCGCUGAGCCAAGGGGGAUUGGGGAAGUCGCAAAACAAUCCUUUACUCAUACAUCCUUUUGGGUGCAGAUUCGUAAUGUUCCACUAGCGUGUAUGGAUAAAGAUUUUCUCCGGGAGCUGGGUGAGAAGCUAGGAUCAGUUGAAGAGGUCCAAACUGAUGAUAAUGGAGAUUGUAUUGGGGAAUAUGCCAGAAUAAGAGUUUCAAUUAAUAUAACACUGCCGCUAGAGAGGAUUCUAUUUCUAAAGCGAGAAGGUGAAACUGAUAUCCCAAUGCCAGUGGUCUAUGAACGUUUGCCGGAUUUUUGUUAUUGCUGCGGCAUCAUAGGACAUCAAUACAAAGAGUGUGGCAAAUACCAAGACCAACCAAGAGAAGAUUUACCAUAUGGGAGCUGGAUGAAAGCGAUUACGGUAGGGGGCUUCACAAAGAGGAAUCAGAACCAGGGAAGGUGGAACUAUGGGGCUGGAAAAUCGGAUGAAAAAUCAGCAAGCUCAGAAAAUCACAGCUUCCAGCAACAGCAAGGGCAAAACAAAGAAAACCCGAUAGAGGCAAACGGGUCGGUACAAAAUGAGAAGGAAAUGGGGCAAACCAUGGAGCAUGCUAAGAAUGAUGUGAUAGGAGGAGUAGCUGAGCAACAAUUAAUGCAAGGAGUGUCACAGUCAGCGGACAAAAAACAAACUGACGGCCACAAGCAAGCUAAGAAAAGUGGCAAUGCAACAGUCCCAAGGAAAAUGGGCACACAAGCGGGAAAUGGUAUCCUAAACGAGGGGGAAAAAAUGCAAAUAAGUCAUGAAAAGGAAGCUGGAAAAAAUGAUGGGCCGGAAGUCUCUCAGCUACAGCCCAAUAAGAGAAAGUGGAAGAGAUUACUUAGAGAGCUAAGUGAAGGGGGGGAAGAAAUGGAGGUACAAACUCGGAAAAGGCCAAGGGGGAAAAAACUCGGGCAAAGCCCAAGGAAAAAAACAAAACUCUCCAACUCAAACCAGCUCGAGACAAAAAAUCUGAUGCAUGUUUCUUCAACAGCAAGUCUUCAGCUGGGGUGGGAACCGCUGAUGCUGGAAGAGGUGGUAGUUAUGGAAGCAAACAACAUGGAGAUAUCGGCGGAGGCUGGUGGCCAGCCCCGCCGAAAACCAUGAAUAUCCUCAGCUGGAAUGUUCGGGGUUUGGGGAAUCCCCGAGCAUUUCAAGCCUUAAGAAAAAUCCUCCAGUUGCAUGGUGCUCAGCUGGUGUUCUUGUGUGAAACAAAGGUAUCAACCAUGCAAAUGAAUGUAAUUGCAAGUAAGCUGAGCUUCGAGAAUUGCCUUGCGGUAAACGGUAAUGGAAGAGGAGGCGGAAUAGCAAUGCUCUGGAAGUCAGAUAUUGAGGUGCAAAUCAAAUCAUACAGCCAGCACCACAUUGAUGCCGAAACUCAAAUGCCAAAUGGGAAUCAAAUGCGAAUUACAGGAGUGUAUGGGCAUCCGGAAAUAAGCCAGAAAAAGCACACUUGGACGCUCCUCAGACGGCUGGCGGUUUUAUCUUCUAGUCCUUGGUUGUGUUGUGGAGAUUUUAACGAAAUUUUACAUCCAAAUGAGAAGAGGGGCGGCAAUGAUAGAAAUGUGAAUUUAAUUAAUGAGUUUAGAGAAGUCUUGAGAGAUUGUGGCUUAAAGGAUGUCGGGUUUCGGGGGUAUGCUUUUACUUGGAAUAAUGGAAGAUAUGGGGAGGGUUUUGUGGAAGAAAGGUUGGACAGAUUUGUUUGCUCUAAAGCUUGGAGUGAUAGAUUUGUGGACUGUGCAGCAAGUAAUCUGGACUCCUGGACUUCGGAUCAUUGUCCCGUGCUGAUGGUUGUUCAAGAGAGAAGGGAGGGUAUGAUCCAAAGGGGUAGACAUUCCUCGCGAAUCCAUUAUGAGGAUAUGUGGAGUUCGUAUGACGGAUGCAAAGAGAUAAUUAAGGAGGAAUGGGGGCUGUAUAGAAACUGGAGCAGUGAAAAUUCAGCCCAAUCCUUUCGACAAGCAACAAAAACUUCGAUGGGUAGGCUGCUGGGGUGGAGCAAGAGGGAAUUUAGAAAGCGUGACAGAAAAUUAGAGAAGCUGAAGGUUCAGCUGAGGGAGUUAAAACAAAGAAGGGUGCAAUUUGUAGAUGGUGAGGAAAUUCGGAAGGUGGAGAAGCAAAUUCAAAAUAUUCUUAUGGAUGAAGAAAUCUACUGGAAGCAACGUUCAAGAGCAGAUUGGCUCAAGGAGGGGGACAAAAACACAAAAUUUUUUCACGGCAAAGCGACGGCAAGAAGGAAAAAAAACAGAAUUUGGGGGAUUGAAGAUAAUUUUGGGAAAUGGAUUGAGGAGCCAAUCAAAGUAGAGCAUGAGUUUUGCAACUAUUUCACCAAGCUUUUUACAUCAACCCAGCCGAGACAAGAUCAAAUUGCAGCAGCUUUGGAAGGAAUAACUCCAAGAGUUUCAGCCAGUAUGAAUGAGAGUCUGGGGGCACCUUUUACAGCCGAGGAAGUGUUGGAAGCGCUGAGCCAAAUGUGCCCAACAAAGGCUCCGGGGCCGGAUGGUUUGCCAGCCGUGUUUUACCAAAAGCAUUGGCAUUCGGUCAAGGAGGGAGUGCUCACCACUUGUCUGCAUAUCCUUAAUUCACAAGGUACCAUCGGCCCUCUAAACCACACUUACAUUGCUUUGAUACCAAAAAUCGGAAAGCCUAGGAAAGUGACAGAUUUUAGGCCUAUUAGUUUGUGCAAUGUCAGCUAUAGAAUUGUUGCUAAAACAGUUGCUAAUAGAUUUAAGCAAGUUUUGCACAAAAUCAUCUCUCCAUCGCAAAGUGCAUUCAUUCCCAAUAGGCUGAUCACUGACAAUAUAAUAGUUGGCUAUGAAUGUUUGCACAAAAUUAGGCAUUGUAAAAGCAAGCGAAAUGGAUUAAUUGCCUUAAAGCUUGAUGUUAGUAAAGCUUAUGAUAGAUUGGAAUGGAAUUUCUUAGAGCAAACUUUAGAAAAAUUAGGCUUCUCGCAGCAAUGGAUUAGCUUGAUUAUGAGGUGCAUUAGUUCGGUUUCAUUUUCAGUGUUAAUAAAUGGUGCAGUGAAAGGCUUAAUUAAACCUCAAAGGGGCUUACGUCAAGGAUGCCCCCUCUCCCCAUAUUUGUUUAUUACAUGUGCAGAGGCCUUUUCAUCUUUGCUGCAGCAAGCUGAGCAACAACAACUCAUUCAUGGGUUAUCUUUUGGAAGCAAUCUGAAGAUUUCGCACCUCCUUUUUGCCGAUGACAGCCUGGUCUUCAGCAGAGCCUCCAUGGCCGACUGUCACAACUUGAAGAUGAUCCUUGAGUGUUACUCCACAGCUUCGGGCCAAAUUUUUAACUUCGAGAAAUCUUCCCUUUUUAUCAGUGGCAAUGUACAGCAAGAUCAAACUGAGGCUCUUGGGAAUCUAUUUCAGCUCAAUAUUGUGUCGAGACAUGAGAAAUAUCUAGGCUUGCCAUCGAUGAUUGGGAGAAAGAGAAGCAGUUUUUUCAAUGACAUCAAGCUGAAGGUUGCUAAUAAGAUCUCAAGCUGGCAGCAUAAAUUCUUUUCUUGCGGAGGGAAAGAAGUCUUAAUCAAAGCGGCUGUUCAAGCUAUCCCAGCCUACGCAAUGAGCGUCUUUAAAAUUCCAGGGGGUGUUUGUGAUGAUAUUCAAAAGAUGGUGGCAAAGUUUUGGUGGGGCUCCAAGAGGGAAGGGCGGAGUAUUCACUGGGCGCAGUGGGAAAAACUGAGCCAAGCCAAGUGUUUGGGAGGGAUGGGAUUUCGUGACUUCUCAAGUUUUAACCGAGCUCUUCUAGCAAAGCAAGGCUGGAGGAUUCAGCAAUGUCCAGAUUCGCUGGUGGCAAGGGUCCUGCAAGCUAGAUAUUUCCAGUCAACCAAUUUCUUGGCUGCUAAACUCGGCUCAAACCCCUCAUAUAUUUGGAGAAGUCUUCUGUGGGGGAGGAAAAUUAUUUGCGCGGGCUCUAGGUGGAGAGUUGGUAAUGGUCAGAAAAUUCAUGUUCAUAAGGCUAAUUGGAUCCCACGGGCUUCAACUUUCCAGCCAAUAGUUAAGCCAUCUCUGCCCCCUGAUGCUAUGGUCUCGGAAUUAAUCACUGAGGCAAACUGUUGGGAUGAAAAGAGGAUUUAUGAGCAUUUUGACCAUAUGGAUGCUGAUUUAAUUGCUAAGAUUCCCCUGCCUCGAAGUCCAAGGGAGGAUGAGCUGAUUUGGCAUUAUGGAAAAAAUGGCCAAUUCUCGGUUAGAAGUGGAUACCAGACAGCUCUCCAAAUGAAAUUUCCAGCCAUGGCUUCAAGCUCAGUGGUUUCCAAAAAUGAGUGGAAUAUUAUUUGGUCCCUUGCUUUGCCUCAAAAGAUCAGAAUCUUUGCUUGGAGAGCAGCCAAAAACCAACUCCCAUCAGCUGAGAAUCUGUGGAGGAAAAAAAUAAUCCAGAAUCCCAUGUGCCAAGUCUGUAAAAUAGGAACAAAAAAUGUCUUUCAUGCUCUAGUAGCCUGCAAAUCGGCUGAGAAGGUGUGGAAGCUAAUCCAUUUUGAUGAUGACAUUCGUGCAGCUCACAGUCAAGACAUUCUAAGCAUACUGCAUGCUAUGAAAAGGAUGAGAAACAGAGACGACCUGGAGCUGUUGGUAACAAUUUUCUGGGUUAAAUGGAAUGCUAGAAAUCAGAUGAUCUUCAAAGGGAAAAGGGAAACCCCCCAGAUCAUGGUAGCUAAAGCUGAAGCCUUGAUUGCUGCUUAUAAGAGGGUGCAUUCUCCAGAUGAGGCCUGCAGUGAAACAGAGCAGAAAGCACCUCCCCAGAAAUGGAACCCCCCUCAAGCUGGUUUUGUAAAAGUAAACACUGAUGCAGCCAUUUGCUUUGAAAAGAACAUUGUAGGGCUGGGGGUAGUAAUAAAAAAUGUUUUGGGGCAUGUUACAGCAGUUGCUAUCAAGGUUGCUAAGUUUCAUGGAGAUGUUUCUUAUGCGGAAGCAGAAGCCAUGGAAUGGGGUAUGUUAGUGGCGAGAGAGGCCAACAUGAAAGCUGUCAUCAUGGAAUCAGAUUCUCAAGGUGUGGUCAAUUUAGUUAACAACAAGCAGGGCAGCAGAUCAGAGAUCUAUUGGGUUGUGUCAGAAAUUCAGAAUCUAGCGGAAAGUUUCGAUCGUGUUAGCUUUAAAUACACGCCUAGAUCUUGUAAUGUUAUUGCCCACUCUUUAGCUAAACUAGCUUUAGAGAAGUGCGAGAAUGUUGUGUGGAAAGGGUCAUACCCUUCACAAGUGAUGUAUCUCUUUUCUUCUUUAGUUUAAUGGAAAUCUCUUUUCAAAAAAAAAAAAAAAAAAGUUUGGCUUCAUAAGCUUCAUAGUAGAGUGUAGAAUUAGGUACAAUUUUGGAUUAGACAAGUCAAAGGUCUUAUCAAGUAAUUGUUCUGCUUACUGAUUUGGUAAUUGCAACAUUGCUAAAUUGUUCAAUUUGUCCUUUUUAUUUUGUUGAAUUUAUUGUAUGUCAUAUUACUUGAUUUAAUUAUUUUCUCAGAUCUUGUAGGUGAAAAUUUCAGCUUCAAAGACCAAAGCUAAUCAAUCAUCCAGCAAUUCAGUGAAGAAACCAAGACACAGUGGCUCAUAAAUUGUUGUUGGUGAUUGAUCCCAGCCAUUCGGGUGCUCGCCAGUCCUAGAUUAGAAAACUUUCAACGCGGCGCAUAAAUUGCUGUUGAUCUGCUUUAUAUAUUUUGACGUUUGUGAUUUGUGAAUACAUGGUCUGAUUCCAGUGUUUACAACUUUGAAAUUCAAUUAAAAGUUGAGCUGUGAAAGAGUGUGUUGUAUAACUUGAGAAGCAAAUGAAACAAACAGAAAAUGUGUUUUUAUUUUUUUAAUCUAUCUAUGUAACAAUUUAUAGCUGGCAAAGUAAUAGAGUUGUAUACUUGUAUUUAAUUAUUUAUUAUUAUUAUUAUUAUUAUUUUUUUGUAUCCAUGGUGUUUUGUCAUUUCGAAAGUACUUGACCCUUUCACGCUAAGGCACACUCCAGCAGCCGAAACUUUGAGCUUUCAGUUCUUGAUUUUAGCGUGAGGGGUAUCUUUGUCUUUUCAGUAGUCAACACACGGUCAACAAAACAGUCUACAAACAAUCGACCUGUGAACUUGGGUCAAAGCUUUCAUCUUUAAAUCACAUAGGUAGAUCAUGAUUCAAGCUUCAGUUAUAAGCCUUUCAUUGUGAUUGAUAGUAUUCUUUCUUUGAUAUAUAUAUAUAUAUAUAUAUAUAUAGAUUCAUGGUUCUUGAUGGUAUCAUGGAAAAUGCGAACGAAAAGUCAGCAUCUUUGAGUUUUGACUCAUCUUAUCAAACUUGUUGGUCCACUAAUCAAUCAACAGGCACUUGUGAUCUUGAUUAUUUCAACUUAAGGAUGCAAAGCAGCAAUGCCAAAGAGACAUGGCAUGACGCUGAGAUUGUUGUUGAGGGCAAAUCAGUGGCGGUUAAUCGCAGCAUAUUGUCUGAGCGCAGUCAAUUUUUUCGUCGGCUUUUUAAUUUGAGAAAUGAUGGUUCUGUCAGUGAGGAGAAACCCAAGUAUCUUAUGACUGAUUUGGUGCCUCAUGGGAAGGUUGGAUAUGAAGCUUUCAAUGAUAUCCUGCUUUAUAUUUACACUGGGAAGACAAAGGCAUCUCCUCCAGAAGCGUCCACGUGUGUUGAUGACGCUUGUACUCAUGGUGCUUGCCCUCCUGCUAUUAAUUAUGUUAUUGAGUUGAUGUAUGCUUCUGCUGCUUUUCAGAUGACACAUCUCGUUUCGGUUUAUGAGGUAGUUGCGCUUCCCCGCUAUUUGCAUUGCUUAAAUUUAUGCUUGUUGGUAUAGUUUUAACAUAUAUGGAAUUGAAAUCAAUUUCGGUUGUGAAGCAACUUCGGUGGUUCCCAAUAUUAGGCAUUGUAGUAGAUCCAAAAUUAGCUUGUUGAGAAGUGUAGAUACUGUAGAGCCCAAAACUUCGUCUUAUCUUGCAAGAGUCUGUUGUUUUAUUUUGAAAGAGACAAAAGUGAUGAUGAUGGGCAGCGAACUCUAGGAAUCAAUGCUUGCUGACACUGACCCCCAAGAAUCAAUGAGUCUGAAUUUGAUAAGUGCACCUAUCCUAUCACAAAAGCUUUUGCGUUGAGUUUCUAACCAAUUUUCAUUUGUGUAGGUGUCAGUUCAUGCUCUGGCUUGACUGUUCUGUUAUUUAGGUUGUUUUAUCCGUAUUUUCUUCACUCACUUGAUGGUUAGUUCUCUCAUGCUUUCAAGCUCUCAACAGUGAAUGCGGGAGAUUCUAUUUUUCCCGUCCAGUCUAUAACCUAGCAAAUCAUUAAUGCUGUAGAAUAACAUCUUGUGUAGCCGAGUUUAUGUCUCUGAACAUUGGUCCAUCGGCAUUUAGGAUCAAUAUUAUUUUUCCCCCUCAUUAUUAUUUUCCUCCACAGAUUAUCCCCUUUGAGUAUUUGAAUUUUGAAUAUAUUAUUCUGAAUCAAAACUCUAUCUGUCCGUGUAGCAUUUUUUAUAUGCUUUACGAUGUUUACCAAUAAUUACCCACUAUGGGGUAUUUGAAUUUUGAAUAUAUUAUUCUGAAUCAAAACUCUAUCUGUCCGUGCAGCAUUGGCUUCUGAACUUGGCUGAGGAUGCGCGUGUGGAAGAUGUAAUCCCAAUUCUCGUGGCUGCCUUCCAUUGCCAACAGAACAUGCUCUGUUCUUACUGCAUCCAGAGAAUUGCAGGAUCAAAUCUUGACAAUGUUUGUCUCGAGAAAGAGCUUCCUGAUGAAGUUUCAAGAGAAAUCAAAUCACUCCGUGUCAAAUCUAACCAGGAGUCUGAAGCUAAUAUAGCAGAAGUGGAUCCUAUGCAUGCAAAAAUAGUCAGAAGAAUCCAUAAGGCGCUGGACUCUGAUGACUUUGAACUGUUGAAGCUUCUUCUGGAUGUAUCUAAUGUCACUCUGGAUGAUGCUUAUGCUCUGCACUAUGCUGCUGCCUACUGCAACCCUAAGGUUUUUAAGGAAGUGCUCAAUAUGGACUUGGCUGGUCUCAAUCUUAAGAAUGCAAGAGGUCGUACGGUGCUUCAUGUGGCUGCAAGGCGUAAUGAGCCAGAAGUGAUGGUGACUCUGCUGAGCAAGGGAGCAUGCGCAUCAGAAACUACAUCAGAUGGGCAAACAGCUGUAGCAAUCUGUCGGAGAAUGACAAGGCGAAAGGAUUAUAUUGAAGCUUCAAAGCAGGGGCAGGAAACUAACAAAGACCGGUUAUGCAUUGACGUCCUUGAGAGAGAGAUGAGAAGGAACUCCAUGUCUGAGAACUUGGCAAUGUCAUCAGAGGUGAUGUAUGAUCAUUUCCAAGCGGAGCUGGACUAUCUAGAAAAUACAGGUGAUAUUUCUUUACUGGUAUUAGUUCAUCACCUUCUCAGAGUUUGUGCAUAGCACACUUCUUUCUACUGUUUGUUUGUCCCUUCAUAUGGAAAAUAGAGGUGAUAUUCCUUUACUGGUAUUAGUAAAUCAUCUUCUCAAGAGUUUGUGAGUCCCUUCAUUUUAGCAUCUCAAACACACAUGGGCUCAUUGCUUGGGGCACACUGUUGGCCAGUCAUGUGAUUUGAUCCCCUUUUUUGGAAUAGAGAAUUAUGAAUCCAUCUGAUCUAGGCUUGGUGGUUUGCACCGAAGUGGUUUUUGAUAAAUAAUUGUACAAGACUUUGUCAUCAAAAACUUUUUUUUUUGUUUUCCAAAAGUAAUGAGGUACAAAAAUAUUUAUGCCUAUCCUGGAUGAGUGCCAUAACAGCUUCUUAAUAUUUUGCAGUGGCUUUUGUACGGUUGUUUCCUUCUGAAGCUAGAGUAGCUAUGGAAAUAGCUGGUGCAGAUACCGCCACUGGCCUUUCAGCAUUAGGUCAGAAAGGACUAAGUGGGAACUUAAAGGAGAUUGAUUUGAAUGAAACGCCCUCUAUGCAAGCCAAGAGACGCCAAUUGAGACUGCUAACUCUGCUUAAAACAGGUAUUUAUAUACUUUAUUAACUUUUGCACCUUUCUAUUUACUGAUUAUCUUUAUAAUUAACUAAUACAUGUAUCCAGGUUUCUCCUUCCAUUUCAUUAGAAGUAAAUUGGAAUCUCUUUAUAGUGCUCUGUUAGGUGUAAUCAGAUGUAUCAAAAGAGAAAGAGUAAUUGUUAGUACAUUGAUAUCUCAACAAAAUGGUGGAACCUUUCUUUAUACCACUAAAGACAUUUGUUGCAGGAUGCCUACAGAAUCAGUGUGCUUUAAAACUUUCAAGGAGUUCGCAAUGCCUAACCCUUGAAACACUAAAUCUCACGGGAUCAACUCUUUACCUCUAGACCGAAGGUGUGACACCCAGACCCAAUUAGUGCUUAGAACACAUAUCGAAUCUGAGUGAAACUAAAUGCCUGUAAAUCCAAAUCUCCAAAAUAUCAAAAAGUCAUCUACUUUCUCUUUUCAUGUAUUUCACAAAAUUUUGAAAAAUUCAUUUUCAAUCAUAAACUAUGCACAGCUAAAUAUUCAGCAUAUCAGUAUAGAGCAAUACUUCCUCAUAAGCAAAUAAAUCUUACAAUCCUUCUUACAUGAUUUUAAAAAAAUACUAAUAGAAGUCUUCUAGAUACAAACAUAAACAGAAUUCAACUGUUUAAAACUAUGCCAAAACACAAGCUUCAAUCAGUAAUACAUACGACUAAUUAUUAAAAACAUCUAGGCAGAAACCUUACGAAAGCUCAAUCCUUCCGAAGCAUUCUUCAAAUUAAUAAUUGCUACCAUCUGUGAAAAAUAAUUGACAAGGAGUCAGCUGUGAAUUCAAUCAAUAGAAACAUUUGUAACGAACAAAAAUAAUUCUUUGCGCAAUAUUUUCAGAAAAUUCAUUUAACCUUUCAAAUGAAACAGAGUAAUUUUUCUAACGCAGUCAGGAUUUAUAUAAAACACAAACGUUUCAAACAGAAGCUGUGUGGAAUGUAAAUUUUGCUUCUUUAAACAGAAAGUUAUAUAUUAGUUUGAUUUUAAAGGGAGGUUAUUGGGAAGUUAAAAUUGGCAGUUGUGGGAAAAGGGUAAUAGCAGUUAUAAAAUCUCUUUUAAAGCAAAUUCAAAUCAAGUUUCAAAUUUUAGGAGUACUUAAUUCAAUAAAAUAAGGAAUAAAUAAAGCUUUCAUUGAAACAAAACUAAGUAAAUUCAUUUAAAGCAAAAAAGGAUGGGAGCAUUACUAUGGGUUCUUAUGUUUACCCGCAGUCAGGCAUCUGGGACCUUGUUAUUUGGAGACAAGACUUGAUUGUGCCAUGUUUUCCACAGCCAGAUAUAUUUUACUUCAUUAGUUCCUAGACAUCUGUGGAUAAGAGAACCCUAAGCAUAUUGAGAAUAAAUUCCGUAAUCCAAGACUCUUCAGUUCUUUCAUUUGUGGCUAAUUAGUUAUAAAAUUUGUGAAUUUCAUGCCCCAUGCUCCUUGCAAAAUGUAUUUUAUAUCCUUAAGAUGCCAGUGGAUGAACUGAAAUAAUAAAAAAUGGAAGACAGAUUUAAUGCCGACAACAUUUCUUAAGAAAAACUUGGGAUGUUUAUAAUUUUCUUAGAGCAUUUGCUGAACUUUCUGUGAUCGCAGUCGAGACGGGUCAACGCUACUUCCCUCAUUGCUCAGAAGUGGUUGAUCACUUUAUGGAUUGGCCCUAUGCUUCCACCCCAAAAAUGGACGACGAGAAACUUAAAGUAGACGUGCAGGAGGCAUUCUGCAAGGACGUGGCUUAUCACCGUCGUAUAGGGCUGCCAUCAUCCUGGCCGGCAUUUUACCAGUACAUGGCUGAGGGCAAUCAGUCGGCAUUUUACAAGUACGUGGCUGAGAGCAAUCGUUCAGGAAUGGCGACAUCCUCGGCAGCGAGCAAUUAAGCAUCACCUUUCCCUAAAAGUUAUAUUUGACACCUGGAAAACUAAAGGAGUUGAGUGAGCUCUGCUCGAUUGGUAUUUGUAGUUUCUUUUUUUUUUCCUCAAGUGAUCUGGCAUGUAUCAAUUAGUUUGUAAAGUUAAUUGUAUUGUCUCAAGUCCGGUGAGAUGCGCGAACGUAUAGCAUGGAUCACAAACUAAUUGUAUUGUCUCAAGUGAUCACAAAAAGAAUUGUAUUACAAUUGGUAUGAGGCAUGCAUGUGUGUGUCAUAUCAGUUGCUGAACAAACUUUGCCUUUUAGUUUUGUAGGCACUACCAUCUCAAAUUCUCUGUUAUCAUGAAUGAGUAUUUUUUUUUUCUUUUUUUUCUUUUUAACAAAUCAUAAAUGAGAUUAAGAUAAUCUUUUUUUUAAAAAAAAAAAAAAUAGAGAUUUCUUUUAUUUUUCCUUAAAAAACUGAAGAAAAAUUUAGAAGGUAGUGAGAGACGGAGAAUUAAAGAAAUUUUAUUCACAAAUGUAAUGUGUUUGGUGCAGCAAUACAAACUAAUAAAUUAUAAUUUAUGAGACUAGUUUGCAAAAUCUUAUAUAUAAAAUUAUAUCAUCUGAAUAAAAAUCUUCUCACCUCUUUUGACUUCUCAUUUAGAUGUCCUCUCUAGAAUCUCUCUGGCCAUAAACACAUUUUUACAAAACAAAACAGAAGAAAUUAUAUAUAAUUCUCACAAAGACUAUUUCAUUUGCACAUAGUACGCAAUUGGUCACUAAAGUUAUUUGAGGAGAAAAUUUACAUGAGAUGGGUACAUCCUAUUAUCAGUAUUGUAAUUUAAAUUUGAACAUACUAGAAUGGUCUCUCAUAAAUUUUUCUCCAAUUUGAGAGAUGGUGGGGAAGUGGGGUUAAAGUGCAUCUGCAUAGAAUUAAUUAUAAUUAUAUUUAUUUUUUAAAACUAUUUUAACUAGAAGUAGUAGUAAUUCUUUUUAUUAUUGUUAUUCCAAUUAUAUCAAAAUCUCGUGACUCGUGAUCAAAUUAAGUAGUUCAUUAAAUUUUUUUAGGUGACGUACGGUAUGGAGUUUUUAUAAAUCUAUAUAAAUAGUAAAAUAUUUAAUUUUGUUUGUCGUAAACUUUUAAUUUGCAUGGGUUAAAAAAGAAAAAAAGAAAUUGACUUAUUAAUUAAUUAACAAUUAUAGAAAGAAUAAAAAGCAAAUUAGAGUUGCGUGAGAAAACUCUCGUGAAAAGGGUUCCAGAUUUCCUUUCCCUGGCUUCGUGCGUUUCCUGUUUGCCCUUUCGAGCACAAUUCGAAUCCAAUACUUAAUAAUAAAGAUAUAAUAUUAAAAAAUACGAAAAAGAAUCCAAAUUUUUACUGGUAUAUAAGGCAGAGCCAGUUAGAAUUCACAAACCUUAAGCAUACAAUCUGUUUGGCUAGCAGGAAAGUGACGAAGGAAGAAAGAAAAAUAAACUGAAUAAGAGAAUUUUAUUAAUCUCGAAUCACACCCUUACAUUCAAGCUUUCAUCAACUUAUAUUGCUGAUUAACAGAAGUAACAACCUCUGUAACAGCUGUCAAAUAACUAUUGGUUAAGCUAAGCUAAACAAUAACAAUCUAACUAAUUUGUCCAGCUCAGCUAUCCAGCUCAUCAAUCCUAGUCAAGUGAAUCUCAGCCAUUGAUCUGCUGCUGUUGAUUAAGCAUCUCAACACCCCUUCUCAAGCUUAAUGGUCGUGGAACAACAUUAAGCUUGUCUCUAUAGUAAUUAAAAAAAGAGUAAGCCAUAGGCUUUGUAAGCACAUCUGCAAUAUUCCACUCACUUGGUACAUACUUGAUCUCCACUUGUUUGCCCGUUACCUUUUCCCUUAUGAAAUGCACAUCCAACUCUAUGUGCUUGGUUUUGGCAUGAUAUACUGGAUUUGUUGCUAGUGCAGCUGCACCAUUGUUGUCACACCAGAUUAUUGGUAUUUGGCUACACUUCAGUUUAAGCUCUCCAAGUAAAGCUUGAAUCCAAACAAUUUCUGCACAAGCUGUUGACAAUGCUCUAUACUCUGACUCUGUGCUAGACCUUGCUACAGUUUGUUGCUUCUUGGAGGACCAUGAAACCAGAUUCUGCCCAAGAUAUACACAAUAUGCUCCAACUGACUUUCUGUCAUCCACAUCACACGCCCAAUCUGCAUCUGUAUAUGCUGUCAGACUAAUUCCAUCUCCUGCUUUAAACAUCAAUCCAUAAUCUUCAGUUGCCUUUAAGUAUCUUAGAAUUUUCUUACAAGCAACCCAGUGUUUCUCAGUUGGUGCAGCAAGAAAUUGGCUCAACUUAUUAACUGAAAAGGCAAGUUCUGGUCUUGUAAGUACCAAAUACUGUAAAGCACCUAUUAUGCUUUUAUACUCAGUGACAUUAACAAUCAAGUUAUCAUCAUUCCCUGCUCUUCUUAGUUUCUGUCCUGUACUCAUUGGAGUAUCACUUUCUCUGCAAUUUUCCAUAUCAGUUCUUGUAAGCAAAUCUCUUACAUAUUUUGCCUGUGAAAGAUGUAAGCUACCCUUUGCAUCAUGUGUAACCUCAAUACCAAGGAAGUAACUGAACUCACCAAGAUCUUUUAAAGCAAAGGUAUCUCCAAGGUAUUGGAUAAAUGUUUCAAUUACUGUAUUGUUAUCACCAGUAAUUAAUAUAUCAUCUACAUAUACUAACACAGCCACAAUACCUCCAAGUUCAUGUUUGAUGAACAAAGAUGAGUCUGCUUUGGAGUUCUGAAACCCCCACUGCAACAGUGCUUUCCUUAGCCUGUCAAACCAGGCUCUGGGAGCCUGUUUCAAACCGUAAAGAGCCUUAUGCAACUGACAAACAUGACCAGAUGGAGACUGAACAAAACCCUCAGGUUGAAACAUGUAGACAUCUUCAUUGAGCUCUCCAUUAAGGAAAGCAUUGUUGAUGUCGAUUUGUCUUAUUUUCCAGCCCUUCAUCACAGCAAGACUAAGGAUAAUUCUCACAGUUGACUGUUUAACUACUGGACUAAAGGUCUCAAAGUAGUCAAUACCAGCUGUUUGAUGAAACCCUUUUGCCACCAGCCGUGCUUUAUACUUAGAAACAGAACCAUCUGCAUUAUACUUAAUGCGAAAAACCCAUUUACACCCAACAAUUUUAGUAGCUUGAGAAGGUGGUACAAGAAUCCAAGUCUUAUUUUCCAUAAGUGCAUUAUACUCUGCCUGCAUGGCUGCUUUCCAUUUGGAAUCUGAAAGAGCUUGAGAAACUGUGGCAGGCUCUUGUUCUCCAAGAACAGAGGAAUAGGCAUGAAAUUUUGGCUUAAAUACACCUGCUUUGGCUCUUGUAAUCAUUGGGUGAUUUGGCAGUGAAACUUGAGUAGAGGAUGGUUGUUGAUUUGAAGUAUUUUGGGAUACAUAAGGAGAGGUGUGGGAGGGUGGAUGAUUUGAUUGAGAUGGUUGAAAUGGUUGAGAAGAAGGUGAUAAAGAACUAGAUGAGGAGGAAGAAGCUGAAGCUGCAGACAACUGAAAUGGUUGUAUAAUGGUGUUACUUGAGCCUGAAGGGUCAUGAAGUGGAACUGACACUGAAGAUACCUUAAACAUAGGAUAUCUAUAUUCAGAAGCAGAGGAAGAAGGUUGUUUAGAGAAAAGAGAGUCAGUAGAGAAAGGAAAUUCUGACUCAUUAAACACAACAUGCCUAGCAACAUAUACAACACCUUUUGAGCUUAGGCAUUUAUACCCUUUGUGAUCUGAGCUAUAACCAAUAAACAAACAUUUUGUAGUGUGAUAGUUGAAUUUGUGUUUGUUAUAGAAUCUCAGGUAUGGAAAACAGGAGCAGCCAAAAAACUUUAGAAAAUCAUAGUCAGGCUUGUGUUUGAAAAGAAUCUCAUAGGGAGAUUUAUUUGAUGGUAGAACAGAAGUUGGCAAUCGAUUGAUAAGAAAAGCAGAAGUUGAGAAUGCUUCCCACCAGAAACUGAGAGGUAAUUUAGCUUGUGCAAGAAGAGUCAAACCCAUCUCAACAAGAUGUCUAUGUUUCCUCUCUACUGUCCCAUUCUGGUGAUGUGUGUGAGGACAUGGAUGUCUGAAUAAAAUGCCAUGUUUUUGAAGAUAAGGCACAAAGGAUCUGAAUUCACCCUCCCAAUCUGACUGUAGGACCUUAAUGACUGUUUCAAAUUGUUUUUCAACUUGAGUUCGAAAAAUGGCAAAAACAGAUAAAGCUUGAGACUUGGUUUUCAAAGGAUAAACCCAGGCAUAUCUACUAUAAUCAUCAAUGAAACUGAUAUAGUAUCUAUAACCAUUGAGAGAAGUAAUGGGUGCUGGACCCCAUAAGUCAGUAUGGAUGAGUUCUAGAGGUGAGGUUGUUUUGUGUUCAGUUGCUCCAAAAUGCAGUUUAUGAACUUUGCCAUAUUGGCAGGCAUCACAAAAAUCAGGAAUUUGAAUUUUAUUGCUUAACUGCAAAUGUUUACAACUGGUGAGUACUUGUUUCAAGACUUUUGAACUAGGAUGACCAAGUUGCCUAUGUAGGAUAUUUAUUGAAGCACUGGAAACUCUACUGGAAUGAGACAACAGACACUGUUGAGAGGAGUGCUGAACAACUUUAGCUUGAAUAUUUGAAAAAGAACAAGACUGCAAACCAUCUGAGCAAUGUGACACCAUAGACAUAGGAACAAAACAUGACUCUUUAUUUACAGUUGAAAAUAAAGCUUGAUGAGUUUUACUUCCAGGCUCAAGUUUCAGCUUAUACAGACCCUUCAUAGCUACACCCUCCAGCAAAACUGUCCUCUUCUUCUUGUCCUUGAGAAAGCAAGUAUUUCCACAAAAUUCAAUGAUCAAGGAAUUAUCAGAAGUAAGCUUAGAAAUGCUUAAAAGAUUUUUAGUGAUGUGUGGCACAAAUAAAAGAUUUUUGAGCAAUAAUCUAUGAUUUCCAACUGCUAAAUAAGUGCUUCCUAUAUGAGAAAUAGUAAGGCCAUGUCCAUUACCAAUUAAAAGCUUUUCAUUACCUUCAUAAGGCUCACUGAUGCUGAGAUUAUUGAGAUCAUUGGUUAGGUGGUGAGUUGCUCCACUAUCCAGGUACCAGUCAUCAUCCAUUACUGCUUCUGGUGUUGCCAUAUAAGCUGACAUAUUUCUUUGAUUGUAGCCUUGAUUAAAAACUUGAUUUUGAUGUGGAUACCUUGUGACUGGAAUGAAAUCCUUGUUGAACCUAUCCUUGCAGGUAGCAGCAGUGUGUCCUAUAAUGAAGCACACUUGGUAUCUAGGUUGAUAUGGCUGUGAAAAAUGACCAGGCACAUGACUAGGCAUUUGAGUUCUCCCACCUUGAUUCCAAGAUCUUCCUCCAUGCAUGUUAUUUCCUCUUCCACCUUUCCUUCCUCGAUAGAAAUUUCCACCUUGAUUCCCUCUAAAAUUUCCUUGCAUCAUGUAUCCAGAAUUUUCAGAUCUUGAUGCAUUUUGAUUGAAACUAGAUCUUGAGUUGUAUGUUCCAAAACCUUUCUUAUUAUUGUUCCCUUUCUUAACAAAAUUUGCAGCAAACGCCAUAUUUGCAUCCAUAGUUUCAGCUAAAGCUUGUUGUUCUAACAUUCCCUCAUGUGUCAUUAACAUAGAGAGUGAUUCUGAUAAAUCGAGAUCUAAUCCUCUUCCUGUGAUCAAAACUGCUACAGGAUUGAAUUCUGAACCAAUUCCUCCUAACACACUCAUCAUAAAGUCAUAGUCACUCAUUGGUGCUCCUGCUGCUGCCAUGUUAUCUGCUAUGCCUUUCAUUUUGUGAAAAUAGUCAUAAACACUCAAAUCGUUCUUCUUUGUCAACAUCAUUUGAUUCUUCAGUUGCAAUGCUCUGGUUUUGUUUUGUGAGCCAGAAAGUUUUUCCAGAGCUUUCCAAACUUCAAAGGAAGUUUUGUAUCCGAGAACAAUUCCGAGAACACUCUCAGUCAUGGAAGAGAGUAGCCAACCUAGCAACUGCUGAUCAGUUCGCUUCCACAUCACAAACUCAGAGUUCGGAAUCCUCUGAUCUGUGCAUGGUGCUGUGAUUGAACCAUCAAUAUAUCCUUCUAAUCCAUUUCCCUGAAUGGAUGCCAAUACUUGCAUUUUCCAGAUCAAAUAAUUUGAUCUGUCGAGCUUAAUUGGUGUAGGAAAGGUAUAGGAAACAGUUGUGGUUUGAUUUAAGCUUGAUGAUGCCAUCUGGCUCUGAUACCAAGUUAGAAUUCACAAACCUUAAGCAUACAAUCUGUUUGGCUAGCAGGAAAGUGACGAAGGAAGAAAGAAAAAUAAACUGAAUAAGAGAAUUUUAUUAAUCUCGAAUCACACCCUUACAUUCAAGCUUUCAUCAACUUAUAUUGCUGAUUAAUAGAAGUAACAACCUCUGUAACAGCUGUCAAAUAACUAUUGGUUAAGCUAAGCUAAACAAUAACAAUCUAACUAAUUUGUCCAGCUCAGCUAUCCAGCUCAUCAAUCCUGGUCAAGUGAAUCUCAGCCAUUGAUCUGCUGCUGUUGAUUAAGCAUCUCAAAAGAGCCAAAGCGAUAGCGAAACAUCAAAUUGUUUUUAUUUCAACCUUCGCGCAACUUCCGGUGACAUAAUUUUUCUCUGUUUCAGGUACAUACCCAACACUAAACUUUGCAUGUAUCAUUCUUGUACUUUUGUUAUUCUUUUCUUUUCUUUUCUUUUCUCUUUUGCUGUAAUUUUUUAUGAAGCACUCUGUUUCAGUUCUGUUUCUGGUUUUGUUUCGGUUUAAUAUUAUUGGUUCGGUUCUGUUCUGCUCUGUUCUACGUCGUAUGUAUAUAUGUAUAUAUUUUUGGCCUCGAAUUGCUUUCAUCACCGGUUUUGUUAUUCAUUUAUCGUGAAAUUUAGAUGACUUGUUCGGCCAUGUUAUAUUCAGCUACCAUCUUCAUGGUGGGUUUGUAAGAUAGUCUCUGACUAACACAUGGCAUUGAUUAUGAAUGAUGGUUUUGUGAGAUACAUCAUACAGACGUUAACUCGUGUUAAUUUGUACUUACAUCAUUCAAAAGAUUACUGUUUUUCUCUCUUUUUUUUUUAAAAAAAAAAAAAAUUGAAAUGCCCCUUUUCGCAUUUUAUAGAUGAAAGGAAGAAACAUAAUAUCGCAGAACUAGAAUAAAGGAGCCUAUUCUGGUACCUAUUGUCCGAGGAACCUUCUGUAUAUUCGGUAGGAACUACCAUGGGAAGUCAAAUCUUACCAGAGCCAGGCGGAGUCGUUGCUGAAGGAAUAUAUAUUAGCAGAUCCAUUUGUCCCGUACACUUCAAUUGUUGGUAGCAUUUUUGCUUGCACGAUGGUAUGUUUGUCAUCGUUACUGCGUGGUGGUAUAUACUAGAAAAUAUUUUGAAUGCAUAGUUUUUAUUUAAUUAGUUAUAAAUUUUAUACCCUCUGUUUUCCAUAAGAAUGUGUUCCUUUUCAGGUCUAUGAUCUUGCCCAAUUGAUUAGUGUGCUGUUCACUUUAAAUCUGAUUCCAGUUUCUCCAACAUACAGCGGGUCGAGUGGAGUUUAAUCAUUUUUCUUAAAUCGACAACUUAUGCAGGGCCAUAUCAACUGUCCAUGACAUUUUUAUUACAACAAUGUCUUUGUACUUUGUGUUUUGGUCGGAUCUCAGAGUUUGUGCAUAGCACACUUGGUUCUACUGUUUGUUUGUCCCUUCAUAGACAUUUUGAUAAACUGUUAUUUUUGUUCUUUGGAAGUGAAUAUUUUCAGCAACUAGAACUCCGAAGCAUCUGGAGUGAUCCAUUUUGUCAUUCUCAAUACCUAUAAAAGAAUGUCAUAGAAAACAGUUUCCAAAGCAAGUUGCAUGUGUUUUGAAUUUGUCUUUGCAAGCCACUAAUUGCUUGGAGCACACUGUUAACCUGUCGCGAUCCCAUCCACUUUUUUGGAUAGACAAUUGUGCAUCCAUAUGAUCUGGACUAAACUAGUUUCUAAUAAAUAAUUGCCCAAGGAUUUAGUCUCAGUGUUACAGCCCAGUCUUUGUUGUCAAUACUCUUUCCCCUGUCGUGGAUGAGCGCCAUAACAGCUUCUUAAUGUUUUGCAGUGGCUUUUGCACGGUUGUUGUUUCCUUCUGAAGCUAGAGUAGCUACGGAUAGAGCGGAUGCAGAUGCCACCAAUUUUUAUACUGGCCUUUCAGCAUCAAAAUCAAAAGGAUCAAGUGGGAACUUAAAGGAGGUUGAUUUGAAUGAAACACCCUCUAUGCAAGCCAAGAGACUCCAAUUAAGAUUGCAAGCUCUGCUUAAAACAAGUAUUCAUAUACCUUAUUAGUUUUUGUACCUUUACAAUUUGUGAUUUUUGUAUCAAAAGAGAGGUUAAUUUUUAGUGCAUUUACUGAACUUUCUAUGAUUGCAGUGGAGACAGGUCGACGCUACUUCCCUCGUUGCUCAGAAAUGGUUGAUAAAUUUUAGGAUUGUGAUUGGUCCGAUGCUUCCUUCCUAGAAAAGGGUACUCCUGAAGAGCAGAGACUCAAAAGGGCACGCUUCAUGGAACUUAAAGAAGGCGUGAAGAAGGCAUUUUACAAAGACAUGGCUGAGAAAAUAUGGCUCAGGUUUGUAGUCAUCCUCGUCGUCGUCAUCUUCUCCCAAGGAAGGAGUAAAGUGUAAGGGUAGGAAAAGGUGAUGCUUAGCUGCUUGUCUUUGUUAUUCAUUUAUAGGCAACUAAAAGAGUUUUAGUGAGUUGGAUUGUUACGUUGUACAGAGAUACUCUUAGAGCCUAUGUUAUGGCUUAUGUUGUAUAAUAGCAGAGGAACUUCAAGCUUGCGUUGUUGUAUUUUCCCUGGUAUUUGGCAUGUAAUGCACUAAAUGACAAAGAAUUUUCUAAUUUUAGAGGGAAAAGUUAUGUCAGUUAAUUAUUUAUUUAUUUUGUCUGUUUAAUUCAGUUUAUAAUAUAGCUUUUUUUUUUUCUUUCCAAAAAAAUCUUCAUUUCUUCAUCUGCAAUUUAAGUCAUUUGUAACUUCUUUCAGGGAGGAGAGAGAGAAAAAAAGAAAAAGAAAAAGAAAAAGAAAAGAGUUUAUUUUACAGUACUGAUUUUCCUACAGAAAUUGGUUAAGGUGACAUUAAUGUUCUUUGAGGUGGACGGAUAUGCAGAUUUUUCGUCGAAAUUGAAAUUAGAAAUGGAUGGAUAUGCAGAAUUUUUUAAUAGAAUUUUUAUACAAAAAUUUGUAGCUCAUUACUCUCUAAAAGGAAAAAAUAAAUUUUUGAUGGUAAAUAUUAAAUUUUAAAUUUAUAAUAUAAUAACUUUGUGAGUUAAGGUGCACAAUACCCAUAUAUUAAUAAUUAAGAAAAGAAAAAAAAAUUAAAAUUUGUAAAUUACCAAUUUUUUCUUGAAAUUUGAUAUUCUAUAUUAACGUAGGUGUUGCAUGGACUGGGUUAGUACAAUUGAAAGAAACUAACUAAAGUAAAACAAAAUAUCAUUAAAAAUAUGGCAAGCUUCUCGUAUUUUUUAAGUGAAAAAGAGAAGAAAACUAAAAUUAAUUAUUGUUAUACCCAAAUUCUAGUGCUUGAAGGCCGCUGGAAUUGACCAUUGCAGUUUUGUCAUCCUCAUUAUUCACCGGCCAUCGUGGCCUUCCUCCAUUAAAAAAAUAAAUGACCAUUUUUUUGGACCACGACAUAUUAAAAAUAGUAUUGAUUAAUACUAAUAAAUCUCUUUUUUGAUUAUUUUGCAGUGCGAUAGUCCAGUGAGGGCAGUGCCCAUCGUAGCACUUCAACAUGUGGUAAAUUUCUGCCAAUCUUUGUAAAAUAAUUUUUAAAUUAUGUAUUAACCAGAUAGCUCAAUGAAAACUAUCGUUCACUAAAUCAUUACUUUAUUUUGUAUAUAUUUAUGGUAAUUGUUGAAAAGAAAAAUGUAAAGUGAGAUUAAUGAACGUUUAUGAAUGUGGAAAUUAACACAACCAGGAUUUAUGAUAAAAUAAUUUUAAGUCAAAUGAGCAUAAAUUUGUAUAAAUAUUUUUUGAAUUGUCAUAUAUAUACAAGUUUGUCACUAAUAGUAAACUUAAUUAUGAAUAUUUUAAUAAUUCAAAAUUUUAUUUAACAAUUGGUGUUUAUAGUGUUUUUCAUAAUACAAAAUUGUAAACAGUCUCAUCCUGAAUAGUAUAAUGCCAAACCUUUUCAAAAAUUUAUUCUAUUAUAGUCGUCUUAGUCAAUUAUAUUUAUUUUCAAAUUGAAGAUAAAAAUAGUACUUCAUAUAUCAUACAUUACUUAUAGUUUUUUUUUUUCAAUCAAAUUACGACUAAAAUUGAAAAAUUUACCAAUGGCUAUAUACAAAGUCUGAUUCUCAUGAGCUUAAAAGAUGGGCUUUGAAUGAUGUAUGGUACUCAAAACUCUACUUUUAUUAAUAUGAUUGCCCUGCUUCCUUCAUGACGGGUAAUUUUUAGUUUCUUCCCCUGAAGUUUGGCGUAUCUCCAUUUUAAUAGGAAGUAUUAGCGUAUCUCCCACUUUUCUCCCCUACCGUUUGUAUACCGUUUCAUAUUGUUAAUGGACGAAGCUACAAGUCUUCUCUUUCAUCAAAUCGAUCCAUAACAAAUACGAGUCUGCUUCACCUAACCAAAACACACGCAUACUCCAUCUCUAAAUGCUUUGAAGAUAAACAAAUCAACGGUAAUCCUGCAACUUUAGCUCAGAGAAUCGGAUAAGAAAAGAACAGGUGAUGAAUCAAGGGUAAUGGCGCCGAGUGAGUGUCGCCUGCGGUCGGCGUUAGAGGCGACUGUCACUCAAUCGCGUACAAGGUUAGUCUUUGAAAAAACUCUUUGCACGUUAGAAAUCAGUGAUUGGGCAUUAUUUUGUUAUUUAAAAAUGAAAAUGGGUUUAUUAGUUUGUCGAAGAAUCUGCUCUGUUGCCGGUGUUGUUUGUUGAUUAAAAUGAAAAUGGGUUUGUUGAUGUGUUGAAGAAGUUGCUCUACUGCUGGUGUUUUUUUAUUAAUUAAAAUGAAAAUGGGUUUGUUAAUUUAUUGAAGCAGCUGCUGGCAUUGUUAUUGCGACUUUAUUUAUCCAAUUGAUGAGCUUAUGAGCUAAUAGUAUUGUUUGAUCAAGCUUGUGUUCUUAAUAGUGGAGUUGAUAUUCUUAAAAAUGAAUUUAUGAUUAUGAGAAUAUGAAAAUUGAAUGGCAUCGUAGAGAUCUAGAUUAAUCACCAUCGUAUAUGUUUCUAAAUAAAGGAAUAAGCAGCAAUCUGAUUUGAAAGUUAAGACUUUAGGGAUAUGUAUGUGCAACUGAAUGAAUCAUCAGUUGCUAUCUUGUAAGUCAAUACUAGCAUAUUACUUAAUGGCAAGUGAAGCUAUUUUAUGUGUAUUGCUGCCUAUCAAAAUGUUUAUGUUUGAAGUUAUCUCCUUUUAGGAAAUUGAAUGCUUCUGUGAGUUCUCUGGUAAGGGCUAUACAACUAGCUCUAAUAGAUUCCUUCAUGUGCAUUAAUUAGCUUAGUAGUUUAUUGACCUAUAUCCAAUGUCUAUUCUUCUUUUCUGUAGCCGUCUAGUUUUAUGAGUGUGUGAAGUGAACUUUUGUUUUAUGUUUCAGGACUUGGGAUUAGAGUGUAUAACAUUCAAUAUCUUUUUAUCAAAGAACUGAUAUAUGUCAAUGUAGUGCGAUCUGGUCUUUAUUAGCUUCUUGAUUUGCCAGGAUGUUUGACAACCAUCUUUGACCAUGAUUGCCAACAUAUAAGCUGCUACAUAGUGUCUCAGGAAUCACAGCAAAUUAUUAUCAUAAUAUGGUGAUUUUGAAUCCAAAACUUGGUAGUGUCAAGAAAAUAGACCCAUGUUUAUUUAUCUUCAUGUUUUGUAUGCGGCUGCAAUAGACUAUUAUAAGUUACUUUUAGUUUUAUCAAGUUUUUUUUUCCUUAAAUUUCAUCGAGUCUUGGAGUCUUUGUAAUAUAGAGUCUAAGUGAAGAAUACUUGGGUGAAAUCUUGUAUUCUCUCUUCCAGUAAUAUAAUCAUCCUUUGUGUUUUUAUCUUUUUAUUUUGGUAUCAGAGCAUACUUUAUUAUAGAAGGACUUAGACUCUAUAUUACAAAGACUCAGCGGUUUCUUUUAACUGAGUUAAUAGUGUUGUUAUGUUAAACUAAGUUUGGCUUCAUAAGAUUCAUAGUAGAGUGUAGAACUGGGUACAAUUUUGGGUUAGACAAGUCAAAAGUCUUCUCAAGUAAUUGUUCUGCUUACUGAUUUGGUAAUUGCAACAUUGCUAAAUAGUUCAAUUUGUCCUUUUAUCUUGUUGAAUUUAUUGUAUGUCAUAUUACUUCAUUUAAUUAUUUUCUCAGAUCUUGUAGGUGAAAAUUUCAGCUUCAAAGGCCAAGCUAAUCAUCCAGCAAUUCAGUGAAACCAAGACACAGUGGCUCAUAAAUUGUUGUUGGUGAUCCAGCCAUUCGGGUGCUUGCCAGUCCUAGAUGAGAGAACUUUCAACGCGGCGCAUAAAUUGUUGUUGAUCUGUUUUAUAUAUUUUGACCUUUGUGAUUUGUGAAUACAUGGUUUGAUUCCAGUGUUUACAACUUUGAUACUGUGUAUAACUUGAGAAGCAAAUGAAACAAAUAGGAAAUGUGUUUUUAUUUUUUUUAUUCUAUCUAUCUAUUUAUUUUUUUGUUUCGAAAUGUAACAAUUUAUAGCUGGCAAAGUACUAGAGUUGUAUACUUGUAUUUAAUUCAUUAUUAUUAUUUUUUUAAUGACUCAGUAACGUCAUUGUCCAUGGUGUUUUGUCAUUUCGAAAGUACUUAACCCUUUGACGCUAAGGCACAUUACAGCUAGGGAUGGCAAUGGGGAGGGGAGGGGAGGGGAUCGAUCUCCCCGUACCCAUCCCUGAUAUUUUGCAUAUGUCCAUGUCCCCGUCCCCGUCAGAAUUACUUGAGAGAAUCCCCAUCCUCUCUCCGAAUAAUAACAGGGGAUCCCCGAAUAACUAAUACAUUUUUAUUUUUUUUUCGAUUUUGAGUUAAUCAUAUUAAAAUAAAAAAUUUAAAUAAAAGUAAAGUUCGAAAUAUAUCUUACAUUAAUAUCUAUUACAAAAGUUACAUACAUUAAAUUAGUAAGUAACGCAACAUGCAAGGGAUACAAACUUCUUUUACAAACUAUCAUGAAUAAAUUAAUAGUCUAAUACAAAAUUGUUACAAAUAAAAUUGAAUUUAGAUUCAAAAUUAACUUUUUCAAUAGUGGCGUGGGCACUUUAUAAAUGUGGACUAUUCCCUUUACAACACAAUAGUUAAAUCGGAGCAAAUCAAAAGUAAAUAUUAGAUUAGAUUAGAUUAAAUAUUAAAAUUGUGAUUCGCUGUGGGCAAUUAUAACAUCUAAAAAUAAAUAAAAAAUAGAUUUAAGUUUAAAAUAUUUAAAGAAUAUUAAAAUUAAAAAAAAUGUUGGGCUAAUAGAAUAUACUCGGUCUUUUUAAUGUCCUAAAUAAAAAUUUAGGACUUUAAUUAGUUAAUUAGGCCUAAAAAUUUAAUAAUAUAAAUAUUUUGAUAUUUUUUAUUUUUACCAAUAUUUAUAAUUUAAAUUUUAUUAUUUAUUUACUAGUAAUUUUAAAAAAUUAAAAUAAAAUUAAAAAUUAAAAUGGGGAAAUGGGUAGGGGAUGGGGAUUCCACCUCAUCCCCGUCCCCUCCCCGAAUAAGAAAUUGGGUAAAAAAAUUUCUUCGUCCCUUUCCCGAAUAAGAAAUUGGAUAUGAAAUUAUUCGUAUACCCUCCCCGAAUGGAAAAAAAUACCCGAGAGUACCCGUCUCCAUGAGGAUUUUUGCCAUCCCUAAUUACAGCAGCCGAAAUUUUGAGCUUUCAGUUCUUGAUUUUAGCGUGAGGGGUAUCUUUGUCGUUUCAGUUGUCAACAAACAAUUUGGGGGGGGGGGGGGGGGGGGGGGGGGUGGGUUGUUGGAGAUACGCUGAUACUUUCUAUCAUACUGGAGAUACACCUAACCUCAGGGGAGGAAAAUUACACCUUUACGACGUGUGAACUUGGGUCAAACUUUCAUAUUUUAAUCAAGUAGGUCGAUCACGAUUCAAGCUUCAGUCAUAAGCCUUUCGUUAUGAUUGAUAUUAUUCUUUCUUGAUAGUAUCAUGGAAAAUGCAAACGAAAAGUCAGCAUCUUUGAGUUUUGUCUCAUCAUAUCCGACUUGUUGGUCUACUAAUCAAUCGACAGGCCCUUUUGAUCUUGAUAAUUUGAACUUAAGGAGGCAAAGCAGCAAUCCUGAAGAGCCAUUGCUUGAUGCUGAGAUCGUUGUUGACGGCAAAUCAGUGGCAGUUAAUCGCAGCAUAUUGUCUGCACGCAGUCGUUUUUUUCAUUGGCUUUUUCAUUUGAGCAGUGAUGGUUCUGUGAGUGAGGGGAAACCCAAGUAUCUUAUGACUGAUUUGGUGCCUUAUAGGAAGGUUGGAUAUGAAGCUUUUAAUGAUAUCUUGCAUUAUCUUUACACUGGAAUGCGUAAGGCACCUCCUUCAGAAGUGUUCACGUGUGUUGAUGAUACUUGUGUUCAUCUUGUUUGCCCUCCUGCUAUUAAUUAUGUUAUUGAGUCGAUAUAUGCUUCUGCUGCUUUUAAGAUGACAGAGGUCGUUUCGGUUUAUGAGGUAGUUGCGCUUUCCCGCUACUUGUAUUGCUUAAAUUUAUGCUUAUUGGUAUAGUUUUAACAUAUGUGGGAUUGAAAUCAAUUUCAGUUGUGACUUGCAAAGAGCCAAAGAAUCUGUUGUUUUAUUUUGAAAGAGACAAAGAUGAUGAUGAUGGGCAGUGAACUCUAGGAAUCAAUGCUUGCUGACACUGACACCCAAGAAUGAUAAAAACUAACCAAAAAGGUAUAUAGAUUACAUGAGUCUGAAUUUGAUAAGUGCACCUAUCCUAUCGCAAAAAGCUUUUGCGUUCAGUUUCUAACCAAGGAAAAUUGUCACUUCUGUCUGUAGGCUUCAUAGAUUUGUUCAAGCCUUCAAGGAUGUCUAGCUGUUACUUAGGGUCCAACAAUGGUGCUACAUUUCUAGUGAAUGAUAUGUUAUCUACAUCUGUAUAUUGGAACUUUGACAAACUUCGCCUUUCCUUUGUUGAUACACUCGUCUCACUUUUAUUAAAUUGCCUGAUUAUGAAAUGGUCUAUUGGAGACUAGCAUUGGAAGGUUUCUUCUGGAGAAAAUUUUACUUGCCACCAAUUUUCAUUUUGGUCGGUGUCAGUUCAUGCGCUGGCUUGAUUGUUCUGUUAUUUAGGUUGUUUUAUCCGUAUUUUCUCACUAUCUUGAUAGUUAGUUCUCUCAUACUUCCAAUCUCAGCAGUGAAUGCGAAAGAUUCUCUUUUUCCUGUCCAGGUUAUAACCUAGCAAAUCAAUAAUGCUGUAGAAUAACAUCUUGUGUAGGUGAGCUUAUGUCUCUGAACAUUGGUCCACCGGCAUUUAGGUUCGAUAAGCAUGGCAUUGAUUUUCCCCCUCAUUGUUAUUUUCCUGCACAGAUUACCCCCUUUAAGUAUUUGAAUUUUGAAUACAUUAUUCUGAAUCAAAACUCUAUACGUCCGUGUAGCAUUUUAUAUAUGCUUUAUGAUAUUUACCAAUAAUUACCCACUGCGAGGUAUUUGAAUUUUGAAUAUAUUAUUCUGAAUCAAAACUCUAUCUGUCCGUGUAGGAUUGGCUUCUGAAGGUGGUUCGGGAGGCUCUUGUGGAAGAUGUAAUACCAAUUCUCGUAGCUGCCUUGCAGUGCCAACUGUACCCACUCUGUUCUUUCUGCAUCCAGAGAAUUGCAAGGUCAAAUAUUGACAAUGUUUGUCUCGAGAAAGAGCUUCCUGAUGAAGUUUCAAGUCAAAUCAAAUCACUCCGGGUCAAAUCUAACCAGGAGUCUGAAGCUAACAUAAAAGAAGUGGAUCCUAUGCAUGAAAAGAGAGUCAGAAGAAUCCACAAGGCGUUGGACUCUGAUGAUUUUGAACUGCUGAAUCUUCUUCUGAAUGAAUAUAAAGUCACUUUAGAUGAUGCUUACGCUCUGCACUAUGCUGCUGCCUACUGCAACCCUAAGGUUUUUAAGGAAGUGCACAAUAUGGGCUUGGCUGAUAUCAAUCUUAAGGAUGCAAGAGGACGUACGGUGCUUCAUGUGGCUGCAAGGCGUAAGGAGCCAGAAGUGAUGGUGGCUCUGCUGAGCAAGGGAGCAUGCUCAUCAGAAACUACACCAGAUGGGCAAACAGCUGUAGCAAUCUGUCGGAGAAUGACAAGGCGAAAGGAUUAUAUUGAAGCUACAAAGCAGGGGCAGGAAACUAACAAAGACUGGUUAUGCAUUGAUGUCCUUGAGAGAGAUAUGACAACGAACUCCACGUCUGGGAACUUGGCAAUGUCAUCAGAGGUGAUAGAUGAUGUUUUCCAAAUGAAUCUGGACUAUCUGGAAAAUAGAGGUGAUAUUUCUUUACUGGUAUUAAUUCAUCACCUUCUCAGAGUUUGUGCAUAGCACACUUCUUUUUACUAUUCGAUUGUCCCUUCAUCUUAGCAUCUCAAACACAAAUGGGCUCAGUGCUUGGAGCACACUGUUGGCCAGUCAUGUGAUUUGAUCCCUUUUUUGGAAUAGACAAUUCUGAAUACUGGUCUAGGCUUGGCGGUUUGCACUGAACUGGUUUUUGAUGAGUAAUUGCACAAGACUUUGUCAUCAAAACUUUUUUUUUUGGUUUUUUUUCCCCAAAAGUAAUGAGGUACAAAAAAUUUUUUGCCUAUCCUGGAUGAGUGCCGCAACAGCUUCUUAAUAUUUUGCAGUGGCUUGUGUACGGUUGUUUCCUUCUGAAGCUAGAGUAGCUAUGGAAAUGGCAGGUGCAGAUAUCGCCACUGGCCUUUCAGCAUUAGGUCGGAAAGGACUAAGUGGGAACUUAAAGGAGGUUGAUUUGAAUGAAACGCCCUCUAAGCAAGCCAAAAGAUGCCAAUUGAGACUGCUCACUCUGCUUAAAACAGGUAUUUACAUACUUUAUUAACUUUUGCGCCUUUCUAUUUACUGAUUAUCUUUAUAAUUAAAUAAUACAUGUAUCCAGGUUUCUCCUUCCAUUUCAUUAGAAGUAAAUUGGAAUCUCUUUAUAGUGCUCUGUUAGGUGUAAUCAGACGUAUCAAAAGAGACAGGGUAAUUGUUAGUACAUUGAUAUCUCAACAAAAUGGUAGAACCUUGCUUUAUACCACUAAAGACAUUUGUUGCAGGUAUGCCUACAUAAUCAGUGUCCUUUAAAACUUUCAAGGAGUUCGCAAUGCCUAACCCUUGAAACACUAAAUCUCACUAGAUCAACUCUUUACCUCUGGACUGAAGGUGUGACACCCAGACCCAAUUAGGGCUUAGAACACAUAUCGAAUCUGAGCGAAACUAAAUGCUUGUAAAUCCAAAUCUCCAAAAUAUCAAAAGGUCAUCUACUUUCUCUUUUCAUAGAUUUCACAAAAUUUUGAAAAACUCAUUCUCAAUCAUAAACUAUGCCCAGCUAAUUAAUCAACAUAUCACUAUACAACAAUACUUCCUCAUAAGCAAAUAAAUCUUACAAUCCUUCUUCCAUGAUUUAAAAAAAAAAAAAGAAAUAGUUCUAGAAGUCUUCUAAAUACAAACAUAAACAGAAUUCAACUGCUAAAACUGUGCCAAAAUACUAGCUUCAAUCAGUAAUACACACGACUAAUUAUUAAAUCAGUAAUACACGCGACUAAUUAUUAAAAACAUCUAGCUAGAAACCUUAUGAAAGCUCAAUCCUUCCGAAGCAUUCUUCGAAUUAAUAAUUGCUACCAUCUGUGAAAAAUAAUUGACAAGGGGUCAGCUGUUAACUCAAUCAGUAGAAACACUAAUAAUGAACAGAAAGAAUUCUUUGUGCAAUAUUUUCAGAAAAUUCAUUUAACCUUUCAAAUGAAACAGAGUAAUUUUUCAAACACAGUCAGGACUUAUAUAAAAUAUAAACAUUUCCGACAGAAGCUUUUUGGAACGUAAAUUUUGCUUCUUUAAACAGAAAGUUAUACAUUAGUUUGAUUUUAAAGGGAGGUUAUUGGGAAGUUAAAAUUGGCAGUUGUGGUAAAAGAGUAAUAGCAGUUAUAAAAUCUCUUUAAAAACAAAUUCGAAUCAAGUUUCAAAGUUUGGAAGUACUUAAUUCAAUAAAAUAAGGAAUAAAUAAAGCUUUCACUGAAACAAAACUAAGUAAAUUCAUUUAAAGCAAAACCGGAUGGGAGCAUUACCUAAGGAUUCUUGACCAUACCAUGUUUACCCGCAGUCAGAUAGCUGGGACCUUGUUAUUUGGGGACAAGACUUGAUUGUGCCAUGUUUUCCGCAGCCAGAUAUCUUUUACUUCAUUAUUUCCUAGACAUCUGUGGAUAAGAGAACCCUAAGCCUAUAGAGAAUAAAUUAUGUAAUCCAAGACUCUUCAGUCCUUUCAUUUGUGGCUAAUUAGUUAUAAAAUUUGUAAAUUUCAUGCCCCACGCCCCUUGCAAAAUGCAUUUUAUAUCCUUAAAAUGCCAGUGGAUGAACUGAAAUAAUAAAAAAUGGAAAACAGACUUAAUGUUGGUAGCAUUUCUUAAGAAAAACUUGGGAAGUUUAUAAUUUUCUUAGAGCAUUUGCUGAACUUUCUGUGAUCGCAGUCGAGACGGGUCAACGCUAUUUCCCUCAUUGCUCAGAUGUGGUUGAUAAGUUUAGGUAUUGCAACCGCCCUCAUUGCUCAGAAUUGAUUGAUGAGUUUUUGGAUUGUGAUUGGUCCGAUGCUUCCCUCCUAGAAAAGGGUACUCCUGAAGAGCAGAAACUAAAAAGGGCAGGCUUCAUGAAACUUAGAGUAGACAUGCAGGAGGCACUCCGCAAGGACGUGGCUUAUCACCGUUGUUCAGGGCUGCCAUCAUCCUGGUCGGCAUUUUACAAGUACAUGGCUGAGAGCAUUCGUUCAGGUAUGCCGACAUCCUCAGCAGCGAGCAAUUAAGCAUCACCUUUCCCCAAAAGUUAUAUUUGACUCCUGGGAAACUAAAGAGUUUAGUGAGCUUGAUUGGUAUUUGUAGUUUUUUUUCCCUCAAGUGAUCUGGCAUGUAUCAAUUAGUUUGUAAAAUUAUUGUAUGGAUCACAAACUCACAGAAUAUUUUUUUUGUAAAAUUAUGUAAUUUAUAGGCUAUGCUCAAAAAAUUAGAAAAAGAAAAAAGAAUUGUAUUACAGUUGGUAUGAGACAUGCAUGUGUAAGAUAAUCUUGUUUUUUUGUUUUUUGAAACUGGAAACUUCAUUAAAAGGCAAAGAUUACAGAGAAGUAAGUAACCAAGGAGGUGGAACAUGACUCCACUCCUUAAAGCCCGACAAAGAAUCCCCCACCCGGGCAGUAACAUGGGCAGCAGUGUUCGCAGACCUUCGAACAAAAGAGAAUUCAAUAUCUCCUAUAGACUUAGCUAAAGCUAGACAAUCAUCAAGAAUAAGACCACACCAAUUAGGACAAGAAUAACUUUAUGUGAGAGCUUUAAAAACCUGAAUGCAGUCCAUUUCAACUACAACACAUAUAAUCUUUUGUUUUAAAAAACAGAAAACUGGAGAUUUCUUUUAUUUUUCCUUAAAAAAUGAAGAAAAUUUUAGAAAGUAGUGAGAGAAAUAAAGUAAUUAUAUUCAUAAAUAUAAUGUGUUUGCUGCAGCAACACAAACUAAUAAAUUAUAAUUUAUGAGAUUAGCUUAGAGAAUCAUACAUAUAAAAUUAUAUUCUUUGAGUAAAAAUCUACACAUCUCUUUUAACUUCUCAUUUAGAUGUUCUUUCUAAAAUCUCUCCAGCGAUAAAUACAUUUUUAUAAAACAAAACAGAAAAAAAAAAUAUAAUUGUUUAUAAGGGGACUCACCUAUGUUGCAACAGUGAUAUUAUACCGCGGUUUUGUCUUUAUCUCAUGUUACCAUUAGAUUUUAAAGCAAGUGAUCCAACGCACAAGAGAUGGCCACGUUUCUAUUAAAGCAAACUGGGAAAUUCGGUUAAGAAAAGGUAAAAUUACUUGUAACAGAACUCACCGUGGGUUACUCAACUUUGCUCUGUGAAAAUGCACGGUUGCCUGUUGCAUAAGGAUUGUAGAGAUGUAAGCCCACAGUGACUGUGUCUGUGCUCAUCGCCACCUCGAAGUUGCCAAGGGAGCUUCCCCUUUUCGGCCGUCAUGUCCGACAGGAAAAUACCAAGCUCCACCGGCGCUCUCAUUUGUCGCAAGGGUUUAAAGGGUUUCAAUUAUUGAAUGAGCAGAAGAAAAUUUAUUGAAAGAGAGAGUGUAAUUAUCAGAAAUUGGUUAGGCAUGGAAUGUUUAAUAUUCUUUUCUUAAAUCUUAAAUCAUUUUGGGUAUUUGGGUGCUUGUGAAUUUUAUUUUCUUGUAAUGAAUUUAUGAAUAUUUUUACUUGGGAUUUGUCUCGGUGAAAAGUUUAUUUUAUUUUAUUUAUUUGUGGAUAAAUGAAGUUGAUGUUUUUGGUAUUAUAAAACUAGGUUGUUUGUAGGCGUUGUAAGAAUAUUGACAUAUUAUGCCAUGUUUGUCAAUCUAAAUAAAAUAUAAGAAAACCCGUUUGCUUGUUCUCAUGUAGCUUUGAGAUUUGUGAGUCACUUUGUAGUGGGUUGCAACAUGGUUUGUCGUUGAAAAUGAAUUGGCUGUAAAGGGUGAAAUGAUGCUGAAGAUAAGUUGAAAUUGAAUUCAUUAAAGUGGUUUGAGCACUAAGGUAAUCAUCCACACUGUAAUACUUUUUUAAUAUGCAUAAAAAAGAAAGAAAUAUGAAGUUUUAUAUACAGGUUUACUUGUUUUAGGUGGCUGAAACUUUGUUUAGAUGCCAUCUUUUUCCUUUCAACUGGCAAAUAUUGACAAUGCUGAGUACUACACAUGGUUAAUUAGGGAUAUAGAGUUUGUUAGUUUGGUCAUUGAAGUAUAGAUUGAAAAAAUGCAUAAUAUAUAUGUUUCAACAUUUAACCACUUUUCAAUGAGGUAGCUACUUUACUUGCUAGUUCAAUUUUUAUGGGAUUGGUGUUUUUUCUGUUUGACAUGCAUUAUACAUUUAUCAAUUUUACCAAGAUAAGAGUUGCAUAAAUCUGUUGAAAUAUUUCAUUCGAGGAUCGGUUUAAGAGUGUUUUUCUGCAGAACUUAGAAAAUGUAUUCUUGAAUGCUCUGUAUUCGGGCUUUAUAAUUUGUUAAAAUUUUGAAAAAAGAGGGCAAUCAUUUAUUUACAGAUUGAAAGCGAAAACGACUUGAUCCCCAUCCCUGACGUCCCCCCAUCGCAGUGAUAUGGACCUAUAAAGUGCAUCUCAGUACAUUGAUUGAGUUGUUAUCUAACCCCUUAAUUGAGUUGAUUGAUUGUCUGGGUAUUUUUAAUUUUUUUUUGUUAUUAGUGGAAUUUUGAUUUAUUGGAAUGCAAAAAUGAUGAUUUUUCAAUUUUUUUUUUUUUUUUCUAGGGGAUUGGUUGUGAGCAUAAUCAAAUUACUUAGCUAAAUCAAAGAGAUGGCUACUAUUGGUUAGCUGGGAACUAUUUUUAUCUGACUGACCUCUAAGCUGAUAAUUCUAAUCCAUUAUGAUUUAUUGGUUUUAUCUGCAUGUGGAUUAUUGCAUUGAAGCAUCAGUUAGUUGCUGUAGAUUAGUUUUCUACCAAGUAUUAUGUACUUCAGUAAAAUUCUGAGGGUGAUAAUUGUUAAAUCUCGCUUAAAUUCCAUUCAUGUGAGCAAGAUACAAUUUUGUUCUAAUUUUCUUCUAAACUUUUAUAUGGUGGAAAUCUUCUUAGAAUUAAGAUUGUUGUGCAUUCUUCUUGUAUUUGCUCAGUUGAUGAAUUUCACAGAGUUGCCUGUAUUCAUUGUUGUGUGAAGACAUCAUGUAUGGUUUGCUAUCGUGUCUUGCUUGAUUCUACUUCAUGUGAACUCAUCUCCCACAUUCUGAGCACUGCUAUAUUGUUUUCCGAAAGUUAUUGAGCAUUUUGCAAAUCAAGUUUAUUACAAUUGCUUCUUAUAUAGACGAAGUGUAAUAACUUACAACUGGUACUAAGACUACUUUAUAUCCCUUAUCCCACUAGAAAGAAGGCCCUUAUGUUCCUAAAUUAUAUGUUCUCCUAUUACAUAUUACAAGCUAGGAUAAAGCAAUGAUACAAGCUAAUCAGGUACGAUGCAACCAAAAAUUUCAAUUUUAAAUUUAUUCUUGUUAUUUUACAUUGAAAUAGAAUUAGAAUGAGAAUCCUUCAGUGUCAAAUGGGAAGUUUGAAACAAAUUUUGCAGGAUCAAAAGGGAAUUGGCGGCUAAAUUGCUGGCUGAUUGUAACAUAGCUCAGGGAGAUCAAAUUCUGAUUGCUGCAGAUUAUGAACAUCUCCAAAGUUCAUCUGGUAUUGUGAAAUGUAAUAAAAGUUUGAUUUAGCUGUGGCAUGAGGCAUAAAUGAUGAGGAUUAGUGGCUGAAUUGGUGACUAAUUGUAGCUUAGGGAGAUUAGAUUCUGAUUGUAGCUCAGGGAGAUCAGAUUCUGAUUGCUGCAGAUUAUGAACAUCUCCAAAGUUCAUCUGGUAUUAUGAAAUGUAAUAAAAGUUUGAUUCAGCUGCGGCAUGAGGCAUAAAUGAUGAGGAGAAACCACCCAAGAAAUUAUUCUCAUCAAGCAUCGAAGACGAAAAGCAAUGGUCAUUGCUAUGUGUGUGUUCAAAUGAUGUCGUCAGAAAAGAUAGAAGAGAUGCAAUCUCUUUAUUGUCCAAGUACUCAUUAUUAACACCUGAGCCUUUUUUAUGAUUGUUACUAUGGUGGCUUAGUUUUUGUUCAUGUUUUUAUCGCGAUGUUGGUUGUGGAAUCGAUUGGCUGCCACUGAAACAAAUGUGUUCCUCUGUAUGUGACCUCAAAUAUGAAGGGGUCUUCAUCUGAUCUUUGCAAUUGCUUUUUAACCCAAUAGUUUUGUGUAUUUUUGUAGGUGUAUCUGUAAUAGCUUCUGCAAAUCCAAAUUAAUAAUAAUAAUAAUAAAAGCUCAUAAUCAGACUUAUCAAUAAGAAAAACUCGUCAAUUAAAAAAAUUAAAUGUGAUAAGAGGAAAUACUUUUCACCUGGGAUAUUUGGCCCCAAGGAUAUCUUUCUAGCCAUAUCUUCUCCAUCUAUAUCUAUCUGCAAGGGGUCCUUCAAGGCCACUCUCAAAGUCAACUUUAUCUGUCCGUCUUGGCAAUGUCUUUAUGCAGCACAAUUUUGCAAUAACCAUUAACAAGAAAAUAACUUGCAGACAUUCACAGGGUAAAUAAAUAUUCAUUUAAGAUUACAAAUUCACCUUUGCUUUGAUCUAUCUUGAUUAUCCUUCAAAGCCCCAUCAAAAUCCUCACUUUAAGGGCUCCUAUUGAUGGAUAUUGGAGACUCAGGUAGUGCACUACUAGUUGCUCCCAUAACUUGAGCCUGUCCCAUUGAGCCACUCUAUUUCAGAAUCAAAAGAGCUUUCUCAUUUGAAGACAAUAUCAUCUGCACUAGUACUUCACUUGUUUCGGCUGAUAUGUGAAUAUGGUUAAUGCUACAGGUGGCAUUGAGGCAUAACGUAAGGACCAAAUUUCAAACACUACAAAACCAUAUCAAAAAAAGUUUGCUCUUCCAGCGCGAUCUUUCUCAUUUGCCUUGGCAAUAACAUUCAAAGCAAAUCUCUCCAGGAACAAAUUGCCUUCAGGCCCCAACUUCAAUGACUUCUUAUCUUGCAAAGGACUAAUAUCAUUCUCACCAAUUACGAAAAAUACAUAAUGAUGAAAGGAACCAUAAAUCUGGGAGAGAACAAAUACAUUAAAAUUUUAUUGCCUCAAAUUUUACAUUUAACUGAAUAGCAGUCACAAUGUGAGAAAUUUCAAAAAAAGUCAGUGAAAUGAAAUAACCAAAAGGAAGCUCCACAACUCAAAACUACAUAAAUCAUUCGAUACCUUAAAAACACUAGACAACAACCUUAAAAACUACAUAAUCCUGCUGCAUCCGCUUCGAAUGACACAACAACAAAUAAAAAUUGUAUUGAUUAAUAGUAAUAAAUUACAGUUGGUAUGAGACAUGCAUGUGUAAGAUAAUCUUUUGUUUUAAAAAACAGAAAACUGGAGAUUUCUUUUAUUUUUCCUUAAAAAAUGAAGAAAACUAUAGAAAGUAGUGAGAGAAAUAAAGUAAUUAUAUUCAUAAAUAUAAUGUGUUUGGUGCAGCAACACAAACUAAUAAAUUAUAAUUUAUGAGAUUAGCUUAGAGAAUCAUACAUAUAAAAUUAUAUCCUCUGAGUAAAAAUCUUCACAUCUCUUUUAACUUCUCAUUUAGAUGUCCUUUCUAAAAUCUCUCCAGCGAUAAAUACAUUUUUAUAAAACAAAACAGAAAAAAAAAAAAAAAUAUAUAUAUAUAUAUAUAUAUAUAUAUAUAUAAUUGUUCAUAAGGACUAUUUGUACAUAGUACACAAUUGGCCACCAAAGUUAUUUUGGGAGAAAAUUUACAUGAGAUGGGUACAUCACAUCAUCAGUAUUUUUGUCUCAAUUUCAACAUGCGUCUGUUGUACGAAUCUUACGAGAAUGGUCUCUCAUAAAUAUGAGAGAUGGUGAGGAGUGGGUUAAAGUGCAUCUACAUAGAAUUAAUUAAAAUUAAAAUUUUAUUUUUUUUAACUAUUUUUAAUUAAAAGUAGUAGUUAUUCUUUUUAUUAUUGUUAUUCUCGUUAUAUCAACAUCAAGUGACUGGUGAUCAAAUUAAGUAGCUCAUUAAAUUUUUUAAGUGACGUAUGUUAUGGAGUUUCUGUGCAUCUAUUUAAAUAGUAAAAUAUUUAAUUUUGCUUGUUGUAAAAUUUUAAUUUACGUGGGUUAAAAAAGAAAAAAAAAAGAAAAAAGAAAUUGACUUAUUAAUUAAUUAACAAUUAUAGAAAGAAUAAAUUGAAAAUUGUAGUUGGGUGAGAAAACUAAUUCCUUUCCCUGGCUUCGUGCGUUUGCUUUUGCCCUUGCGAGCACGAAUUUGAAUCCAAUACUUUAUAAUAAAGAUAUAAUAUUAUUAUAAUACUAAUAAUUAACAUUAAAAUAUUAUUUAUGCCAGUAUUAAAGUAGUAAAUAUCUAAUUUUAAGAUUAUGGAAAGCUCCGAAAAAUCCGGACGUGGAAAAAACCCUAGCGCUGGAGGAAUUUUCCCUCCGCCGUUCAGGGAAACUAGAACCACUAAGAAAGCACGGUUUCGUGAUGAGGAGGUUGCUGAUGAUACCCCUGUGCAUGUCUCGUAUAAGGAAACCCUCGUGAACUCAUCGCGAGCAAUGGAGACGGGUUAUGGUGGCGAAACAGUGGACUGGGAGUUUGAGGAAGGGGAUGUGACUGAGAAUAAAGAUGGACCUAUGCCUUCCAUAACCUUCUCGGAUAGGGUUCAUGAGAAGUUAUGUGCGCCAUGGAAGAACUCAGUGAUAGUGAAGUUGCUGGGCCGGACAAUCGGAUAUAAAACACUCUGUACGAGAUUGAAUGCUAUGUGGAAAACAACAAUGAGUUACUCGGUGAUCGACUUAGAAAACAACUAUUUCCUGGUUCGUUUUCGUUCGGCUAAUGAUGCUGUUGAUGCCCUCACAAAAGGCCCUUGGAUUAUCAUGGGACAUUAUCUCACGGUGCAGCCAUGGACGCCAUCUUUUGAUUUCAAUACAACGGAUAUGGAUCAAGUUAAUGUAUGGAUCCGUUUACCUGGACUCGCUGUUCAUCUAUAUAACCAGAAAAUUCUUCAAAAGCUCGGACAGUUGGUGGGUACAGUGAUUAAAAUUGAUUCGAACACAGCUUCCUCUGCGCGUGGGAGAUUUGCCCGACUUGCAGUUAGUCUCUCCCUGGCUAAGCCUUUAGUUUCUCAGUUUGUGUUGGAUGGUAAGGUACAGAAGGUAGAGUAUGAGAGGCUGCCAGUGAUUUGCUUCACAUGUGGUAGAUACGGCCAUAGUAGUAGCAAUUGCAAGGACUCGAGUUCAAUAAACAAUUCUGGAGAGGGUGCUCAACCACAACCUAAUAUGGAACGUCAGGAGAUCCCUAUCAAACUAGAUGAACAUUGUAAUGAUGCUAGUAUUGCCGAGCCGUUUGGACCAUGGAUGAUAGCCACGAGAAAAGGCAGAAAAUUUAAUAGUGGCAAGGACAUGACCAAUGGUUUUCAUAGGAACCGUGAGACUAUAGGGGCUAAUUUGUCCAGAUUCCAAAUAUUAGAGCAGGUCACUGACGACCGUGAGAACCCCUUCCAUGCAGCUAUGAAAGAUAACCCUUCCACUUCUCAUCAACCAACCACGGCCAAUCCUCACCAGAUAUUCACUGCCAACCAUGAAGCUAGAACAAAAACUCCGGCUCGACACAAGCAACACACCACAGCUGUUACUACAAAACCCCAGAGGAAGACCCCAACCCGAAACCCUUUCCAACAGAGGGCUUUCACUAUAAGAGAGGAAAAUACAAACUAUUCACUUCAUGCAAACCCUCAGACCACAUCAUGCUUUAACCCUCAGAUUAGCCCUAGUCAUCAACAAAUCUCCCCUCUUGUUACAACCUUGGACCCAAAGAAGCAUACGGUGAUUUUUUGUGCUACCCAAAACUUUCCUGCUGGGGGUGUAAGGGAGGCAGUCAGCGAGCAUAGAGAUUGGUUGUGACCAGAAUAUGAACACUCGUCUGACCCUCCAGACGAUCAAAAUGCGGCUCGUGUAAACGACAUAAAUGCUCAAGCACAUCCGGAUGUGUAUAUGGGUGAAAAUAAUGGGGAGGAGAUGUCCGAUGAGGAGGAUUCGAUGAUUGAGGAAACACCCUCGGUGUUGAUGCCUGAAGUGAAUGGACAACAUUAAUAAGGUGUCUGCGUUUCCUUCUUUUGUUUUGUUUAUUUCAUGACGAUUAGCAUUAUGUAUUGGAAUGUCCAAGGGGCAGCUUCGGCUGAUUUUCGGCGCUCUUUUAGGACAAUUAUUAAAAAUUAUAAUCCAUCUAUGGUGGUUUUGAUGGAGCCUCGCAUUAGUGGGGUUAAAGCAGAUGAUUUCAUAAAGAUGAGUGGUUUCGAUCAUUCUCACCGAGUGGAAGCAGAGGGCUUUUCUGGUGGAAUUUGGCUUCUUUGGCAGAGUUACAUAGAGGUGGAGGUACUGCUGAAUCAUAGGCAGUUUAUUCACUUUAAAAUAUGUAGGAAUAAUGUAUUUGUGUCUUGGGGAAUGGCUGUCUAUGCUAGCCCAAACCCAAUGUUGCGGAGACAGCUGUGGAAGCAUAUGGAUAGCAUUGCUAUGUCGACUCAAGGGCCUUGGCUAAUUGGAAGGGAUUUUAAUUCUAUUUUGUAUGCUUCUGAAAAGCAGGGGGGUGUUACACGGAGUUCUGGAGUGUGCGACAUUUUUCGGCAGUGGUUUGAUGGGCACCGAAUUUUUGAUCUAAAAUUUAAAGGUCCUCGGUUUACCUGGUCUCGUGGACUUCUGUUUAAACGUCUUGAUAGAGCUCUCUGUAAUAGUGAUUGGCUAACAAAAUUUGCGGACAAUUCUGUUCUUCACCUUCCGAAAGUUGCUUCAGAUCACAGGCCGGUGCUGGUUCGUUUCGAGAAAGCUGAUUCAAGACAUCGGGGGUCUAGGCCAUUCCGUUUUUUAGCACCUUGGCUGACUCAUGUACACUUCAAUUCUUUUGUUAAGAAAGUGUGGGACCCUCAAGCCCAUUAUAGUGAUGCGGCGUCCCAUUUUUUCCAAGCAGUCCAAGAGUGGAAUAGGGAGGUGUUUGGGAAUAUUUUUCAGCGAAAACGACGACUAAUGGCUCGAAUAAAUGGGAUUCAGGCUGCCUUAGAAAGUUACAACUCCCGAGGGCUUGUGCGUUUAGAGGCUAGGUUACGGAACGAGUUAGAGAUGGUGAUGGGUCAAGAGGAAAUUUUUUGGUGGCAAAAAUCUAGGAAAGAUGAGCUCUUGCACGGGGACAGGAACACUAACUUUUUCCACCAAAAAACCAUAGCAAGAAGACGGAGAAAUAGAAUUGAAGCUAUUCAAGAUAGUUCGGGAAACUGGAUUUAUAGCGAGGAAGAGAUUCGUAAUCAUGCAAUUGGGUAUUUUUCAUCUUUAUACAGAAGUGAAGCUACAACCCCUCAACACUAUCAGGUACCGAAUUUUUUUCCAGUCUUGAAUGCUUAUGAUUUGGAGAGUACUACUGACCUAGUUUUGGAUGAAGAAAUUAAAAGGGUGGUUUUUAGCAUGAAGCCCCUCAAAGCUCCAGGUACUGAUGGCUUACAUGCCAUCUUUUACCAGUCUCAAUGGCCAGUUGUUGGGCCUUCCUUCUGCAAGCUUAUGGCUGAUAUUUUUAGUUCGGGCAAGAUCCCCCAGGAAAUCAAUACCACCCUUUUGGUAUUGAUUCCUAAAGUGGAGCACCCUACUAGCCUAAGUAUGUUUAGGCCUAUCAGUUUGUGCACAUUUGCUUAUAAAACAGUAACUAAAAUAAUUGCUAACCGCCUGCAAGCCUUGUUGCCUGAACUCAUAGGACCCCAUCAUACUAGCUUUGUACCCGGCCGCCAUAUUAUCGAUAAUAUUGUCGUUGCUCAGGAAGUGGUUCACUCCAUGCGAAAGAAAAUGGAGAAAAAAGGGUUUAUGGCUAUCAAGGUGGAUCUUGAAAAAGCGUAUGAUCGACUUAAUUGGGCCUUUAUUUUUUAUACUCUUCAACAAACUGGUCUUCCGAUUCAGUUAUCUAGACUUGUCAUGGAAUGUGUAACUUCGGCUCGAAUGAGUAUUUUGUGGAAUGGUGAGGCUACAGCAGAAUUUGCCCUAGGGAGAGGAAUCCGUCAGGGAGAUCCGCUAUCUCCUUAUAUUUUUGUCUUGUGCAUUGAACGGUUGAGUCAUGGAAUAACCCAAGCCGUGAGGGAUGGUAACUGGAAGCCUAUUCGAUUGGCCAAGCAUGGAACUCCACUAACGCACUUAUUUUUUGCAGAUGAUUUGCUCCUUUUUGCAGAGGCGUCAAUUGAUCAAGCUUAUACUAUAGAUGCAGUGCUAGAAAAUUACUGCCGAAGCUCUGAAGCUAAGGUCAAUAAGUCGAAAACUAAAAUUUAUUUUUCUAAGAAUGUUGUUUCAAGAGAAGCUCAGCUCCUCAGUGAUGUUUUGGGGUAUUCAGUUACAAAGGAUUUGGGGUGCUAUCUUGGAAUGCCACUUCUCAAUUCGAGAGUGAAUAAAGCUACUUAUCAAAUGAUUCUUGACAAGGUGGAUAAGAGGCUCACGGGCUGGAAUGCAGCUCAUUUAUCCUUUGCUGGCCGAAUCACUUUGGCCCAUUCGGUGCUUCAAGCAAUGCCAAUUUAUGCAAUGCAGACGACUUUACUCCCAGCUCCGGUGCGUGGGAAGAUUGAGAAGUCUUGCCGUCGGUUUAUUUGGGAUGGGAAGUCGAAGAGCCAUAAGAUGAGCAUGGUGGGUUGGAAUAAAAUGUGCAUGCCGAAACCUAAAGGUGCCCUGGGGUUUAAGAAGAUGGAUGUGAUGAAUCAGGCUUUGUUGAUGAAGCUGAGCUGGGAAGUUGUUUCGAACUCAUACAAGUUAUGGGUAAAGGUUAUUUGUUCAAAGUAUGGGUUAGAUCCUAGCCAUUUACCGUUGUCCCUCCCUGAGAAACAAGGAACUAGAAUCUGGAAGGCCAUAAGGAGCACAUGGUCAGCCACCAUAAUGGGAGCUCGCUGGGCUGUCUGUGAUGGAGCUCGAACUCUCUUUUGGCUUGACUGCUGGGCAACAAAGCAAGGCCCGUUGAUCAAUCUCGUUGUCCAUCCAGUGCCUCAAGAGUUGGUUAACGCUACGGUGAGCGAGUUUAUAAACGUGCAUGGGGGCUAGAACUGGCCAGCUUUUGAACAUUUGCUUCCUAACUCUAUUCUGCUGCAAAUUGCUUCGGUAAUGCCUCAUAAUCGUCUUCUUGGUGUUGAUAAAAUCUACUGGCAUUUUGAACCAAGAGGUAACUUUAUGGUUCGCUCGGCCUAUGAGUCUCUAUGUCAGUUGGAUUCAACUGCUACCGACACUGCAUGAAAUCUAGCAUGGACUUGGAAAGGGCCGCAAGCAGUUCGCAUCUUCCUUUGGCAGGUUCUGCAUGCGAAGCUGAAGAUAAAGGAUGAACUAUCUAGGCGGCAUAUUCCUAUAUCUAUAGGUUGUGAACGUUGUGGGGCUCCACUUGAGGAUAUUAUCCACGUCUUGAGAGAUUGUCAUUGCAUCAAGAGGGUUUGGCUUCGGCUGGUGCCAGCUCGGAAUCAACUCUCCUUCUUUCAGUCUACAUUACGAGAUUGGAUUAUUGCUAAUUUACAAAAUAAGUGGAAAAUUGCUUCUCCAUUAUCUUGGGAAUGUAUCUUCGGCGUAGCGGUUUGGAGAUUAUGGUAUUGGCGGAAUCAUUUUAUCGUGCAUGGGAAGUUGGCGGAUAGCUCAACAGUUUAUUUAGAUAUUAUGGCCAGAGCUAACGAAAUCCAUAGACUAAAUAAUUCUCACAUAAGUCAGCAGCCGCGGCGAAAGGAAAUUUUUAUUGGAUGGCUUCCACCUCCAGGGCCUUGGUGCAAAUUGAAUACAGAUGGGUCUUGUAGAAAAUCUGAGGGUGCAGGAGCUGGGGGUAUUCUUCGAGACUCUGUUGGCCACUGGAUUUCUGGAUUUUGUAUGAAUAUUGGAGAAAGUUUGGUGCUCAUGGCUGAGCUUUGGGGGUUGUAUCAAGGAUUACGUAUAGCUUGGGAUACUGGCAUAAAACGUAUUUUGGUUGAAGUGGAUAGCCUUUGUGUUACUCAAAUGAUCUCGAAGCAGGUGGUUGUGCCUAACGAAUUCUAUGCAUUAGUCGCUGCUGUCCAGGAAUUAGUUAGCAGAAAUUGGCAGAUUUCCAUCACCCAUAUUUAUCGUGAAGCAAAUUCGGCGGCGAAUUUUAUGGCGAAUAUGGCUCAUUCACACCCCCAUGGGUUGCAUUUAUUUUCUAGCCCGCCUGUGGGUAUUUAUUCAAUUAUUGUGCAAGACUUAUUUGGGGUGUCUCAACCCCGUCUUAUUCAUGUUUAGCUCGCUUGUUUGAGCCCCAUUUAAUAAAAAAUACAUUAAAAUAUUAAAAAAUAAGAAAAAAUUCCAAAUUUUUCUAUUUCUGGUUUUAUUUCAGUUUAAUAUUAUUGGUUCCGUUCUGCUCUGUUCUUGGUUGUCUGUAUAUCUGUAUAUAUUUUUGGCCUCGAAUUGCUUUGAUCACCGGUUUUGUUCUUCAUUUAUAGUGAAUUUUAGAUACCCAUUAAACUUGUUUGGCCAUGUAUUCACUUGAUUGUUACAUUCAGCUGCCAUUUUCAUGGUGGGUUUGUAAGAUAGUCUCUGACUAACAUAUGUCAUUGAUUAUGAAUGAUGGUUUUGUGAGAUACACCAUAUAGACGUUAACUUUGUCAAGAUUGAUAUCUCUUCUAGAUAUUCAAACUUUGAAUAUCAAAUUUAAAAUUCUAGAUAUUCAAAGUUUGAAUAUCAAACUUUGAACUUUGAAUUUUGAAAAAUAAUAAAUAAUUGAAAAAAAUACGUGAAUAGUAGCCAAGAUUUUGGCUAUAAAUAGAGGGGCUCAUUCCCUCAUUUGCUCAUCCAAUUUUGAGAAGAGUUUUCUUGUAUUUAGAGAGAGUUUAGAGAGCUUGAAAUUAUAAGCUCUUGUUUUAGUGUUUUAAGAGUUUGGGUGUAUUGGGGUUUUGGGAAGUGAGCUAAAAUACUAUAAUACUUGUAACUCAUUUUCACUAGUAAACUAUUUUUCUUCUGUCUUCGCCCGUGGACGUAGGCUAAAAGCCGAACCAUGUAAUUUCUGGUGUCCUCUUUUAUGCUUGUUCUUUAUUUUCUUCCAAUUUCAUUUUAGCUACGGCCCUGCUUCACCCAUCAAUUUCCUAACAGUGGUAUCAGAGUUAUUGGUUGUAUUUUUGGAGUCGGGUACUAUUCACGUAUACGGUACUGUUCAGGUAUACGAUAUUAUUUAUGUAUACGGUAUUGUUCACGUAUACGGUAUUGUUUAUAUAUACGGUACUGUUCAUGAGAAACUGUGGGAGCGAUCCAAGAAUUUUGCGGUGCAAAGCAGGGAAUAGUGGUGUGAGUAAAGCAACUGUGUGAUUUUGUACAUGUCUAGGAAAGUUCUGUCACAAAGGCGAUAAGAACUUAAGGAGUCUGGAUUUUAAGUGGGACCAUUGUGACCCCUCCAGUCUUUCUUGGGAACUUUCCUGGUGUGCAUAUUCACACAUAUUCACACGUACUCACAACUAUUCGAGGUGAUACACUAGUUUGUGUACAAUAUUUAUCAACAAAAUGGCGGCAAAGUAUGAAAUUGAGAAGUUCUACGGGAAUAAUUUUUCGUUAUGGAAAAUGAAGAUGAAAGUUGUAUUGAGGAAAAAUAAUUACUUGGCAACAAUUGGAGAAAGGCCCAUGGAGAUAACUGAUGACAAGUGGAACGAGGUAGAUGGCAACGCCAUUUCUGAUCUACACUUGGCACUUGCUGAUGAAGUAUUAUCCAGUGUGGCAGAGAAAAAUACAGCGAAGGAAAUAGAGAUACUCUCACAAAAUUGUACGACGCCAAGUCACUACACAACAAAAUCUUAUUGAAGAGAAAACUCUAUACUCUUCGAAUGGCGGAAUCUACAAUCGCGACCGACCACAUCAACACCUUGAAAACUCUAUUUUCACAACUCACAACGUUGGGUCAUAAUAUAGAAGAGAAUGAACAUGCAGAGCUUCUACUUCAAAGUCUACCAGAUUCGUAUGAUCAACUCAUCAUCAACCUGACGAACAACAAUCCAACGGACAGUAUAGUUUUCGACGAUAUUGCAGCCUCCGUAUUAAAUGAGGAGAGCAGAUGGAAAAAUAAGGAAAACAGACAAGCAAGUUCGCAGCAAGCGGAGGCGCUAUCGAUGACGAGAGGGAGAUCAACAGAACGUGGCCCCAGUGGGAGUCACAAUCAUGGUAGAUCAAAAUCUAGAAGUAAGAAGAAUGUUAAAUGCUAUAAUUGUGGCAAGAAAUGGCACGUCAAGAAAGAGUGUUGGAGUAACCAGAAGAGAAAAGAGGGUAAAGAUCAUGAGUCAUCAAAUGCUCAGGGGUGUGUAGCAAGUACCUCGGAUGAUGGUGAAAUUCUCUACAGCGAGGCAACAACUGUUUCAAAAGGCAGAAAAUGACUAUUUGAUGUCUGGCUUAUAGACUCAGGAGCUACCUGACACAUGACCUCUCGAAGAGAAUGGUUCCACACAUAUGAACCUAUCUCAGGAGGAUCUGUAUAUAUGGGUAACGAUCAUGCCUUGGAGAUCGCUGGUAUUGGUACUAUAAAAAUAAAAAUGUUUGAUGGUACAAUUCGCACAAUUGGGGAGGUACAACAUGUCAACGGUCUGAAGAAAAAUCUAUUGUCUUUAGGACAAAUGGAUAGUCAUGGGUACAAAACUCAUGUGGAGAAUGGAAUUAUGAAGAUCGUUAAAGGCGCGCUUGUAUUGAUGAAGGCAGAAAAGAUCGGUGCUAAUUUAUUCAUACUUAAAGGAGAAACGCUACAAGAGGCUGAUGCGUGUGUCGCGUCAAAUGGAAAAGAAUCAACAAUGAUGUGGCGCCUCAAAUUUGGCCACAUGUCAGAACAAGGUUUGAAAAUUCUCUCUGAGCGAAAAUUGCUUACAGGGCUCAAAUCGGUAAGUUUACCAUUUUGCGAGCAUUGUGUUACAAGUAAGCAGUAUAUAUUAAAAUUCAGUAGAUCUGUUGCUAGAAGUAAAUGCAUUCUAGACUUGAUUCAUUCUGAUGUUUGGGAAUCACCGGAUAUGUCCAUGGGAGGUGCAAAGUACAUGGUGACUUUCAUUGAUGAUUAUUCCAGGAGAUGUUGGGUGUAUCCAAUUAAGAAAAAAGUCAUAUGUAUUUCCAGUGUUUAAAGAAUAUAAAGCGCGGGAGGAACUUGAAUCCGGAAAAAAGAUCAAGUGCUUGAGGAUGGAUAAUGGUGGAGAGUAUACAGACGGUGAGUUUCUUACUUUUUGUAAGUAAGAAGGUAUUCAGAGGCAGUUCACGGUGGCAUAUACUCCUCAACAAAAUGGAGUGGCAGAGCGGAUGAACAUGACUCUUACAGAACGAAUAAAAGCUAUGUUGAGGACUGCAGGUCUACCUAAUUCAUUCUGGGUAAAAGCAGCCAAAAUUGCCUGUUAUAUAGUAAAUCAGUCGCCAUCUACAGCUAUUGGGCUGAAGACAACGAUGGAAAUGUGGAUUGGAAAGCCAACUGAUUACUAAUAUCUACAUGCAUUUGGAUGUCCUGUGUACGUGAUGUACAAUGACCAAGAAAGAACAAAGCUGGAUCCAAAAUCUAGAAGAUGUAUCUUCUUGGGAUAUGCUGAUGGAGUAAAGGGGUAUCGUCUGUGGGACCCCACUACCCACAAGAUCGUCAUCAGCAGAGAUGUUAUCUUUGUAGAAGAUCAACUGAAAAUGAGAAAUGAGGAUAAUAGCACUGUAAAAGAAAAGUCAGAGACUGUACCGGUGUAUGUGAAAAAUAAUCUGGAAAAAGAAGAUUCAGAUUCUUCUAAAGCAGCACCAGAGCACGAGGAACAAGAACCAGUUGAGUCCGAGGCUCCAGAAGUUCGUCGGUCAACUUGUGAGAGACGACCGCCAACGUGGCACUCGGAGUAUGUCACAGAGAUCAACGUUGCAUACUGUCUUCUAACAGAAGAUGUAGAGUCAUCAACUUUCCAUGAAGCUUUAAACAACUCAGAUGUUACUUUGUGGAUGAUAGCAAUGCAUGAAGAAAUUGAAGCUCUACACAAGAAUAACACAUGAGAACUUGUACCACUACCACAUGGAAGAAAAGCCAUUGGUAACAAAUGGGUCUACAAGAUCAAGCGUGAUGGCAAUGACCAAGUGAAGCGGUAUCGUGCAAGAUUGGUGGUGAAAUGAUAUGCUCAGAAAGAAUGUAUUGACUUCAACGAGAUAUUUUCUCUGGUAGUUCGACUCACGACAGUCAGAAUAGUCUUGGCGAUGUGUAUUACAUUUGACUUACAUCUUGAGCAGUUGGAUAUGAAAACUGCAUUUCUUCAUGGAGAACUUAAAGAAGAAAUUUAUAUGCUUCAACCAGAAGGCUUUGCUGAAAAGGGAAAUGAGAACUUGGUUUGUAGGUUGAACAAAUCUUUAUACGGUCUCAAACAGGCGCCGAGAUGUUGGUAUAAGAGAUUUGAUUCCUUCAUCAUGAGCCUUGGAUACAACAGACUCAGUUUAGACCAUUGUGCAUAUUACAAAAGGUUUGAAGAUAAUGAUUUCAUUAUUUUGUUGUUGUAUGUGGAUGACAUGUUGGUAGCAGGCCCCAACAAAGAUCGAAUCCAAGAAUUGAAGGCACAAUUGGCUAGGGAAUUUGAAAUGAAGGACUUGGGACCAACAAACAAGAUUCUAGGGAUGCAAAUUCACCGAGACAGAAAUAACAUGAAGAUUUGGCUUUCUCAGAAGAACUACUUGAAGAAAAUCUUGCGACGCUUCAACAUGCACGAUUGUAAGUGAAUUUUUACCCCACUUCCUGUUAAUUUCAAGUUAUCCUCAAGUAUGUGUCCUAGCAAUGAAGCAGAGAGGAAUGAGAUGUCUCGAGUACCGUAUGCAUCAGCAGUGGGAAGUUUGACGUUCGCUAUGAUAUGUACUAGACCAGACAUUGCACAAGCAGUGAGAGCAGUUAGUCGAUACAUGAUGAAUCUUGAUGGAGAGCAUUGGAUAGCUGUGAAGAGGAUUCUGAGAUACAUCAAAGGAACCUCCGAUGUUGCAUUAUGUUAUGGAGGAUCAGAGUUUACUGUCAGGGGCUAUGUGGAUUCAGAUUUUGCAGGAGAUCUUGAUAAAAGAAAAUCCACUACUGGCUAUGUGUUUACACUUGCUGGAGCAGUUGUAAGCUGGGUUUCAAAACUGCAAAUCAUUGUGGCCCUAUCUACAACAGAAGCAGAAUACAUGGCAGCUACACAAGCUUGCAAGGAAGCUAUUUGGAUACAAAGGUUAUUGGAGGAGCUCGGGCACAAACAACAGAAAACUCUUGUGUUUUGUGACAGUCAGAGUGCCUUGCAUAUUGCAAGGAAUCUAACCUAUCAUUCCAGGACAAAGCACAUAGGGGUACAGUAUCACUUCGUUCGAGAAGUAGUGGAAGAUGGAAGUGUGGAUUUACAGAAAAUCCAUACCAAAGAGAACUUAGCAGAUGUUUUGACUAAGCCAAUUAUUGCUGACAAGUUUAUCUGGAGUAGAUACUCUUGUGACCUAGCAGAAACGUAGGCAACAUGACAAUGACGAAGCAGAAAGGAUGGUGUGGAGAUUGAUUGGUUCUCAAUCAAAUCUCCAAGUGGGGGAAUGUCAAGAUUGAUAUCUCUUCUAGAUAUUCAAACUUUGAAUAUCAAAUUCAAAAUUCUAGAUAUUCAAAGUUUGAAUAUCAAACUUUGAACUUUGAACUUUGAACUUUGAAUUUUGAAAAAUAAUAAAUAAUUGAAAAAAAAUACGUGAAUAGUAGCCAAGAUUUUGGCUAUAAAUAGAGGGGCUCAUUCCCUCAUUUGCUCAUCCAAUUUUGAGAAGAGUUUUUUUUAUAUUUAGAGAGAGUUUAGAGAGCUUGAAAUUAUAAGCUCUUGUUUUAGUGUUUUGAGAGUUUGGGUGUAUUGGGGUUUUGGGAAGUGAACUAAAAUACUACAAUACUUGUAACUCCAUUUCACUAGUAAAAUAUUUUCCGUCUGUCUUCACCCGUGGACGUAGGUUAAAAGCCGAACCACAUAAUUUCUAGUGCCCUCUUUUAUGCUUGUUCUUUAUUUUUUUCCAAUUUCAUUUUAGCUGCGGCCCUACUUCACCAAUCAAUUUUCUAACAAACUCGUAUUAAUGUGUACUUACUUCAUUCAAGAGAUUAGUGUUUUUCUCUCUUUUUUUCUAUAAAAAAAAAAAUUGAAAUGCCUUUUCGCAUUUUAUAGGUGAAAGGAAGAAACAUAAUAUCGCAGGACUAGAAUAAAGGAGCCUAUUCUGGUACCUAUUGUCCAAGGAAGCUUCGGUACAUUGGGUAGGCACUGCCAUGGAAGUCAAUCUUACCAGAGCCAGGCGGAGUCGUUCCUAAAGGAAUAUAUAUUAGCAUAUCCAUUUGUCCCGUACACUUCAAUUGUCGAUAGCAUUUUUGUUUGCAAGAUGGUAUGUUUUUUGUCGUUACUGCGUGGUGGUAUUUACUAGAAAAUAUUUUGAAUGCAUAGUUUUUAUUUAAUUAGUUAUAAAAUUUUUAUACCCUCUGUUUUCCAUAAGAAUGUGUUCCUUUUCAGGUCUAUUAUCUUGCCAAAUUGAUUAGUGCUGUUCAAUUUAAAUGUUAUUCCAAUUUCUCCAACAUACAGUGGGUCGAGUGGAGUAACAGGUGAUUGAAUAUUUUCAUUUAGUUCAAUUUUCAUUUCCUUUUCAAUCGGUAAAGUUUAAUCAUUUUCUUAAAUCGACAACUGAUGCAUGGCCAUAUCAACCGUCCAUGCCAUUUUUAUAACAGCAAUGCCUUUGUACUUUGUGUUUUGGUCGGAUCUCAGAGUUUCUUGGAUAAACAAUUGUGCAUCCUAUGAUCUAGGCAUGGUCGUUUGGACUGAACUAGUUUUUAAUAAAUAAUUGCCCAAGGAUUUAGUCUCAGUGUUACAGCCCAGUCUUUGUUGUCCAUACUCUUUCGCCCGUCGUGGAUGAGUGCCAUAACAGCUUCUUAGAUAGCGUUUACUUUUUGGAUUGGAGUGAGAAUCUUGAGAAGUGGGAAUCCUAGGAUUGGGAGUGUGGAGUGGGAGUGAGAGUAGGUUGUUUACUUACACUGGAAUGAAAGUAUGGAAUAGAGAUCAGAAUCCAAUUUAUGUGUUUACUUUGUCUUGGAUUGGGAGUAAAUAGUUUCAAAUUACAAUUUUAUCCUUAUGUAAAGAAUUAUAGUUUUUAAUUACAAAGUUAAUAAAAAAUAUAUUUAAUGAAUAAACAUUUAUUUUAUUAUAUUUGUAAAUUUAUAAUAAUUAUUAAUAUUCUUAAUUAUGAACAUCACAAUUUUUUUUAUAAUUUUAAUUAUAUAAAUUAAAAAUUGUUGAUAAGGGCAAUAUAAAUGAAAUAUUUUUACUAUUAACUUAGUAUGAAAUUAAUAUUUUCUUAGAAUAUACUAUUUAUUAGUAUUAAUUACUAAUAUUAAAUAAAUAUAAUACUAUUAUUUUUAAAUAAAUAUAAUAAUAUUAUAUUUUCAAAUAAAGAUUGUAUAUAGUAAUAUUAUUAAUUCUCUCUUAAUAUAAUAAUAUUAUUUUUAAGUAAAUUAAACUUAGAAUCAAACCCAAUUAUUAUUUAGUUAAAUAUAAUAAUAUUAUUUAAAUAUUUAUUAAAUAUAGUUAUAGUAAAUUUAAUAAAAAGAAGGGUAAAUAUAAAAUGAAACGUUAUUUUAUUUUAUAUAAUUAUAUUAAAUUUAUUAAUAUAAUAUUAUUUAGUACAAAAUUAAUAUUUUCUUAGAAUAAACUAUUUAUUAUUAUUAAUUAUUAAUAUUAAAUAAAUAUAGUACUAUUAUUUUUAAAAUAAAUAUAAUAAUAUUAUAUUAUUAAAUAAAGAUAGCAUAUAUUUAUUAAUUCUCUAUUAAGAUAAUAUUAUUAUUUUUAAGUAAUUUUAACUUAUAAUCAAUGUAAAUUAUUAUUUAGUUAAAUAUAAUAAUAUUAUUUAAAUAAAUAUAAUUAUAAAUUAUUUUAUUUUAUUAAAUUAAAUUAAAAACAAAGGGUAGAAAAGGGAGAGGUGGGAGUGGGACCAUGGGAGUCCCACUCCCACUCCCCACUCCAAAAAUGGAUGGGGCCCACGGAGUGAGAUUCUCAAUCCCUCUCUAUUUUGUUGAAGUAAACACUGGAGUAGGAGGAAUCCACACUUCUCACUCCCACUCCAGAAAGUAAACACUGCCUUAAUGUUUUGAAGUGGCUUUUGCACGGUUGUUGUUUCCUUCUGAAGCUAUAGAGUAGCUAUGGAUAUAGCAGAUGCAGAUGCCACUAAUUUUUAUACUGGCCUUUCAUCAUCAAAAUGAAAAGGAUCAAGCGGGAACUUAAAAGAAGGUUGAUUUGAAUGAAACACCCUCUAUGCAAGCCAAGAGACUCCAAUUAAGACUGCAAGCUCUGCUUAAAACAGGUAUUUAUAUACCUUAUUAGUUUUUGUACCUUUACAAUUAGUGAUUUUUGUAUCAAAAGAGAGGUUAAUUUUUAGUACACAAGUGCGGCUCUUCCUCUAGACAACUGCCUAGAGCCCCACUAUAGAUGAAGACCCCAAAUUUUUCUCUAACAUUAUAGCUAUUAAAUUAUUCAUUUAUUUUUAUUUUUAUUUUUAUUUUUAUUAUUCUAUAAUAAUCUUUGUUCAAAUAAAUUAUCAAAUCCCUACAAAAUCUCUUUUUAAAGUUGGAAUAAACAAUGUUAAUCCUAUUUACUCCUACAAAAUCUCUACUUAAUGUUAUUUCAUUUAAAACUCUAUAAAAGUCACACAUUUGUUAACUUGUUAUCCAUUAAUAUUUUUAUUCAUUAAAAGAAAAGCACGAGACAUUCAAUGCUUCAAUUCAUAAGGAAAAAAAGAAGCUUUUUUUAAUUUUUACUUAAGAAAAAAAUUAACUAUUUUCAUUGACCGCUGCUGUUUAAAACUUCAAUCCAUCAAAAUUAGAGUUUCAAAUAUCCAAGUUUUAUUCUUCCUAUUCUCUUCUUAAUCAGUUGUGUUAUUCAAUUGUUAUUGUUUCUUUUUUAAAUAUUAUUGUUGUUUUCUUUUAAUUAUCCAGCAUAAUUGUUUACUUGUUUUCUCUUCUUUCACUAAAAAAAGAAAAAAAUGUCUAAUAGAAAAUGUGCAUCAAGAUACAAAAAACUUGGGAAAAAAGAGAAGAAUAAAAAAGUAGUUCGAUCUAAAAAAUGAGCUCUUGAUAAGUUUGUCAAAAAUAGUAAAAAAAGAUAUGAAUUAUAGUGAGGAAUUAGUGAUUGAUGAAGUUUUUCAAAAUUAAAAUUAAUAAAAAUUUAUUUAAGAUCAAAUAAGUCGCAAGAAAAGUUAAAUGAUUUAGCUAUAUUGAGAAGAAUGUAUUAGCGAAAUUAGAAAUAAAAAUUUGAGCAAUAAUUUUGCACCUAAGAAAGCUAGAAAAUUUGAUUUUAAAUAAAUAACUUUUUAGUAAAACAAAUACAUAUAUUUGACCUCAAAUUUUUUAAAAGGCCUAAUUAAAGCAAUUCAUCUAAGGCCCCAAAAUUAGUUGAGCCGCCCCUAUUAGUACAUUCAUAUCUCAACAAAAUGUUAGAACCUUUGUAGCACUAGAGACAUUUUCUUAGAGCAUUUACUGACCUUUCUAUGAUUGCAGUGGAGACAGGUCGACGCUACUUCCCUCAUUGCUCAGAAGUGGUUGAUAAGUUUUUGGAUUGUGAUUGGUCCGAUUCUUCCCUCCUAGAAAAGGGUACUCCUGAAGAGCAGAAACUCAAAAGGGCACGCUUCAUGAAACUUAAAGAAGACCUGAAGAAGGCAUUUUACAAGGACAUGGCUGAGAAAAAUCCCUCAGGUCUGUCGUCAUCUUCUCCGAAGGAAGGAGUAAAGUGUAAGGGUAGGAAAAGGUGAUGCUUAGCUGCUUGUCUUUGUUAUUCAUUUAUAGGCAACUAAGUGUUUUAGUGAGUUUGGUUGUUACUUGUAGAGAGAUACUCUUAGGGCAUAUGUUAUGGUUAUGUUGUAUAAUAGCAGAGAAACUUUAAGCAUGCAUUGUUGUAUUUUCCCAGAUAUUUGGCUUGUAAUACACCAAAUGACAAAGAAUUUUCUAUUUUUAGAGGGGAAAGUUAUGUCAGUUAAUUAUUUAUUUAUUUUGUCUGUCUAAUUCAGUUUACAUAGCUUUUUUUUUUUUUCCUUUCCAAAAAAAUCUGCAUAUCUUCAUCUGCAAUUUAAGUCAUUGGUAACUUCUUUCAGGGAGGAAGGAAAAAAAAAAAGCAUUUGUAAGUAUAUUUUACAGUACUGAUUUUCCUAAAAAAUUAGUUAAGGUGAGAUUAAUGUUCUUUGAAAUAGAUGGAUAUGCAGAAUCUUCAUCGAAAUUGAAAUUAGAAAUGGAUGGAUACGAGUGACUUAUAUUAAGAAUUUUUUAGUAGAAUGCUUAUAGAAAAAUUUGUAGCUCAUUACUCUCUAGAAGGAAAAUAAAUUUUAGAUUGUAAAUAUUAAAUAUUAAAAUUAUAAUAUAAUAAAUGUGUGACUUAAGGUGUACAAUACCCAUAUAAUAAUAAUUAAGAAAAGAAAAAUCAAAUUUUGUAAAUUACCAAUUUUCUCUUGAAAUUUGAUAUUCUAUAUUAACGUAGGUGUUGCAUGGAGUGGGCUAGUACAACUGAAAGAAACUAACUAAAGUAAAAAAAAAAAUAUCAGAAAAAUACGACGAGCUUCUCAUAUUUUUCAAGUAAAAAAAAAAACUAAAAUUAAUUAUUUUUAUAACCAAAUUCUAAUGCUUGAAGGUUGCUGGAAUUGACCAUUGUAAUUUUGUCAUCCUCGUUAUUCACUGGCCAUCGUAGCCUUCCUCCAUUAAAAUGAGAGUUGUUUUUCGGACCACGACGUAAUAAAAAUAAUAUCGAUUAAUACUAAUAAACCUAUUUUGAUUAUUUUGUAGUGUGAUGGUCUAGUAAGUAUCAGUACUUAUCCUAGCAUCCGAACAUGUGAUAAAAUUAUGCGAGUCUCUAUAAAAUACUAUUUAAAUUAUGUAUUAACUAGACAGUUCUAUGUAGAUAUUUCGUAUAUAUUUAUGAUAAUUGUUGAAAAAAAGAACGUAAAAUGAGAUUAAUGAACAUUCAUAAAUGUGGAAAUUAACACAACUAAGAUUUAUGAUGAAAUAAUUUUAUGUCAAAUGAGUGUAAGUGAAUGGAUGUUAAAAUAACUUGUAAUAUAUAUUUUUUGAACUGUUAUUUACACAAGUUUGCCACCAACAGUAAAUUAAAUUAUGAAUAUUUUAAUAAUUCAAGAUCUCAUUCGAUGUUUAUAGUAUUUUUCAGAGUACAAAAUUGUAAAUGGUCUCACCCUUCAUAGUAUAAUGCUAAACCUUUUAAAAAAUUUAUUCUAUUAUAGACGUAUUAGUUAGUUAUAUUAUAUUAUAGACAAAAUUGAAGCUAAAAAUAGUACUUCAUCUAUCAUACAUUACUUUAAUUUUUUUUUUAUCAAAUUAUGAGCUGGUGAAAGGAUGCAACAAAUUACGUCAAACAUUGUAAAAUUUAUCAAUCACUAAAUAAAUAUCAUGUUAUAUGUGUGUGUGUCUCUCUCUCUAUCUAUAUAUAUAUAUAUAUAUAUAUAUAUAUAUAUAUAUAUAUAUAUAUUACACAAAAUCUGAUUCUCAUGAACUAAAAAGACAGGCUUUGGAUGAUGUAUCAUACUCAUAAAUCUAUUUUUAUUAAUGAUUAUACAAACAUAUCUUUUUUUUUUUCUUUUUUUUUGUGUGUUGCUUUUGAUAGAAACAUAUGAUUCACCUCUGUUUCUCCGAUGCUUGCUUGCUUCAUGAUUGGUCAACUUGGGUCAAACUUUCGUCUUUAAAUCACAUAGGUAGAUCAUGAUUCAAGCUUCAGUUAUAAGCCUUUCAUUGUGACUGGUAUUAUUCUUUCUUGAUGUACAUAUAUAUAUAGAUUCAGUUUGAAUGUGGUCCUUGAUAGUUUCAUGGAAAAUGCAAACGAAAUGUCAGCAUCUUUGAGUUUUGUCUCAUCAUAUCCGUCUUGUUGGUCUACUAAUCAACCAACAGGCUCUGAAACUUGCUCUGAUCUUGAUAAUUUUAACUUAAGGAGGCAAAGCAGCAAUCCUGAAGAGCCAUGGCUUGACGCUGAGAUUGUCGUUGAGGGCAAAUCAGUGGCAGUUAAUCGCUGCAUAUUGUCUGCACACAGUCAAUUUCUUCAUUGGCUUUUUAAUUUGAGAAAUGAUGGUUCUGUGAGUGAGGGGAAACCCAAGUAUCUUAUGACUGAUUUGGUGCCUUAUGGGAAGGUUGGAUAUGAAGCGUUCAAUGAUAUCUUGCAUUAUCUUUACACUGGGAAGGUUAAGCCAUCUCCUCUAGUAGUGUCCACGUGUGUUGAAGAUGCUUGUGCUCAUGAUGCUUGCCCUCCUGCUGUCAAUUAUGCUAUUGAGUUGAUGUAUGCUUCUGCUGCUUUUCAGAUGAAGAACUCGUUUUGCUUUUGCAGGUAAUUGUGCUUCCCUGCUAUUUGUAUUGCUUAAAUUUAUGCUUCUUGGUAUAGUUUUAACAUUUAUGGAAUUGAAAUCAAUUUCAAUUGUGACUUGCAAAGAGCCAAAGCAAGUAAAUGUGAAGCAACUUCAGUGAUUCGCAAUAUUAGUCAUCGCAGGAGAUCCAAAAUUUGUAGAUACUGUAGAAUUGUAGAGCCCAAAACUUCAUCUUAUCUUGCAAGAGUUUGUUGUUUUAUUUUCAAAUAGACAAAAAAAAGAUGAUGAUGGGCAGCGAACUCUAGGGAUCAAUGCUUGCUGACACUGACACCCAAUGCUUGAUGUCUAGCUUGCUUAUUUUUCCAACAAUGACACUACCUUUCUAGUAAAUGAAAUAUUAUUCUACAUCUAUAUAUUGGAACUUUGACAAACUUCGCUUUUCCUUUGUUGAUUCACUGGUCUCACUUUUAUUCAAUUGCCCGAUUAUGAAAUGGUCUAUUGGAGACUAGCAUUGGAAGGUUUCUUGUGGAAAAAGUUUUACUUGACCACCGAUUUUCAUUUUGGUGGGUGUCAGCGCAUGCUCUGGCUUGACUAUUCUGUUAUUUAGGUUGUUUUAUCUGUAUCUUCUCACUCACUUGAUAGUUAGUUCUCUCAUGCUUCCAAGCUCAAAGAUGAAUGCAAGAGAUUCUCUUUUUCCCCUCUAGACUAUAACCUAUCAAAUCAUUAAUGCUAUAGAAUAACAUCUUGUGUAGGCGGGCUUAUGUGUCUGAACAUUGGUCCAUCGGCAUUUUCAAUAAGCAUGGCACUGAUUUUUCGUCUCAUUAUUAUUUUCCUGCCCAGAUUGUCCCCUUUACCCAGAUUGUCCCCUUUAAGUAACAUAUUGAAGGAGAGCAACAUUCUUAUAUAUGUUUUAUGAUGUUUACCAAUAAUUACCCACCACGCGGUAUUUGAAUUUUGAAUGUAUUAUUCUGACUCAAAACUCUAUCUGUCGGUGUAGCUUCGUCUUCUGAACUUUGUUGAGAAGGCUUUUGUGGAAGACGUAAUCCCAAUCCUUGUGGCUGCCUUGCAUUGCCACCUGAACCAGCUUCGUUCUCUCUGCAUCCACAGAGUUGUAAGGUCAAAUCUUGACAAUAUAUAUCUCGAGAAAGAGCUUCCUGAGGAAGUUUCAAGUGACAUCAAAUCACUUCGUUUCGAAUCUAACCAGGAGUCUGAAGCUAACAUAGCAGAAGUGGAUCCUCGAUAUGCAAAAAGAGUCAGAAGAAUCCACAAGGCACUGGACACUGAUGACAUUGAACUGUUGAAGCUUCUUCUGAAUGAAUCUGAUGUCACUUUAGAUGAUGCUUACGCUCUGCAGUAUGCUGCUGCCUAGUGCAACCCUAAGGUUUUAAAGGAAGUGCUCAAUAUGGGCUUGGCUGAUCUCAAUCUUAAGGAUGCAAGAGGACGUACGGUGCUUCAUGUGGCUGCAAGGCGUAAGGAGCCAGCAGUGCUGGUGACCCUGCUCAGCAAGGUAGGCAUGCGCAUCAGAAACUACAUUAGAUGGGCAAACAGCUUUAGCAGUCUGUCGGAGAAUGACAAGGCGAAAGGAUUAUAUUGAAGCUGCAAAGCAGGGGCAGGAAACUAACAAAGACCGGUUUUGCAUUGAUGUCCUUGAGAGAGAGAUGAGAAGGAACUCCGUGUCUGAGAACUUGGCAAUGUCAUCCGAGUUGAUGGAUGAUGAUUUCCAAAUGAAGCUGGACUAUCUGGAAAAUAG
rnacentral:lncRNA from 1 species